rnacentral:lncRNA from 1 species
AUUGUUGGAUAUGGGCGACGCCCUUGCUUUGUGCCACACCGCCCCUGACUGCGCCGCAUUAGAUGUUUGGGUGUUGCAGGACUAUGAUGCCGGGACCUGGGGUUUUCGCUUCCAGAUUGACCUGUUAGGGAUGGAGGCAUCACCACCGAUUAAUUGGAUGUUCCAAUUUAUCCCUAGGAUGGCUCUGAUCAAUGAGCGUGAGCUGUUGAUCCAGCGGCAUAUUUACAGUCUGUUGCAUUGUGACAUUGAUGGUGUCUUUUUAGGUAAUGUGGAAAGCGAGGAGCGUUUAGCCUGCUGGACACUUACUCGGCAUUGCCUCCAAGAGAGCCUGAUUUCACUUCCAUUGUUUGAGAUGCAAGAAGAAGAAGCUGUGAACCAGGAGCCUCCAUUAUUCUCCAUUGUGUUAUAAAGAUGCCGCGCUGGCGUGCUCCAUGUUAAUGCUUUGGACUAGUUGUCGGCUGUGCCCUUAGAGUAUCUGUUCCAUAUGGGCCAUGCUUGUAUUCUUACCAUUCAGUACUUCAAUGUUGUAAUUUCUGAACAAUGGAGUAUAUCUAUAGAAUCGUUCUACUGUUCUCCCCUCCCCUGUUUACUUUUAGCUUGCAAUGUUAAAAACAACGAAUGGCGUGGUUGCAGUUUGGAAUGGCCGAUUCCUCAAUGAGAUGUUAUGGCAUUUUUGUUGUUGAAAUGGAUACUAUAGAUAUUCCUUUCUGUAGCUAAAUAUUUUGAUGUUUCAUGUUCAGUGCACACAUUGGUCCUAUUGCUUUUGGCAUCUGGUCGCGUGACUCUUUGUGUAGAUGUCUUUUUUCAGGUAUAUUUGAGAAGCUGGCUGUGAUUUUGUGCUCGCCAUGGUUUUCUCUCUGAUUGUUAGUUUGUUACACUACAGCAGCAAGUAAUUUGAUCACUACUACUGUUUUGUGUCUGAUGUUGCUGCUUCAAUUCAGCUAUUGUUAAAAAGAAACCGGCAAGAACUUUCUUUCAUUGACUAACCAUUCGGAGAAAGGAGCUUUGCUGUUGCUUUUGUGUCCAGGAUUUCCUUUCUUUUGGAAGGAAUAGUUUACAACAUGUGGUAUCUUAAUCAUCAUCUUGUAGUGAUGUAGUCUGCUGGAUGGCUGGUGAUAGUGGUGCCUUGAGGACCCGUGUUGCAGGUAAAAAUGUCCAUUCGGACUACCAAACGCAUCAAAGCUGCAUCUGCGCUCAUGCUGUGCGGACCCAUCAAUGGUUUUGUGUUUGAUUGUUAAUCCAGUAUACAUGCAUUGUCAAAAAAAAUUUGCUACGAACUACUCCCUCUGUUCCUAAAUAUUUGUCUUUUUAGAGAUUUCAAAUGGACUACCACAUACGGAUGUAUAUAGACAUAUCUUAGAGUGUAGAUUCACUCAUUUUGCUCCGUAUGUAAUCACUGUUAAACCACGUCCAUAUCUACAUGACCGGCGCAUAUCUACAUGGCUAGCGCAUCGUAGGAGUUGCUUAGGUAGUUAGAGUAUAAUGUUUAUCUCAUGUACUUCUUAUCUCUACCUCCUUUCUUUAUCUCCAAGUAUGUAAUCUCAACCGUAUGUAUGCGCUGUUAUGGGAGGUGCGCCCCAUCUAUAUAACACGUAACCAUCGGCCUGAGAGGGCAAGACGUUCCGCUAGUUCGCACAUGGUAUCAGAGCCUCAUCUCUUCCCAUCUACUGAGAUCCCAUCUACCGAGCCUAGCCAUGUCUUCCUCCUCCUCCUCUGGUGCUUCCCAAACCACCCUUAAUGGACAGGUCACCGAGAAGCUUACACGCACGAACUACGUGCUCUGGCGCACGCAGGUCACCCCUCAUCUGCGCGGCGCCGGCGUCUUCGGCUACGUCGACGGCACCACACCGGAGCCGGCCAUGCUUCAUGUCACCAAGGAUAAGGAUGGCAAAGAAAGCACUGCGCCCAACCCUCUCCACCCCAUCUGGGUUCGGGAGGAUCAAUAGGUGUUGGGCUACUUGCUCAGCACCCUCUCCAAGGAGGUUCUCAUCGCGGUGACCACGGUCACCACGGCGCACGCGCUCUGGACAGCGGUGGCAGGUAUGUUUUCCUCGCAGUCCAUGAGCCGCGUGAAUAAUAUCAGGACGGCGCUCAUCAACGCGCAGAAGGGCAACGAGUCGGUUGCCGCAUACUUCGCCUCCCUCCGUGGUCUCGUCCACGAGCUUGCCGCGGCCGGGAAGGCCAUCCAGGACGACGAACUCAUCUCCUACAUCAUCCACGACCCCGACAUCGACUACCAGCCCCUCGUCUCCGCCCUCGACGCACGCGUCACACCGGUCUCCCUCGACGAGCUCUACGCCAUGCUCAGCAACUUCGACCAGCGCAUGGCCCAGUUCAAUCACUCAGGCAGCGGCGGCUUCCGUUCCUCUGCCAACGCCGCGGUGCGUGGGCGUGGUGGCGGAUCACGUGGUCGUGGCUCCUCUCGCGCCAAAGGACGCCCUGGAGGUCACGGUGGUGGUGGAAACAGCGGCAGUGGCAACACCCGCUCUGGUGCAUCCCGCGGUCGUCGUGGCGGCGGUCCACCUCGGGCCCGACCAGAGCUGCCUCGCUGCCAAAUUUCUGGUAAGCCAGGGCACACCGCGAAGGACUGCUGGUAUCAUUAUGAUGAAGACAACGAGGACUCCCAAGAUGAAGAAAAAGUGACUGCCGCGACCGAUGGAUCCUACGGCAUCGACACAAAUUGGUACGUUGAUAGCGGAGCCACCAACCACAUCACCAAUGAGCUUGAGAAGGUCACGAUGAAGGAAAAAUAUCGUGGCAAAGAUCACAUCCACACGACAAGUGGAGAAGGUAUGCAGAUUUGUCACAUUGGUCAUUCUAUUUUUUGUACCCCUCACCAUACAAUUCAUCUCAAGAAAAUUUUGCAUGUUCCUAGUGCCGCUAAAAGUCUCCUCUCGGUUCACAGAAUUGCCCUUGACAAUCAUGUUUUCCUCGAAUUUCAUCCUUAUUUCUUUUUGAUCAAGGACCAGGCCACGAAGAAGGUUCUCUAUCGAGGUAGAUGUGUUCGAGGGCUUUACCCGUUGCUUCCGGAGCUUAGGAGACUCAAUAAACAAGCCAAUGGUGCUGUCAAAGUUUCGUCAACACGGUGGCACGAUCAAUUAGGGCAUGCUGCUUUUUCUUUAGUUGAAAGAUUGCUUAGGAAAAAUAAACUCCCAUUUGUUGGUGAGCGAAAUGUCGAAACUAUUUGUGAUUCCUGCCAAUGUGCUAAAAGUCAUCAAUUACCUUAUCCAGUAUCUACUAGUGUCUCUACCAAACCACUUCAAUUGAUUUUUUUCUGAUGUGUGAGGUCCUGCUCCCACUUCUGUUGGUAGACAUGAGUAUUAUGUAAGCUUCAUAGAUGACUAUAGCAAGUUUGUGUGGAUUUAUCUUCUCAAAAAGAGAUCUGAAGUCUUUCAAGUUUUCCAAAAUUUUCAAGCCUUGGUUGAACAAAAAUUUGAUAGCAAAAUUAUUGCAGUCCAAUCGGACUGGGGGGGGGGGGUAUGAAAAACUCAACUCCUUCUUCCAAACACUUGGCAUAUCACACCAUGUAUCAUGCCCUCAUGCCCAUCAACAGAAUGGCUCUGCUGAAAGAAAGCACAGACACAUAGUUGAGGUUGGGCUAGCUCUCCUGGCAGGAGCCUCCAUGCCUCUCAAAUUUUGUGAUGAGGCCUUUCUUACUGCUGUUCACAUUAUCAAUAUGCUCCCUAGUCAAGUCAUCAACAAUGAAACUCAAGUAGAAAGACUCCUUCAUGUCAAACCUGACUAUAAAUCUCUUCGUGUUUUUGGGUGUGCUUGUUGGCCCAAUCUUCGCCCAUAUAACAAAAGAAACCUCAUGCUUUGUUCCAAACAAUGUGUCUUUCUAGGGUAUAGCCCUCAACACAAAGGUGUCAAGUGUUUAGAUAUAUCCACUGGCCGUGUCUAUGUAUCUCGUGAUGUCGUUUUUGAUGAAACAAAUUCCCCUUCGCCACCCUACACCCAAAUGCCGGUGCUCGCCUCCGAGAAGAAAUUCUCCUCCUACCUACUCAUCUUGGUCAAGGGGGUCCGAAUUAUGAUGAUCAACUGUUGACUAAUCCUGCUAUUAAUGGUGUGCAUGAGUUUUCUGAUGAUGUUCCAGGAAAUAACAGUGAAAACAAUGGAGAAAUCAGUGAAAACAAUGCGCAGGCAGACCAAUAUCAGAUGUGUCUGCUUCCAGAGGGCAAAUCCUCCUCGGGAUCGGUUCUGCAGCAGCAGUUCAGUCGAUCCUACUCGGGAUCGGUUCUGCAGCAGCAGUUCAGUCGAUCCUACUCGGGAUCGGUGCCGGCAGAGGCGUCAGAUGCGCAGGAGACAACGCUAGCCGGCCGGGCGUCUGACUCCAGCUCAGCGAGCGCCGCGUGUCACGCUCCAACUGGCGGCGGCUCGAGCGCCUCCCCACGCCAACCUCCUUCCGCCACGCGGCAGCCCAUGGUUCGCCAGGACGGCACGCGCUUCCGUGACCAGCCAGUCACGUACAAGCGGUUCAACCAGAUUCGGCGGCCUGACACGGGGUCGGGGCCUGCCGCGGGUCCAGGCCCGGAAUUCUAUGCGCCCACGCGCACGCGGCAUCCUGGCGUUCGCCCCGAGGCUGAUACGCAAUCAUUUGGCAAUGAUGAGGCCCCAGGAUCUUCUGCGCCUCUGGAAGAUGCUACACCUGAUCAGCCUGCCACAGAGGAUCCAGCGGGGGCAGGUUCUGCUACAGGAGCUUCUGCUUCGGGAUUUUCUGUGGCAGAGGAUUCCGAUGCUGCACCAUCACGACGUACACGACUACAGCAUGGGGUAAUAUAGCCUGUUAAUUAUAAACACAUAACCAAAUACGGUAUGGUUUGUUCUACAGGUGAACCAGGUGAACCCCUGACACUUCAGGAAGCACUUGGUGAUGAAAGGUGGAAAAAUGCUAUGAAUGAAGAAUACAUGGCACUCAAGAAAAAUAAAACUUGGCAUUUGGUUCCCCCAUAGCAAGGUAAAAAUUUAAUUGAUUGCAAGUGGGUAUUCAUAAUAAAGAGGAAAUCUGAUGGAACUAUUGAUCGGUACAAAGCUAGGCUCGUUGCAAAGGAUUUCAAACAACGGUAUGGCAUAGAUUACGAGGACACGUUUAGUCCAGUUGUUAAAGCUGCCACUAUCCGUCUUGUUUUGUCUAUUACCGUUUCCAGGGGAUGGAGUCUCAGGCAACUUGAUGUUCAGAACGCGUUUCUUCAUGGUGUUCUGGAAGAGGAGGUAUAUAUGAAACAACCUCCUGGGUUUGUAAGUAAAAGUGCACCCUCUCAUGUCUGCAAGUUGGACAAAGCACUUUAUGGUUUGAAGCAAGCACCAAGAGCAUGGUACUCUCGUCUCUGUCACAAAAUGCAAACACUUGUUUUGUCCCUUCAAAGUCUGACACCUCUCUGUUCAUCUACAACAAGUCCAAUACAUGCAUAUUUGUCUUAAUAUAUGUUGAUGAUAUUAUUGUGACAAGCUCAUCUGAUGAAGCCAUCACAGGAUUGUUAAAAGAUUUGAGUGCAGAUUUUGCCUUGAAGGAUCUUGAAGAUUUGCAUUAUUUUCUUGGGACUGAAGUAAAAAGGCACAAGGAUGAACUUCAUCUCUCUCAAGAGAAAUGUGCAGUUGACUUGGUAAGAAAAGCUGGUCUACAGGGUUGUAAACCUACACCUACUCCAUUAUCCAGCUCAGAAAAAUUAUCUCUCACACAAGGGACUCUCUUGACUCAAGAGGAUAGCACCAAAUACAGAAGCUUGGUAGGAGAUCUUCAAUAUCUUACUCUUACCAGGCCUGAUAUUUCUUUUGUUGUCAACAAAGUAUGUCAGUUCCUUCAUGCACCUACAACUAUUCAUUUCACUGCUGCUAAACGCAUAGUCAGAUAUGUCAAAAAUACAUUAAGCAUGGGUCUCAAUUUUAGCAAGUCAUCUUCUACACUUGUCAGUGCCUUCUCUGAUUCUGAUUGGGCAGGCUGCCUUGAUGAUAGACGCUCUACUGGUGGUUUUGCUAUUUUCUUUGGAGCCAACUUAAUUUCAUGGUGUGCUCGUAUGCAAGCUACAGUCUCCAAAUCUAGUACAGAGGCAGAAUAUAAGGCAUUGGCUAAUGCCACAGCUGAAAUCAUAUGGGUUCAAUCCAUGCUCAAGGAACUUGGCAUAAAGAGUAAACAAGCUCCAUGUUUGUGGUGUGCUAACCUUGGUGCCACCUAUCUUUCAGCCAAUCCAGUGUUUCAUGCUAGGACCAAACACAUUGGGAUAGAUUUUCAUUUUGUCAGAGAGAGGGUGGCUCAUAAGAAACUUGAUAUUCGUUUUGUGCACUCCAAUGAUCAAAUUGCAGAUGGAUUCACAAAGGCAUUGCCGGUCAAGAGUUUUGAAAACUUCAAGUAUAAUCUCAACCUCAUGGAGUUGUGAUUAAGGGAGGGUGUUAAACCACGUCCAUAUCUACAUGACCGGCGCAUAUCUACAUGGCUAGCGCAUCGUAGGAGUUGGUUAGGUAGUUAGAGUAUAAUGUUUAUCUCAUGUACUUCUUAUCUCUAAGUAUGUAAUCUCAACCGUAUGUAUGCGCUGUUAUGGGAGGUGCGCCCCAUCUAUAUAACACGUAACCGUCGGUCUCAGAGGGCAAGACGUUCCGCUAGUUCGCACAGUCACUUGUUGAGUUCUCUAGAAAGACAAAUAUUUAGGAACGAAGGGAGUAUUAUUAGUUGAGUUUCACCUGUUGGGAGAAAAGGCUUGGUACUUUGGCGAUAACCUGGAAGCUUUCCAGGGGUCUUUUCUUUCCUGCUUGCAGCUUUUGGGUCUAGGAUUUGGUGCUAUCUUGAUCAGCAUGUUAUGGUUUGCUGGAAGGCGCUGCUGCUAGGUUGUUUUGGUUUCAAGCCUGUGUAUUGGUUCCAUUUUUAUCGGAAUGGAACCAACAUCAAUUUCAGUGAUUUCAUCAACAGAAAAUACAUCAAUUUCAGUGAUUUUCAAUGAUAUUUGGUGAAGCAUAUAUAAAGAUGAAUAUCAAUCAAUUGUUCAGGAAUGUAUGAUGGUGCAUGGUGCCAUGGUGGUGUAUCUGCAGUUUUUUUCCAGAUCGAACAAUUAGCACCGGAGAAUUACUAAGUGUCCAGGUUAAUGAUAAGUUUUAUCUCUGAGUUUUUUUUAUCCUCUCACGUCCUUCAGCGAGAUGCGAAUAUGUUGACGUCUGCUGUACAUUGCUAAUGUUUGCCUUUUCUUUUCUACUUAUCAGCAUGCUGAACAGCAGCGGCGCGACUCUGUUCGACAACCUACCCAUGUGGCUCGUUGUUGCAGAGAUCUUCAUCUGGCUGCUGUCUAGAAACGUACUCGGCUUCCCCGCAAAAGAAAAAGAAACCUACUCCGCUGCCGUGUGGUCUGCAAGUCGUGGCUCAGCAGUACUUCCACAGACGUGUUCAUCCUUGACCGCCAUUGCCGUCAGGCCUCGCUUCCCAUCAUCAAACAUGGAGAUGGCAUCUACCGCUUUUUCGUCCUUAGUGUUGCCAGUGCGGAGCCUCAAUUGGUCAAAACAUACGGCCGGUCAUCCGAUGCACAUUUGACACAAUUAUACACCAUGCCGUCUGUGAUGGCCUCCUCAUCUCGUCACAGCGAUCUGAUUUCUAUAUCUGCAACCCAGCCACCCACAAAUGUGCGUCCCUGCCACAUCCUCCACCACGGCCAGGCAUGUGCGGCCUCAACUUGGUCGGGUUCUACCCAAGAGUGGUUCUACCACACCACACAUCUGGAGAACACCGGGUGCUCUGUGUGUCAUACUCGAUAACCACCAGGAGCGACAUCACAGUUGAGUUACCUGAUUCGUGCUCACGGUUGGUUCGGACCAGCCAAGAUGCAUUAAAAAGCGGGUAGUUUCAGAAGAAGACUUUACCACUACCUGGUCUUCCCACUGUCCACCGGUCCACCAUCGUGGUAGUCUGCAUUGGGCAACGAACCUCAACAUAUUGGUAUUUGACACCGUAGCCGAGACAUUCUGGUAGAUGAGCUGCCCACGACAGUUGGGUGAUCUGGGUUCAUUGUUGGAUAUGGAUUGUGCCCUUCCUUUGUGCUGUGCCAUCCUUAAUUGUGUAACUUUAGAUGUUUUGGUACUGCAGGACUAUGAUGUCGAGACCUGUGGCUUUCAAUAUCGUAUUACCUUGUUAGAGACGGAGACAUCACCACCGAUUAAUUCGGGGAUGGGAUUUUACCCUAUGGUGGCUGUGAUUAACCAGCAUGAGAGAAGCAUCAUCGUCUGUUGCAUUGUGACAUUGAUGGUGUGUUUAUAGGAAAUGUGGGAUUCGAAGAGUAUGGGUACAGCUUGACUCUUACUGGGCAUCGCCUCCAAGAGAGCAUGAUUUCACAUCGAAUGUUUGAGAUGCGAGAAGACGUUGUACCUCCAUACCUCAUGGCGCUAUAAGAUGCCGUGCUCCAACUUAAUGUUUUGGACUACUUGUUCACUUGCUGCACCUUUGGAGCAUCUAUCUCAUAUGAACUCAACAAUUUGUACGGAGGAGCAGCACUUCUGCUAUCUUGAGCAUCAUGCUAAUGUUCUAAACAAUGGAUUAUCUAUGCCAUAGAACUGAUGUACUGUUCUCCCCUGAUUUUUUCAGUUUGCAUUGUUAAAGAGCACGAAUCACGCGGCUACAGUAUAGAUGUAUAAAAGAACUUAAACUUAUAAAAAAGGAAAAAAAUACGCAUCCAGGGAAUCGAACCCUGGUUAGUACCGUGGGAGGGUACUAUGAUAUCACUACACCAGAUGCGCUUCCAUGUUGGAUCCUCUUUCUUUGCUCUAGAGGAGUUGGAUACUAGUUCAGAUCUGCAAAGAAAAGAGGAAAAAAAAGACAAAAUGGAGAAGUGGGGUAUGGAUCCCCAUACCUCUCCCAUGCUAAGCGAGCGCUCUACCAUCUGAGCUACAUCCCCUUAUAUCACUAGUAGAAAAAUGGUCAAACGUGAAGCACAUUAGUGCCGGUUUGUAAAAAAACCGGCACUAAUGUGAUCAAUAGUGCCGAUUCGAAUGGCUAUGCAUUAGUGCCGGUUCGUAAUGAACCUUUAGUACCGGUUCGUGCCACGAACCGGUACUAAAGGGGUGGUGGCAGGCUGGCGUCAGGCCAGGGCCCCACGAGCCCCACGAGCCCCUUUGGUGACGGGUUGUGACACAAACCGGUAAUAAAGGUCUAACCUAUAGUACCGGUUUGCGUCACCAACCGGCACUACAGAGUCUUAACCUAUAGUCCCGGUUGAAGACACAAACCGGCAUUAUAGGGCAAUUUUCAAACUCUACCUCCCCCUGUAUCGCCAUUUCAGUUUUGAAAAAAUCAAAAGAAAAUGAUAAGAACUUCAGAAAAUAAAAUCUUUCGAGAGGUAGUUAUAUUACUACAUCUACUAGUUAGGAAAAUUUGAAAACUUAAAUAUGGACAUGUUUUGCAAAAAGUGUAGGGAAAAUGUAAAACGGCUAUAACUUUUGCAUACGAUGUCGGAAAAAAAAUGUAUAAUAUAUCAAAAAAUUCAGCACGAAAAUUCGCAUCCGAUGGAGACCGCCUACGGCCUGUUUGGAAUUUUUUAGAAUCCUCAAAUUCCAAAAGGAAAAAAAGAUAUGGUCAAAUUUCAGUUAUUCUAAAAUUUUUUGGUUAAAUCUGGUCAAACUACUUAUUCAAGAAGUAUUAAUGUUACUACAUAAUUAUUCAAGAAUAUUAGUGUUACUAAAUAAUUAUUUCAAUUUUUUGAAUUUUGGUCAAAUAUGGUCAAACUGUGGUCAAACUAUGGUCAAACUUAUUCAAGAAAUAUUAGCGUUACUAAAUAAUUACUGUUUUUUUAGAAUAAUAGUUUCAAACUCAAAUGGUGAAAUGUGUGACUUCAUGCUCAAGCUAAACUCCUGAGGGUUAAUAGGAUUAACAUCUUACUAUUGUCAGGAAAACAACAAGUGCAGACUUGGAAACGAAGGAGAAUAGAACCUGAAAGUUAAGCGUGCUUGGGCUGGAGUAGUGAGAGGGAUGGGUGACCGGUCGGGAAGUUAGAUGAUUUGGAAUGAGUGAUCCACACUUGAGCAGUUAAGAGAGGUGGUGAUUAGAGACUAAAUUAUCAAAUAAUUCAAAAAAAUUAAAAAUCGAAAAAAAAACAAUUUUUUCCCAAAAUUUUCAAAAAAAAUAAAAAAAACCUUUAGUACCGGUUGGUAACACCAACCGGUACUAAAGGUCCCCCAUACCAGGGCGUGAGCUCACGCCACGUGGUGGAACUUUAGCGCCGGUUCGUGCCGAACCGGUACUAAAGGGGGGGGCUUUAGUGCCCACACUUUAGUGCCGGUUCCAUAACCGGCACUAAAGGCCUUACAAACCGGUUUUAAAGGUCCGUUUUCUACUAGUGUAUGUUGUAUUCAGUAAUUCAAGGACUCAUGUAAGCAAUCUAAGGUCAAUGCAAGAACCAUGUUAACCAAAGCAGGUGCCAAACUGGAAAUGGAAACCCAUUUUUCGUUCAAGGCACAUUUAUGAUUAUAUGACAAUUGGCCGUUUGGGCCGCUUUAAAACCUACGGUGAUUAUUACUUCCUCCGUCUAGGUGUGUAAGUCAUCUUACGUUGCGCAUCGUGACCAAGGUGGAGGGGAAAACGAGAGAACUUAAUGUGUUUUUGCUAAUUAAUAGCAAUGCAUGCAACGAACUGACCAAUCCAUGUCGUGUUUGGUAGUCUCAAAUCAUUUAAAGCAUGCAUGAGUCACAUCUUUUAUUGGUUGAUAUGUCAUGAAACAUCAAACAAGAUGAGAGUUAAUGUAUCGCGCCUAAGUGUUUUGGGAUUAUUUGGAUUUCGUAAGAUGACCUACACACCUAGACGGAGGGAGUACCUGAUUUUAAAGCCUUCAAUAGUAUAUAUGCUGCGAGGAAGAUAAGAGACAAGUAAGACCAAAUGUGUUCUUUAUCAAAUUAUACAGGGCCAACACGGUCCUUAAGGGGAGACGCCAGUGAAUAGUUGCGUCCUUUGCCAGGUUCUACCUACUCUUGAAGGUUCCAUGCAAAUAUGGAUAAAUCAUAACUAAAAUGGGCUAACCCACCCUCCUACUCUAACUAAAAUGGGAUAAUCAUAACUAAAAUGGAAACAUGUUAUUAUGUAAACAUCAUAAAACCGUACCGACCUUUGUGUUUAGUUCAAAUAUACUUAAAAAGGGAAAAUACAAAAUGUUCACCUUGAUCGUAGUCAAAUUCUAUUAAGCAAACCAGAGUACAAACACACCUGAGAAAUAAAGAAACUACGUCGCAGUACCCAUGGGCUAACCAUAUUAAUCCUCUUGAACAAGACAACACGCAAGCGGCAUGCCGCUCCAAUGCUAGAGCUAGCUAGCUUAUCGAUGUUGAACACGGACAGGGAGUCAUGAAGACCACCAUAAUGCCAGCCAGUGCCCUAGAGAAGAAGGUAUCACUGUCUGAAGAGCUGCAGUACAAGGGCCUAACCUGGACUAUUUCUCACAGGUCUCAUGGGAACCCCUAAGGCCUCAGUGAAGUGAUGUGGAUGAGGUGGGAGGACCAAACUGCAAAGGGGAACCACCACUUUUAUCAAACCAUGAAAAUUGUAAUCUCACCGGGCAUAAGGCCGCAUCGAUGUUGCGUAGACGAGGUGGGAGGGUCAAAGGGAAGUCACAAUGCCAGCAGACCCUGCAAACCAUAACCCCACCAGGUAAAAGGUCCAGCAUGAAAAAAAACCCGCCAAUGAGACGUCGAUAAGACCAUCGAGAUGGGAAGGAUCCAAGAGACCUUAUUCGCUGGAUCGGAAAAAACUUACAACGGUUUAUCUAUUGUGUGUGGGGUGGAACGCGAGGACACCUUUCAUGCGCUUUGCAGACGCCCUCAGUGCCUAUCUGUGGCAGAAGAAUGGAUCCCUACUGAAUUAACGAAGUCAUCAACCCGUCAAGAAUUCCAUCGGGGCACAUAACUAACAAGAGGAAAAAGUAUAUAUGAUAGAUACAAGGUGCUUACAAACAAUCCAAAGACUACUACAAUACAAGCAUACCAAGACAGAACAAAAACACUCCAAAAUGAAAGCAUUUGACCCUAUGGCUAUCCGUUUGUGCCACUAAAGAGGACUCCCUCCUCUUGUCACGUCUCGAAGGAUGCCACAUCGUUGACAUAGACAAAGGUUUACACUGGAAACCGAAGAAGCCAUAUGCUGCUAGGAAGCACGGGAGGGUCCAGCAAAACAUCCUUUGCAAAUCAAGAACUCCACACUAGAUAGAUGUCGCCCACAGCCACAUGAGAGACUCAAAUUGCCGAAUGGAAAUGAUGCAAACCUGAGAAGACACAAUGCUAGUAGAACAACAACCAAGAGGACAUGAACCAGCCUUAAUGGAACACUAAGCUACCAACAUCCUUGACACAACACUAUGGUCGUAGAGGGGAAACCUCUCCCCUCUUGCCUAAGCUCGAAGGCGACGACCUUCCAAUGAACAGUCUGCAAGAAGGGAACACCAGAUACCAAAGCAAACCAAUUCCACCACGUAGCUGGUUUGAUCAUGACAAUAAGCAAUCUACAACAUCAACCUACGAAAUCGCACCAACUCAAACACUGACUCCUAUGUUCCAGAUAUGAAUCCUCCAAGGAGGGGAACAACGCUAGAGCGUUCUCGUCGUCCAAUGUACAACCAAGAUUUUCACCAAAGGAACGGGAAUGCAAGGUGGGGACUAGUACCUUGACAACAUCUUCAAGAGGAGAAGUGGCCCCUGUAGCACCGUCAUCGUUGUGGUCGUCAUUGACGGUCAAAAUAUUCCACCCACCGUGAUCCCCAAGACCUUCCUCCGACCAUCUUUAACCGACGACCGUCCAAAGUCCAAAUCGGAAGGACGAUAACACACAAAUUGUGACUGACCUCUUUCGGGAAGGUGCCUAGACAACGGAGAACCAGAGCACCGCACCUCCAAUCACCGGCUCCUCGCUGACACACAGACCGAAACAGCCGAUUGAAAAUCUCAAGGACGUUGCUGUCGUCACCACCUAGGGCAGCCGCCUUGACUUCUGAGCUCCCCCAAGACUCCUGAAGAAAGAAAGCUGGCUCCUUCUCAACUGCGAAAACCAAUUACGGCUGGUCGACAACCAUGAGCAAGAGCCUUGAUGCCAGCCGAGGAUCGGCAGAUGCCAAGAUGGCAAAACAAGGGGGAGGCGGAGGACACCACCAUCCCCGCAUUGUCCUUCAGGGCAGAACUCCCCACAUGAGUUUCCCUGGUCGAAUCGAGAGGUGAAGCCACCAUGAGUGUCACCAUCUCUAGGACGGUCAGAUCUAAGCCAAUGAACUUUCCCCACCGCCGGACGUGGGUGUGCCGUCCACUUCCUAACAAACCGCAUGUGGAGACCGCCUCACCGCCGCCGUCCUUCUGGCGCGUGAGCUUUCCGGCUGCCGCUUUGGCGGAGGAAAAGAUCGAGCUGAGAGGGGAGGGGAAGGACUGGCAGCGCUAGGGUUGGUCGCCUCCCGUGUGGGCCCGAACGGAGCGACACGGGUGUUGUGAAACGUUUUCUUCUACCCCCUCCGAUCCAUAUCAUUUGAGCGACAAGUAAUAUGUAUCGAAGGGAGCAUCAACACUCAUGCAUCCAGUCAAAAUUCACAACAUGGGUUACCAUAUGCAACGCUGUAUUGGCAAUGUUUAUGUUUUUCUCUUAAAAAAGGAUUUUUUUUACAGCACCUAAAGAGGACUUGAUAUGGCCCGUGUUGAGGUUAGGGUUUAGCAAAAGAUAAUUCAUCCUUUUCCGUCAAAGCGGCCGCUCCUCUCCUCCCCCGUCAGUUUCCAACCUGCACACAGCUCGUCUGGUCUCAUCUCAUCGACCGACACUGGCCGCUGCAGAGACGCCGCCCAUCCUCCUCCUCCUCCCUACAACUACGGCAAACACUCUGAAUUUCGCCCCAAGAAGGAAAACCAUAGGUAAGAUUUCGUCUUUGCGUGGCGAGUCUCUUGCUCCAGUGCCCCAACGGAUCGCCCCCUCGGAUCGUCCGAAGGCGCCGCCGGGAACAGGACACAUCGCGGCCCCGCUGGAAAUCGCCGCUCCACUGUCCUCCAGGGCAAAGUAAACCCCCUCGGCCCUCUCCCUCCAUUCUCUCCUUCUACUUCUUCAGGAUGUUCCUUUUUAGAUUUAGUGAAAUUUACAUUUUAGAUUUGUAUGAAUUUUACAAUAGAAAAUGUUAAUAGCAAAGUAUACAUUUUAGCCAGGCGUAAAUAUUAGUACGAUACAUCAGAAAUGCAAGUACUGCAAUCUAGUACAUUUUAGAUGUGUAAAUGCUAGUACUAUAAAAAUCAGCCAAGAUGCAUCGAGUGGCCGACAGUUUCACAACACACGCUUCAUGUCACCCAGUCCCCCUACUGUCCACCAGUCCACCAUCGUGGUAGCUUGCACUGGGCAUUUGGCCUCAACUUGACUGUAUUUGACAGCGUAGGUGAGACAUUCCGGCAGAUGAGCCGCCCAAUAGAGUUGGGUGCUUUGGUGUCAUUGUUGGACAUGGGUGGAUCCCUUGCUUUGUGGCACACCACCUAUGAUAGCAUCACUUUCGAUAUUUGGGUGCUGCAGGACUAUGAUGCUGAGACAUGGGGCUUUCAAUACCGGAUUAACUUGUUUGCGAUGGAGGCAUCACCACCGCUUAAUUUGGGGGUGAUAUAUCGCCCUAGUAUGGCUGUGAUCAAUGAGCAUGAGCUGUUGAUUGAGCAGCGUCCUGACCGUCUAUUGCAUUGCGACACUGAUGGUGUGUUUUUAGGAAAUGUGGAAAGUGAAGAACAUGGAAACCAGCUGAUACUUACCAGACAUCGUUUCCAAGAGAGCAUGAUUUCACUACCAUUGUUUGAGACACAAGAAGACGAUGAUGUGAAGGAGCCCCCAUUCCUCAUAGUGCUAUAAGUAGCCGUGUUCCAUCUUAUUUCCUUGGACAAGUUGUUGCUGUGCUCUAGGAGUAUCAAUGCCAUAUGAACCAUGUCUUUUGUUCCUACCUUUUAUUACUACUAGUAGAACUGAACACUUUAUAUGUAUGAAGUAGCACUUGAGCUAUCGUCACGUGGUGCUAGUUAUCCUACCGAUCUUGAGCAUCUUGCUAAUGCUCUAAACAAUGGAAUAUCUAUGGUAUAGAACUGCUCUACCGUUCUCCCCCAUUUUUACUUUAAGUUUGCACUAUUAAGAAGCACAAAAGGAAUGGUUGCAGUUUAAAAUGCUAAUUCUUUCAUGAGAAAUUAUGACAUUUAGUUGUUGGAAUGGUUAGUUAGAUGCUCCCUUCGCUCCUAUUGCGUUUGGCAGUUGGUUGGUCUUGCUUCUGCUCUUCAUCUGUAGAUGUCUUUUCUCAUACGUCUGGGGGAAGCUGCUUGUGUGUAUGAUUGUCACUACAGUGUUUUGUUUCUGAUUGCCAAUUCAAUACAGCCAUUGUAAAAAAAAAUUGGCAACACAGAUAUUUCUGCAGUGUUUUGUUUCUGAUAGAGAUGAAGAGGGAGUACUCUGUUUCAUUGACUUCCACUAUUUUGGAGAAAGAGGUUGGCUGUUGGUUAUGUGUCUAGAAAUAAGUUGGGAGAAAAAUAGUUGGUACUUUGGUGGUAUAUAAUCUUGUACAUGUUGCUGCCCAAGUUGGGAGAAAAAGGUAAGAAUACAUAAUUAAUCUGAGUCAUUGAUUUUGUUAGUUAAUGGGCCCAAGUCAUUAACAUGUGCAAAAUUAACCUAUCUCAGCUGGUCACUGCUACCAGUUGCUCGACAUACAGUACAUUCAAGGAAAAGCCCCAUCAUGAGUUCAUAAGGAAACCAAAAAUAGAUCAUCUGCCGGAUCACACUCUCUCGCAAUUAAUGCUCCGCUCAAAUGGCGUCACACUCGUUGGAGUAAAUAUACGGCGUAUGAACCAUGUCUUCUGUUCUUCGUUCUUACUUUUUCUGCUACAGUUCAUUGACUAAGACAUGUUAUAUGGAAAGAGCUUGGUACAACGGUGUAUUUUUUCCGUAAGGCUGCUGUUGUAUGUCUUGCGUUUUUUGUUUGUGUUUAACCGAUUUGCUGCUGGUGCUGAGCGAUGCUAUUAGGUUGUUAUGGUUUGAUCCGCUGAGAGUUGAAGACGAUAUAUUGUGUUCUUUUUUGCAUUUCCAUCGGGGUUGAACAUGGCCUUGUCCCAUUUACUUAAAAAGAACUGAACAUGUCUUCUCAUUUACCAGCUAAAUGAGCUAAUUCCAAGUUCAUGUUUGUCUGGAUGAAGAUUUGAAGUUUACAUGGUGACAGGUUGACCAUGAUGUCCCCUUCUGUAAAAACGAUGGUGAUCAUUUGACCUGUUUAUUUUUUGCAUGGUAUUCAUGUCACAUCAGAUGGACAAUCAAGUGAUUCGGUGUUGCAUGUGUGGUUGAGAUUUGGAGUGCUGCAUCAUCUUCUUCAGUAUGUGGAUCAACAAUUUAUAGUGAUGGUGACAAUUGAUGAAUGACGGUGAUAUUUGGUGAAGCAUAAUACUGAGGCCGCAGCUCAGCGUUCACCAUUUGUUUGGGAAUGUUCAACAUUUCAGGAACUGGAUUUAUUGAUAGGUGCCGUAAAUAGAAGCCUGUUUUGUAGAUAAGAUCUGUUUAUUUCCCUGAAAUGUUGUAACUGUGUCUUGAUGUCGAUGCUGCAUUGGCGAGUUUGUGCUUAUUAAGGAUUAUAUUGAUGGGUUGCCUUUUACCAUUGCACGUGAUGAUUUUGAUGAAUAUAAUAUGCAUGUGCUUGCUGCUCCUACUUGCAAUUAUUAUGAGAGAGGAACUAUAUCUCGACCUCUCUAUGUUUCCAAUAUGAUAAAAUUGCAAGAAACUGUUUAUACUAUGCAUUGGCCUUUAUAUGUGUGCAUGAAUUGUUCUUUUAUGACAUGCCGAUGUAUAGGAAGAGAGUUAGACUUCGUUGUUGCAUGAUAUAUGUUACUUUGUGCAUACUACUAAAUUAUAAAUCAUUGUUAAUUAAAAUUGGCUUUGAUAUACCUUGGGAUCUGGGUGGAUCCAUUACUUGAGCACUAUAUGCCUAGCUUAAUGGCUUUAAAGAAAGCGCUGCCAGUGAGACAACCUGGAAGUCUUAGAGAGUAAUUUAUUUCUGUUGAGUGCUUUUAUAUAGUUUAAAAACAAAAAAAUAAAGAGGGGAACCUAAAAACUUUUCAAAAAGGAAAGUGAAAGUGACAAAGACAAGCAUUGUUGAAGUGGGAGAGCUCCUUGAACUUUGUUCAUACUCACGGAAACUUUGUGAAUCUUGAUUACAGAAAAAAUUCAUUAAAAAUAACUAUCCCCUUGUACAAUUCCAUUGUAUUAUAAAAAUAAUGUGCCAAGGUUUGCCUUUUAGGAUGUUUACAAUGCUUGUUGGUUUGUACGGUGUAGGACAGAAACUUUGGCUGUAGUGCGUGAUUUUACAUUUUUAACUGGAACGUCAAUUAGUUCUGACUCCUUUUUCACUGUCUUUCUGUGCAAAUUUUUUAUUAUUCCUAAUUUUGGUAGAAGUUUUGGGGUACCAUAAGUAUGGUGAUUGUUCAGAUUGCUACAGACUGGUCUGUUUUUGACAGAUUCUGUUUUUGAUGCAUAGUUUGCUUGUUUUGAUGAAACUAUCAAUUUAUAUCAGUGGAUUAAGCCAUGAAAAAGUUAUAAUACAGUAGACACAAUGAAAAAAAAUAUGAAUUGGUUUGCUACGGUACUUAGAAUAGUGAUUUGCUUUAUUAUACUAACGGAUCUUACCGAGUUUUCUGUUGAAGUUUUUGUGGAUGAAGUGUCUAAUCGAGGAUGACUCGAUAUGAGGAAAAGGAAGAGAGACAAGAGAUCAAACUUGGGGAUGCCCGAGGCACCCCAAGUAAAUAUUCAAGGAGACUCAAGCGCCUAAGCUUGGGGAUGCCCCGGGAGGCAUCCCUUCUUUCUUCAACAAGUAUCGGUAUGUUUUCAGAUUCGUUUCGUUCGUGCAUUAUGUGCAAGUCUUGGAGCGUCUUUUGCAUUUAUUUUUCAUUUUUCUUUUAUGCACCAUGCUGGUAUGAGAUAGUCCUUGGUUGGUUUAUAGAAUGCUGAUUGCACUUCACUUAAAUCUUUUGAGUAUGGCUUUAUAGAAUGCUUCAUGUGCUUCACUUAUAUCAUUUGAAGCCUGGAUUGCCUAUUUCUCUUCACAUAGAAAACCGCCAUUUGUAGAAUGCUCUUUUUCUUCACUUAUAUUUGUUAGAGAGUGGGCAUAUCUUUUGUAGAAAGAAUUAAACUCUCUUGCUUCACUUAUAUCUAUUUAGAGAGAUGACAGGAAUUGGUCAUUCACAUGGUUAGUCAUAAAAUCCUACAUAAACUUGUAGAUCGCUGAAUAUGAUAUGUUUGAUUCCUUGCAAUAGUUUUGCGAUAUAAAGAUGGUGAUAUUAGAGUCAUGCUAGUGGGUGGUUGUGGAUUGUAGAGACACUUGUGUUGAGGUUUUCAAGUCCCGUAGCAUGCACGUAUGGUAACCGUUGUGUGAGAAAUUUGAAGCAUGGGGUGUUUCUUUGAUUGUCUUCCUUAUGAGUGGCGGUCAGGGACGAGCGAUGGUCUUUUCCUACCAAUCUAGCCCCCUAGGGGCAUGCGUAGAAGUACUUUGUUUCGAGGGAUAAUAAACUUUUGCAAUAAGUAUAUGAGUUCUUUAUGACUAAUGUUGAGUCCAUGUAUACACACUUUUACCUUUCCAUCAUUGCUAGCCUCUUCGGUACCGUGCAUUGCCCUUUCUCACCUCGAGAGUUGGUGCAAACUUCGCCAGUGCAUCCAAACCCCGUGAUAUGAUACGCUCUAUCACACAUAAGCCUCCUUAUAUCUUCCUCAAAACAGCCACCAUACCUACCUAUCAUGGCAUUUCCAUAGCCAUUCCGAGAUAUAUUGCCAUGCAACUUCCAUCAUCAUCAUAUACAUGACUUGAGCAUUUAUUGUCAUAUUGCUUUGCAUGAUCGUAAGAUAGAUAGCAUGAUGUUUUCAUGGCUUGUCCGUUUUUUGAUGUCAUUGCUAUGCUAGAUCAUUGCACAUCCCGGUACACCACCGGAAGCAUUCAUAUAGAGUCAUAUCUUUGUUCCAGUAUCGAGUUGUAAUAUUGAGUUGUAAGUAAAUAAAAGUGUGAUGAUCAUCAUUAUAGAGCAUUGCCCCAUGAAAAAAAAGAAAAAGAAAGAGGAAAGGCCAAAGAAGCCUAAAUAAAAAAGGGGGGCCAAAGAAGCCCACCGAAAAAAAAGAAAAAAAAGAAAAGAGAAGGGGCAAUGUUACUAUCCUUUUUCCACACUUGUGCUUCAGAAUAGCACCAUGUUCUUCAUAUAGAGAGUCUCCUAUAUUAUCACUUUCAUAUACUAGUGGGAAUUUUCAUUAUAGAACUUGGCUUGUAUAUUCCAACGAUGGGCUUCCUCAAAUGCCCUAGGUCUUCAUGAGCAAGCAAGUUGGAUGCACACCCACUUAGUUUUCAGUUUGAGCUUUCAUACACUUAUAGCUCUAGUGCAUCUGUUGCAUGGCAAUCCCUACUCCUCGCAUUGACAUCAAUUGAUGGGCAUCUCCAUAGCCCGUUGAUUAGCCGCGUCGAUGUGAGACUUUCUCCUUUUUUGUCUUCUCCACAUAACCACCAUCAUUAUAUUCUAUUCCACCUAUAGUGCUAUAUCCAUGGCUUGCGCUCAUGUAUUCUUGAGGGUUGAAAAAGCUGAAGCGCCUUAAAAAGUAUGAACCAAUUGCUCGGCUUGUCAUCGGGGUUGUGCAUGAUGGGAGCAUUUUGUGUGACGAAAAUGAAGCAUGGCCAAACUAUAUGGUUUUGUAGGGAUAAGCUUGCUUUGGCCUUGUUGUUUUGAAAAGACAUGAUUGCUUUAUUGGUAUGCUUGAAGUAUUAUUGUUUUUAUGUCAAAUAAUAGACUAUUUCUUUGAAUCACUCGUGUCUUAAUAUUCAUGUGAUGAUUAGACAUAUGAUCAAGAUUAUGCUAGGUAGCAUUCCACAUCGAAAAUUAUCUUUUUUAUCAUUACCUACUCGAGGACGAGCAGGAAUUAAGCUUGGGGAUGUUGAUACGUCUCCGUCGUAUCUAUAAUUUUUGAUUGUUCCAUGCCAAUAUUCUAGAACUUUCAUAUACUUUUGGCAACUUUUUAUACUAUUUUUUGGGACUAACAUAUUGAUCCAGUGCCGAGUGCCAGUUCCUGUCUGUUGCAUGCUUUAUGUUUCGUAGAAACCCCAUAUCAAACGGAGUCCAAACGGGAUAAAAACGGACGGAGAAUUAUUUUGGAAUAUUUCUGAUUUUUGGGAGGAAGAAUCAACGCGAUAUGAUGCCCGAGGUGGCUACGAGAUAGGGGCCCACGCCCACUUAAAGUGGGCGCCCCCACCCUCGUGGGCCACUCGUAAGGCGGUUGAUGCCCUUCUUUGGCCGAAGAGAAAGCUAAUUUUUGGAAAAUGAUCUGGGCGAAGGUUUCAAUCCAAUCGGAGUUACGGAUCUCUAGAUAUAAAGGAAACGAUGCCAGGGCAGAAUUACAGAAUGCAGAAACAGAGAGAUAGAUCCAAUCUCGGAGGGGCUGUCGCCCCUCCCAAGCCAUGGGGGCCAAGGACCAGAGGGGAAACCCUUCUCCCAUCUAGGGAGGAUGUCAAGGAAGAAGAAGAAGAAGGGGCCUCUCUCCCCCUUGCUUCCGGUGGCGCCGGAGCGCUGCCGGGGACCAUCAUCAUCACCACGAUCUUCACCAACACCUCCGCCAUCUUCACCAACAUCUCCAUCACCUUCCCCCUUCUAUAUCCAGCGGUCCACUCUCCCGCAUCCCGUUGUACCCUCUACUUGAACAUGGUGCUUUAUGCUUCAUAUUAUUUUCCAAUGAUGUGUUGCCCUCCUAUGAUGUCUGAGUAGACUUUCGUUGUCCUAUCGGUGAUUGAUGAAUUGCUAUGAUUGGUUUGAGUUGCAUGUUUUAUUAUUGGGGCUGUGCUAUUGUGCCCUCCAUGUCACGCAAGUGUGAGGUAUUCCCGCUGUAGGGUGUUGCAAUACGUUCAUGAUUCUUUUAUGGUGGGUUUCUUGAGUGACAGAAGCAUAAACCCGAGUAAGGGGAUUGUUGCGUAUGGGAUAAAGGGGACUUGAUGCUUUAAUGCUAUGGUUGGGUUUUACCUUAAUGAAUCUUUAGUAGCUGCGGAUGCUUGCUAGAGUUCCAAUCAUGUUAGCUUAUGCCUCUCCCUCAAAUAAAAUUGCAAUAGUGAUUAUGUUGGAAAUAUGCCCUAGAGGCAAUAAUAAAAGUAUUAUUAUAUUUCAUUGUUCAUGAUAAUUGUCUUUUAUUCAUGCUAUAACUGUAUUAUCCGGAAAUCGUAAUACACGUGUGAAUACAUAGACCUCAAUAUGUCCCUAGUGAGCCUCUAGUUGACUAGCUCGUUGUGAUCAACAGAUAGUCAUGAUUUCCUGGCUAUGGACAUUGGAUGUCGUUGAUAACGGGAUCACAUCAUUAGGAGAAUGAUGUGAUGGACAAGACCCAAUCCUAAGCAUAGCACAAAGGUCGUUUAGUUCGUUUGCUAGAGCUUUGCCAAUGUCAAGUAUCUCUUCCUUAGACCAUGAGAUCGUGUAACUCCCGGAUACCGUAGGAGUGCCUUGGGUGUAUCAAACGUCACAACGUAACUGGGUGACUAUAAAGGUGCAUUACAGGUAUCUCCGAAAGUAGCUGUUGGGUUGACACGGAUCGAGACUGGGAUUUGUCACUCGGUAUGACGGAGAGGUAUCUCUGGGCCCACUCGGUAAUGCAUCAUCAUAAUGAGCUCAAGGUGACCAAAGUGUUGGCCACGAGAUCAUGCAUUACGGUACGAGUAAAGUGACUUGCUGGUAACGAGACUGAACAAGGUAUUGGGAUACCGACGAUCGAGUCUCGGGCAAGUAACGUACCGAUUGACAAAGGGAAUUGUAUACAGGGUUUGAUCGAAUCCUCGACAUUGUGGUUCAUCCGAUGACAACAUCGAGAAGCAUGUGGGAGCCAACAUGGGUAUCCAGAUCCCGCUGUUGGUUAUUGACCGGAGAACGUCUCGGUCAUGUCUACAUGUCUCCCGAACCCGUAGGGUCUACACACUUAAGGUUCAAUGACGCUAGGGUUAUAAAGGAAGUUUGUAUGUGGUUACCGAAUGUUGUUCGGAGUCCCGUAUGAGAUCCCGGACGUCACGAGGAGUUCCGGAAUGGUUCGGAGGUAAAGAUUUAUAUAUGGGAAGUCCUAUUUUGGCCACCGGAAAAUGUUCGGGAUUUUUCGGUAUUGUACCGGCAAGGAUCUAGAAGGUUCCGGAGUGGGGCCCACCUGCAUGGGGGGACCCACAUGAACGUGAGUAGUGGGGGAAAGGACCCACACCCCUGGUCAAGGUGCACCAAGAUCCCCCCUUAGAAGGAAUAAGAUCAUAUCCCGAAGGGAUAAGAUCAAGAUCCCUAAAAAGGGGGGAUAACAAUCGGUGGGGAAGGAAAUGAUGGGAUUUCUUUCCUCCCACCUUGGCCAACGCCCCAAUGGACUUGGAGGGCAAGAAACCAGCCCCUCCACCCCUAUAUAUAGUGGGGAGGCGCAUGGGAGCUUAAUACAAGCCAAGGCGCAGCCCCUCCCCUCCCCAACACCUCUCCUCCUCCGUAUAUGCUUGGCGAAGCCCUGUCGGAGUACUGCUGCACCAACUACACCACGCCGUCGUGCUGCCGUUGGAGCAAUCUUCCUCAACCUCUCCUUCCCCCUUGCUGGAUCAAGAAGGAGGAGACGUCUCCCGUCCCGUACGUGUGUUGAACGCGGAGGUGCUGUCCGUUCAGCACUUGGACAUCGGUGAUCCGAAUCACGUUCGAGUACGACUCCAUCAUCACCAUCCCCUUGGCUAGCUUCCGCUCGUGAUCUACAAGUGGUAUGUAGAUGAAAACUCUCUCCCUUGACUCGUUGCUUAGAUGAACUCAUAGAUGGAUCUUGGUGAAACCGUAGGAAAAAUUUUAAUUUUCUGCAACGUUCCCCAACAGUGGCAUCAUGAGCUAGGUCUAUGCGUAGUUCUCUUUUUGCACGAGUAGAACACAAUUUUGUUGUGGGCGUGGAUUUUGUCAUCUUACUUGCCUCUACUAGUCUUUUCUUGCUUCGGCGGUAUUGUGGGAUGAAGCGGCCCGGACCAACCUUACACGUACGCUUACGUGAGACCGGUUCCACCGACUGACAUGUACUAGUUGCAUAAGGUGGCUGGCGGGUGUCUGUCUCUCCCACUUUAGUUGGAGCGGAUUCGAUGAAAAGGGCCCUUAUGAAGGGUAAAUAGAAGUUGACAAAGUCACGUUGUGGUUAUUCGUAGGUAAGAAAACGUUCUUGCUAGAACCCAAUUGUAGCCACGUAAAAGAUGCAACAACAAUUAGAGGACGUCUAACUUGUUUUUGCAGCGAUUGAUCAUGUGAUGUGAUAUGGCCAGAAGUUGUGAUGAAUGAUGAAUUGUGAUGUAUGAGAUCAUGUUCUUUGUAAUAGGAUUCACGACUUGCAUGUCGAUGAGUAUGACAACCGGCAGGAUCCAUAGGAGUUGUCUUUAUUUUUUGUAUGACCUGCGUGUCAUUGAAGAACGCCAUGUAACUCACUUUACUUUAUUGCUAAACGCGUUAGCCAUAGAAGUAGAAGUAGUCGUUGGCGUGACAACUUCAUGAAGACACGAUGAUGGAGAUCAUGAUGAUGGAGAUCAUGGUGUCAAGCCGGUGACAAGAUGAUCAUGGAGCCCCGAAGAUGAAGAUCAAUGGAGCUAUAUGAUAUUGGCCAUAUCAUGUCACAACUAUAUAAUUGCAUGUGAUGUUUAUUAUGUUUAUGCAUCUUGUUUACUUAGGACGAUGGUAGUAAAUAAGAUGAUCCCUUGAAGUAUUCUCCCCUAACUGUGCACCGUUGCUAUAGUUCGUCGCUUCUAAGCACCACGUGAUGAUCGGGUGUGAUGGAUUCUUACGUUCACAUACAAUGGGUGUAAGACAGUUUUACACAGCGAAAACACUUAGGGUUAACUUGACGAGCCUAGCAUGUGCAGACAUGGCCUCGGAACACGGAGACCGAAAGGUCGAACACGAGUCGUAUGGAAGAUACGAUCAACAUGAGAAUGUUCACCGACGAUGACUAGUCCGUCUCACGUGAUGAUCGGACACGGCCUAGUCGACUCGGAUCGUGUAACACUUAGAUGACUAAAGGGAUGUCUAAUCUGAGUGGGAGUUCAUAAUUUGAUUAGAACUUAAUUAUCAUGAACUUAGUCUAAAACCUUUGCAAAUAUGUCUUGUAGAUCAAAUGGCCAACGCUCAUGUCAACAUGAACUUCAACGCGUUCCUAGAGAAAACCAAGCUGAAAGAUGAUGGCAGCAACUAUACGGACUGGGCCGGAACCUGAGGAUCAUCCUCAUUGCUGCCAGGAAACAAUAUGUCCUAGAAGGACCGCUAGGUGAUGCUCCCGUCCCAGAGAACCAAGACAUUAUGAAUGCUUGGCAAACUCGCGCUGAUGAUUACUCCCUCGUUCAGUGCGGCAUGCUUUACAGCUUAGAACCGGGGCUCCAAAAGCGUUUUGAGCAUCACGGAGCAUAUGAGAUGUUCGAAGAGCUGAAACUAGUUUUCCAAGCUCAUGCCCGGGUCGAGGGAUAUGAUGUCUCCGACAAGUUCUACAGUUGUAAAAUGGAGGAAAACAAUUCUGUCAGUGAGCACAUCCUGAAGAUGUCUGGGUUGCACAACCGUAUGACCCAGCUGAACAUUAACCUCCCAGAUGAGGCGGUCAUUGACAGAAUCCUCCAGUCGCUCCCACCAAGCUACAAGAGCUUUGUGAUGAACUACAACAUGCAGGGGAUGGAAAAGACCAUUCCUGAAGUGUUCUCGAUGCUGAAGUCAGCAGAGGCUGAAAUCAAGAAAGAACAUCAAGUGUUGAUGGUCAAUAAGACCACUAAGUUCAAGAAGGGCAAGGGUAAGAAGAACUUCAAGAAGGACGGCAAGGAGGUUGCCGCGCCUGGUAAGCCAGUUACCGGGAAGAAGUCAAAGAAUGGACCUAAGCCUGAGACUGAGUGCUUUUAUUGAAAGGGGAAGGGUCACUGGAAGCGGAACUGCCCCAAAUACUUAGCAGAUAAGAAGGCCGGCAAAACCAAAGGUAUAUUUGAUAUACAUGUAAUUGAUGUGUACCUUACCAGUACUCGUAGUAACUCCUGGGUAUUUGAUACCGGUGCCGUUGCUCAUAUUUGUAACUCACAGCAGGAGCUGCGGAAUAAACGGAGACUGGCGAAGGACGAGGUGACGAUGCGCGUCGGGAAAGAUUCCAGAGUCGAUGUGAUCGCCGUCGGCACGCUGCCUCUACAUGUACCUACGGGAUUAGUUUUGAACCUUAAUAAUUGUUAUUUAGUGCCAAGUUUGAGCAUGAACAUUGUAUCUGGAUCUCGUUUAAUACGAGAUGACUACUCAUUUAAGUCUGAGAAUAAUGGUUGUUCGAUUUAUAUGAGAGAUAUGUUUUAUGGUCAUGCUCCGAUGGUCAAUGGUUUAUUCUUAAUGAAUCUCGAGCGUAAUAUUACACAUCUUCAUAGUGUAGAUGCCAAAAGAUGUAAAGUUGAUAACGAUAGUCCCACAUACUUGUGGCACUGCCGCCUUGGUCACAUUGGUGUCAAGCGCAUGAAGAAGCUCCAUGCCGAUGGACUUUUAGAGUCUCUUGAUUAUGAAUCGUUUGACACGUGCGAACCAUGCCUCAUGGGCAAGAUGACCAAGACUCCGUUCUCCGGAACAAUGGAGCGAGCAACCAACUUAUUGGAAAUCAUACAUACCGAUGUGUGCGGUCCAAUGAGCGUUGAGGCUCGCGGAGGAUAUCGUUAUGUUCUCACUCUCACUGAUGACUUAAGUAGAUAUGGGUAUUUCUACUUAAUGAAACACAAGUCUGAGACCUUUGAAAAGUUCAAGGAAUUUCAGAAUGAGGUGGAGAAUCAACGUGACCGAAAGAUAAAGUGCCUACGAUCAGAUCGUGGAGGAGAAUAUUUAAGUCACGAAUUUGGCACACACUUAAGGAAAUGUGGAAUCGUUUCACAACUCACGCCGCCUGGAACACCUCAGCGAAACGGUGUGUCCGAACGUCGUAAUCGCACUCUAUUGGAUAUGGUGCGGUCUACGAUGUCUCUUACUGAUUUACCGCUAUCAUUUUGGGGAUACGCUCUAGAGACAGCUACAUUCACUUUAAAUAGGGCACCGUCUAAAUCCGUUGAGACGACACCGUAUGAAUUAUGGUUUGGGAAGAAACCUAAGCUGUCGUUUCUAAAAGUUUGGGGAUGCGAUGCUUAUGUCAAGAAACUUCAACCUGAAAAGCUCGAACCCAAGUCGGAAAAAUGCGUCUUCAUAGGAUACCCUAAGGAAACUGUCGGGUAUACCUUCUACUUAAGAUCCGAGGGCAAAAUCUUUGUUGCCAAGAACGGAUGCUUUCUGGAAAAAGAGUUUCUCUCGAAAGAAGUAAGUGGGAGGAAAGUAGAACUCGAUGAAGUACUACCUCUCGAACGGGAAAGUGGUGCAGCUCAGGAAAAUGUUCCUGUGAUGCCCACACCAACUGAAGAGGAAACCAAUGAUGAUGAUCAAGGUACUUCGGAUCAAGUUGCUACUGAACUUCGUAGGUCCACAAGGACACGUUCCGCACCAGAGUGGUACGGCAACCCCGUCCUGGAAAUCAUGCUGUUAGACAACGGUGAACCUUCGAACUAUGAAGAAGCGAUGGCGGGCCCAGAUUCCAACAAAUGGCUUGAAGCCAUGAAAUCCGAGAUAGAAUCCAUGUAUGAAAACAAAGUAUGGACUUUGACAGACUUGCCCGAUGAUCGGCGAGCGAUAGAAAACAAAUGGAUCUUUAAGAAGAAGACAGACGCGGAUGGUAAUGUCACCAUCUAUAAAGCUCGACUUGUCGCUAAGGGUUAUCGACAGGUUCAAGGGAUUGACUACGACGAGACAUUCUCUCCCGUAGCGAAGCUAAAGUCCGUCUGAAUCAUGUUAGCAAUUGCCGCAUACUAUGAUUAUGAGAUAUGGCAGAUGGACGUCAAAACAGCAUUCCUUAACGGGCAUCUUAAGGAAGAACUGUAUAUGAUGCAGCCGGAAGGUUUUGUCGAUCCUAGGAACGCUAACAAAGUAUGCAAGCUCCAGCGAUCCAUUUAUGGGCUGGUGCAAGCAUCUCGGAGUUGGAAUAUUUGCUUUGAUGAGAUGAUCAAAGUGUUUGGGUUUAUGCAGACUUAUGGAGAAUCCUGCGUUUACAAGAAAGUGAGUGGGAGCUCUGUAGCAUUUCUCAUAUUAUAUGUAGAUGACAUACUCUUGAUGGGAAAUAAUAUAGAAUUUCUGGACAGCAUUAAGGCCUACUUGAAUAAGUGUUUUUCAAUGAAGGACCUUGGAGAAGCUGCUUACAUAUUAGGCAUCAAGAUCUAUAGAGAUAGAUCGAGACGCCUCAUAGGUCUUUCACAAAGCACAUACCUUGAUAAGAUUUUGAAGAGGUUCAAAAUGGAUCAGUCCAAGAAGGGGUUUUUGCCUAUGUUACAAGGUGUGAGAUUGAGCUCGGCUCAGUCACCGACCACGGCAAAAGAUAAAGAAGAGAUGAGUGUCAUCCCCUAUGCUUCAGCCAUAGGAUCUAUUAUGUAUGCCAUGCUGUGUACCAAACCUGAUGUAAACUUUGCCGUGAGUUUGGUAGCUAGAUACCAAAGUAAUCCCGGCAAGGAACACUGGACAGCAGUCAAGAAUAUCCUGAAGUACCUGAAAAAGGACAAAGGACAUGUUUCUCAUUUAUGGAGGAGACGAAGAGCUUGUCGUAAAGGGUUACGUCGACGCUAGCUUCGACUCAGAUCCGGAUGACUCUAAGUCACAAACCGGAUACGUGUAUAUGUUGAAUGGUGGAGCAGUAAGCUGGUGCAGCUGCAAGCAGAGCGUCGUGGCGGGAUCUACGUGUGAAGCGGAGUACAUGGCAGCCUCGGAGGCAGCGCAUGAAGCGAUUUGGGUGAAGGAGUUCAUCACCAACCUAGGAGUCAUACCCAAUGCGUCGGGGCCAAUCAAACUCUUCUGUGACAACACUGGAGCUAUUGCCCUUGCCAAAGAGCCCAAGUUUCACAAGAAGACCAGGCACAUCAAGCGUCGUUUCAACUCCAUCCGUGAAAAUGUUCAAGAUGGAGACAUAGAAAUUUGCAAAGUACAUACGGAUCUGAAUGUCGCAGAUCCGUUGACUAAACCUCUCUCGCGAGCUAAACAUGAUCAACACCAGAACUCUAUGGGUGUUCGAUUCAUCACAAUGUAACUAGAUUGGUGACUCUAGUGCAAGUGGGAGACUGUUGGAAAUAUGCCCUAGAGGCAAUAAUAAAAGUAUUAUUAUAUUUCAUUGUUCAUGAUAAUUGUCUUUUAUUCAUGCUAUAACUGUAUUAUCCGGAAAUCGUAAUACACGUGUGAAUACAUAGACCUCAAUAUGUCCCUAGUGAGCCUCUAGUUGACUAGCUCAUUGUGAUCAACAGAUAGUCAUGAUUUCCUGGCUAUGGACAUUGGAUGUCGUUGAUAACGGGAUCACAUCAUUAGGAGAAUGAUGUGAUGGACAAGACCCAAUCCUAAGCAUAGCACAAAGGUCGUUUAGUUCGUUUGCUAGAGCUUUGCCAAUGUCAAGUAUCUCUUCCUUAGACCAUGAGAUCGUGUAACUCCCGGAUACCGUAGGAGUGCCUUGGGUGUAUCAAACGUCACAACGUAACUGGGUGACUAUAAAGGUGCAGUACAGGUAUCUCCGAAAGUAGCUGUUGGGUUGACACGGAUCGAGACUGGGAUUUGGCACUCGGUAUGACGGAGAGGUAUCUCUGGGCCCACUCGGUAAUGCAUCAUCAUAAUGAGCUCAAGGUGACCAAAGUGUUGGCCACGAGAUCAUGCAUUACGGUACGAGUAAAGUGACUUGCCGGUAACGAGACUGAACAAGGUAUUGGGAUACCGACGAUCGAGUCUCGGGCAAGUAACGUACCGAUUGACAAAGGGAAUUGUAUACAGGGUUUGAUCGAAUCCUCGACAUCGUGGUUCAUCCGAUGACAACAUCGAGAAGCAUGUGGGAGCCAACAUGGGUAUCCAGAUCCCGCUGUUGGUUAUUGACCGGAGAACGUCUCGGUCAUGUCUACAUGUCUCCCGAACCCGUAGGGUCUACACACUUAAGGUUCGAUGACGCUAGGGUUAUAAAGGAAGUUUUUAUGUGGUUACCGAAUGUUGUUCGGAGUCCCGGAUGAGAUCCCGGACGUCACGAGGAGUUUGAAUGGUCCGGAGGUAAAGAUUUAUAUAUGGGAAGUCCUAUUUUGGCCACCGGAAAAUGUUCGGGAUUUUUCGGUAUUGUACCGGGAAGGUUCUAGAAGGUUCCGGAGUGGGGCCCACCUGCAUGGGGGGACCCACAUGAACGUGAGUAGUGGGGGAAAGGCCCCACACCCCUGGUCAAGGCGCACCAAGAUCCCCCCUUAGAAGGAAUAAGAUCAUAUCCCGAAGGGAUAAGAUCAAGAUCCCUAAAAAGGGGGGAUAACAAUCGGUGGGGAAGGAAAUGAUGGGAUUUCUUUCCUCCCACCUUGGCCAACGCCCCAAUGGACUUGGAGGGCAAGAAACCAGCCCCUCCACCCCUAUAUAUAGUGGGGAGGCGCAUGGGAGCUUAAUACAAGCCAAGGCGCAGCCCCACCCCUCCCCAACACCUCUCCUCCUCCGUAUAUGCUUGGCGAAGCCCUGUCGGAGUACUACUGCACCAACUACACCACGCCGUCGUGCUGCCGUUGGAGCAAUCUUCCUCAACCUCUCCUUCCCCCUUGCUGGAUCAAGAAGGAGGAGACGUCUCCCGUCCCUUACGUGUGUUGAAUGCGGAGGUGCUGUCCGUUCAGCACUUGGAAAUCGGUGAUCCGAAUCACGUUCGAGUACGACUCCAUCAUCACCAUCCACUUGGCUAGCUUCCACUCGUGAUCUACAAGUGGUAUGUAGAUGAAAACUCUCUCUCUUGACUCGUUGCUUAGAUGAACUCAUAGAUGGAUCUUGGUGAAACCGUAGGAGAAAUUUUAAUUUUCUGCAACGUUCCCCAACAGAUUACCGGUCUAGUAACGUAGUCAAUUGCUUAGGGACAAUUUCACAACUCCUACCACCACUUUUCCAGACUCACUUUAUUUAAUUUAUUGCUUUUUUAUCUAAACAACCCCUAGUUUUUAUUUACGUGUUCUUUAUUAUCUUGCAAACAUAUCCUAUCACACCUACAAAGUACUUCUAGUUUCAUACUUGUUCUAGGUAAAGCGAACGUCAAGCGUGCGUAGAGUCGUAUCAGUGGCCGAUAGGACUUGAGAGAGCAUUUGUUCUACCUUUAGCUCCUCGUUGGGUUCAACACUCUUACUUGUUGAAAGAGGCUACAACCAUCCCGUAUACUUGCAGGUCAUCAAGACCUUUUUCUGGCGCCGUUGCCGGGGAGUCAUACCGUGGGGUCAAUAUUCUUUGUGUGCUUGUUUGCUUUAUCACUAUGUAAUUUUUAUUUGUUGUUCUUAGUUGUUUUCUAUCUUUAGUUAUGGGUAGGAAACGCAAAAUACCAAAAAAAUAGUUGUACCUAUUGAACCAAUGGUUGAAGAACCACUCAAAAUCUAUCACACUCCUGAAGCUUUUUACUUGGAUCAUCUUCGAUCCCUUUGUGCUCGUGCUGAAACCCCAACUAGUUUAGUUGAGGGCAAAUCUUUAGAUGAGCAUGCUUGUUAUGUGCGACACCGUAUAUCUGAAAAAGGGAAACUUUUACUAGAUCAAAUCCAUCGUUUGCAAUGCUAUGCUUGGAAUUUAUGUGAAAUUUAUGAUCUACUUGUUGUUCUAAAAACCCUAAGAAACACCUUCCCUACCAAUGUGAGUUUAUUGAUAAUGGAAUCAUAUCUUCGUAUGCUAAGGGUGUUUAUAAUUACUAUGAUGUUCAACAAAUUGAAGAAUUUGUUGCUUUUAAGGGUGCUUACGAAAUUGCUUAUUUGAUUGAAAAGUAUGAUGCUACUCUCUAGAAAUCUGAAAUUUUUUCCAUACUUGAAUAUUGUUAUGAUAAUUAUGCUUCUAAUGCAUAUGUUAAACUAUAUAUUGAGAAAUUCUCCGCUAUCCAAGAAGAGACUAAUAUUUUGCAGGAAGCUAUGGAAGAAGAAAUUGAUGAAACUAUGAGCUCAUUGGAUGAAAAAGAUGAUGAGGAGAGUGAAGAACAAAAGAAGGAAGAGCGGAUUGAUCAGCCGUGCCCACCUUCUAGUGAGAUUAACUCUUCAACUCAUACAUUGUUUAAUUCCCCUUCGUGCUUACCGAAGGAUGAUUGCUAUGAUGAUUGCUAUGAUCCCGUUGAUUAUCUUGAAAUAUCCCUUUUGAUGAUGCUUGCUAUGCUUGUGGCCGAGAUGCCAAUAUGAAUUAUGCUUAUGGAGAUGAACUUGCUAUAGUUACUUAUGUUAAACAUGAAAUUGUUGCUAUUGCACCCAGGCAUGAUAGUCCUAUUAUGUUUUUGAAUUCUCCCUACUACACUAUAUCGGAGAAUUUUGUGCUUAUUAAGGAUUAUAUUGAUGGGUUGCAUUUUACUACUACACAUUGUGAUUUUGAUAGAUAUAAUAUGCAUGUGCUUGCUGCUCCUACUUGCAAUUAUUAUGAGAGAGGAACUAUAUCUCCACCUCUCUAUGUUUCCAAUAUAAUAAAAUUCCAAGAAAUUGCUUAUACUAUGCAUUGGCCUUUACUAUGUGUGCAUGAAUUGUUCUUUUAUGACAUGUCGAUGCAUAGGAAGAGAGUUAGACUUUGUUGUUGCAUGAUAUAUGUUAUUUUGUGCUCACUACUAAAUCACAAAUCAUUGUUAAUUAAAAUUGUCUUUGAUAUACCUUGGGAUCCGGAUGGAUUCAUUACUUGACCACUAUAUGCCUAGCUUAACGGCUUUAAAGAAAGCACUGCCAGGGAGACAACCCGGAAGUUUUAGGGAGUCAUUUAUUUCUGUUGAGUGCUUUUAUAAAGUUUAAAAACAAAAAAAAUAAAGAGGGGAACUAAAAACUUUUCAAAAAGGAAAGUGAAAGUGAGAGACACAAGCAUUGUGGAAGUGGGAGAGCUCCUUGAACUUUGUUCAUGCUCACGAAACUUUGUGAAUCUUAAUUACAGAAACUUUUCAUCAAAAAUAAUUAUCCCCUUGUACAAUUCAAUUGUAUUAUAAAAAUAAUGUGCCAAGGUUUGCCUUUAGGAUGUUUACAAUGCUUGUUGGUUUGUACGGUGCAGGACAGAAACUUUGGCUGUAGUGCGCGAUUUUAAAUUUUUAACUGGAACGUCAAAUGGUUCUGAUUCCUUUUGAAAUGUCUUUCUGUAAAAAUUAUUUAUUUUUCUUGAUUUUCGUAGAAUAUUUGGGGUACCAGAAGUAUGGUGAAUGUUCAGAUUGCUACAGACUGUUCUGUUUUUAACAUAUUCUGUUUUUGAUGCAUAGUUUGCUUGUUUUAAUGAAACUAUCAAUUUAUAUUAGUGGUUUAAGCCAUGAAAAAGCUAUAUUACAGUAGACACAAUGCAAAAACAAAAUAUGAAUUGGUUUUCUACAGUACUUAGAGUAGUGAUUUGCUUUAUUAUACUAGCGGAUCUUACCGAGUUUUCUGUUGAAGUUUGUGUGGAUGAAGUGUCUAAUCGAGGAUGUCUCGGUAUGAGGAAAAGGAAGAGAGGCAAGAGCUCAAGCUUGGGGAUGCCCAACGCACUCCAAGUAGAUAUUCAAGGAGACUCAAGUGUCUAAGCUUGGGGAUGCCCCGGAAGGCAUCCCCUCUUUCUUCAACAAGUAUCGGUAUGUUUUCGUAUUCGUUUCGUUCAUGCGAUAUGUGCAAAUCUUGAAGCAUCUUUUACAUUUAGUUUUCACUUUUAUUUUAUGCACCAUGCUGGUAUAAGAUACUCAUUGGUUGAUUUAUAUAAUGCUCUUUCCACUUCACUUAAAUCUUUUGAGUAUGGCUUUAUAGAAUGCUUCAUGUGCUUCACUUAUAUCAUUUGAAGUUUGGAUGGCCUCUUUCUCUUCACAUAGAAAACCGCCAUUUGUAGAAUAUUCUUUUGCUUCACUUAUAUUUGUUAGAGCGUGGGCAUAUCUUUUAUGGAAAGAAUUAAACUCUCUUGCUUCACUUAUAUCUAUUUAGAGAGAUGAGAGGAAUUGGUCAUUCACCUGGUUAGUCAUAAAAUCCUACAUAAACUUUUAGAUCGCUGAAUAUGAUAUGUUUGAUUUCUUGCAAUAGUUUUGCGAUAUCAAGAUGGUGAUAUUGGAUUCAUGCUAGUGGAUGGUUGUGGAUUGUAGAGACACUUGUGUUGAGGUUUGCAAGUCCUGUAGCAUGCACGUAUGAUAACCGUUGUGUGACAAAUUUGAAGCAUGGGGUGUUUCUUUGAUUGUCUUCCUUAUCAGUGGCGGUCGGGGACGAGCGAUGGUCUUUUCCUACCAAUCUAGCCCCCUAGGGGCAUGCAUAGUAGUACUUUGUUUUGAGGGAUAAUAAACUUUUGCAAUAAGUAUAUGAGUUCUUUAUGACUAAUGUUGAGUCCAUGGAUUAUACACACUUUUACCUUUCCAUCAUUGCUAGCAUCUUCGGUACCGUGCAUUUCCCUUUCUCACCUCGAGAGUUGGUGCAAACUUCGCCGGUGCAUCCAAACCCCGUGAUAUGAUACACUCUAUCACACAUAAGCUGAUGGGGAACGUAGUAAUUUCAAAAAAUUUCCUACGUACACGCAAGAUCAUGGUGAUGGCUUAGCAACGAGAGGGGAGAGUGUUGUCCACGUACCCUCGUAGACCGUAAAUGGAAGCGUUAUGACAACGCGGUUGAUGUAGUCGUACGUCUUCACGAUCCGACCGAUCCAAGUACUAAACAUACGGCACCUCCGAGUUUAGCACACGUUCAGCUCGAUGACGAUCGUCGGGCUCCGAUCCAGCAAAGCUCCGGGGAUGAGUUCCGUCAGCACGACAGUGUGGUGACGAUGAUGAUGCUCUACCGGCGCAGGGCUUCGCCUAAACUCCGCGACGAUAUGACCGAGGUGAAAUAUGGUGGAAGGGGGCACCGCACACGGCUAAGGAACGAUCCGUAGAUCAACUUGUGUGUUAUGGGGUGCCCCCUGCCCCCGUAUAUAAAGGAGCAAGGGGGCGGGGGCGACCGGCCAAGGGAGGGCGCGCCAGGGAGGAGUCCUACUCCCACCGGGAGUAGGACUCCCUCCUUUCCUAGUCCAACUAGGAGACCUUCCAUGUAGUAGGAGUAGGAGAGAAGGAAAGGGAAGAGAGAAGGGAAGGAAGGAGGGGGUGCGGCCCCUCCCGCUAGUCCAAUUCGGACUAGGCCUUGGGGGGGCGCGCGGCCUGCCCUAGGCAGCCCCUCUCUCUUUCCCGUAUGGCCCAAUAAGGCCCAAUACUUCUCCCGGCGAAUUCCCGUAACUCUCCGGUACUCCGAAAAAUACCCGAAUCACUCGGAACCUUUCCGAACUCCGAAUAUAGUCGUCCAAUAUAUCGAUCUUUACGUCUCGACCAUUUCGAGACUCCUCGUCAUGUCCCCGAUCUCAUCCGGGACUCCGAACUCCUUCGGUACAUCAAAACUCAUAAACUCAUAAUAUAACUGUCAUCGUAACGUUAAGCGUGCGGACCCUACGGUUUCGAGAACUAUGUAGACAUGACCUAGAACUAUUCUCGGUCAAUAACCAAUAGUGGAACCUGGAUGCCCAUAUUGGUUCCUACAUAUUCUACGAAGAUCUUUAUUGGUCAAACCGCAUAACAACAUACGUUGUUCCCUUUGUCAUCGGUAUGUUACUUGCCCGAGAUUUGAUCGUCGGUAUCCAAUACCUAGUUCAAUCUCGUUACCGGAAAGUCUCUUUACUCAUUCCGUAAUGCAUCACUCUGUAACCAACUCAUUUGGUCACAUUGCUUGCAAGGCUUAUAAAGAUGUGCAUUACCGAGAGGGCCCAGAGAUACCUCUCUGACAAUCGGAGUGACAAAACCUAAUCUCGAAAUACGCCAACUCAACAUGUACCUUCGGAGACACCUGUAGUACUCCUUUAUAAUCACCCAGUUACAUUGUGACGUUUGGUAGUACCCAAAGUGGUCCUCCGGUAAACGGGAGUUGCAUAAUUCUCAUAGUUACAGGAACAUGUAUAAGUCAUGAAGAAAGCAAUAGCAACAUACUAAACGAUCAAGUGCUAGGCUAACGGAAUGGGUCAUGUCAAUCACAUCAUUCUCCUAAUGAUGUGAUCCCAUUAAUCAAAUGACAACUCUUUUGUCCAUGGCUAGGAAACAUAACCAUCUUUGCUAAACGAGCCAGUCAAGUAGAGGCAUACUAGUGACACUAUGUUUGUCUAUGUAUUCACACAUGUAUUAUGUUUCCGGUUAAUACAAUUCUAGCAUGAAUAAUAAACAUUUAUCAUGAAAUAAGGAAAUAAAUAAUAACUUUAUUAUUGCCUCUAGGGCAUAUUUCCUUCAGUCUCCCACUUGCACUAGAGUCAAUAAUCUAGUUCACAUCGCUAUGUGAUUUAACACAAUAUUCACAUCUGCAUGUGAUUAAUACCCAUAGUUCACAUCAUCAUGUGAUCAACACCCAAAGGGUUUACUAGAGUCAAUAAUCUAGUUCACAUCGCUAUGUGAUUAACACCCAAAGGGUUUACUAGAGUAUGAUCAUGUUUUGCUCGUGAGAGAAUCUUAGUCAACGGGUCUGUCAUAUUCAGAGCCGUAUGUAUUUCGCAAAUAUUCUAUGCCCACAAUGCUCUGCACGGUGCUACUCUAGCUAAUUUCUCCCACUUUCAAUAUGUAUCCAGAUUAAGACUUAGAGUCAUCUGGAUUGGUGUAAAAGCUUGCAUCAUUGUAACUUUUACGACGGGCUCUUUUAUCACCUCCAUAAUUGAGAAACGUCUCCUUAGUCCUCACUAAGGAUAUUCUUGACCCAUGUCUAGUUAUCUACUUAUUAGAUCAAAAUUGUAUUCCUUUGCCAAACACAUAGCAAGGUAUACAAUAGGUCUGGUUCACAGCAUAGCAUACUUUAUAGAACCUAUGACUGAAGCAUAGGGAAUGACUUUUCAUUCUCUUUCUAUUUUCUGCAAUGGUCGGGUCUUGAGUCUUACUCAACUUCACACCUUGUAACACAGGCAAGAACUCCUUCUUUGACUGUUCCAUUUUGAACUAUUUCAAAAAUUUAUCAAGGUAUGUACUCAUUGAAAAAUCUUAUCAAGCGUCUUGAUCUAUCUAUAUAGAUCUUGAUGCUCAAUGUGUAAGCAGCUUCACCGAGGUCUUGCUUUGAAAAACUCUUAUUCAAGUAUCCUUUCAUGCUAUCCAGAAUUUCCAUAUCAUUUCCAAUUAACAAUAUGUCAUCCACAUAUAAUAUUAGAAAUGCUACAGAGCUCCCACUCACUUUCUUGUAAAUACAGGCUUCUUCAAAAGUCUGUAUAAAACCAUAUGCUUUGAUCAACUCAUCAAAGCGUAUAUUCCAACUCCGAGAUGCUUGCACCAGUCCAUUGAUGGAUUGCUGGAGCUUGCACACUUUGUUAGCAUCUUUAGGAUUGACAAAAACUUUCUGGUUGCAUCAUAUACAACUCUUCUUUAAUAAAUCCAUUAAGGAAUGCAGUUUUGACAUCCAUUUGCCAGAUUUCAUAAAAUGUGGCAAUUGCUAACAUGAUUCAGACAGACUUAAGCUUCGAUACGAGUGAGAAAAUCUCAUCGUAUUCAACACCUUGAACUUGUUGAAAACAUUUCGCAACAAGUCGAGCUUAGUAGACAGUAACACUACUAUCAAUAUUCGUCUUCCUCUUGAAGAUCCAUUUCUUUAACAUGGCUUGCUGAUCAUCGAGCAAGUCAAUCAAAGUCCAUACUUUGUUCUCAUACAUGGAUCAUAUCUCAGAUUUUAUGGCCUCAAGCCAUUUCGUGGAAUCUGGGCUCAUCAUCGCUUCCUCAUAGUUCGUAGGUUCAUCAUGGUCUAGUAACAUGACUUCCAGAACAGGAUUACCAUACCACUCUGGUGCGGAUCUUACUCUGGAAGACCUACAAGGUUUGGCAGCAACUUGAUCUGAAGUUUCAUGAUCAUCAUCAUUAACUUCCUCACUAAUUGGUGUAGUAAUCACUGGAACUGAUUUCUGCCAUGAACUACUUUCCAAUAAGGGAGAAGGUACAAUUACCUCAUCAAGUUCUACUUUCCUCCCACUCACUUCUUUUGAGAGAAACUUCUUCUCUAGAAAGGAUCCAUCUUAGCAACGAAUAACUUGCCUUCGGAUCUGUGAUAGAAGGUGUACCCAAUAGUUACCUUUGGGUAUUCUAUGAAGACAUACUUCUCCGAUUUGGGUUCGAGCUUAUCAGGUUGAAAACCUUUUUCAUAUAAGCAUCGCAACUCCAAGCUUUAAGAAACGACAGCUUAGGUUUACUGCUAAACCAUAGUUCAUACGGUGUCAUCUCAACGGAUUUAGAUGGUGCCCCAUUUAAACGUGAAUGCAGCUGUCUCUAAUGCAUAACCCCAAAACGAUAAUGGUAAAUCAGUAAGAGACAUCAUAGAUCGCACCAUAUCCAAUAAAGUGCGGUUACGACGUUCGGACACACCAUAACGUUGUGGUGUUCCAGGUGGCGUUAGCUGUGAAACUAUUCCACAUUGUUUUAAUUGAAGACCAAACUCGUAACUCAAAUAUUCGUCUCCGCGAUCAGAUCGUAGAAACUUUAUUUUCUGGUUACGAUGAUUUUUCCACUUCACUCUGAAAUUCUUUGAACCUUUCAAUUAUUUCAGCCUUAUGUUUCAUCAAGUAGAUAUACCCAUAUCUGCUCAAAUCAUUUUGUGAAGGUCAGAAAAUAACGAUACUUGCCACGAGCAUCAACACUCAUUGGAUCGCAUACAUCGGUAUGUAUUAUUUCCAAUAAGUCAGUAGCUUGUUCCAUUGUUCCGGAGAACGGAGUUUUUAGUCAUCUUGCCCAAAAGGCACGGUUCGCAAGCAUCAAAUGAUUCAUAACCAAGUGAUUCCGAAAAUCCAUCUUUAUGGAGUUUCUUCAUGCGCUUUACACCGAUAUGACCCAAACGGCAGUGCCACAAAUAAGUUGCACUAUCAUUAUUAACUUUGCAUCUUUUGGCAUCAAUAUUAUGAAUAUGUGUAUCACUACGACCGAGAUCCAACAAACUAUUUUCAUUGGGUGUAUGACCAUCAAAGGUUUUAUUCAUUUAAACAGAACAACAAUUAUUCUCUAAUUUUAAAUGAAUAACUGUAUUGCAAUAAACAUGAUCAAAUCAUAUUCAUGCUCAACACAAACACCAAAUAACAUUUAUUUAGGUUCAACACUAAUCUCGAAAGUAUAGGGAGUGUGCGAUGAUGAUCAUAUCAAUCUUGGAACCACUUCCAACAUACAUCGUCACUUCACCAUCAACUAGUUUCUGUUUAUUCUGUAACUGCUGUUUCGAGUUACUAAUCUUAGCAACCGAACAAGUAUCAAAUACUCAGGGGUUACUAUAAACACUAGUAAGGUACACAUCAAUAACAUGUAUAUCAAAUAUACCCUUGUUCACUUUGCCAUCCUUCUUAUCCACCAAAUAUUCAAGGCAUUUCCGCUUCUAGUGACCAUUUCCUUUGCAGUGUAAGCACUCAGUUUCAGGCUUUGGUUCAGCUUUGGGCUUCUUCAUGGGAGUGACAACUUGCUUGUCAUUCUACUUGAAGUUCCCCUUUCUUUCCCUUUGCCCUUUUUCUUGAAACUAGUGAUCUUGUCAACCAUCAACACUUGAUGCUCUUUCUUGAUUUCUAACUUCGUUGAUUUCAACAUCACGAAGCGCUCGGGAAUCUUUUUCUCAUCCCUUGCAUACUAUAGUUCAUCACAAAGUUCUACUAACUUGGUGAUGGUGACUAGAGAAUUCUGUCAAUCACUAUCUUAUCUGGAAGAUUAACUCCCACUUGAUUCAAGCGAUUGAAGUACCCAGACAAUCUAAGCACAUGCUCACUAGUUGAGCGAUUCUCCUCCAUCUUUUAGCUAUAGAACUUGUUGGAGACUUCAUAUCUCUCAAAUCGGGUAUUUGCUGGAAAUAUUAAUUUCAACUCUUGGAACAUCUCAUAUGGUCCAUGACAUUCAAAACGUCUUUGAAGUUCCGAUUCUAAGCCUUUAAGCAUGGUGCACUAAACUAUCAAGUAGUCAUCAUAUUGAGCUAGCCAAACGUUCAUAACGUCUGCAUCUGCUCCUGCAAUAGGUCUGUCACCUAGCGGUGCAUUAAGGACAUAAUUCUUCUGUGCAGCAAUGAGGAUAAACCUCAGAUCACGGAUGCAAUCCGCAUCAUUGCUACUAACAUCUUUCAACACAAUUUUCUCUAGGAACAUAUCAAAAUAAACAUAUGAAAGCAACAACGCAAGCAAUUGAUCUACAACAUAAUUUGCAAAAUACUACCAGGACUAAGUUCAUGAUAAAUUUAAGUUCAAUUAAUCAUAUUACUUAAGAACUCCCACUUAGAUAGACAUCUCUCUAGUCAUCUAAGUGAUCACGUGAUCCAAAUCAACUAAACCAUGUCCAAUCAUCACGUGAGAUGGAGUAGUUUCAAUGGUGAACAUCAUUAUGUUGAUCAUAUCUACUAUAUGAUUCAUGCUCGACCUUUCGGUCUCCGUGUUCCGAGGCCAUAUCUGUAUAUGCUAGGCUCGUCAAGUUUAACCCGAGUAUUCCGUGUGUGCAACUAUUUUGCACCCGUUGUAUUUGAACAUAGAGCCUAUCACACCCGAUCAUCACGUGGUGUCUCAGCACGAAGAACUUUCGCAACGGUGCAUACUCAGGGAGAACACUUCUUGAUAAUUAGUGAGAGAUCAUCUUAAAAUGCUACCGUCAAUCAAAGCAAGAUAAGAUGCAUAAAGGAUAAACAUCACAUGCAAUCAAUAUAAGUGAUAUGAUAUGGCCAUCAUCAUCUUGUGCUUGUGAUCUCCAUCUUCGAAGCACCAUCGUGAUCACCAUUGUCACCGGCGCGACACCUUGAUCUCCAUCAUAGCAUCGUUGUCGUUACGCCAUCUAUUGCUUCUACGACUAUCGCUACCGCUUAGUGAUAAAGUAAAGCAAUUAUAGGGCGUUUGCAUUCAUACAAUAAAGCAACAACCAUAUGGCUCCUGCCAGUUGCCGAUAACUUCGGUUACAAAACAUGAUCAAAUCACACAAUAAAAUAUAGCAUCACGUCUUGACCAUAUCACAUCACAACAUGCCCUGCAAAAACAAGUUAGACGUCCUCUACUUUGUUGUUGCAAAUUUUACGUGGCUGCUACGGGCUUAGCAAGAACCGUUCUUACCUACGCAUCAAAACCACAAUGAUAGUUCGUCAAGUUAGUGCUGUUUUAACCUUCGCAAGGACCGAGCGUAGCCACACUCGAUUCAGCUAAAGUGAGAGAGACAGACACCCGCCAGCCACCUUUAAGCAUGAGUGCUCGUAACGGUGAAACCAGUCUCGCGUAAGCGUACGCGUAAUGUCGGUCCGGGCCGCUUCAUCUCACAAUACCGCCGAACCAAAGUAUGACAUGCUGGUAAGCAGUAUGACUUGUAUCGCCCACAACUCACUUGUGUUCUACUCGUGCAUUAACAUCAACGCAUAAAACCUAGGCUCUGAUACCACUGAAGGGGAACGUAGUAAUUUCAAAAAAUUUCCUACGUACACGCAAGAUCAUGGUGAUGGCAUAGCAACGAGAGGGGAGAGUGUUGUCCACGUACCCUCGUAGACCGUAAGCGGAAGCGUUAUGACAACGCAGUUGAUGUAGUCGUACGUCUUCACGAUCCGACUGAUCCAAGUACCGAACGUACGGCACCUCCAAGUUCAGCACACGUUCAGCUCGAUGACGAUCCCCGGGCUCCGAUCCAGCAAAGCUUCGGGGAUGAGUUCCGUCAGCACGAUGGCAUGGUGACGAUGAUGAUGCUCUACCGGCGCAGGGCUUCGCCUAAACUCCGCGACAAUAUGACCGAGGUGGAAUAUGGUGGAAGGGGCACCGCACACGGCUAAGGAACGAUCCGUAGAUCAACUUGUGUGUUAUGGGGUGCCCCCUGCCCCUGUAUAUAAAGGAGCAAGGGGGAGGGGGCGACCGGCCAAGGGAGGCGCGUCAGGGAGGAGUCCUACUCCCACCGGGAGUAGGACUCCCUCCUUUCCUAGUCGAACUAGGAGACCUUCCAUGUAGUAGGAGUAGGAGAGAAGGAAAGGGAAGAGAGAAGGGAAGGAAGGAGGGGGUGCGGCCCCUCCCCCAAGUCCAAUUCGGACUAGGCCUUGGGGGGGGGGGGGCGCGCGGCCUGCCCUAGGCAGCCCCUCUCUCUUUCCCGUAUGGCCCAAUAAGGCCCAAUACUUCUCCCGGCGAAUUCCCGUAACUCUCCGGUACUCCGAAAAAUACCCGAAUCAAAAGGAACCAUUCCGAACUCCGAAUAUAGUCGUCCAAUAUAUCGAUCUUUACGUCUCGACCAUUUCGAGACUCCUCGUCAUGUCCCCGAUCUCAUCCGGGACUCCGAACUCCUUCGGUACAUCAAAACUCAUAAACUCAUAAUAUAACUGUCAUCGUAACGUUAAGCGUGCGGACCCUACGGGUUCGAGAACUAUGUAGACAUGACCUAGAACUAUUCUCGGUCAAUAACCAAUAGUGGAACCUGGAUGCCCAUAUUGGUUCCUACAUAUUCUACGAAGAUCUUUAUUGGUCAAACCGCAUAACAACAUACGUUGUUCCCUUUGUCAUCGGUAUGUUACUUGCCCGAGAUUUGAUUGUCGGUAUCCAAUACCUAGUUCAAUCUCGUUACCAGAAAGUCUCUUUACUCGUUCCGUAAUGCAUCACUCUGUAACCAACUCAUUUGGUCACAUUGCUUGCAAGGCUUAUAAAGAUGUGCAUUACCGAGAGGGCCCAGAGAUACCUCUCUGACAAUCGGAGUGACAAAACCUAAUCUCGAAAUACGCCAACUCAACAUGUACCUUCGGAGACACUUGUAGUACUCCUUUAUAAUCACCCAGUUACAUUGUGACGUUUGGUAGUACCCAAAGUGUUCCUCCGGUAAACGGGAGUUGCAUAAUUCUGAUAGUUACAGGAACAUGUAUAAGUCAUGAAGAAAGCAAUAGCAACAUACUAAACGAUCAAGUGCUAGGCUAACGGAAUGGGUCAUGUCAAUCACAUCAUUCUCCUAAUGAUGUGAUCCCAUUAAUCAAAUGACAACUCUUUUGUCCAUGGCUAGGAAACAUAACCAUCUUUGCUAAACGAGCUAGUCAAGUAGAGGCAUACUAGUGACACUAUGUUUGUCUAUGUAUUCACACAUGUAUUAUGUUUCCGGUUAAUACAAUUCUAGCAUGAAUAAUAAACAUUUAUCAUGAAAUAAGGAAAUAAAUAAUAACUUUAUUAUUGCCUCUAGGGCAUAUUUCCUUCAGUCUCCCACUUGCACUAGAGUCAAUAAUCUAGUUCACAUCGCUAUGUGAUUUAACACAAUAUUCACAUCUGCAUGUGAUUAAUACCCAUAGUUCACAUCAUCAUGUGAUCAACACCCAAAGGGUUUACUAGAGUCAAUAAUCUAGUUCACAUCGCUAUGUGAUUAACACCCAAAGGGUUUACUAGAGUAUGAUCAUGUUUUGCUCGUGAGAGAAUCUUAGUCAACGGGUCUGUCAUAUUCAGAGCCGUAUGUAUUUCGCAAAUAUUCUAUGUCCACAAUGCUCUGCACGGAGCUACUCUAGCUAAUUUCUCCCACUUUCAAUAUGUAUCCAGAUUGAGACUUAGAGUCAUCUGGAUUGGUGUAAAAGCUUGCAUCAUUGUAACUUUUACGACGGGCUCUUUUAUCACCUCCAUAAUUGAGAAACGUCUCCUUAGUCCUCACUAAGGAUAUUCUUGACCCAUGUCUAGUUAUCUACUUAUUAGAUCAAAAUUGUAUUCAUUUGCCAAACACAUAGCAAGGUAUACAAUAGGUCUGGUUCAUAGCAUAGCAUACUUUAUAGAACCUAUGACUGAAGCAUAGGGAAUGACUUUUCAUUCUCUUUCUAUUUUCUGCAAUGGUCGGGUCUUGAGUCUUACUCAACUUCACACCUUGUAACACAGGCAAGAACUCCUUCUUUGACUGUUCCAUUUUGAACUAUUUCAAAAAUUUAUCAAGGUAUGUACUCAUUGAAAAAUCUUAUCAAGCGUCUUGAUCUAUCUAUAUAGAUCUUGAUGCUCAAUGUGUAAGCAGCUUCACCGAGGUCUUGCUUUGAAAAACUCUUAUUCAAGUAUCCUUUCAUGCUAUCCAGAAUUUGCAUAUCAUUUCCAAUUAACAAUAUGUCAUCCACAUAUAAUAUUAGAAAUGCUACAGAGCUCCCACUCACUUUCUUGUAAAUACAGGCUUGUUCAAAAGUCUGUAUAAAACCAUAUGCUUUGAUCAACUCAUCAAAGCGUAUAUUCCAACUCCGAGAUGCUUGCACCAGUCCAUUGAUGGAUUGCUGGAGCUUGCACACUUUGUUAGCAUCUUUAGGAUUGACAAAAACUUUCUGGUUGCAUCAUAUACAACUCUUCUUUAAUAAAUCCAUUAAGGAAUGCAGUUUUGACAUCCAUUUGCCAGAUUUCAUAAAAUGUGGCAAUUGCUAACAUGAUUCAGACAGACUUAAGCUUCGAUACGAGUGAGAAAAUCUCAUCGUAUUCAACACCUUGAACUUGUUGAAAACAUUUCGCAACAAGUCGAGCUUAGUAGACAGUAACACUACUAUCAAUAUCCGUCUUCCUCUUGAAGAUCCAUUUCUUUAACAUGGCUUGCUGAUCAUCGAGCAAGUCAAUCAAAGUCCAUACUUUGUUCUCAUACAUGGAUCAUAUCUCAGAUUUUAUGGCCUCAAGCCAUUUUGUGGAAUCUGGGCUCAUCAUCGCUUCCUCAUAGUUCGUAGGUUCAUCAUGGUCUAGUAACAUGACUUCCAGAACAGGAUUACCGUACCACUCUGGUGCGGAUCUUACUCUGGAAGACCUACAAGGUUUGGCAGCAACUUGAUCUGAAGUUUCAUGAUCAUCAUCAUUAACUUCCUCACUAAUUGGUGUAGUAAUCACUGGAACUGAUUUCUGCCAUGAACUACUUUCCAAUAAGGGAGAAGGUACAAUUACCUCAUCAAGUUCUACUUUCCUCCCACUCACUUCUUUUGAGAGAAACUUCUUCUCUAGAAAGGAUCCAUCUUAGCAACGAAUAACUUGCCUUCGGAUCUGUGAUAGAAGGUGUACCCAAUAGUUACCUUUGGGUAUUCUAUGAAGACAUACUUCUCCGAUUUGGGUUCGAGCUUAUCAGGUUGAAAACCUUUUUCAUAUAAGCAUCGCAACUCCAAGCUUUAAGAAACGACAGCUUAGGUUUACUGCUAAACCAUAGUUCAUACGGUGUCAUCUCAACGGAUUUAGAUGGUGCCCCAUUUAAACGUGAAUGCAGCUGUCUCUAAUGCAUAACCCCAAAAAAAUAAUGGUAAAUCAGUAAGAGACAUCAUAGAUCGCACCAUAUCCAGUAAAGUGCGGUUACGAUGUUCGGACACACCAUAACAUUGUGGUGUUCCAGGUGGCGUUAGCUGUGAAACUAUUCCACAUUGUUUUAAUUGAAGACCAAACUCGUAACUCAAAUAUUCGUCUCCGCGAUCAGAUCGUAGAAACUUUAUUUUCUGGUUACGAUGAUUUUUCCACUUCACUCUGAAAUUCUUUGAACCUUUCAAUUAUUUCAGACUUAUGUUUCAUCAAGUAGAUAUACCCAUAUCUGCUCAAAUCAUUUUGUGAAGGUCAGAAAAUAACGAUACUUGCCACGAGCAUCAACACUCAUUGGAUCGCAUACAUCGGUAUGUAUUAUUUCCAAUAAGUCAGUAGUUUGUUCCAUUGUUCCGGAGAACGGAGUUUUUAGUCAUCUUGCCCAAAAGGCACGGUUCGCAAGCAUCAAAUGAUUCAUAACCAAGUGAUUCCGAAAAUCCAUCUUUAUGGAGUUUCUUCAUGCGCUUUACACCGAUAUGACCCAAACGGCAGUGCCACAAAUAAGUUGCACUAUCAUUAUUAACUUUGCAUCUUUUGGCAUCAAUAUUAUGAAUAUGUGUAUCACUACGACCGAGAUCCAACAAACUAUUUUCAUUGGGUGUAUGACCAUCAAAGGUUUUAUUCAUUUAAACAGAACAACAAUUAUUCUCUAAUUUUAAAUGAAUAACUGUAUUGCAAUAAACAUGAUCAAAUCAUAUUCAUGCUCAACACAAACACCAAAUAACAUUUAUUUAGGUUCAACACUAAUCUCGAAAGUAUAGGGAGUGUGCGAUGAUGAUCAUAUCAAUCUUGGAACCACUUCCAACAUACAUCGUCACUUCACCAUCAACUAGUUUCUGUUUAUUCUGUAACUGCUGUUUCGAGUUACUAAUCUUAGCAACCGAACAAGUAUCAAAUACUCAGGGGUUACUAUAAACACUAGUAAGGUACACAUCAAUAACAUGUAUAUCAAAUAUACCCUUGUUCACUUUGCCAUCCUUCUUAUCCACCAAAUAUUCAAGGCAUUUCCGCUUCUAGUGACCAUUUCCUUUGCAGUGUAAGCACUCAGUUUCAGGCUUUGGUUCAGCUUUGGGCUUCUUCAUGGGAGUGACAACUUGCUUGUCAUUCUACUUGAAGUUCCCCUUUCUUUCCCUUUGCCCUUUUUCUUGAAACUAGUGAUCUUGUCAACCAUCAACACUUGAUGCUCUUUCUUGAUUUCUAACUUCGUUGAUUUCAACAUCACGAAGCGCUCGGGAAUCGUUUUCUCAUCCCUUGCAUACUAUAGUUCAUCACAAAGUUCUACUAACUUGGUGAUGGUGACUAGAGAAUUCUGUCAAUCACUAUCUUAUCUGGAAGAUUAACUCCCACUUGAUUCAAGCGAUUGAAGUACCCAGACAAUCUAAGCACAUGAUCACUAGUUUAGCGAUUCUCCUCCAUCUUUUAGCUAUAGAACUUGUUGGAGACUUCAUAUCUCUCAACUCGGGUAUUUGCUGGAAAUAUUAACUACAACUCUCGGAACAUCUCAUAUGGUCCAUGACAUUCAAAACGUCUUUGAAGUUCCGAUUCUAAGCCGUUAAGCAUGGUGCACUAAACUAUCAAGUAGUCAUCAUAUUGAGCUAGCCAAACGUUCAUAACAUCUGCAUCUGCUCCUGCAAUAGGUCUGUCACCUAGCGGUGCAUUAAGGACAUAAUUCUUCUGUGCAGCAAUGAGGAUAAACCUCAGAUCACGGAUCCAAUCCGCAUCAUUGCUACUAACAUCUUUCAACACAAUUUUCUCUAGGAACAUAUCAAAAUAAACAUAUGAAAGCAACAACGCAAGCAAUUGAUCUACAACAUAAUUUGCAAAAUACUACCAGGACUAAGUUCAUGAUAAAUUUAAGUUCAAUUAAUCAUAUUACUUAAGAACUCCCACUUAGAUAGACAUCUCUCUAGUCAUCUAAGUGAUCACGUGAUCCAAAUCAACUAAACCAUGUCCGAUCAUCACGUGAGAUGGAGUAGUUUCAAUGGUGAACAUCAUUAUGUUGAUCAUAUCUACUAUAUGAUUCAUGCUCGACCUUUCGGUCUCCGUGUUCCGAGGCCAUAUCUGUAUAUGCUAGGCUCGUCAAGUUUAACCCGAGUAUUCCGUGUGUGCAACUAUUUUGCACCCGUUGUAUUUGAACGUAGAGCCUAUCACACCGGAUCAUCACGUGGUGCCUCAGCACGAAGAACUUUCGCAACGGUGCAUACUCAGGGAGAACACUUCUUGAUAAUUAGUGAGAGAUCAUCUUAAAAUGCUACCGUCAAUCAAAGCAAGAUAAGAUGCAUAAAGGAUAAACAUCACAUGCAAUCAAUAUAAGUGAUAUGAUAUGGCCAUCAUCAUCUUGUGCUUGUGAGCUCCAUCUUAGAAGCACCAUCGUGAUCACCAUUGUCACCGGCGCGACACCUUGAUCUCCAUCGUAGCAUCGUUGUCGUUACGCCAUCUAUUGCUUCUACGACUAUCGCUACCGCUUAGUGAUAAAGUAAAGCAAUUAUAGGGCGUUUGCAUUUCAUACAAUAAAGCGACAACCAUAUGGCUCCUGCCAGUUGCCGAUAACUUCGGUUACAAAACAUGAUCAAAUCACACAAUAAAAUAUAGCAUCACGUCUUGACCAUAUCACAUCACAACAUGCCCUGCAAAAACAAGUUAGACGUCCUCUACUUUGUUGUUGCAAAUUUUACGUGGCUGCUACGGGCUUAGCAAGAACCGUUCUUACCUACGCAUCAAAACCACAAUGAUAGUUCGUCAAGUUAGUGCUGUUUUAACCUUCGCAAGGACCGGGCGUAGCCACAUUCGAUUCAGCUAAAGUGAGAGAGACAGACACCCGCCAGCCACCUUUAAGCAUGAGUGCUCGUAACGGUGAAACCAGUCUCGCGUAAGCGUACGCGUAAUGUCGGUCCGGGCCGCUUCAUCUCACAAUACCGCCGAACCAAAGUAUCACAUGCUGGUCAGCAGUAUGACUUGUAUCGCCCACAACUCACUUGUGUUCUACUCAUGCAUUAACAUCAACGCAUAAAACCUAGGCUCUGAUACCACUGAAGGGGAACGUAGUAAUUUCAAAAAAUUUCCUACGUACACGCAAGAUCAUGGUGAUGGCAUAGCAACGAGAGGGGAGAGUGUUGUCCACGUACCCUCGUAGACUAUAAGCGGAAGCGUUAUGACAACGCAGUUGAUGUAGUCGUACGUCUUCACGAUCCGACUGAUCCAAGUACCGAACGUACGGCACCUCCGAGUUCAGCACACGUUCAGCUCGAUGACGAUCCCCGGGCUCCGAUCCAGCAAAGCUUCGGGGAUGAGUUCCAUCAGCACGAUGGCGUGGUGACGAUGAUGAUGCUCUACCGGCGCAGGGCUUCGCCUAAACUCCGCGACGAUAUGACCGGGGUGGAAUAUGGUGGAAGGGGCACCGCACACGGCUAAGGAACGAUCCGUAGAUCAACUUGUGUGUUAUGGGGUGCCCCCUGCCCUUGUAUAUAAAGGAGCAAGGGGGAGGGGGCGACCGGCCAAGGGAGGGCGCGUAAGGGAGGAGUCCUACUCCCACCGGGAGUAGGACUCCCUCCUUUCCUAGUCCAACUAGGAGACCUUCCAUGUAGUAGGAGUAGGAGAGAAGGAAAGGGAAGAGAGAAGGGAAGGAAGGAGGGGGUGCGGCCCCUCCCCCAAGUCCAAUUCGGACUAGGCCUUGGGGGGGCGCGCGGCCUGCCCUAGGCAGCCCCUCUCUCUUUCCCGUAUGGCCCAAUAAGGCCCAAUACUUCUCCCGGCGAAUUCCCGUAACUCUCCGGUUCUCCGAAAAAUACCCGAAUCAAACGGAACCUUUCCGAACUCCGAAUAUAGUCGUCCAAGAUAUCGAUCUUUACGUCUCGACCAUUUCGAGACUCCUUGUCAUGUCCCCGAUCUCAUCCGGUACUCCGAACUCCUUCGGUACAUCAAAACUCAUAAACUCAUAAUAUAAUUGUCAUCGUAACGUUAAGCAUGCGGACCCUACGGGUUCGAGAACUAUGUAGACACGACCUAGAACUAUUCUCGGUCAAUAACCAAUAGCGGAACCUGGAUGCCCAUAUUGGUUCCUACAUAUUCUACGAAGAUCUUUAUCAGUCAAACCGCAUAACAACAUAUGUUGUUCCCUUUGUCAUCGGUAUGUUAUUUGCCCGAGAUUUGAUCGUCGGUAUCCAAUACCUAGUUCAAUCUCGUUACUGGCAAGUCUCUUUACUCGUUCUGUAAUGCAUCAUUCCAUAACCAACUCAUUUGGUCACAUUGCUUGCAAGGCUUAUAAAGAUGUGCAUUACCGAGAGGGCCCAGAGAUACCUCUCUGACAAUCAGAGUGACAAAACCUAAUCUCGAAAUACGCCAACUCAACAUGUACCUUCGGAGACACCUGUAGUACUCCUUUAUAAUCACCCAGUUACAUUGUGACAUUUGGUAGUACCCAAAGUGUUCCUCUGGUAAACGGGAGUUGCAUAAUUCUCAUAGUUACAGGAACAUGUAUAAGUCAUGAAGAAAGCAAUAGCAACAUACUAAACGAUCGAGUGCUAGGCUAACGGAAUGGGUCAUGUCAAUCACAUCAUUCUCCUAAUGAUGUGAUCCCAUUAAUCAAAUGAAAACUCUUUUGUCCAUGGCUAGGAAACAUAACCAUCUUUGAUAAACGAGCUAGUCAAGUAGAGGCAUACUAGUGACACUAUGUUUGUCCAUGUAUUCACACAUGUAUUAUGUUUCCGGUUAAUACAAUUCUAGCAUGAAUAAUAAACAUUUAUCACGAAAUAAGGAAAUAAAUAAUAACUUUAUUAUUGCCUCUAGGGCAUAUUUCCUUCAUAAGCCUCCUUAUAUCUUCUUCAAAACAGCCACCAUACCUACCUAUCAUGUCAUUUCCAUAGCCAUACCGAGAUAUAUUGCCAUGCAACUUCCACCAUCAUCAUAUACAUGACUUGAGCAUUUAUUGUCAUAUUGCUUUGCAUGAUCGUAAGAUAGCUAGCAUGAUGUUUUCAUGGCUUGUCCGUUUUUUGAUGUCAUUGCUAUGCUAGAUCAUUGCACAUCCCGGUACACCACCGGAAGCAUUCAUAUAGAGUCAUAUCUUUGUUCCAAUAUCGAGUUGUAAUAUUGAGUUAUAAGUAAAUAAAAGUGUGAUGAUCAUCAUUAUAGAGCAUUGCCCCAUGAAAAAAAAGAGGAAAGUCCAAAGAAGCCCAAAUAAAAAAAGGGGGCCAAAGAAGCCCACCGGAAAAAAAGGAAAAAAAGGGGGAAAUGUUACUAUCCUUUUCCACACUUGUGCUUCAAAGUAGCACCAUGUUCUUCAUAUAGAGAGUCUCCUAUAUCGUCACUUUCAUAUACUAGUGGGAAUUUUCAUUAUAGAACUUGGCUUGUAUAUUCCAACGAUGGGCUUCCUCAAAUGCCCUAGGUCUUCAUGAGCAAGCAAGUUGGAUGCACACCCACUUAGUUUUCAGUUUGAGCUUUCAUACACUUAUAGCUCUUAGUGCAUCCGUUGCAUAGCAAUCCCUACUCCUCGCAUUGACAUCAAUUGAUGGGCAUCUCCGUAGCCCGUUGAUUAGCCGCGUCGACGUGAGACUUUCUCCCUUUUCGUCUUCUCCACAUAAACCCCCAUCAUCAUAUUCUAUUCCACCUAUAGUGCUAUUUCCAUGGCUUGCGCUCAUGUAUUGCGUGAGGGUUGAAAAACCUGAAGCGCGUUGAAAGGUAUGAACCAAUUGCUCGGCUUGUCAUCAGGGUUGUGCAUGAUGGGAGCAUUUUGUGUGAUGAAAAUGAAGCAUGGCCAAACUAUAUGAUUUUGUAGGGAUAAGCUUGCUUUGGCCUUGUUGUUUUGAAAAGACAUGAUUGCUUUAUUAGUAUGCUCGAAUUAUUAUUGUUUUUUAUGUCAAAUGAUAGACUAUUGCUUUGAAUCACUCAUGUCUUAAUAUUCAUGCCAUGAUUAGACAUAUAAUCAAGAUUAUGCUAGGUAGCAUUCCACAUCAAAAAUUAUCUUUUUUAUCAUUUACCUACUCAAGGACGAGCAGGAAUUAAGCUUGGGGAUGUUGAUACGUCUCCGUCGUAUCUAUAAUUUUUGAUUGUUCCAUGCCAAUAUUAUUCAAAUUUCAUAUACUUUUGGCAACUUUUUAUAUUAUUUUUGGGACUAACAUAUUGAUCCAGUGCCCAGUGUCAGUUCCUGUCUGUUGCAUGUUUUAUGUUUCGCAGAAACUGCUGGGGAACGUAGUAAUUUCAAAAAAAAAUCCUACGCACACGCAAGAUCAUGGUGAUGCAUAGCAACGAGAGGGGAGAGUGUUGUCCACCUACCCUCGUAGACUGAAAGCGGAAGCGUUAGAACAACGCGGUUGAUGUAGUCGUACGUCUUCACGGCCCGACCGAUCAAGCACCGAAACUACGGCACCUCCGAGUUAUAGCACAUGUUCAGCUCGAUGACGUCCCUCGAACUCCGAUCCAGCCGAGUGUCGAGGGAGAGUUCCGUCAGCACAACGGCGUGGUGACGAUCUUGAUGUUCUACCGUCGCAGGACUUCGCCUAAGCACCGGUACGAUAUUAUCAAGGUGGACCAUGGUGGAGGGGGGCACCGCACACGGCUAAGAGAUCCAAGGGAUCAAUUGUUGUUGUGCCUAGAGGUGCCCCCUUGCCCCUGUAUAUAAAGGAGCCAGGGGAGGGGGUCGGCCGGCCAGGAGGGGCGCACCAGGAGGAGUCCUCCUCCCACUGGGAGUAGGACUCCCCCCUUCUUUAUUGGAGUAGGAGAGAAGGAAAGAGGUGGAGAGGAGGAAGGAAAAGGGGGCUGCACCCCUUGUCCAAUUCGGACCAGAGAGGAGGGCUGCAUGCCUCCUUCCUUUCGGCCUCUCUCCUCUAUUCCCGUAUGGCCCAAUAAGGCCCAUAUACUCCCCGGCGAAUUCCCGUAACUCUCCGGUACUCCGAAAAAUACCCGAAUCACUCGGAACCUUUCCGAAGUCCGAAUAUAGUCGUCCAAUAUAUCGAUCUCUACGUCUCGACCAUUUCGAGACUCCUAGUCAUGUCCCCGAUAUCAUCCGGGACUCCGAACUCCUUCGGUACAUCAAAACUCAUAAACUCAUAAUAUAACUGUCAUCGAACACUACUAGGGAAAAGCCUAGCAGCAGCGCGGGUUUUGGCCCUCUCAGUAGCGCGGGUACCGGCGCUACUAAUAAGGUGCUACAGCUAACGUAUAGCAGUAGCGCCUGUUGACCCACGCUACUGCUACUUAUGAAUAGCUGUAGCGCUCUUUGGAAAACGGCGCUACUGAUAUUAUCUGCAGCGCUUUUCAGCAGGAAGCACUACUGGUAAGUCGGCGCUACUACUAAAUUCCCCCCCUCGCUACUACUAGUUUUAUUAGUUUUUUUUCCUGCAUAUUUGUUUUUUAUUUGUUUUGUAUUUGAAUAGGCUUUAUACAAUAAUCUUUAGCAUAUCAUCCACAUACAAAUGUAAUCAUAGCAUAUACAUACAAUUAGUCUCAUCAAAUCAUUUCAUCAUCAUAAUCACGGUAGUACUUCUUCCACGUGGCACCGUCUCCGACACCGUGCACGCGUCCAUACGACGGUCGAGUAUCCACCGGUUGUUGUUUCAAUAUGUUCAACGCCCGGUUGAAUGGAGUGUCCCACUUGGGCCUCGCCAAUGCCUCAGACGGCGAGUCGCUUUCGGCCGCAAUCCGGUGCUGCUCUCUCUGCAAAAGUCACAAGGAUCGUUUACAAAUAUGACUAACGUGUGCAGUCAAAUUGAUCAGAAACUAAAAUUACCAGCAGUCUCAUGAACUCCGUAAUGACCGGUGUUGUCUCGUAAACCUUCUUCACGCUCCUGCGGGACGGUGAAAUCCACCAAGGGGUCUGGGAUGCCCAGACUCGUGGCUUCCGCGUCCUCCUUGGCCCAUUUGGACCUCUUUCCGCCGUAACCACGGCUUCCGAGGUGGUGGGUCCCAAUGUUCCUCUUUUGAAGCCCCUUCAUGUACUUAGACUUUUCUUUGGCAGCUUCGGCCUUGCAAGCCUCCUUGAAUAUUUGAAACUGCUCUUCUGUGAUUGUCGGACUAUCCUUUACAAUCUCGGAGUAGGGUUGCCCGUCGUUGAUCUUUGCUUUCACUCGAUUUUUCCAGGCGGCCAACGCGUUGCUAAACUUGGUCAAGGCGUGUUUGUUUAUCUUCUUCAUUGCUGGGUCCUUGUCUGGAUCUUCAUAAUGCUUCUCAUUCCGGCCCAGGAACAAGAAUAUCUGGUGAAACUUCUUUAGGAGGGAGCUCCUCAUAUUUUCUAUCUUCUUUAGAUUCUCAUCGUUGAUGGUGGCGGUUGUCCGUAUGAUGCAGCCUAUUUGAUUGCCGUAGCACGCGCGCGCUUCCUCGGGCGCCUUUGGCUCAAAAUUGCCGUCGUCCACCUCCGUGACCACCAAUCUAGUAGUCCUAAGUUUGUUAGGAACCCGUUGCCUCUUUGCUUUCGGUUCUACACCGGCUCCGCUCCCCGAGGCAGCACCGGUCUCAGCGCCGGUCUAGAUGCCGGUCUGAAUCUCAGUGCCGGUCUCAGUCUCAGCACCGGUCUGCGUGUCGGUCUCAGCACCGGUCUGCGUGUCGGUCUUAGUCCCCGAUGCCACCGGUGGGCCCAGCAAGAACAUCUGUUGAUCGUCGGUAAGGCUAAAAAAUUCGUCUACCGCCCGGUAGACGUCGUCGCAAUCACCAGAACCCUGUCCUUCAUCGUUGCUAGCCAUGUUUCCUAUGAUUAAAACUAGUCAAUUAAUUCUAGACCUAAUAAAAUGAAUAAUUACAUAAAAAGGACUAUUGUUUUGCAGGAAUGUUGACUCCUUCCUGGUGCGGCAAAUCCCUGGCACUCGAUAUGUCCUAGUUUGUAGCACAAGUCAUGCCGAAAUUCACGGGAAAUUUCGGCAUGACCUUUGCUAAAAAGUGGACAAAUCGAGAACCUGAAAUUUGCCGGAACAGAAAUGAAUCAACAUUCCGGCAACACAUAGGCCACUCAGCAUCAUUCCCUGGAAACAACAAAGCCACUUGGGCACAAUCGAACAACUUCAAUGAAAAGAUAUAACAUGACCACUUCAAUGAAAAAUAAAAUUUGCCUAAAUUCUUUUCCUUGAAAAAUAGUGGUCUUUUUAAAAAUCAAAAACCUUUGCCAAUCUACUUAACCUAGCUUGUUAAUCCAACGAACCUAAUUAACCUACCUAUUUAACCUAGUUAGUUAAUCUAGUUUACCUAGAUAAUUAACCCUAAUUAAACUAGUUAACAUAGCUAGUUCUCUUUCAAAGCCUAAAAUAAAUUUUUGCACUAAUUAUCCUGGAUAAUUAACCUAAUUAAACUAGUUAACCUGACUAGUUCUCUAUCAAAGCCCAAACUAAGUUUUUGCACUAACCUAGAUAAUUAACCUAAUUAAACUAGUUAACCUAACUACUUCUCUGUCAAAGCCCUAACUAAAUUUUUGCCCUAACCUAGAUAAUUAACCUAAUUAAACUGGCUAGCCUAUAUGCAUGAGAGAGAGAGAGGACGGGUGGGGGCUUACAGAUGAUCGCUCUGGUGGUGGCGACGGAGGCAAUGGUGGCGAGGGAGGCAGGGGCGUCUCCGGUGACGGCGAGGGAGGCAGGGGCGUCUCCGGUGACGGCAAGGAAGGUGGCGUCGACGGCGGCUCCGGUGGCGUUGACGAGGCCGCACGGAUUCGUGGCGUUGGGGGCCGCUCCGGUGUUGUCGACGGCGCACGGCUCUGGUGGCGUCGACGUCGGCAGCGAAGUGGGGCGACGGUGAAUCGGGGAGACGGCGGCGCGCGGGGUGGGUUGAGGGAUUUGGGGGAGAAGUGGCCGGGGGGAAAUGGUUUUUUGGUUAAGUCAAACUUAGCGGUAGUGCGUUUCGCAAAACGCGCUAUCGCUAAGAUAGCUAUAUCGGUUUUUGCAAAACGCGCUGCUGCUAUAGCUAUGUAAAUUUCUUCCUUUUUAAUUUCCUUUUCUGUUUCUAUAGCGGGGGUCUAGGACACGCGCUGCAGCUACGUUAGCUAUAGCGCCUCUUACAAACACACGCUGCUGCUAUGCCUUCCUCCGAUUUUUCGCUUUUUCGUUAAUUUUGCUUUACAUUUUAUUUUUUCCUUUCUCCUUUUUCUAUUUCUUUCAUUUCAUUUACUUUUCUAUUUGUUUUUCAUCUUAUUUUAUUUCCGUUAGUAGUAGCGCUCUUCCCUAGAAACGCACUACUAAUUAUGCCCUAGCGGUAGCGCGUUUCAUCUAAGCCCGCUACUGCUAUGUGUAGCCUAUCAUUCUUCCAAUGGGAAUAUUAGUAGUAGCGCUUUCGCGACUACCAGUGCUACUGCUAAGUUUGUAUCUGUAGCGCGGUUUCUCUUAAAUCGCUACUGCUAUAUAGCACUAGCGCACUUUUUUGACCCGCGUUGUUGCUAAAUUUCCGUGUAUAAGGUUUUCCCUAGUAGUGGAAACCUUAAGCGUGCGGACCCUACGGGUUCGAGAACAAUGUAGACAUGACCGAGACACGUCUUCGGUCAAUAACCAAUAGCAGAACCUGGAUGCUCAUAUUGGCUCCCACAUAUUCUACGAAGAUCUUUAUCGGUCAAACCGCAUAACAACAUACGUUGUUCCCUUUGUUAUCGGUAUGUUAUUUGCCCGAGAUUCGAUCGUCGGUAUCUCAAUACCAAGUUCAAUCUCGUUACCGGCAAGUCUCUUUACUCGUUCCGUAAUACAUCAUCUCGCAACUAACUCAUUAGUUGCAAUGCUUGCAAGGUUUAAGUGAUGUGUAUUACCGAGAGGGCCCAGAGAUACCUCUCCUACAAUCGGAGUGACAAAUCCUAAACUCGAAAUACGCCAACCCAACAUGUACCUUCGGAGACACCUGUAGAGCACCUUUAUAAUCACCCAGUUACGUUGUGACGUUUGGUAGCACACAAAGUGUUCCUCCCGUAAAUGGGAGUUGCAUAAUCUCAUAGUCACAGGAACAUGUAUAAGUCAUGAAGAAAGCAGUAGCAACAUACUAAACGAUCAAGUGCUAAGCUAACGGAUUGGGUCAAGUCAAUCACAUCAUUCUCCUAAUGAUGUGAUCCCUUUAAUCAAAUGACAACUCUUUGUCCAUGGCUAGGAAACAUAACCAUCUUUGAUUAAUGAGCUAGUCAAGUAGAGGCAUACUAGUGACACUCAGUUUGUCUAUGUAUUCACACAUGUAUCAUGUUUCCGGUUAAUACAAUUCUAGCAUGAAUAAUAAACAUUUAUCAUGAAAUAAGGAAAUAAAUAAUAACUUUAUUAUUGUCUCUAGGGCAUAUUUCAUUCAGUCUCCCACUUGCGCUAGAGUCAAUAAUCUAGUUCACAUCACCAUGUGAUUUCACACCAAUAUUCACAUGUGUAUGUGAUUAAUACCCAUAGUUCACAUCAUUAUGUGAUCAACACCCAAAGGGUUUACUAGAGUCAAUAAUCUAGUUCACAUCGCUAUGUAAUUAACACCCAAAGGGUACUAAGGUAUGAUCAUGUUUUUCUCGUGAGAGAAGUUUAGUCAACGGGUUUGUCACAUUCAGAGCCGUAUGUAUUUUGCAAAUAUUCUAUGUCUGCAAUGCUCUGCACGGAGCUACUCUAGCUAAUCGCUCCCACUUUCAAUAUGUAUCCAGAUUGAGACUUAGAGUCAUCUGGAUUUGUGUAAAAGCUUGCAUCGAUGUAACUUUUUACGACGAACUCUUUUAUCAACUCCAUAAUCGAGAAACAUCUCCUUAGUCCUCACUAAGGAUAUUCUUGACCGCUGUCCAGUGAUCUACUCUUAGAUCAAAAUUGUAUUCCUUUGCCAAACUCGGAGGAAGCACUACAGGAAUCAGCUAAUUUGCCGUCAGUAGAGCUCUUUGCCGUCAGCUUUUCUUCGGGCCAGACGGCAAAGACCACUUUUACCGUCAACUACUAACGGCAAAGAAUAACUUACAGCAAAGACAUACUUUGCCGUCUAUUUUUUUAUUAGAGACGGCAAAGGCAUACUUUGCCAUUUACUUUUUUUCUACAGACGGCAAAGAUGUUACUUUGCCGUCUGGAAUAAAAUUGAAGACGGCAAAUCAUGUCUUUGUUGUCUAUAAAAGAAUUGCAGACAGCAAAGACAUACUUCACUGUCUCUGUUUUUUUCACAGACGGCAAAGAAGAAAUACAGCACGCGGAUUCAUCUCGCGGAUUGAUGACAUGGCAAGAUCUAGGACGCCCACACCCGCCUCUUCUCUCACCACGCGCUCCCACCCGUUGGCCCACCAACACCGCACGCAGCCCGUGCCUUGUCCUCUCCCUCUCGUUCGUCUCUCACCUCUCCUCUGUUCGUGGUCGGCCCACACCCGCCUCUUCUCUCCCCACCACCACCACCACCCGCAGUCCGUGCUCCCUCCAUGCGCUGCUGUGUUCGCGCGCUGACUACCUCCAGCCGAUUCCGCCAGUCCCCACCCACCUCACGCUCCUCUCUGCUCGUGGCGGGCGGCGGCGCAGCGGGCAGCCACGCAGAGAGCAGGCCUUUUGGCCCCUUGGUGAGCGCCAUCGACCUCGCGCCUCCUCUGUUUGUGGGUGGCCGCGCGACGAGCAGGACGGGAAUCGGCUCGUGCGAGCAAGGCCUUGCGACACCUCGUCUAGGCGCGGCAAGCUGGCAACAGGACGGGCGAGGAGCGGCUCGGCGACCAAGGGGGCGGCGCAGCAAGCACUACUGGGCGGCUCUUCGGCGGGCCAGGCCGGCGAGCAGGGUUGGGCGGCGUGUCAGCGACCAGGGCGGCCGGCGCGGCAAGCAUGGCCGGGCGGCAGUAGUGGAGUCCCUGUUGCGGCACCUCAUCUAGGGGCAGCGAGCUGGCGACAGGGACGGGUGAGGAGCAGCUCGGCGACCAAGGGGGUGAUGCAACGAGCACGGCUGGGUGGCGCUUCGGCGAGCCAGGCCGGCAAGCUACGUUGGGCGGCGCGUCGGCGACCAGGGCGAGCGGCGCGGCAAGCACGGCUAGGCGGCGCCUCGGCGAGCAGGGCCGGGCAGCAGUAGUGGAGUCCCUGUGGUUUUGUCCACGGCGAUGAACUCUCUGUUCUGCAGUCGAGAAGGACCUGAUUGCUUUUUAGAUUUAGUUUUUAGGGUCCUUUGUGUAAACUUUCAAGACUGUUGUGUAACAACUCUGUAACUCCACCGAUGAUGAAUGAAAGGCAGCAUGGCCAGGCCUUUCCCUUUUCUUUGUCAGCCUAGCCUUCAUAUCUUGUUUUGAUGUUGACUCUGUCCAGCGUAUUUUUUGGAAAAUAAAAAAAAUUCUUUGGCGUCUGAAAAAGGUUUGGCUGACAGCAAAGAUUAUGUUUAGCUAACGGCAAAUAGGUUUCUUUGCUGUCUCCUAUUUUUGUGGCAGACGGCAAAUUCACAGUUUGGCUGACAGCAAAAUCUUUACCGUCUGUCCGAUGAAAAGCUGACGGCGAAUUUUUCUUUGCUGACUUAUCUUUGCCAUCUGACUUUGUUGUCUGCUUCCUGACGGCAAACUCUUUGCCGUUUGGAUUUAGGUCUUUGCCGUCUGUAAUCCACAGACGGCAAAUUACCUAUUUCCCGUAGUGAAGGUAUACAAUAGGUCUGGUACACAACAUAGCAUACUUUAUAGAACCUAUGACGGAGGCAUAGGGAAUGACUUUUCAUUCUCUUUCUAUUUUCUGCCAUGGUCGGGUUUUGAGUCUUACUCAACUUCACACCUUUGCAUCACAGGCAAGAACUCUUUCUUUGACUGUUCCAUUUUGAACUACUUCAAAAUCUUGUCAAGGUAUGUACUCAUUCAAAAAACUUAUCAAGCGUCUUGAUCUAUCUCUAUAGAUCUUGAUGCUCAAUGUGUAAGGAGCUUCACCGAGGUCUUUCUUUGAAAAACUCCUUUCAAACACUUCUUUAUGCUUUCCAGAAAAUUCUACAUCAUUUCCGAUCAACAAUAUGUCAUUCACAUAUACUUAUCAGAAAGGCUGUAGUGCUCCCACUCACUUUCUUGUAAAUACAGGCCUUUCCAAAAGUCUGUAUAAAACCAUAUGCUUUGAUCAACUCAUCAAAGCGUAUAUUCCAACUCCGAGAUGCUUGCACCAGUCCAUCGAUGGAUCGCUGGAGCUUGCACAUUUUGUUAGCACCUUUUCGGAUCGACAAAACCUUCUGGUUGCAUAAUAUACAAGUCCUCUUCCAGAAAUCCAUUCAGGAACACAGUUUUGAUAUCCAUUUGCCAGAUUUCAUAAAAUGUGGCAAUUGCUAACAUGAUUCGGACAAACUUAAGCAUCGUUAUGAGUGAGAAAAUCUCAUCAUAUUCAACACCUUGAACUUGUCGAAAACCUUUCGCAACAAGUCGAGCUUUGUAGAUAGUAACACUACUAUCAGUGCCCGUCUUCUUAUUGAAGAUCCAUUUAUUUAAUAUGGCUUGCUGAUCAUCGAGCAAGUCAACCAAAGUCCAUACUUUGUUCUCAUACAUGGAUCCGAUCUCAAAUUUUAUGGCCUCAAGCCAUUUCGCAGAAUCUGGGCUCACCAUCGCUUCCUCAUAGUUCGUAGGUUCAUCAUGGUCUAGUAACAUGACUUCCAGAACAUGAUUGCCGUACCACUCUGGUGCGGAUCUUAGUCUGGAACACCUACGAGGUUUGGUAGCAACUUGAUCCGAAGUUUCAUGAUCAUCAUCAUUAACUUCCUCACUAAUUUGUGUAGGAAUCACUGGAACUGAUUUCUGUGAUGAACUACUUUCCAAUAAGGGAGAAGGUACAAUUACCUCAUCAAGUUCUACUUUCCUCCCACUCACUUCUUUUGAGAGAAUAUUCUUCUCUAGAAAGGAUCCAUCUUAGCAACGAAUAACUUGCCUUCGGAUCUGUGAUAGAAGAUGUACCCAAUAGUUACCUUUGGGUAUUCUAUGAAGACGCACUUCUCCGAUUUGGGUUCGAGCUUAUCAGGUUGAAACUUUUUCACAUAAGCAUCACAGCCCCAAAAUUUAAGAAACGACAACUUUGGUUUCUUGCCAAACCACAGUUAAUAAGGCGUCGUCUCAACGGAUUUUUGAUGGUGCCCUAUUUAAAGUGAAUGCAGCUGUCUCUAAUGCAUAACCCCAUAAUGAUAGUGGUAAAUCGAUAAGAGACAUCAUAGAUCGCACCAUAUCCAAUAAAGUGCGGUUACGACGUACGGACACACCAUAACGCUGUGGUGUUCCAUGUGGCGUGGGCUGUGAAACUAUUCCACAUUGUUGUAUAUGAAGGGCAAACUCGUAACUCAAAUAUUCUUCUCCACAAUCAGAUCGUAGAAACUUUAUUUUCUUGUUACGAUGAUUCUUCACUUCACUCUGAAUUUUUUUGAACAUUUCAAAUGUUUCAGACUUGUGUUUUAUUAAGUAGAUAUACCCAUAUCUGCUCAAAUCAUCUUUGAAGGUCAGAAAAUAAUGAUACUCGCCACGAGCAUCAACACUCAUUGGAUCGCAUACAUCGGUAUGUAUUAUUUCCAAUAAAUCAGUAGCUCAUUCCAUUAUUCUGAAGAACGGAGUUUUAGCCAUCUUGCCCAAAAGGCACGGUUUGCAGUACCAAAUGAUUCAUAAUCAAGUGAUUCCAGAAGUCCAUCAGUAUGGAGUUUCUUAAUGCACUUUACACCAAUAUGACCCAAACGGCAGUGCCACAAAUAAGUUUCACUAUCAUUAUCAACGUUGCAUCUUUUGGCAUCAAUAUUAUGAAUAUGUGUAUCACUAUGAUCGAGAUCGAACAAACUAUCUUCAUUGGGUGUAUGACCAUUGAAGGCUUUAUUCAUGUAAAUAGAACAACAAUUAUUGUCUGACUGUAAAUGAAUAACUGUAUUGCAAUAAACAUGAUCAAAUCAUAUUCAUGCUCAACGCAAACGCCAAAUAACAUUUAUUUAGGUUCGACACUAAUCUCGAAAAUGUAGGGAGAGUGUGAUGAUGAUCAUAUCAAUCUUGGAACCACUUCCAACACACAUCGUCACUUCACCCUCAACUACUCUCUGUUUAUUAUGUAACUCCUAUUUCGAGUUACUAAUAUUUAGGAACCGAACAAGUAUCAAAUACUCAGGGGCUACUAUAAACAAUAGUAAAGUACACAUCAAUAACAUGUAUAUCAAAUAUACCCUUGUUCACUUUGCCAUCCUUCUUAUCCACCAAAUAUUCAGGGCAUUUCCGCUUCUAGUGAUCAUUUCCUUUGCAGUAUAAUCACUCAGUUUCAGGCUUUGUUCCAGCUUUGGGCUUCUUCGCGGGAGUGACAACUUGCUUGCCAUUCUACUUGAAGUUCCCUUCCUUUGCCCUUUUCUUGAAACUAGUGGUCUUGUCAAUCAUCAACACUUGAUGCUCUUUUCUUGAUUUCUACCUUCAUCGAUUUCAGCAUCACGAAGAGCUCGGGAAUCGUUUUCGUCAUCCCUUGCAUUAUAGUUCAUCACGAAGUUCCAGUAACCUGGUGAUGGUGACUAGAGAACUCUGCCAAUCACUAUCUUAUCUGGAAGAUUAACUCCCACUUGAUUCAAGCGAUUGUAGUAUUCAGACAAUCUAAGUACUUGCUCACUAGUUGAGAAAUCCUCCUCCAUCUUUUAGGCGAAGUAUUUGUCAAAGGUCUCAUACCUCUUGACACGGGCAUGAGUCUGAAAUACCAAUUUCAUCUCUUGAAACAUCUUAUAUGUUCCGUGACGUGUCAAAAACAUUUUGUAGUCCCGGUUAUAAGCCAUAAAGCAUGGUGCACAAAACUAUCAAGUAGUCAUCAUAUUGAGCUAGCCAAACGUUCAUAACGUCUGCAUCUGCUCCUGCAAUAGGUCUGUCACCUAGCGGUGCAUAAAGGACAUAAUUCUUCUAUCCAGCAAUGAGGAUAAACCUCGGAUCACGGACCAAGUCCGCAUCAUUUCUACUAACAUCUUUCAACUUAGUUUUCUCUAGGAACACAUAUAAAACAUAGGGAAGCAACAACGCGAGCUAUUGAUCUACAACAUAAUUUGCAAAAUACUACCAGGACUAAGUUCAUGAUAAAUUAAAGUUCAAUUAAUCAUAUUACUUAAGAACUCCCACUUAGACAGACAUCUCUCUAGACAUCUAAGUGAUCACAUGAUCCAAAUCAACUAAACCUUGUCCGAUCAUCACGUGAGAUGGAGUAGUUUUCAAUGGUGAACAUCACUAUGUUGAUCAUAUCUACUAUAUGAUUCAGGUUCGACCUUUCGGUCUCUGUGUUCCGAGGUCAUAUUUGUAUAUGCUAGGCUCGUCAAGUUUAACCUGAGUAUUCCGCGUGUGCAACUGUUUUGCACCCGUUGUAUUUGAACGUAGAGCCUAUCACACCCGAUCAUCACGUGGUGUCUCAGCACGAAGAACUUUCGCAACGGUGCAUACUUAGGGAGAACACUUCUUGAUAAUUAGUGAGAGAUCAUCUUAAAAUUCUACCGUCAAACAAAAUAGAAUAAGAUGUAUAACAGAUAAACAUCAUAUGCAAUCAAAAUAUGUGACAUGAUAUGGCCAUGAUCAUCUUGUGCCUUUGAUCUCCAUCUCCAAAGUACUAUCAUGAUCUCUAUCGUCACUGGCACGACACCAUGAUCUUCAUCAUCUUGAUCUAUAUCAAUGUGUUGUCACAUGGUCGUCUCGCCAACUAUUGCUCUUGCAACUAUUGCUAUCGCAUAGCGAUAAAGUAAAGUAAUUAUUUGGCACUUGCAUCUUAUGGAACAAAGAGAAAACCAUAGGGCUUCUACCAGUUGCCGAUAACUUCAACAAAACAUGAUCAUCUCAUACAACAACUUAUAUCUCAUCACGUAUUGAUCAUAUCACAUCACAACAUGCCCUGCAAAACCAAGUUAGACGCCCUCUACUUUGUUGUUGCAAAUUUAACUUGGCUGCUACGGGCUGAGCAAGAACCGUUCUUACCUACGCAUCAAAACCACAACGAUAGUUCGUCAAGUUAGUGCUGUUUUAACCUUCUCAAGGACCAGGCGUAGCCACACUCGGUUCAACUAAAGUUGGAGAAACAGACACCCGCCAGCCAACUUUGUGCAAAGCACGUCGGUAGAACCAGUCUCGCGUAAGCAUACGCGUAAUGUCGGUCCAGGCCGCUUCAUCCAACAAUACCGCCGAACCAAAGUAUGACAUGCUGGUAAGCAGUAUGACUUGGAUCGCCCACAACUCACUUUUGUUCUACUUGUGCAUAUAACAUCAACGCAUAAAACCUAGGCUCGGAUGCCACUAUUGGGGAACGUAGUUAUUUCAAUAAAAAAUCCUACGCACACGCAAGAUCAUGGUGAUGCAUAGCAACAAGAGGGGAGAGUGUUGUCCAUGUACCCUCGUAGACCAAAAGCGGAAGCGGUAGAACAACGCGGUUGAUGUAGUCGUACGUCUUCAUGGCCCGACCGAUCAAGCACCGAAACUACGGCACCUCCGAGUUCUAGCACACGUUCAGCUUGAUGACGUCCCUCGAACUCCGAUUCAGCUGAGUGUGGAGGGAGAGUUCCGUCAGCAUGAUGGCGUGGUGAUGAUCUUGAUGUUCUACCAUCGCAGGGCUUCGCCUAAGCACCGCUACGAUAUUAUCGAGGUGGACUAUGGUGGAGGGGGCACCGCACACGGCUAAGAGAUCCAAGGGAUCAAUUGUUGUUGUGCCUAGAGGUGCCCCCUUGCCCCCGUAUAUAAAGGAGCCAGGGGAGGGGGUCGGCCGGCCAGGAGGGGCGCGCCAGGAGGAGUCCUCCUUCCACCGGGAGUACGACUUCCCCCCUUCCUUGUUGGAGUAGGAGAGAAGGAAAGAGGGGGAGAGGAGGAAGGAAAAGGGGGCUGCACCCCUUGUCCAAUUCGGACCAAAGGAGGGCUGCGCGCCUCCUUCCUUUCGGCCUCUCUCCUCUAUUCCCGUAUGGCCCAAUAAGGCCCAUUGAGGGAGUCCUGGACUAGGGGGUGUCCGGAUAGCCGAACUAUCAUCAUCAGCCGGACUCCAAGACUAUGAAGAUACAAGAUUGAAGACUUCGUCCCGUGUCCUGAUGGGACUUUCCUUGGCGUGGAAGGCAAGCUUGGCGAUACGGAUAUGUAGAUCUCCUACCAUUGUAACCGACUCUAUGUAACCCUAGCCCUCUCCGGUGUCUAUAUAAACUGGAUGGCUUUAGUCCGUAGGACGAACAACAAUCAUACCAUAGGCUAGCUUCUAGGGUUUAGCCUCCUUGAUCUCGUGGUAGAUCUACUCUUGUAACACACAUCAUCAAUAUUAAUCAAGCAGGACAUAGGGUUUUACCUCCAUCAAGAGGGCCCGAACCUGGGUAAAACAUCGUGUCCCUCGUCUCCUGUUACCAUCCGCCUAGACGCACAGUUCGGGACCCCCUACCCGAGAUCCGCCGGUUUUGACACCGACAUUGGUGCUUUCAUUGAGAGUUCCUCUGUGCCGUCGCCGAUAGGCUCGAUGGCUUCUCCGAUCAUCAUCAACGACGCAGUCCAGGGUAAGACCUUCCUCCCCGGACAGAUCUUCGUAUUCGGCAGCUUUGCACUGCGGGCCAAUUCGCUUGGCCAUCUGGAGCAGAUCGAAAGUUACGCCCCUGGCCGUCAGGUCAGAUUUGGAAGUUUGAACUUCACGGCUGACAUCCAUGGGGACUUGAUCCUCGGUGGAUUCGAGCCACAGCCGAGCGUGCCGCACUGUCACGACGAGCAUGAUUUAGCUCUGCGGUCGGACAGUACCCUGGAGGCCGCACUUGAGCCCGCUCCGAUCUCCAAUUCAGAGCCGGCUGCGUAGAUCGAGGACGUUAGACGCCACCUCGGGGGCUGCAACCUCUACGGCGAUAGAGCCGAACACUGAUCUUGUCCCUCACGAAGGUCGUGACUCUGAGGUGGCGGACUCCUUGCCGGACUCCGAACCUCCCGCGCCCCCACCAAUCGAAUCCGGUUGGGCGCCGAUCAUGGAGUUUAGUGCCUCAGACAUCUUUCAACACUCACCUUUUGCCGACAUCCUGAGUUCGCUAAAGUAUCUCUCAUUAUCAGGAGAGCCCUGGCCGGACUGCAGCCAGGACGGUUGGGAUGCGGACGACGAAGAAAUUCAAAACCCACCCACCACCCACUUGGUAGCCACUGUCGAUGAUCUAACCGACAUGCUAGACUACGACUCCGAAGACAUCGACUGUAUGGACGACGAGGCCGGAGACGACCAAGAACCAGCUCCUACCGGGCACUGGAAAGCCACCUCAUCAUAUGAUAUAUACAUGGAGGAUAUCCCAAAGGAUGGGAAUGGCGAAGGGGCAGCGGAGGAUGACCCCUCCAAGAAACAACCCAAGCGCCGGCGUCAGCGGCGCCGCUCUAAAUCCUGCCAUAGCAAGAAUGAAGAUUCCGACACCGGAGAUAAUAACACCCCAGAUAGUGCCGAAGACAACCCACUCCAGCAAGAUUCAGCACAGGAGGACAGGGACGCCAGCCCUCAUGAGAGAGCGGCAGAAGAAGAGGUAGAGGACUACAUGCCUCCCUCCAGAGACGAGGCAAGCCUCGAUGACGACGAAUUCGUCGUGCCUGAGGAUCCCGUCAAACAAGAGCGUUUUAAACACAGGCUUAUGGCCACAGCAAACAGCCUCAAGAAAAAGCAGCAACAGCUUAGAGCUGAUCAAGAUCUGCUAGCCGACAGAUGAACUGAAGUCCUUGCGGCCGAAGAGCAUGAGCUCGAACGCCCCUCCAAAAGUUACCCUAAACGCAAGCUGCUCCCCCGGUUAGAGGAGGAGGCGUAUGAACCUGCAUCACCAGCAGACAAUACGGCUGACCGACCACCCCGUGGUCGUGAAAGAGAGGCCCCUAGGCCCUUCACUAGAACCGUACCCCGGCAUCGCUCGAAGAGCACAAAGCCACACGGGAACCCUCCGGACUUGCAAGAUAUAUUGGAGGAUAAGGCAAGACAAUCAAGAUCGAUCUAUGGAUCGCGUGGGCCCCAUGAUACGUGACGACAACCGUCGUGCCGGACACAGUAAGUCCGGCCGGGCCGAACAAAAUAGACAAAGCUCUUUCGAGCUCCGUCGUGAUAUCGCCCAGUACAGAGGCGCCGCACACCCACUAUGCUUCACAGACGAAGUAAUGGAUCAUCAAAUCCCUGAAGGGUUUAAACCCGUGAACAUUGAAUCCUACGAUGGCACAACAGACCCCGCGGUAUGGAUCGAAGACUAUCUCCUCCAUAUCCACAUGGCCCGCGGUGAUGAUCUUCACGCCAUCAAAUAUCUCCCACUCAAACUUAAAGGAUCAGCCCGGCAUUGGCUGAAUAGCUUGCCAGCAGAGUCAAUCGGGAGUUGGGAAGACCUGGAAGCCGCAUUCCUCGAUAACUUCCAAGGCACGUAUGUGCCACCAGACGUCGAUGAUCUAAGCCACAUAAUUCAGCAGCCAGACGAAUCGGCCAGACAAUUCUGGACACGGUUCCUAACAAAGAAGAACCAAAUCGUCGACUGUCCGGAUGCAGAGGCCCUAGCGGCCUUCAAGCACAACAUCCGCGACGAGUGGCUGGCCCGGCACCUAGGACAGGAAAAGCCGAAAUCAAUGGCAGCCCUCACAUCACUCAUGACCCGCUUCUGCGCGGGUGAGGACAGCUGGCUAGCAUGCAGCAAUAACUUCAGCAAAAAUUCUGGCAGUCCGGAUUUCAAGGACCGUAAUGGCAGGUCGUGUCGCAACAAAAACAAACGCCGCAUUAACGGAGAUAACAGUGAAGAUACGACAGUCAAUGCCGGAUUCAGAGGCUCUUAACCCGGUCAGCGGAAAAAGCCAUUCAAAAGAACUACUCCGGGUCCAUCCAAUUUGGACAGAAUACUCGACCGCUCGUGCCAGAUACAUGGUACCUCGGAAAAGCCAGCCAACCGCACCAACAGGGACUGUUGGGUAUUCAAAUAGGCGGGCAAGUUAAUUGCCGAAAACAAUGACAAGGGGCUGCACAGCGAUGACGAGGAAGAGACCCGGCCGCCGAACAAUAGAGGACAGAAGGGUUUCCCCCCACAGGUGCGGACGGUGAACAUGAUAUACGCAACGCACAUACCCAAAAGGGAGCGGAAGCGUGCACUCAGGGAUGUAUACGCGAUGGAGCCAGUUGCCCCGAAGUUCAAUCCAUGGUCCUCCUGCCCGAUCACUUUUGACCGGAGGGACCACCCCACCAGCAUCCGCCAUGGCGGAUUCGCCGCAUUGGUUCUAGACCCAAUCGUCGAUGGAUUUCACCUCACCAGAGUCCUGAUGGACGGCGGCAGCAGCCGGAACCUGCUUUAUCAGGACACAGUGUGCAAAAUGGGCAUAGACCCCUCAAGGAUUAAACCUACCAAGACGACCUUUAAAGGCAUCAUACCAGGUGUAGAAGCCAAUUGUACAGGCUCAGUUACACUGGAAGUGGUCUUCAGAUCCACGGAUAACUUCCGGAGCGAGGAGUUAAUCUUCGACAUAGUUCCAUUCCGCAGCGGCUAUCAUGCUCUACUCGGACGUACCGCGUUUGCAAAGUUCAACGCGGUGCCGCACUACGCAUACCUCAAGCUCAAGAUGCCAGGCCCUCGAGGAGUCAUCACGGUCAACGGAAACACUGAACAUUCUCUCCGCACGGAGGAACAUACAGCGGCUCUCGCGGCAGAAGUACAAUGCAGCCUCUUAAGGUAAUUCUCGAGUCCGGCCGUUAAGCGGCCGGACACAGCUAAGCGCGCCCGGAGUAACCUACAACAAGACCACCUGGCACAUGCCGAGCACGCGUAGCAGUGCAGCCCCAACCCCAGCCCUUGUAAAACGGCAAGACAGGUCCUUCGCGUACACCAUUACACUCUGAAGAUACCAUGGGCAUGGGGAGAGGGGCACGACCACGAUAGGCCCAGACUGCAGCUCAACCACACCAGGGGCUCUCAAGUGUGUCGUUCUUUUUUUUUCUCUUUUUCUUUUCUAUUUUUUCCCACAGGACUCCGUUCGUCAGAGGCCCUGUCUGGCAGUAGACCUGCCGAACUCACGAUGCAACAGCCAGGGAAGAAGAAAGGCUACAACGAAUAUCCAGGUGGUCUCCAUUACGAGCAUUAAAUCUGUUUUAUGCACCAUUCCGCAGCCUACCCCUGGAGGGGGACAUGUUUAACAGUCCCAUCCCUUGCUUAUCGCACCAUUUGUAUCGUUCUGCACUUACAGCAGUUUUUCUUGAAUAAGUAAUGCAGCACCUUUUUGCUUGCAAUUGCAUUUCUCUUUUAUACAUAUGUUCAUUUGUGACAUUACGCAUCCGUACGUUUUGGUAUGGCUAAAUACACCAGGGGCUUAUGUUUCCCGCAUCAUGGUGUGAUAAGUCCGAACACUUUCACAAGUGCGUCACCCCGAACUUAUAGCAUUAUAUGCAUCAGCUCCGAAUCAUGUCUUGGGUCAAUAGUUGGGUUUGCCUGGCUCCCAUGUUUUGAUACCUUAUGUUCCGUUGUAUCGGCUAAGGUAGCACUGGGAGAACCACUGCGAUUACGCCCUAGUUGAGCUGGGUUAACCCCUUAGUGGAGAAAGCUAAAACUGACCGUCAUGAUGAGGCGAGAGCUGGUCGCUGUUCGAGAGGUUUUUUGCGAGUCCCUAAAGACUUAUGCCGCUUAGAGUGAGGAGCCGGUUUUUGUCUGGCCCAGGCGUGGAUAGCGCCCCAAAUUCGGCCUUCCGAAGACUAGGGGCUUCGCCGAAAUUUAAAAUUAUAGAAUUCUAUGGCUAAGUAAGAGUGUUCAAGCAUUAUAAGUCUGGUUGCCUUGUUCGUUGUGUUGAGCGGCUCCUUAGAUGGACCCAAAUAUGGGAACAAGAGUGCUCAAAUUUAUCCCGAACACCCCAGCACUCGUGGCAUGGGGGCUGAAGCCGACGACUUGCCAUCUCUCAGAUUUGAUAAACAGGCGCACAGAAGGUAAUAUUUUAAAUUAAAAUGCGUUGCUUAGCGCAAAUGAACUAAGUUUUCAGUGCACAGGAUAACAAAAUGCGAGUCCACUCAAAUAUUACAUCUUUGGAGCACUCACCCGCAAUAGUGCGGGCGCCCUUCAGCACACUCUUAUAAUACAUCUCGGGCAUGCGAUGCUCCUUGCCCUCCGGUGGUGGGUCCGUCACGAGCUUCUGGGCAUCCAUCUUGCCCCAGUGCACCUUUGCGCAGGCAAGGGCCCGACGGGCACCUUCAAUACAGGCGGAGUGCUUGAUGACUUCAACCCACGGGCACGCAUCCACUAGCCGCCGCACCAGGCCGAAGUAGCUCCCAGGCAUGGCCUCCUUAGGCCACAGCCGAACUAUGAGGCCCUUCAUGGCCUAUUCGGCCACCUUGUGGAGCUCGACCAGCUGCUUUAGCUGGUCGCUAAGGGGCACCGGAUGUCCGGCCUCAGCAUACUGAGACCAGAAGACCUUCUUCGUUGAGCUCCCCUCCUCGGCCCGGUAGAACGCGGCAGCAUCGGACACACUGCGAGGAAGAUCUGCAAACGCUCCUGGAGAGCUCCGAAUUCGGGUAAGCAACAGGUAAUUAACACUCAGAUGCCUACUUUGCAUGAAAAAUGGCUUACCCGCUGCCAUUUUCUUCAACGCCUCGAUUUCCUGGAGGGCCUUGUAGGCUUCGGCCUUAGCGGCUUUGGCACUCUCAAGAGCCGUUGCAAGCUCAGACUCUCGAGUCUUCGAGUCACGCACCAGGCUCUCAUGUUUUUUCACGAGAUUCUGGAGCUCUUGCUGUACCUCCGCCACCCGCGCCUCCUGCUUCUCUCGCUCGGUGCGCUCCGCGGCCGCAUUGCGUUCGGCCAUGGCCACCGCCUCCUUCAGGGUCGCCACCUCGUUAUUGGCCCCUGCAAUACCCACGUUACCCUUGUCUUUCAUUUUGCAACCAAAAUCCUUUUCUGUAAGGUACAAUUUUAAUAAGGUGUUACUCACCUUCCUUGUCCUCGAGCUGCUUCUUGGCACGGCCGAGCUCGUUCUCGGACCGCUCGAGGCCUUCCUUCAAAGUAUUGACCUCCACAGUCAGUGCGGCAGAGGUCACCAGCGCAGCUUGCAAUCCCAUAUUGACAUAUUUUUUAAGACUCCUGCGUAUAUCUUCUUAGAUCCUCAGUCCGGCUUUUCUUUUCGAACACCGAACCGAGCAUCAGUGGCUACUGUCUAUGCGGUACUAUUUUACAUAUAUCAAAAUUCUUACCUCAAAGCCUGUUAGAAGGCUGCUGCAGGCUUCGGUCAGCCCGCUCUUGGCGAGCUGCACCUUCUGAAUCACCGCACUCAUAACAGUGCGGUGUUCCUCUUCGAUGGAGGCGCCAUUGAGCGCCUCCAGCAAGCUAUCCGACGCCUCCGGUUGGACGGAGGCUGCCGGUGUCACGGUCUUGACCUUCUUACGAAGGGGACGCCCGCCGGAUUCUGGAGCCACUAUGGGAUCCGGAGCCGAGUCCGGUGCAAAGUCCGGGAGGUUGUCCUGCGACACCUCCGGGGCCUCCUCCUCCUGGCGGGUCCCUUCCCGGGAUCCCACCUCGGCAUCGUCCAUGUCACGGGGGGUGGAGGCGGUCGGAAGAGAAUCCAUAUCCGACGCACCUAAGGACCCGCUCGACGAAGCGGGAAGAUCGUCCUUGGGCGGACUGCAGGGUUGUAUGCGGCAUUAGAAAGACAUUGUGUGGCAAAAAAGAGAAACCAUGAAGUUAUUCGGGAGUCCGGAUACUCACGAUCUCGCCAGGGGCUUGGCCCUUGGAGGCCAGUCCUCGUCGUCGUUACUGGCGUUGGCAGAGCAGUCCGGGGGCAGAGUUUUUCCCUUCUUGGACCCUUUGGCCUCCUUCAUUGGGGAGGCCUUCCUUUUCUUCUCUCCCCCCGCUGGGGAAGAGGCUUUCUUCUUCUCUUCCUCACCAUGGUGAGAGGAGUCGGCCUCGGAGUUGUCAUCCGAUAGCACCUGAAAACGGGAACUCUUUCGGGUCCCCGUGGCCUUCUUCUUGGCCUUCUUCUCCGGCACCACAUGGGGUGCCGGAGCCAGCAGCCCCGUCAAACGGGCGUCCGCUGGGUCCUCUGGCAAUGGGGCUGGACAGAUAGCCUGUUCGGCCUUCUUCAGCCAGUCCUGUCAAAGGAAAGUGAGUUUAGAUCCCGCAUAGAGUCAAACUAUGGAAAACAAGCGUCCCUUAAAGGACAAAAUCACUUACCUCAUCAGCUGGACGCUCCGAGCUGAAUCCGCGAUCUUUGGUAGCGGAUGCGGGAGCCUCGGCGCCCUUGGACAGCACCUUUCGGACAUCUUCGUACGUAGUGUCGAAGAGCCCGCUCAAAGUCUGGUGCUGCGCCGGAUCGAACUCCCACAGGUUGAAGCCCCGUCUUGGGCAUGGGAGAAUCUGGCGGCUGAGCAUGACCUGGACUACGUUGACAAGCUUGAGCUUCUUGUCCACUAGCUUUGGGAUGCAAGCUUGGAGUUUGGUCAGCUCCUCCGAAUCACCCCAUGUCCGGCCGCUCUCUUUCCAGGAGGUGAGCCGUGUGGGGAUGCCGGAUCUGAAUUCGGGGACCGCUGCCCAUUCGGGGUCACGCGGCUCGGUGAUGUAGAACCACCCCGAUUGCCACCCCUUGAUGGUUUCCACGAAAGUGCCCUCAAGCCAAGUAACGUGGGACAUCCUGCCCACCAUGGCGCCUCCGCACUCCGCUUCGCUGCCCUUCACAACCUUCGGCUUGACACUGAAGGUCUUGAGCCACAAGCCGAAGUGGGGCUGGAUGCAGAGGAAGGCCUCACACACGACGAUAAACGCCGAGAUGUUGAGGAUUAAAUUCGGGGCCAAAUCAAGGAAAUCCAGGCCGUAGUAGAACAUGAGCUCCCGGACAAAGGGAUGGAGUGGGAAGCCCAGCCCGUGGAGGAAAUGGGGAAGGAAUACUACCCUCUCAUGGAGCUUGGGGUGGGGAUGAGCGCUCCCUCGUUGGGGAGCCGGUGCGCGAUGUCGCUGGACAAGUAUCCGGCGUUGCGCAUCUUCUGGAUAUGCCCCUCCGUGACGGAGGAGGCCAUCCACUUGCCUUCUGCUCCGGACAUAGUUGGAGAAGGUUGAGGUGAGAUGUGUGGGCUUGGGCGCUGGAGCUCGGGUUCACAGAGAUCGAUAAGCCAAGGAGGAAGAAGGCGCAGGUAAUAGGGUUGGAUCUUUAUCCCCUUAUAUGGGCGAACAAAAACAUGCAUCCCCACCGGCCUGAUAAAACUCGCUUAUCCCCCAAGCGCCGCAAUCAAUGGCGCGGUUGGGUUACCCACGUCCGUAUUGAUGGGAAUCCCGGAAUAAGGGGAACACGAUCUCUGCUUCGACAAGACGUGCCAAGGAAACCGCUUCACUAAACGCGCUGAGGUGGUACAAUAAAAACGAUUUAAGUAAAGGCUUGGUAGUGGUGUGACGUCACACCAUCAAAUACGUCAGCAGAUUGAACUUGUGUAAAUAUUAUUAUCUCUACGGUGGUAUGUGGAAAUUAUUUUUGCAGAGCCGGACACUAUCCUGGUGUUCACAAUCUUCUAUAAAUUAUUCGGAGGAGGAACCCGCCUUGCAAUGCCGAAGACAAUAUGCGCGCCGGACUCGUCGUCAUUGAAGCCUGGUUCAGGGGCUACUGAGGGAGUCCUGGACUAGGGGGUGUCCGGAUAGCCGAACUAUCAUCAUCGGCUGGACUCCAAGACUAUGAAGAUACAAGAUUGAAGACUUCGUCCCGUGUCCGAAUGGGACUUUCCUUCGCGUGGAAGGCAAGCUUGGCGAUACGGAUAUGUAGAUCUCCUAUCAUUGUAACCGACUCUGUGUAACCCUAGCCCUCGCCGGUGUCUAUAUAAACCGGAUGGCUUUAGUCCGUAGGACGAACAACAAUCAUACCAUAGGCUAGCUUCUAGGGUUUAGCCUCCUUGAUCUCGUGGUAGAUCUACUCUUGUAACACACAUCAUCAAUAUUAAUCAAGCAGGACGUAGGGUUUUACCUCCAUCAAGAGGGUCCGAACCUGGGUAAAACAUCGUGUCCCUCAUCUCCUGUUACCAUCCGCCUAGACGCACAGUUCGGGACCCCCUACCCGAGAUCCACCGGUUUUGACACCGACACCCAUAUACUCCCCGACGAAUUCCCAUAACUCUUCGGUACUCGGGAAAAUACCUGAAUCACUCAGAACCUUUGCAAAGUCCGAAUAUAGUCGUCCAGUAUAUCGAUCUUUACGUCUCGACCAUUUCGAGACUCCUAGUCAUGUCGCCGAUCUCAUCCGGGACUCCGAAAUCCUUUGGUACAUCAAAACUCAUAAACUCAUAAUAUAACUGUCAUCGAAACCUUAAGCGUGCGGACCCUACGGGUUCGAGAAUAAUGUAGACAUGACCGAGACACGUCUCCAGUCAAUAACCAAUAGCAGAACCUGGAUGCUCAUAUUGGCUCCCACAUAUUCUACGAAGAUCUUUAUCGGUCAAAUCGCAUAACAACAUACGUUGUUCCCUUUGUCAUCGGUAUGUUAUUUGCCCGAGAUUCGAUCAUCGGUAUCUCAAUACCUAGUUCAAUCUAGUUACCGACAAGUCUCUUUACUCGUUUUGUAAUACAUCAUCUCGCAACUAACUCAUUAGUUGCAAUGCUUGCAAGGCUUAAGUGAUGUGUAUUACCGAGAGGGCCCAGAGAUACCUCUCCGACAAUCGGAGUGACAAAUCCUAAUCUCGAAAUACGCCAACCUAACAUGUACCUUCGGAGACACCUGUAGAGCACCUUUAUAAUCACCCAGUUACGUUGUGACGUUUGAUAGCACACACAGUGUUCCUCCGGUAAACGGGAGUUACAUAAUCUCAUAGUCACAGGAACAUGUAUAAGUCAUGAAGAAAGCAGUAGCAACAUACUAAACGAUCAAGUGCUAAGCUAACGGAAUGGGUCAAGUCAAUCACAUCAUUCUCCUAAUGAUGUGAUCCCUUUAAUCAAAUGAUAACUCUUUGUCCAUGGCUAGGAAACAUAACCAUCUUUGAUUAAUGAGCUAGUCAAGUAGAGGCAUACUAGUGACACUCAGUUUGUCUAUGUAUUCACACAUGUAUCAUGUUUCCGGUUAAUACAAUUCUAGCAUGAAUAAUAAACAUUUAUCAUGAAAUAAGGAAAUAAAUAAUAACUUUAUUAUUUCCUCUAGGGCAUAUUUCCUUCAGAAACCCCAUAUCAAACGGAAUCCAAACGGGAUAAAAACGGAUGGAGAAUUAUUUUGGAAUAUUUGGGAUUUUCCGGACGAAUAAUCAACGCUGAACGGUGUCCGAGGUGGCCAUGAGAUAGGGGGGCGCUCCCUCCCCCUAGGCGCGCCUGGCACCCUCGUGGGCCACCCGUAAGGCGGUUGAUGCCCUUCUUUUGCUGCAAGAAAGCUAAUUUUAUGAGAAAAAUCUGGGCGAAAUAUUCACCCAAUUGGAGUUACGGAUCUCCGGGUAUAAAAGAAACGGUGAAGGGGAAGGAUCAGAGAACGCAGAAACUGUUGGGGAACGUUGCAUAAAAUAAAAAAUUUCCUACGUUCACCAAGAUCAAUCUAUGAGUUCAUCUAGCAACGAGAGAGAAGAGUGCAUCUACAUACCCUUGUAGAUCGUGUGCGGAAGCGUUCAAGAGAACGGGGUUGAAGGAGUCGUUCUCGUCGUGAUCCAAAUCACCAGAGAUCCUAGCGCUGAACGGACGGCACCUCCGCGUUAAACACAUGUACGGUCAGCGUGACGUCUCCUCCUUCUCGAUCCUGCAAGGGGGACGGAGAGGUUGAUGAAGAUCCAGCAGCACGACAGCGUGGUGGUGGAUGCAGCAGGGCUCCGGCAGGGCUUCGCCAAGCAACUACGGGAGGGAGAGGUGUAGCAGGGAGGGGAGGGAGGCGCCAGGGUGUUGGGUGCGGCUGCCCUCCCACCCCCUCUUUAUAUAGGGACCCCAGGGGGGCGCCGGCCCUAGAGAUGGGAUCUCUAGGGGGGCGGCGGCCAAGGGGGGUGGAGUGCCCCCCAAGGCAAGUGGAGGCGACCCCUCCCCUAGGGUUCCCAACCCUAGGCGCAGAGGGGGGCCCAGGGAGGGGGCGCACCAGCCCACUAGGGGCGGGUUCCCCUCCCACUUCAGCCCAUGGGGCCCUCCGGGAUAGGUGGCCCCACCAGGUGGACCCCCGGGGCCCUUCCGGUGGUCCCGGUACAAUACCGGUGGACCCCGAAACUUUCCCGAUGGCCGAAACUCGACUUCCCAUAUAUAAUUCAUUACCUCCGGACCAUUUCGGAACUCCUCGUGACGUCCGGGAUCUCAUCUGGGACUCCGAACAACUUUCGGUUUGCUGCAUACUCAUAUUCAUACAACCUUAGCAUCACCGAACCUUAAGUGUGUAGACCCUACGGGUUCGGGAGAUAUGCAGACAUGACCGAGACGGCUCUCCGGUCAAUAACCAACAGCGGUAUCUAGAUACCCAUGUUGGCUCUCACAUACUCCUCGAUGAUCUCAUCAGAUGAACCACGAUGUCGAGGAUUUUGGCAACCCCGUAUACAAUUCCCCAAUCGGUACGUUACUUGCCCGAGAUUCGAUCGUCAGUAUCCCAAUACCUCGUUCAAUCUCAUUACCGGCAAGUCACUUUACUCGUAUCGUAAUGCAUGAUCCUGUGACCAGACACUUGGUCACUUUGAGCUCAUUAUGAUGAUGCAUUACCGAGUGGGCCCAGAGAUACCUCUCCGUCAUACGGAGUGACAAAUCCCAGUCUCGAUCCGUGUCAACCCAACAGACACUUUCGGAGACACCUGUAGUGCACCUUUAUAGUCACCCAGUUACGUUGUGACGUUUGGUACACCCAAAGAACUCCUACGGUAUCCUGGAGUUACACGAUCUCAUGGUCUAAGGAAAAGAUACUUGACAUUGGAAAAGCUCUAGCAAACGAACUACACGAUCUUUGUGCUAUGCUUAGGAUUGGGUCUUGUCCAUCACAUCAUUCUCCUAAUGAUGUGAUCCCGUUAUAAAUGACAUCCAAUGUCCAUAGUCAGGAAACCAUGACUACCUGUUGAUCAACGAGCUAGUCAACUAGAGGCUCACUAGGGACAUGUUGUGGUCUAAGUAUUCACACGUGUAUUACGAUUUCCGGAUAAUACAAUUAUAGCAUGAAUAAAAGACAAUUAUCAUGAACAAGGAAAUAUAAUAAUAGUCCUUUUAUUAUUGCCUCUAGGGCAUAUUUCCAACAGUCUCCCACUUGCACUAGAGUCAAUAAUCUAGUUACAUUGUGAUGAAUCGAACACCCGUAGAGUUCUGGUUUUGAUCAUGUUUUGCUCGCGGAAGAGGUUUAGUCAACGGAUCUGCGACAUUCAUAUCUGUAUGUACUUUGCAAAUUUCUAUGUCUCCAUCUUGAACAUUUUCACGGAUGGAGUUGAAAAGAUGCUUGAUGUGCCUGGUCUUCUUGUGAAACCUGGGCUCCUUGGCAAGGGCAAUAGCUCCAGUGUUGUCACAGAAGAGAGUGAUUGGCCCUGACGCAUUGGGUAUGACUCCUAGGUCGGUGAUGAACUCCUUCAUCCAUAUUGCUUCAUGUGCUGCCUGCGAGGCUGCCAUGUACUCCGCUUCACAUGUAGAUCCCGCCACGACGCUCUGCUUGCAACUGCUCCAUCUUACUGCUCCACGAUUCAACAUAUACACGUAUCCAGUUUGUGACUUAGAGUCAUCCAGAUCUGUGUCGAAGCUAGCGUCGACGUAACCCUUUACGACGAGAUCUUCGUCACCUCCAUAAACGAGAAACAUGUCCUUUGUCCUUUUCAGGUACUUAAGGAUAUUCCUUGUUCAGUGUUCCUUGCCGGGACUACUUUGGUACCUUCCUACCAAACUUACAGCAAGGUUUACAUCAGGUCUGGUACACAGCAUGGCAUACAUAAUAGAUCCUAUGGCCGAGGCAUAGGGGAUGACAUUCAUCUCUUCUUUACCUUUUGCCGUGGUCGGGCAUUGAGCCGAGCUCAAUCUCACACCUUGCAAUACAGGCAAGAACCCUUUCUUGGACUAAUCCAUUUUGAACUUCUUCAAAAUCUUAUCAAGGUAUGUGCUUUGUGAAAGACCUAUGAGGCGUCUCGAUCUAUCCCUAUAGAUCUUGAUGCCUAAUAUGUAAGCAGCUUCUCCAAGGUCCUUAAUUGAAAAACACUUAUUCAAGUAGGCCUUAAUGUUGUCCAAAAGUUCUAUAUCAUUUCCCAUCAAAAGUAUGUCAUCUACAUAUAAUAUGAGAAAUGCUACAGAGCUCCCACUCACUUUCUUUUAAACGCAGGCUUCUCCAUAAGUCUGCAUAAACCCAAACGCUUUGAUCAUCUCAUCAAAGCAAAUGUUCCAACUCCGAGAUGCUUGCACCAGCCCAUAAAUGGACCACUGGAGCUUGCAUACCCUGUUAGCAUUCUUAGGAUCGACAAAACCUUCCGGCUGCAUCAUAUACAACUCUUCCUUAAGAUAGCCGUUAAGGAAUGCCGUUUUGACGUCCAUCUGCCAUAUCUCAUAAUCAUAGUAUGCGGCAAUUGCUAACAUGAUUCGAACGGACUUCAGCUUCGCUACGGGAGAGAAAGUCUCAUCGUAGUCAACCCCUUGAACUUGCCGAUAACCCUUAGCGACAAGUCGAGCUUUAUAGAUGGUAUCAUUACCAUCCGCGUCCGUCUUCUUCUUAAAGAUCCAUUUGUUUUCUAUCGCUCGCCGAUCAUCGGGCAAGUCUGUCAAAGUCCAUACUUUGUUUUCAUACAUGGAUUCUAUCUCGGAUUGCAUGGCUUCAAGCCAUUUGUUGGAAUCUGGGCCCGCCAUCGCUUCUUCAUAGUUACAAGGUUCACCAUUGUCUAACAACAUGAUUUCCAGGACAGGGUUGCCAUACCACUCUGGUGUGGAACGUGUCCUUGUGGACCUACGAAGUUCAGUAGAAACUUGAUCCGAAGUACCUUGAUCAUCAUCAUUAAUUUCCUCUCCAGUCGGUGUAGGCACCACAGGAACAUUUUCCUGAGCUCCACUACUUUCCGGUUCAAGAGGUAGUACUUCAUCGAGUUCUGCUUUCCUCCCACUUACUCCUUUCGAGAGAAACUCCUUUUCCAUAAAGGUUCCAUUCUUGGCAACAAAGAUCUUGCCUUCGGAUCUAAGGUAGAAAGUAUACCCAAUGGUUUCCUUAGGGUAUCCUAUGAAGGCGCAUUUUUUCGACUUGGGUCCGAGCUUUUCAGGUUGAAGUUUCUUGACAUAAGCAUCGCAUCCCCAAACUUUUAGAAAUGACAGUUUAGGUUUCUUUCCAAACCAUAAUUCAUACGGUGUCGUCUCAACGGAUUUAGACGGAGCCCUAUUUAAAGUGAAUGUAGCUGUCUCUAGAGCGUAUCCCCAAAAUGAUAGCGGUAAAUCGGUAAGAGACAUCAUAGAUCGCACCAUAUCCAAUAGAGUGCGAUUACGAUGUUCGGACACACCAUUACGCUGAGGUGUUCCAGGCGGCGUGAGUUAUGAAACGAUUCCACAUUUUCUUAAGUGCGUACCAAAUUCGUGACUUAAAUAUUCUCCUCCACGAUCUGAUCGUAAGAACUUUAUUUUUCGAUCACGUUGAUUCUCUACUUCAUUCUGAAAUUCCUUGAACUUUUCAAAGGUCUCAGACUUGUGUUUCAUCAAGUAGACAUACCCAUAUCUACUUAAGUCAUCAGUGAGAGUGAGAACAUAACGAUAUCCUCCGCGAGCCUCAAUGCUCAUUGGACCACACACAUCAAUAUGUAUGAUUUCCAAUAAGUUGGUUGCUCGCUCUAUUGUUCCGGAGAACGGAGUCUUGGUCAUUUUGCCCAUGAGGCAUGGUUCGCAUGUGUCAAAUGAUUCAUAAUCGAGAGACUCUAAAAGUCCAUCAGCAUGGAGCUUCUUCAUGCGCUUGACACCAAUGUGACCAAGGCGGCAGUGCCACAAGUAUGUGGGACUAUCGUUAUCAACUUUACAUCUUUUGGUAUUCACACUAUGAAUAUGUGUAACAUUACGUUCGAGAUUCAUUAAGAAUAAACCAUUGACCAUCAGGGCAUGACCAUAAAACAUAUCUCUCAUAUAAAUAGAACAACCAUUAUUCUCGGAUUUAAAUGAGUAGCCAUCUCGCAUUAAACGAGAUCCAGAUACAAUGUUCAUGCUCAAACUUGGCACUAAAUAACAAUUAUUGAGGUUUAAAACUAAUCUCAUAUGUAAAUGUAGAGGUAGCGUGCCGACGGCGAUCACAUCGACCUUGGAACCAUUCCCGACGCGCAUCGUCACCUCGUCCUUCGCCAGUCUCCGCUUAUUCCGCAGCUCCCGCUGUGAGUUACAAAUGUGAGCAACGGCACCGGUAUCAAAUACCCAGGAGUUACUACGAGUACUGGUAAGGUACACAUAAAUUACAUGUAUAUCAAAUAUACCUUUAGUGUUGCCGGCCUUCUUGUCCGCUAAGUAUUUGGGGCAGUUUCGCUUCAAGUGACCCUUCCCUUUGCAAUAAAAGCACUCAGUCUCAGGCUUGGGUCCAUUCUUUGACUUCUUCCAGGCAACUGGCUUACCGAGCGCGGCAAGAUCUUUGCCGUCCUUCUUGAAGUUCUUCUUACCCUUGCCCUUCUUGAACUUGGUGGUUUUAUUGACCAUCAACACUUGAUGUUCUUUCUUGAUUUCUACCUCUGCUGACUUCAGCAUUGAAAAUACUUCAGGAAUAGUUUUCACCAUCCCCUGCAUAUUGUAGUUCAUCACAAAGCUCUUGUAGCUUGGUGGGAGCGAUUGAAGGAUUCUGUCAAUGACCGCCUCGUCCGGGAGGUUAAUGUCCGGCUGGGACAGGCUGUUGUGCAACCCAGACAUUUUGAGUAUGUGCUCACUGACAGAACUGUUUUCCUCCAUCUUACAACUAUAGAACUUGUCGGAGACUUCAUAUCUCUCGACCCGGGCAUGAGCUUGGAAAACCAUUUUUAGCUCCUCGAACAUCUCAUAUGCUCCAUGUUGCUCAAAACGCUUUUGGAGCCCCGGUUCUAAGCUGUAAAGCAUGCCGCACUGAAUGAGGGAGUAAUCAUCAGCACGUGACUGCCAAGCGUUCAUAAUGUCUUGGUUCUCUAGGAUGGGUGCUUCACCUAGCGGUCCUUCAAGGACAUAUGCUUUCUUGGCAGCUAUGAGGAUGAUCCUCAGGUUCCGGACCCAGUCCGUAUAGUUGCUGCCAUCAUCUUUCAGCUUUGUUUUCUCUAGGAACGCGUUGAAGUUCAUGUUGACAUGAGCGUUGGCCAUUUGAUCUACAAGACAUAUUUUGCAAAGAUUUUAGACUAAGUUCAUGAUAAUUUAGUUCAUCUAAUCAAAUUAUUUAAUGAACUCCCACUCAGAUUUGACAUCCCUCUAGUCAUCUAAGUGUUUACAUGAUCAGAGUCGACUAGGCCGUGUCCGAUCACCACGUGAGACGGACUAGUCAUCAUCGGUGAACAUCACCAUGUUGAUCAUAUCUUCCAUACGGCUCAUGUUCGACCUUUCGGUCUCUGUGUUCCGAGGCCAUGUCUGUACAUGCUAGGCUCGUCAAGUUAACCCUAAGUGCUUUUGCAUGUGUAAAACUGUAUUACACCCGUUGUAUGUGAACGUAAGGAUCUAUCACACCCGAUCAUCACGUGGUGCUUCGGAACGACGAACUUUAGCAACGGCGCACAGUUAGGGGGAACACUUUCUUGAAAUUAUUAUAAGGGAUCAUCUUAUUUACUACCGCCGUUCUAAGUAAACAAGAUGCAUAAACAUAAUAAACAUCACAUGCAAUUAUAUAGUAGUGACAUGAUAUGGCCAAUAUCAUAUAGCUCCUUUAAUCUUCAUCUUCGGGGCUCCAUGAUCAUCUUCGUCACCGGCAUGACACCAUGAUCUCCAUCAUCGUGUCCCCAUGAAGUUGCUCACCAACUAUUACUUCUACUACUAUGGCUAACGAUUUAGCAAUAAAGUAAAGUAAUUAUGUGGCGUUAAAUCAUUGACACGCAGGUCAUACAAUAAUUAAGACAACUCCUAUGGCUCCUGCCGGUUGUCAUACUCAUCGACAUGCAAGUCGUGAUUCCUAUUACAAGAACAUGAUCUCAUACAUCACAAUAUAUCAUUUAUUAUUCAUCAGAACUUUUGGCCAUAUCACAUCACAUAGCAAUUGCUGCAAAAACAAGUUAGAUGUCCUCUAAUUGAUGUUGCAUCUUUUACGUGGCUGCAAUUGGGUUCUAGCAAAAAUGUUUUCUUACUUGCGAAUAACCACAACGUGAUUUUGUCAACUUCUAUUUACCCUUCAUAAGGAACCUUUUCAUCGAAUCCGCUCCAACGAAAGUGGGAGAGACAGACACCCGCUAGGCACCUUAUGCAACUAGUGCAUGUCAGUCGGUGGAACCUGUCUCACGUAAGCGUAUGUGUAAGGUCAGUCCGGGCCGCUUCAUCCCACAAUACCUCUGAAGCAAAAUAAGACUAGUAGUGGCAAGCAAGUUGACAAGAUCUACGCCCACAACAGAUUUGUGUUCUAUUCAUGCAAUAGAGAACUACGCAUAGACCUAGCUCUGAUACCAUUGUUGGGGAACGUUGCAUAAAAUAAAAAAAUUCCUACAUUCACUAAGAUCAAUCUAUGAGUUCAUCUAGCAACGAGAGAGAAGAGUGCAUCUACAUACCCUUGUAGAUCGUGUGCGGAAGCGUUCAAGAGAACGGGGUUGAGGGAGUCGUUCUCGUCGUGAUCCAAAUCACCGGAGAUCCUAGCGCCGAACGGACGGCACCUCCGCGUUCAACACACGUAUGGUCAGCGUGACGUCUCCUCGUUCUUGAUCCAGCAAGGGGGAAGGAGAGGUUGAUGAAGAUCCAGCAGCACGACGGCGUGGUGGUGGAUGCAGCAGGGCUCCGGCAGGGCUUCGCCAAGCAACAACGGGAGGGAGAGGUGUAGCAGGGAUGGGAGGGAGGCGCCAGGGUGUUGGGUGCGGCUGCCCUCCCACCCCCCUCUUUAUAUAGGGACCCCAGGGGGGGCGCCGGCCCUAGAGAUGGGAUCUCUAGGGGGAGCGGCGGCCAAGGGGGGUGGAGUGCCCCCCAAGGCAAGUGGAGGCGCCCCCUCCCCUAGGGAUCCCAACCCUAGGAGCAGAGGGGGGCCCAGGGGGGCGCACCAGCCCACUAGGGGCUGGUUCCCCUCCCACUUCAGCCCAUGGGGCCCUCCGGGAUAGGUGGCCCCACUAGGUGGACCCCCGGGACCCUUCCGGUGGUCCCAGUACAAUACCGGUGGACCCCGAAACUUUCCCGGUGGCCGAAACUCGACUUCCCAUCUAUAAUUCUUUACCUCCGGAACUCCUCGUGACAUCCGGGACUACGAACAACUUUCAGUUUGCUGCAUACUCAUAUUCAUACAACCCUAGCGUCACCGAACCUUAAGUGUGUAGACCCUACGGGUUCGGGAGAUAUGCAGACAUGACCGAGACGGCUCUCCGGUCAAUAACCAACAACAUGAUCUGGAUACCCAUGUUGGCUCCCGCAUACUCCUCGAUGAUCUCAUCGGAUGAACCACGAUUUCGAGGAUUUUGGCAACCCCGUAUACAAUUCCCUUUGUCAAUCGGUACGUUACUUGCCCGAGAUUCGAUCGUUGGUAUCCCAAUACCUCGUUCAAUCUCUUUACCGGCAAGUCACUUUACUCGUAUCGUAAUGCAUGAUCCCGUGACCAGACACUUGGUCACUUUGAGCUCAUUAUGAUGAUGCAUUACCGACUGGGCCCAGAGAUACCUCUCCGUCAUACGGAGUGACAAAUCCCAGCCUCGAUCUGUGUCAACCCAACAGACAGUUUGGGAGACACCUGUAGUGCACCUUUAUAGUCACCCAGUUACGUUGUGACGUUUGGUACACCCAAAGCACUCCUACGGUAUCCGGGAGUUACACGAUCUCAUGGUCUAAGGAAAAGAUACUUGACAUUGGAAAAGCUCUAGCAAACGAACUACAUGAUCUUUGUGCUAUGCUUAGGAUUGGGUCUUGUCCAUCACAUCAUUCUCCAAAUGAUGUGAUCCCGUUAUCAAUGACAUCCAAUGUCCAUAGUCAGGAAACCAUGACUAUCUGUUGAUCAACGAGCUAGUCAACUAUGGGCUCACUAGGCACAUGUUGUGGUCUAAGUAUUCACACGUGUAUUACGAUUUCCGGAUAAUACAGUUAUAGCAUGAAUAAAAGACAAUUAUCAUGAACAAGGAAAUAUAAUAAUAAUCCUUUUAUUAUUGCCUCUAGGGCAUAUUUCCAACAGAAACAGAGAGAGACAGAGAGAUAGAUCCAAUCUCGGAGGGGCUCUCGCCCCUCCCAAGCCAUGGGAGCCAAGAACCAAAGGGGAAACCCUUCUCCCAUCUAUGGAGGAGGUCAAGGAAGAAGAAGAAGAAGGGGGCCCCUCUCCCCCUUGCUUCCGGUGGUGCCGGAACGCUGCCGGAGGCCAUCAUCAUCACCGUGAUCUUCACCAACUCUUCACCGCCUUGUAAACCCUCUCUUACCCGUUGUAAUCUCUACUUAAACAUGGUGCUCAAUGCUAUAUAUUAUUUCCCAAUGAUGUACGGCUAUCCUAUGAUGUUUGAGUAGAUCCUUUUUGUCCUAUCGGUGAUUGAUGAAUUGCUACGGUUGGUUUGAAUUGCAUGUUUUAUUAUUGGUGUUGUCCUAUGGUGCUCUCCGUGUCGCGCAAGCAUGAGGGAUUCCCACUGUAGGGUGUUGCAAUAUGUUCAUGAUUCACUUAUAGUGAGUUGCUUGAGUGACAGAAGCACAGACCCGAGUAAGUAGGUUGUUUGCGUAUGUGAUAAAGGGGACUUGAUACGUUAAUGCUAUGAUUGGGUUUUACCUUAAUGAUCUUUAGUAGUUGCGUAUGCUUGCUAGAGUUUCAAUCAUAAGUGCAUAUGAUUCAAGAAGAGAAAGUAUGUUAGCUUAUGCCUCUCCCUCAAAUAGAAUUGCAAUAGUGAUUACCGGUCUAGUAACGUAGUCAAUUGCUUACGGACAAUUUCACAACUCCUACCACCACUUUUCCACACUCGCUUUAUUUACUUUAUUGCUUCUUUAUCUAAACAGCCCCUAGUUUUUAUUUACGUGCUCUUUAUUAUCUUGCAAACCUAUCCAACAACACCUACAAAGUACUUCUAGUUUCAUACUUGUUCUAGGUAAAGCGAACACUAAGUGUGCGUAGAGUCGUAUUAGUGGCAGAUAGGGCUUGAGAGGAUAUUUGUUCUACCUUUAGCUCCUCGUUGGGUUCGACACUCUUACUUAUCGAAAGAGGCUACAACUAUCCCGUAUACUUGCGGGUCAUCAAUUUGUUUCCUCGUUGACAAAAGUUGGAUAUCUUAAAGUGGUGGGAGAUUCACUCCCCAAAGUAUCUAGUGCUCGCAGCUAUAGCACGGGACAUAUUGGCAGUGCCCACUUCUACCGUGCCUGUAGAGGCUGCAUUCAACAAUGCUGGAAGGCUCAUUAGUGAUCAAAGAAGUAGUUUGAUCCCGAGUACUAUCGAGACGCUGAUGUGCCUCGAGGAUUGGCUUAGAGCUGCUCGUAAUAUGCUUUCAAUUAUUUUUCCCAUUCUCCAUUUAAUACUUUCCAUGUUGAAUGUUUCAUUUUGAAUGCCUUUAACAUUGCAGAUCGCCAAAAGGCGGAGCCAACACUUGGAGACUAUGGUGGUGAUCAAGACAAUGCUGGAACAACCUAGGUAAUUCGGCUACUUGUACAUUGCACUUUAGUACAAUCAUUCUUUGUUGUCUUGGGGUAAUAUUUUAACUCAAUAGGACAUGGAUGAUGACUGAUCUUUCAUUGUAUUGACAUGAAGUACUAGUUGAGGUUACAAUACAUUUGUUCUUUGGACUGGAAGCACAAAUAAACAGUUUAUUCAUGUCUCUUGUACCUUAUAAUUCUCAGUUUUCUAUCUACAGAAUCUGCUUUGAAUAUUUAUAGAUUUUUUUUCUUUGGACCAUGCUGGAACCACCUUAAGGUACAUCAGACUCCAUUUUGUUAUUCUUGCAUUAAAAUAGUAGACGAUUGAUAUUCUGAAGGUUUCACAUACCUGUUACCAAGGCUCUAAUAUUUUCAUUGCCAAACUACAGUAGCUUAAUUAUAAGGCUAUCUUUCAUCCUCGUAUAAAAUGUAUUCUAUUGUUUCACUGUUGUCUCCGUCUGUACUGCCGACGUAUUAUGCAUCCAUCUUUCCAUGUUUCGGGGACUAGCAUUUGUUUUCCUAAUUGGCUAAUUGAGGUGACCAUGUUCAUCCCCUCAGGUUCUAUGAGUUUCUGGGACCAUGGGCAGAGGCUUUCUUUAUUGGUGAUUUGUGGGCUCUUUCAUGGGUCGUGCUGUUGGAUGCUUCCUCGCAUGAUGUGAAGAAAGAUGGUGUCGCCCUGUUCAGAGCAUAUAGCUAUAUAGCCUUGUCAACUUUUCCAUUUGUGAUGUAUUAUGUAUUUACAUAUUUUACUUUUUUUAGAUGUAAUGUGUUUUCACAUAUUUAUAGUAAUUUUUGUGUGAUGUUAGUGUCAAGUUUACCAUUGUUGUACAAUCUUGUGGCAUGUAUCAUGAACCGAAGCUAUAUUUAGAUGCUUUUCAUUAGUAUUGUAGCUUAAAUAACUUGCAAGCAAGUCCGUCUACAGCCUGCAGUUGAUGAACUGGAAAUACGUAUACUUUUCUUAUGUGGGAACCCACUUAUUCCCACUUAAUCCUUCAUACUUCUAGUGGGCUGUCCAUUAGUGCCCGUCAACCAAUGGUGGGAAUAGGUGGAGUUGUGGUGGGACGCCCACAUGCAGUCCCACCUGCAGCCUGACACCUAGCUCUGAAAGUCAAAACGCUGAAGUUUCACAUGUAGAUCGCUACUACUAGAUUGAACAGCGUGUUGACUUCCUCCAUUUUCAACUUCCUAAAAUGGAUUGGGUUUCAAGCACGAUGCAACAAAUCAGGUACAGAGACUAAGAAUCAAUCAUGUACAGAGAGUAGAAUCAAUCAUGGCGAGAAUCUUAAUCCUUUGGUUAACAAGUUGAACAAAAAAGAGAAAGAAUGGAUGGAGGGGGAAAGGACGUUGGACGAGAGUUCAUACCUGCAGAGGCGGAUCUCAGGUCGGCGAGGGUGGCACGAAUCGGUCCGGCGAGCCGCGCGCUGCUCAGGGGUGGUGCAAGAUCCGGCGAGACGCGUGGUGCUCAGGGGCGGAGAACGGCGAGGGAGAAGAGGGGCGGCCGGAAGAGCAGUGCGUCGCCGACGGGCCGGUAGCUCAAACCCUAUCCUCGCAAGAAGUCGGCACUAUGCCGCUGUCGAUGGUGAGGUGGGUGGCCUGCCCUGUAAUCGCUAGAUGGGUGAGGUGGGAUCCCAUCGAGCUAAACUAGACAGCCCACUAAACUUUUUUGUUGUCCCACGGGUGCCCACUAAGAGCAUCUCCAGCGGUUGGCCCCCCAGGGGGCGCGUAAAAUCGCCGCCUGGGGGCGUGCCGGCACUAAAAAUCAGCGUGGGGGCGAGUGGGUUCCAAGCCGCCGAUCCCAGGGCCGCCCCUAGACGCCGUUUAUGUUUAAAAAAAUGAAUUCAGCAAAGUUUGGCAAACUGGACAAACAAUUCGGCUAAAAUUCGGCAAAGUGGGCAUAUAUUCGACAUGUUAGACAUUACAUAGCAAAGUUAUUUAAAAAACGCCGCAACUACAACUUAAGGGCCGAAGAAGUCGCUGAGCGUGGCGAAGUCGUCGACGUCGCCACCAUCCUCGCCGCUGUCAUCUUCAUUGUCGGCCUUCUCCUCCUUGACGCUGCCGCCCCUGCUGGACCCCUGCCCGGCGUCGCCCUGGCGGACCGGUGGCGCAUCAUCGUCGAGGACGAUGACGCUUCCCUCGUCGCGGCCCCGGUGUCGAGUUUCGAACUGCUCUAGGGCGCGGCACUAGCGCUCCAUUUCCAUGCGCGCCCAGUCAUCGCGCGCCCAUUUCAGGGCCGCCGCGUUGUCGAGCUCCCCGCUUGCGAUCCCGGGCUCCGUCUUCACAGCGGCGUGCCCCGGCUCCGAUUUCACGGCGGCGAGCCCCAGCUCCGUCUUCGGUUUGACGUAGCAUGAAGGAGCUGAGGAGGAGGCGCGUCGGCCGCCCUCAUUGAUGACAAUGCCGGUGCUGUGGGUGCGCCGGCCGAGCGGCGUCUUCGCUGCGGGUUCGGCCUUGACGCCUGAUAACCCGCAAGUAUACAGGAUAGUUGUAGCCUCUUUCGGUAAGUAAGAGUGUCGAACCCAACGAGGAGCUAAAGGUAGUACAAAUACUCUCUCAAGUCCUAUCGGCCACUGAUACGACUCUACGCACGCUUGACGUUCGCUUUACCUAGAACAAAUAUGAAACUAGAAUUACUUUGUAGGUGUUGUUGGAUAGCUUUGCAAGAUAAUAAAGAACACGUAAACAAAAAGUAGGGGUUGUUUAGAUAAAGAUGCAAUAAAGUAAAUAUAGCGACUGUGGAAAAGUGGUGAUAGGAGUUGUGGAAUUGUCCCUAAGCAAUUGACUAUGUUACUAGACCAGUAAUCAGUAUUGCAAUUCUAUUUGAGGGAGAGGCAUAAGUUAACAUACUUUCUCUACUUGGAUCAUAUGCACUUAUGAUUGGAACUCUAGCAAGCAUCCGCGACUAGUAAAGAUUCAUUAAGGUAAAACCCAACCAUAGCAUUAAAGUAUCAAGUCCCCUUUAUCCCAUACGCAACAAUCCCCUUACUCGGGUUUGUGUUUCAGUCACUCACGCAACCCACUAUAAGCGAAUCAUGAACGCAUUGCAACACCCUACAGCAGGAAUCCCUCAAGCUUGCGCGACACGGAGGGCACAAUAGUACAACACCAAUAAUAAAACAUGCAACUCAAACCAAUCAUAGCAAUUCAUCAACCACCAAUAGGACAAUGAAAAUCUACUCAGACAUCAUAGGAUGGCAACACAUCAUUGGAAAAUAAUAUGAAGCAUAAAGCACCAUGUUCAAGUAGAGGGUACAGCAGGUUGCGGGAGAGUGGACCGCUGUAGAUAGAGGGGGGAAGGUGAUGGAGAUGGUGGUGAAGAUGGCGGAGGUGUUAGUGAAGAUCGCAGUGAUGAUGAUGGCCCCCGACGGCGUUCCGGCGCCACCAAAGGCAAGGAGGAGAGAGCCCCCCUUCUUCUUCUUCUUCCUUAACCUCCUCCCUAGAUGGGAGAAGGGUUUCCCCUCUGGUCCUUGGCUCCCAUGGCGUGGGAGGGGCGAGAGCCCCUCCGAUAUUGGAUCUAUCUCUCUGUUUCUGCGUUUCCAGAUUCUGCCCCUUCACCGUUUCUUUUAUAUCCGGAGAUCCGUAACUCCGAUUGGGGUGAAUCUUUCGCCCAGAUUUUUCUCAUAAAAUUAGCUUUCUUGCGGCAAAAGAAGAGCGUCAGCCCCCUUACGGGUGGCCCACGAGAGUGCUAGGCGUGCCCAGGGGGAGGGCGCGCCCCCUGUCUCGUGGCCACCUCGGGCACCGUUUCGCGUUGAUUCUUCCUCCGGAAAAUCCCAAAUAUUCCAAAAUAAUUCUCCGUCUGUUUUUAUCCCGUUUGGAUUCCGUUUGAUAUUGAGUUUCUGUGAAACAUAAAACAUGCAACAAACAGGAACUCGCACUAGGCACUGGAUCAAUAUGUUAGUUCCAAAAAUAGUAUAAAAAGUUGCCAAAAGUAUAUGAAAGUUGAAUAAUAUUGGCAUGGAACAAUCAAAAAUUAUAGAUACGACGGAGACGUAUCAACGCCGAAAACCGCCGGCGAGCCAGAAGAAUGGGAAGAAGAGCGAGAGGAGGAGUGAGAGGAGGAAGUCGAGGAGGAGCCGAACCUCCUGGGCAUCCAUUGCCCGACGCUCCGGCGGGGGACCGGGGCGGCCACCGUGGCCGGGUAUGCCAGCGGUGGGUCAUUGCUGCCCUCGAGGUACUGCAGCACGUCGUGGAGCGAGCGGCGGCCGAAGCCGUUGGCCACCACCGCGUCGCCGGGGAACCGCGCGGCCAUCGAGCGGGCUUGGGAGAGAGGGGAGGGAAGAAGCGUCGGCAGACAGGUGCGCAUGGGGAGAGAGGCAGAGCUCGGCGGCGGUCGACAGUCGGCGGGCGGCUGUGGGCUGGUGUGGCCAGAGGCGAGGGAGGCCACUGGUUUAUAUAGCCCCGCGCCGUGUGUAUGCAUGGCGGGAGGGAAGGCGUCGCCGCGCCGCCCGUGACGCGCCGCCCGUGAUGAGAAAUCAAUGGCAAGGCUGACCGGCAGCAGCCUUGCCAUUGAUUAUACGCGGGAAACCGAGGCGUUCCGACGACGACGAGGCGCGUGUCGCUGACUCGGCGGGCCCGCGGCUCUUUCGUGCAAAAACCACUCGCACCGGUGCCCCCAGCGCACCGAGUUUGGCCUGUGUCCGCUAGCGCUAAUUUCGGCCCAAGCCGGCGAAAAACGGGCUCCUACAGGCACGACUAGGCCGCUUUUUCGACGUGGGCGCAAAAAAAUCACGUGAGGAGCCGUGUUGAGGGAGCAACUAGUUUACGAGCGCUCCUUCGGAGCGCUCGUAACGAGCGGUUCAGGAGCGCCCCGCGCGUGACAAGUGUCACGCGUGGAGUGAUCCUGCCAGGGAAAAGUAGGUGGCGCGGAUGGUUCCCGGUUUUCCCUUUCCGGUUUGUGGUUUCGUGCAUUUUGCACUUUGACCCUCAUACUACCACAUUUUUCCGUUUUCCCUUUCCACGCGAAACACAAAAAAAAAUACGACUUCGCGCGCUUCGUUCCCUGUUUCCCUUUUUUGUUUCCCUUUCUAUUCCCAUUAUAUUUCCGGGUAAUGGAGAUUUAUGGGGUAGUUACGGGCAGGGACUACCAACACUAUCAGAUGUGACCUUUCAAGUAACGAAAAAACAACUUUUUAAUGUAAAAUGACAGUGUUCAGAAUUGUUCCAUCGUGUGACUUCUUUAUAGGCACAGGUGAACACUAGGAGAGGCACGGGUGUACAACUUUACUAAAUUGAAGAAAAACGUGAUGGUUUGUGCAGCGUGCUGGUUCGUGCGGUGCAUUGUCCGUCGCGGUGUGACACGGCGCCUCCGGCACAAGGGAACCUCCUGCUCGCCUUCGGCUCGUUUAAUUUUCAUAAACAUCUUGAAGGGGGGGCAUAGGUCGAAGUGUGUGUUGGGUCGUGCAGUGUGCUGGUUCGUGUGGCGCAUUGUCUAUCACGGUGUGACACGGCGCCUCCGGCGCGAGGGAACCUCCUGCUGGCCUUCGGCUCGUUUAAUUUUCAUAAACAUCUUGAAGGGGGGGCAUAGGUCGAAGUGUGUGUUGGUCGAAGUGUGUGUUGGGUCGUGCAGNNNNNNNNNNNNNNNNNNNNNNNNNNNNNNNNNNNNNNNNNNNNNNNNNNNNNNNNNNNNNNNNNNNNNNNNNNNNNNNNNNNNNNNNNNNNNNNNNNNNNNNNNNNNNNNNNNNNNNNNNNNNNNNNNNNNNNNNNNNNNNNNNNNNNNNNNNNNNNNNNNNNNNNNNNNNNNNNNNNNNNNNNNNNNNNNNNNNNNNNNNNNNNNNNNNNNNNNNNNNNNNNNNNNNNNNNNNNNNNNNNNNNNNNNNNNNNNNNNNNNNNNNNNNNNNNNNNNNNNNNNNNNNNNNNNNNNNNNNNNNNNNNNNNNNNNNNNNNNNNNNNNNNNNNNNNNNNNNNNNNNNNNNNNNNNNNNNNNNNNNNNNNNNNNNNNNNNNNNNNNNNNNNNNNNNNNNNNNNNNNNNNNNNNNNNNNNNNNNNNNNNNNNNNNNNNNNNNNNNNNNNNNNNNNNNNNNNNNNNNNNNNNNNNNNNNNNNNNNNNNNNNNNNNNNNNNNNNNNNNNNNNNNNNNNNNNNNNNNNNNNNNNNNNNNNNNNNNNNNNNNNNNNNNNNNNNNNNNNNNNNNNNNNNNNNNNNNNNNNNNNNNNNNNNNNNNNNNNNNNNNNNNNNNNNNNNNNNNNNNNNNNNNNNNNNNNNNNNNNNNNNNNNNNNNNNNNNNNNNNNNNNNNNNNNNNNNNNNNNNNNNNNNNNNNNNNNNNNNNNNNNNNNNNNNNNNNNNNNNNNNNNNNNNNNNNNNNNNNNNNNNNNNNNNNNNNNNNNNNNNNNNNNNNNNNNNNNNNNNUCGAGAGUCACGCGUAAGGGUAUGUGUGUUUAUGGAUAUUGCCCGGAGGCAUGGUGACUCAGGGUUUGGCGGCACAAGGCCAUGUCGCCUCUAGAGGCACGGGACGGUGCUUUCGAGAGUCACGCGUAAGGGUAUGUGUGUGUAUGGAUAUUGCCCGGAGGCAUGGUGACUCAGGGUUUGGUGGCACAAGGCCAUGUCGCCUCUGGAGGCACGGGACGGUGCUUUCGAGAGUCACACGUAAGGGUUCAUUUUGGGAGUCACUGCUGUAGUACAAACAAGAAGAGGCAUUGUUGUUUAUAGUUUAAUGGCACUGUCUUAUGAUGUAAGAGGCACUGUGUCAAAAUAGUUCUCUUUUCAACAUGAACACGCAAUUUUUAACUACAUUGCAUAUAAAUGUGAGUUAUUGACAAACUGUUUUCUCACAUCUAGAUAGAAUUAGCCUCUCAGGCUAAAUCAAAAGUUUUACUCUUCAUUUUUGCUUAAGAUCUUGCUAAUCUCGUCACCCCUUUCACUACCUUUGACUUGAUUCAUCUCGCUAUUUAAGAGAAUGUAAAUUGCCUCUGCCCUCCAGUCUUUGACCUCAUCCUGUGAAAUUUUACCGAGAAGAGAAGUAUAUUAUUAGAGUUUUUGCAUAUAAGCUAUUUAUAAGUAAAUAUGUAUAAACUUACUGUCAAAUCUUCCAGGUCUUCGACAAACUUUUCACCAUUGUAGAGGAAUGCAAGCUUUAAAACAGCAAAUGUUGAUUCUCCCUUUUCUACCACUGGAACUUCUUGCACGGUAUGAGUCUGCCAUCUUGUACCCUUGGGAUUCAGUGUUUGUCCUAGUAUGAUGUUGAAGACUUCUUUAAACCUAGGUACCUGGGAAUAUUGCAUUUUGUAAUUAAUUGUUUUAAUAUUGCAACUUGUAAAACUGAAAAAAUUGUUAUGUAUAAAUGCUUACGAUUGCCAACUUAUGAACAUAAUAUUCUUGAAACUGUCUUUCUCUUUCUUCUUUAGCAUCUUCAUUUUCCUGAAGAACUCGACAUGCUUCUUCUUCUUCCAAUUCGUCGAUGUCUAUCUUUUCUUUCUCAAAUUCCUCGUGAGUCGUUUCUCGAGGAUCAAUAAUGUGAACUUUGUGUUUGUAUUUGUCUAGGGCAUAUAGUACAUAGCGGUCAAGCUUCUCCAUUAGAAUGAAUAUCUGCGUACAAAAUACUUGUUGCUUAGAUGACAGUUUAAUAUAAAGUAAUUUGAUAGAACACAUAUUUUGUGAUUUUUUCAUGGAAGAAAGGGUUGUUACCAUGUUUGCUGUUGAGAGCUUUUUUCGUUGAUUUUCCUUGAGAUACAUGGGAACCACCUGAUUCUUUGAUUUUUGCAAUUCAUUUUUAAAUUUAUUAAUACUAGUUGUGUGUUCGUUUAAACGCAAUAUAUGCUGCAAACAAUAUUUGUGAUGAAAAAACUGUUAGAAAAAAGAGCAACGUAACAAUAUAAAAAGAAACAAUAUAACACCAGACUUUGCUUUUUAAAAGUUUACCUCUGCAAAGUUUGGGCCUAAUAUUACUCUGUCACUCUAUUUUGAAUCUUGUCUGCUUUCCAAUAUUUCUGCUAUGUCAUCGAGGACCCUUUUUUCUAUAUGAUGUGGUAUGUUUGUCUGUGCUGGUCUUGGACCAAAUACUGCCUUGAGUUGGGCUCCAAUAAGUUGCGUGCUUUCACUGUCCCUGCGGAUGCGCCUAAAUAUAGUUUUGCUGCGACAGGGAGAUAAAAUAAUUUUCGAGGUCAUGGUUAGUGAGAAACAGAUUAUUGCAUUACUUUUGGCCUCUGUGCAAUUAUUUUGAGGUGCAAUAGAAAACAACUCACUUCUUGUAUUGAUGGAAGAGGUCGGACGCCUCCUUUGUGUGAUGGAAGCAAUGAGAAUGUUUUGGAUAUGGACUGGUUCUUUGUCUUUUUUUCCUUUUUGUUUCAUCCGUUUGUGUCAGCGGAAGCAGAUAUGUAAUAUGUAAGGUCUCGUGAUAUGAAAGACAUUGGUGAACCGAGGGAUGGGUAUGUUAUUACAAAAAAAAGAUAAGUAGAAAUGAUUUUCUUACCUUUGUUGGUGGAAAAGAACUUUGAAGUUUCUGGUUUGAAUUCUUUGAUUCUUCCAGGUAGUUGCUCCUAGUUUACUAGGUUUGUUUCACCAAAUAUGGCUGUAAAAAGGAACUCUGGUUUCCACUCGGCAUCUACGUUGCUUUGCUGCAAGGAGGUCAUCAGAUAUUCUUUUAUUUUUCUUUCAUGAGAUAAUUGAAGUAUUCAAGUAGUGCUGCUUGUAAAAAUUAAAUUUUUUGCUCUUGUACUAUUCACUUACAUUGAAAUCCUCAUCAUCUUUUAUGAGAUCAAUGCCAUUCCAGUAUUUUGCAAAUUGAACCAUGAAGUGUCCGCAUUGGCUACCCUGCUGUUUUGGCACGCAAACUCUGUUAGGUGUUUCUGCUAUCCUCGACCAGUUCGGUUCGUUGUUGGCUCGUAGCUCCGCUUCGCCGUAAUGCUUCUUCAUGAGUGCGUGCAUCCUUUUAAGCUGUGUUAUUAUUGGAUUUUGCCAUUAAUAAAGGGAAUGCAGGAAUUGGAAAACCAAUUAGAAAUCAAUGUUGAAUUGACGUACCAGUUCUUCGUGAUCCUUAUGGUGUGUUUUCCAUGUACUUUUUCCGUCUCCGUGUUUGUAAUUCAAUGAGUCAAGAAUGUCGAUGGAUUUCGUGUACUUGUUGAUCACGUACAAUGUGUAGUGUUUAGCUGUGUUGUGAGAUAUCAUAAUCUGCAGUGUUUGGAGACAGAGUGAGUUAAAGUUCAUUCUUGUCACGAGAAUCAAAUGACAUGUGAAUGUGCAAUCUGUAGGAAGAAUGAAUUAUGUUUCUAUAUUUCUAUGAACUUACUAGGUUUUUCUUUAAAAGUUCGUUCCCUGUUACAAGGGAUGCAAACUGGUCCAAUGCUCCUUCCUCAUUGAAUUCUGCUAGUCCUGCUUUUUCUCCAAUUUUAACACCGAGCAUGAUCUGCGACCAAAAUGUUUUCUACUUUUUAGUUCAAUCAUUGUAAUCACUGAAUUGAUGCAAGUGUUUUUUUCAAAUUGGACUUCAUACGUUUGCAAAUUCUGCGGGAAGUAUGGCUUUAUCGGUCGUGUUGUAUUGUUGCUGCACUGUCCAUUCGUCAAACUAUGCGUUUCCGAUGGAGCCCUCCAUCUGUGCAUGAUCUCCUUUCCAUAGCUGUUCCAUUGCUUGUUUUCCUGUGAUCCAAUCGGUUCACUUUGAGCUAAUAUAUAUGUUUAUAAUGCAAGCAGAAAAAGUUUAUACAUUAGUUAGGUUGGUUUAAAAAGGGGCAACAUUUCUUUGUUUUUUUGUUUAUGCAAGAGAAAGUACUUACUCUCCGCAUUCAUCUUGUCCUUCUUUGCCGAAUAGGUAUUCAUGGAGUGCUCUGGCUUUGUUCAUAAAUUUGAAAUCUCCUGGGACAAAAGCAGGAAUCAUGAUUUCUCCAAGGAGCCUUCUUGAAGGCUUUACCGGCCUUUUCUUGAUCGAGAUUUUCUUGUCUGGGCUGUUCUCGGAUGAUUGAGGCAUUGAACGUUCUCCUAACUCUUGCUGCAAGAUUGCCAGAUAGAGCUUGGGAUUUUUGUUGAAUUCAUAGCUUUCAUGCUCGGUCAGCCACGUUUUGAUUAAAUCGAAGUUAGAGCCCUUCUUUACAUGUUCGUUGUAUUCGUCUAGUUGUAGCGGGUUAAGGCUUGAAAGAAAUUCAUCAACUUCUUCCUGCGUUUCCAUUGUUUUUGGUUUUAGGAAGUCUAAAGAGAUGGUGCUGGAGGUGCCUUGCUGAUUGCUUGUCGAGCCUGUUUCUUCUUGAAGAAGAACAUGCUGUUUCUUCUGCUCGUAAACCUGUUGUUGUGUAUUUGGUACGUUGUUGCUUCUGUCAUCCUCUUUUAAAUCAGUGCUUGUUUGUUCCAGUUGCUCUGUGGUCGUGAUAUCGCUGUUGAUAUUUUGCUCGUCUGUUUCCUCUUUGGCAUCGUGUGGUAUCUUGUCGUCUGGUGGUGGUUGAUCUGGUUCUAUUGGUGGAUCAUUUUGUUCGUGGUCUGUGCAAGAUUGUUGGGCGACGGCGUGGCUGCUGACAUCCAUAAUAUCUUUGCGUUUACUGGAUAUAUCAAUAACUUCAUGCUCUUGUGUGGUUGUCGCAUGCAUAAUAUGUUCUUUUGGCCCGGGAGUUGGCGGAAACUCUUCUAGUACGCAACAUUUUGCCUGUUGCAUUUCUUUGUCUUCCAUAUCUACUUCAUAUUUUAGCAUAUCUGUAAAACAAUAAAAAAUAUAUUACUUCUUCUAGUGUUACAAAACUGUAAGAUUUAGUUUCUGAAAAGACUAACCUGUUGUACACUUGAUUAGUGACAUUUUUGUAUUCCCUCUGUGUUGAAUGAUUAGUUGAUAUAGAACCUUUUUCCUCAAUUUCGUACUUGCUCUAGCUUUAAGGUUGCUGUUGUUCCAUCACUGGAGUAGUGCUUCAGGUUCAUGUACAUAUAGAAUGCGCAGUCCAUUCUGCAUCUAGAGGAAUGGUACUGGUAAGAUUGUUGCAUUCAAGAAACGGAAAGAAGAGAAAAGUUUGAGCAAUGGUAGUGGUAAUUGUUGUAUUGAAAAGACGAAAGGACAAAAUUAUUUCAGUAAUUGUAGUAUUGAAUCUUGCAUUGAAAAAAAGAAAUGAGUGAAGUUGUUGGAAGUGCUUACGUGUCUUCUCCUUGUAGUGGCACCUGGAGUCUGACCUUUUUGUAAUGGUCGAUGUUUUUUUCUAAAAGCUGUAGCUCUAUACUUAUGUGCUUCCAGAUUUUCAUUAGUUUGGUGGUUACAUUGUUGAAGAAUUCUAUUGUGCCUGGAUAUGCAGUUGAAGAGUCAAGGAGUUCAAAGAACUAUUUUUGCAGGUUAACUGUGAUGGUGAAGUAGUGACUUAUAGUUUCGUCUUGCUCAAACCCGCACAAUGAACAUGGUAGAAGGAACUGCAAAAUACAAAAUAAAAAGAAAACAUUUCGAAAUCUUCUUAUAUUUAGAAACAUAAAAUAAAAAGACAACUUUGCAUAAAAUAUACGCAAUUUGUGUUUUGUUUUUGAAACAGCUGAUCUCCUUACCAUGUUAUAAUCUUGCAGUUUUUCUCCUUCUUGCAUGUUGAAAAAUGAUCUAAGCCUUGCAGGUAGUAAUUUUUUGUAAUGUGUUGUUGAUCGUUAUUUUCAUAGCACAUUGGAUCUUCGUCGUCGGCUUCCCUUAUUGAGUGCUGCUUGUUUCGUCACAUAUAGACAAAGGGAAUUUGUCAGUUCAGCUAUAGGGGAAGUUUAUCGAUUUAUAAAGUCAUAUAUAGUGUUUUAAACGUGAUUCUUUUGCCGUGAUAUUUACUUAAAGUGUUGCUUAACUACAGAAUGUUUCUCCGUGUGCCAUUGAGUUGUUUUCUCAAGAUUGUUAGCAUGGGCUCUAUUGCUUCGGUGCGUACUGAUUUACCGACCUUGAAGCUUUCGGAUACAUGUCCUAGAUUUACAUCAAACUUGUCCAUUGUAAUGAAAAGCUGAUCCCUGCAAAGUAUAUUUAGAAAAAUGUUUUGGUUCACACAUGAUACAGUCAAAAUGAUCGUGUGUAACAAUGCUUUCUGUGUUAGUUGCAUGAACUUACAUUUCUCUCUUUGUCCAUGGCUUGCAUACAGCAUUGUACAGAUCUUCGAUGGCUUUGUUGACGGAAUCACUAUCUUUGCCCCCUUUCUCCACUGUGCCUGCGAAGAUUUUGAAUUUAAUAUAAAUAAUUCCAAGUCACAAAGAUCACAAGAUAGCAAUUAUGUUUCUAUUGUCUUGCCUGGUUCGAUGCUGGAAGAUAUGUCCUGUCGAGUGUUGUUCCUUUCUUGUUCUCCUUCUGCUUCCUGCGGCAUGUUUUGUUCUUCUUUUUGCGUUGUACCCUUUUGUUCAGUUUCUUCUCCAUCCUUAUUUGAGUCGUAUGUGAUUUUCUUAGCAUCAUGUUUUUCCUUGUCAACCGUUAUGUCUUGCUGGUAGUUUUUUCCGUCUUGUUUUUCAGUCUCGACCUAGAUGGCACUGACAUGUCUGCAAGGGGAAUUGGCAUUCUGGUUCUUUCUAUGGAACAAUUUGUGUGCUUGCUUCAUUGGUUGUAUCUCCGUGGUUGCCUUCUUCGUGUUUCUGUGUUGUCUUUUAAAAAGCAUUGAAAUAAUUUAACUUGCCACUUUAUUUUAAUUAUAGCAGCUGUGAUGGGAAAAUAGCGAAGCGUUUGGUGCGUGCUUUGAGCUAUUUUGAUUGUGAUUAAGUUGUCAUUUUGUGGAAACAUUUCGUGCAACUUCACCUGUUGAGCUGUCGUUGGUGAUGCUCACUGUUCCACCCGUUCUUCGUUGGGUGUUGUUUCUUGGGUACCGUCUUGUUCUUUGUUUUGGUGAACAUCGUCACUAUCAUGGUUUUUGUCUUGCAGCUGUUCAAUCAUAAAGGUGGUAAGUUUCAGCCAUGGAACUACUUUAUAUUUUCGUAGAAUCAGCUUAUGUAACUUUACCUUCUCAGUCGUUGCUGUUUCUGUUGUCUCUGCUGCUGUUCUCGUUGCUGCUGCUGACUAUUGUGCUUGUUCUUUGUUGAGUGGAGGUUUUUGGGCAUCUUCCUGUUCUGUCUUUUGGAGUUCAUCGCCGCUGCCGUUGUUUUUGUCUUGUAGCUUUUGAAACACACAGGUGGCUAAGUGGCAGUGCAUUUGAGCUUCAACAGAGCUAUUUUAUACUUUCAGAGGAUCAACUUAUGUAACUUUACCUUUUCAGUCGUUGUCGCUACUGCCGUCUCUGCUGCGGUUUUUUUGGUGAGUGAAUAUUUUGGUGCUUGGUCUUAUUUGACGUUGAUGUCUGUCGUUUGAAGAACAUUUUGCCCUUCUUUUGUGGCCUCCUUUUCCUCAUCUGUCUCCUCUCUCUGUGAUCGAGGAAAGUAGUGAAAUGUGAAAUGCGUAUUUUUGAACUAUAAGAUAAUUCAUAGGUAUUAUGUGUUUUCACCUCUGUACUUGUUACUGCUGAUUGUUCUAUGUGUUCUUCGCGUGGUGUUUUUGGGUCCUUCUCUUGCUCUUUUUUUGCUGUUCAUCGUCAGUGACCUUGUUUUUUCUUACAGCUGUUCAAAUAUAGAGGUGGCAAAGUGAGAGUGCAUUGGAGUGAGUAUAGGUGUGGUAGGUUGGAGUUUAUUUGAUUGUGCAUGCUGCAAUUUUAUAAUUUCAUGCUUGCAAGUUUUGUAACUUUACCUUUUCAAUUGUUGACGCUGGCGCUGACUCUGGCAGCUGUUGUUUGGUGAUUGAAUUUUUGGUGGCUUGGUCUUCAGUGGCAUUAUUGUCUAUCGUUUGAUGAACAUGUUCGGGUUGUUCAUUGGGCUCCUCUGGUUGUGUUUGAUGGUCUUGAUUGUUGGUGCUCUCCUGAGCUUCUUGUGCCUACACCAACACAAAAAGUAUUUAAGAAAUGGUGCAUCUCUGAUUGUUGAGUUACAAUUUUUUUAUAAGACCUCUUUCUCUGGAUUUGCAAGACUGUCUCCUGCUGGAACUAUGGCUUCUCCUUGUCUCGUUUUGUCCUCUAAUUUUUCUUGUUCAAUGUUUAUGCGAGUUCUUUCGCUUGCUUUCUCUUCCUGUUCAAUAAAAAAUGAAAUUAUAGUUUGAAGUUCAUUUGUGCCUCAACUUUGUAACCUCACCUCUUCAGAUGUUGUUGUUUGAAGUUCUGUGUGUUUUCCAGUUUCCUUUGGUUGCGCUGCUUCUUGAUCUUCGAGAUCAAUGUACUUGUUUGUUUCCUGCAUUUGUUCAAAGAAAAGGGUCAGGCAUCCCUUAUAAUCGUUGUAUUGCGGUGGUGGGGUGUAUUUCGUAGUUCAAACAUCAUAAAUGGUUUGAAAAGGGUUUGUUGUUGAUUUUUUACCUCUGUGUUGAUGACUGGGUUAUUUGUGCCUGCAUCGACUGUUUGUUUGCCAGGUAUAACAGUCUCUAGUUCCUCAUGGGCUUGGAUGUCUUGGGUUUUCUCCUUUGUACUCGUGAUGGUGAUCUGCAAUGUCGUGGCACUGGAAAUCUCUUGUGCACAAACUUCCUGUUCUGGUGACUCCUUCGUCUGUUUGAGGUUCACUAUGGGGUUCAAUUUCAACACUGGUUGUCUCUUGGUCUUGCAGUGAUUGUGAUACCUAGAGUUCAAACAAUAUGAGUUUGUGGUUCACUUUCCUUCCUGCCAUUAUGAGUUUCCGGUGUGGGGUGAAGUGGGCUGUGGAAUUUUACCUCAUCUUCGUUGUUUUCUUCUUCUUUGUCGUUUGUUAUGCUAACGGUUGAUUGUGGGUGAGCCUCCUGCAUUUGGUUGCCAGGACUGCUAACUUGAUUGUUCUCCAGCUGAGCCUAUAUUUUGUUGAAGGUUUGUCAGUUAACUUAUAACUCUAUCCAGUUUUGAAAGGGAAAAUGGAUGUUCAUACUGACCUCUUCACUGGUUAUGACCUCGAUCAUAUCUUGUGCUUGUGUUGGAGUAGUUGUUGUUGUAGCACUGUCUGUUGUGAGGUUGCUUUGUUUGUUGCGUUCGUUCUUGUUUUUGGGGUUGUUGACGCCAUCCUACUGUUGGAGUUCAUCUUGGCCUGGCGUGCUAUUGGUACGUUCCUGAAAGCAUUGACACAACUCUUUUGAGUUGAGGUAUGAAAACAGGGUUUUGCUUGCGGAUGGCACCAUGCAUUACUAUUUAUUUACCUGUUUUUUCCGCUUUAUCUUCUUCUUGUCAACGCCCACGUCCCUUGAUUUUGUUCUUCUCUUCCUCUCUUCAUCCUCUUCUUCUUUCUUACCUUUUCUCCUUUCUCUUUGUUCUGUUGUGGCUACUAUUUCAUUUGUGCGGCUGUCAUCGACUUGUCUACUUGAUGCUGCUGGAACUGCUUGCUCUAGCGUCUGCAGGGUCGUGUUGUCUAUGAGGUACCUUGUGCAAACUAUAUCCUAAAAUUGUCUGAGUUGUUCUAGAGAAUCCAUCAGGGCAAUUGUUUGUUGCACGACUUUGUCCUUGUUUUUUUCAUCCAAUAUCUCUUCUUUUUCGUUGCAUCGGUGUUUAGCCCUGGUGGUUACUGCGGGUAACUGUUCUGCUUCAUGGAGCACCUUUUCCAACAAUUUGUUUAUCCUUUGGAAUCUUUCUUCUGGUCCUAUGCUGAUGUUUUUGUUUGGUUCCGUGCUUCCACUAGUGCCGAUACGUGGUUCGCGCCGGCGCUUGGGUGGAGGUGGUAGCAGCUUGGUUGUGUGCUGGUGUUGCUGUUCUUUACGAUGUUCUCCUGCUAUCUGGUGAAUUGAAGACGAAGUUGAUGCUGUGCUGGUAUAGAAGAUCCUCUCUGCUGUUCCUUUCCAUGUCUGCAUCGUUUCGGUGGAAUGGAGUUGAUUAGAAUGGAAACUGUUUUCAAAAAGGGAAGUACUGAUUUAUGUACAACAGAGCUAUACCUGUAUCUUGCCAAAUUCAUAGUCAUCUGGUCAUGCUUUUCCAUCCGUUUUCAUGUCUGCUCUAGCUAUUUUCGCUAGGUCACUCUCUUUGAGAUGGUUUGCUCGUGGUACUGAGGUUUUGUCCAUUGUCUUUGCAAUGUUCCGCAUUUCCUUUGUGUCAGUUGGCAGCAACAGGGAGUCAAGGUCCAUUAUUACUGGUACCUGUUCCAAACCAUUGAUGUGCUUUUUGUUCUUUUCCUCUUGAGGCAACAUCCUGUGCUUCUGCCAUGUCUUGGCUCCUUCCCUAAUACAUUCGACGAUUACCUCGCAGAAAUCCAUCUUUGUCAUUUCUGGAUAGUCCAUGUCCUUGACCAUUAUAGCUGUCCGGGCGAAGAUAGCGGCGCUUGACCCGCAGACAACAUUGUGGAAAAAAAUAAGGAAAAAUAUUUUAACUGAUUUCCUGUUUGAUUCUUCAUCAUCUAUUUCCACUAAUAUUUCUAGCUUCUCAAACAGUUGUUUUGGCGCGAAUUUUGUAUCUUUGAAGCCAAGCUCUGACAUUAGUUCUUUCAUUGAAGCUGGGCUAGUCUCUGGCCUUGGUGCUGACCUUUGCGUGCCGUUUGGGUAUCCAAACACCUUGUGGGUAGCUUCCUUGGUAAUCUUGAUUUUUUUGUCUUCAGUAGCAUCACUGAAGGUUAUUGUCAUGGUUUAUGUGUUAAGGUUGUCGUAAAUGUGUGCUGCAAGCGGUCUGUAGAUGGAGCCCGUUAUUUUGCAGUUCUCUAUGCUGCCAAAUCCCGCCGUCCUAAUAUCUUUCUUGUCACGGUCUUUAAGUAAAUUCCAUGCUUUCUUGACAUGGGCGAAUGUUGCCGCUGCCUUGAUUUGGCAUUUCUCUUCGUCUAUUUCUUGCUGUUCUUCGUCAAUUGUUGGUACUACCAGUUCUUUCCCGCUUGUCUUUCUUCUCUUUCUUUCCUUCUUGCCUGAUUUGGGCUGUUUCAGAAAAAAAGGGUUUUGUUAGAAAGGAAUGUUAGAUCCCUAGUGGUAUUCAAAAUUAGUGCAUAAGUGUGUUUUUACAUCAUCGUCAUGUUCUGCGUCGCUAUCGUGCUCUUCGGCAUCAUCGCCGUCUGUAGGAAUGAAAUCUGCAUCAUGCUGUCUGUAAUCGUCGUCGUCAUUGGUAUCUGAACCUUUGUUGUUGGUAUCGUCUUGUUCUUUUUCUACCCUUUGUCGUUUGUUUUUCUUCUUGCGUUCAGCUUGUUUCUUCGUGCCGGUUGGUUCUGUUGGCGGGAGUACCAUUAGAGGUAAUGGCAGAUGCUGCAAGGUACCAGUGUCGACGAUGUUUUCAGCAUUUUCCUUUUUCUUUUGCCUUUUUGCUCCAGGAGGAAAAACAGUGCUGGUAUCUGAUUUUCUCUUUUUUUUGCUUGUUGCUAGGUGUUUACUCCUAUUGAGCCUGGUGUAAGUUACCAUUUCUGCCACAGGUGGUUUGUUCCUCAUGGUCUGUUCUGUGUCCCUUUCUGAUGAAUGAGGAGACAUGCUUUGUGUUUGUGUGAUGUCAAUAUCACCGUCUUUGUGUCCUGCAUAAUGACCAGGUAAUGAAAAACGAUAUUCUUUUGUCCGAAAAUAAUUUAUAUACAUUUAAAAUAUAUAUCUUCCACAGUUAUGCAUAAGGAAUGUGAAAUUCCCAAAAGGGGAUUUUUAGUUUUCUUUUUUGGGUUAAGAAAGGUUAUUUCUACUAUUGCCAAUUGAGCUAAGAAGGUGAUUGAAAAAAAUUAAUUAUGGUUAUGAGUGGAGCUGGGUAAGUGAAGUUAGGGUGAAGCAUUUUCUGAGACAAAAAUGCACUCUGCAGGUGAUAUUUCUACAUGUUUGUCCAAAGUGGCAGGUAGUUUUAUUUGUAGACAUAGUUAAGUUAUUAUUGUCCAGGAUAGUAGUUAAGUUAUUAAUGUCUCAAUACAUGUUUUUGCAGAUAGACAGUGGACUCUUUUGGUCAAACCUUUGACAGGAGCUUGCUGGAUUGCAUGUUCUCCAGUAGGGUCUUCGUCAGUAUUUUGCUGGGUUUUAGCUUCUUCGCGAGGAUUUCUCAUUGCUGCCUAAAAAAAUGGGCAGGUGUUAGAAGCAAAGUUGAGUGUCGUAAAAAAAGCUGCGUGGUGUGAAAACUAAUUUGUAUGUAUAGAGAGGCACGGGUUGUUUUGCACUAGAAGCACAUGGUACAGGUAUUCUGUGUUCACGGUUUUUCAGACCAGAGGCACUUAAUUUUUAAAACGGUUACAUUGAAGGGACAACAUGUAGAAAAUGUCGUACGAUUUUUAGGUAUUGGCCUCUCAAGAUGCUUGCGGGGUUUGGAUCUACCGACGUAUUCUAGUUAGUGACGUUUCAGGUUUAGUACCUUUGAGCACAUAUCGUAUGGCGAAAAUUCCAGGGACGAGAACUGUAGCAUUUCUAUUAAAUCUCAUCUCUCCAACAGUUCAAUUUGUUAGACAAAUUGAUUUUAGGUUAUUCGAAAACUCCUUGGUAGCGGUGGCUAGGGUUGCUGCUCCUUCAAGUUAAAAAAUCACUAUGAUCUACCCGGUGGAAUGGAGUAGGAUAGAAUGAUAAUUACCUUCAAUUAGUUGUGCGGUGUUCUUCGGUUCCAUCCGCUUAUUGUGUCGUUGCUCUUUUUUCGUUGCGAUUUCCACCGCCGCUGUCGAAGUCCUCGCCGUCGGUCGCCGCAGCCGUCGGGGUUAUUGGUGUUCUCGCAGGCAGUGUGUGGCUGUGUGUAUGUCGGAUUGGAGGGUGGUUGGGGAACACGGUGGUGGUUUGUUUGGUGACGCGAAUUUGAUUUCGAAUUUGUGUUCGUGUGCAGAAGGAAGGAGGAGAGCAUGCGGGAGUGAUGAAGGUUUUGAGAUUUACUUUGCGGAAGGGGAAGCAAGCUAGUAGAAGAGGGAGGGAGAGAUGGAAACCAUCGAACCGUCUCUAAUCUUCAACUGUCCGUUUGAGCAUCAAGAUCCAUUUUUCUGAUGUUAUGCUCGGGAGUGUAGGUUCUACAGCCACGUAGAUGCAGGCACAAGAGGUGCGGCAGUGUAGGUUCUACAAGCAGGUAGAGAACCACGGGACAGGCAAGAGUCGCGUGAGGCACGUGGAUGUAAGCAUAGGAGGCACGGAAAUGAAGGCAAUACAGGCACGGACAUGCUGCUUUUGGAGGCACGGGUAUCAACACUCAGGAUGUACAAUAGUGCUGUGGCAGAGGCAUGUGUUAGAAGCGCCGUUAAAGAGGCAUGGUUGUGAAGUCUCAGGAGCGAAGCGGGCGUUGCAGUGGGGCCAUUUAAGAGUCACGGCGUAUGUUGUGUUAGGCACGUGAGGCACAUGGGUUCAGGCACGGAAGUAAGAAAAGGUGAAUCCACAACAGGCACGUACGUGUGUUUUCUCAAGUCACGGGUGUGCAGUCUGUAGAUGCACAAAAGUGUGGCAGCAGAGGCAUUGGUCUGACUACUCGGUUACAGAACCACGGUCGUGAAGUCACGUGGGUGUGGCACUACGGGACAUGUAAGAGUCUCCGCAAGUGUCACUUUGCGGACGUGGGUGCAGGUACGUAAGGAGGCACAUCAUUCAAGGCAACGGAGGCACGGACUUGCGGCUUCUCGAGGCACGGGGUAUCAACCCUGCGUAUGCCAAAAUAAUGCCGUGGCAGACGCACGUGUCAGGAUGCUUGGUUAGAGAGGCACGGUUGUGAAGUAUCAGGAGCCACGCAUGUCAACUUGCGCACGUGGGUGUAGGUACGUGCAGGCACAGAAAUGAAGGCACCACAUGCACAUACGUGCAUUCUCUGGAUGCACAAAAGUGUGGCGGCAGAGGCAUGGGUCCGAGUACUCGGUUAUAGAACCAUAUUUGUGAACUCAGGUGGGUGUGGCACUACGGGGGACGUAAGAGUCUCGGCAAGUGUCAUGUUGUGCACGUGGUUUCAGGUACGUAAGGCACAGAAAAUGAAUGCACCAUAGCCACGUACGUGCAUUCUCUGGAUGCACAAAAAGUGUGGUGGCAGAGGCAUGGGUCCGAGUACUCGGUUAGAGAACCACGGUUGCGAAGUGACGUGGGUGUCGCACUACUUGGCACAUAAGAGUCUUAGCAAGUGUCGCGUGAGGCGACAUGGGUGCAAGGACGUAAGGCACAGAAAUCAAGGCACCACGGUUGUGAAGUCACGUGGUAGUGAUGAAGUGGAGCCUCUCUAGAGGCAUGUGGAUGCAGGCACACGAGGCACGGAAGUGCAGGUUCUACAGGCACGUACAUUCAGGCACAGGAGGCACGGAAGUGUCGGUUCUACAGGUAGUUAGAGGACCACAGGACAGGCAAGAGUCACGUGAGGCACGUGGAUGUAAGCAUAGGAGGCACGGAAAUGAAGGAAAUAUAUGCACAGACAUGCUGCUUUUGGAGGCACGGGUAUCAACGCUGAGGAUGUACAAGAGUGCGGUGGCAGAUGCAUGUGUUAGAAUGCUCGGUUAAAUAGGCACAGUUGCGAAGUCUCGGGAGCGACGCGGGCGUGGUAGUGGGGCCAUGUAAGAGUCACUGCACAUGUUAUUACGUUAGGCACUUGAGGCAUGUGGGUGCAGUUACGGAAGGCAGAAUUGGUGAAUCCACAACAGGCACGUACGUGUGUUUUGUGCAGUCACGGUCGUGCACUCUCUGGAUGCACAGAAGUGUGCCGGCAGAGGCAUGGGUCCGACUACCCGGUUAGAGAACCACGUUUGUGAAGUGACGUGGGUGUGGCACGACGGGCCCCGUAGGAGUCAUUGCAAGUGUCACGCGAGGCACGUGGAUGUAGGCACUUGAGGCACGGCGUUGAAGGCACAUGAAGCACGGAUGUAGGUACAGGAGGCACUGAAGUACUGAACCUAAGAGGAGACCUUUUCUGAGUGCGAAAUGUUUCGAGAUUUACUGUGGAAGAGAGGAAGCAAGAGAGUAGUGGAGGUGGGAGAGAUGGAAUGUUUCGAACAGCUAUCAAUACUGUGGAUGUUCUAAAGUGUGGUACCAGAAGCAUGCUUCCGAAUACGUAGUUAGGGAGUCACGCUUGUCAAGUCUCUAGAAAGUUACGCGUGUUCUGGCAUCACGGGCAUGGAGUGGUGUGGGGCUUCGAGGGGCAUGAGUGGCCCUCAACCCUGUGGAUGCAUGGUGGUGUGGUAGGAGAGGCACCAUUGUGGAUGCAUAGGAGUGAGGCCUCUAACAGCGUGAGUGGGUGGCACCACGUGCAAUUGUUUGAAUACUCAUUUAGAGAGUCACGUCUUUACUCAAGGCAGAUGCAUGCCGUAGGUUGGUGGCAUUUGGCAGCACACGGUUGCAGAGAGGAGGAAUGUUUGCGAAACAUCGAAGUCACCUGGCGGCCACGCGUGAGGAGUAUGUAAAGUAUCUGCGCGUCGACGUGAUGCAUGUAUGUCUAGUGACGGACUUGGGGCACUGGCUUGUGUUCGAAUGCUUGGUUAAUGAAGAAUCAAGGAACUACAUCAAUAAAAAGAGUCAUUGCGCAUGUUAUUACGUUAGGCACUUGAGGCACGUGGGUGCAGUUACGGAAGGCAGAAAUGGUGAAUCCACAACAGGCAUGUACGUUUGUUUUGUUCAGUCACGGUUGUGCACUCUCUGGAUGCACAGAAGUGUGCCGGCAGAGGCAUGGGUCCGACUACCCGGUUAGAGAACCAUGUUUGUGAAGUGACGUGGGUGUGGCACGACGGGCCCCGUAGGAGUCACUGCAAGCGUCACGCGAGCCACGUGGAUGUAGGCACUUGAGGCACGGCAUUGAAGGCACAUGAAGCACAGAUGUAGGUACAGGAGGCACUGAAGUACUGAACUGAAGAGGAGACCUUUUGUGAGUGCUGAAUGUUUCGAGAUUUACUGUGGAAGAUAGGAAGCAAGAGAGUAGUGGAGGUGGGAGAGAUGGAAAUGAUGGAACCGUCUGUUAUCUUUGACUGUUUGAUUUUAGCAUCAAGAUUCGUGCCGCAUGGCUUUGUUUUUUUUGUUCGACGUAGCGUCUUAAUACACGUGUGAGGCACGGAACACCAGGCUCUACAGGCACCGACGUUGGAAUUAUAGAGGCACUUGUAUCAACUCUUUGGAUGCACAAAUGUGUAGUGGCUGGGGCAUGCAUCUGAAGACUUACUCAGACAGUCACGGUUGGAGUUAUAGAGGCACUGGUAUCAACUCUGUGGAUGCACAAAUGUGUAGUGGCAGGGGCAUGCAUCUGAAGACUUACUCAGACAGUCACGGUUGUGAAGUCUUUAGAGUUACGAGCGUGUGUCACCACGGGCACGUGAGAGUGAUGCGUCGGGAAGUGUGGUAGUAGAGGCAUCGGUGCGAAUAGUAGUCAGAGAGCAUUGGUCGUUCAGUAGUAGCGGCAUGCGUCGGGAAAGGUGCGAGGAGUUCAACAUAGUACGUGCUUAGUAUCUGAACGCAGUGCACUCUAUCUAAGUGUGCCAGUGCAGUGUGUGCUUGAAUGGUUUAGGCAAGAACAUUUGUUACGUGCUUAAUUGGAUGAUUUGACGGUUGCUUUUUCCCGGCAACCGCGAGCACUGCCACUCAGCGGUUUCCCCGGCGCACAGCAACCGCGAGCGCAUGUCUACUGCCCUCAUUACCACGACGAGGCCUCGUCCAACCACCUCCUCCUCGACCCAAACCUUGGCACAAAAGGGCAACUGCGCUUCCAUAGCCGCUCAAUUACGGAAACACUAUUGCCGCUCCAUCUCAACUAGCAACUCUCACAAUUUCUGUGUCAAGGCCGCCAUCGCUGAAGGAGCGUAAUAGCGGAUGAACCAUCUGCCAAGCGUCCACGUGGUGAGACGUCCGACCAGAGCACCAAGGUUGACGACGUUCAGGUCCCUAGUCAGAAGCAUGACUAUAAGGUGCACCUCAAGGAGGUUGGCAUCCAUGGCAAGGAAAAGAUGGAUGUCGUAUGCACCACCGAUCCUGAUGAAGCCGACAAGAUGAUCAACAGGAUCCUAAAGAGGGUCUGCGGCUUGUACCCUUAGUUCAUCGGCGUUGAUGUCGAGUAUACUAGGGAAGAGGAACCUCCGCAGAGGGCAGCGGUUCUGCAGUUAUGCGUGGAGGAACUCUGUCUGGUAUAACACAUCACCGCGGCAACUAAAUGGUGAACCAUCCUACAACUUCAACCUCUCCAUGUUUCUGUUUAGUUAGCAUUUCACCCUGAAAUUUGAUUAAAUUUGUUUAUUGAAUUGAUGUAUUAGUGAAGUUUCUGAAGUAGAUAAAGCAGGAUAGAUUUUGAACUUGACUCACCAGAUCAGUUUAUGUAUUUGAUGCACUAGAUUAAUUUAUGAAUUUGAUGUAUGAGAUUAUUUUCUGAACUUGAUGUUCUAGUGCACUUUCUGUUCUAGUGUAGUUUCUAUAUUUGAUGUUCUAGUGUAGUUCAGUUUCUUGAAUUGAUGUGUUAACGUGGGUAAGGAGUACAUAGGUCAUUUAUUCAAGUGUAAGUACCAAAAAUAAAAAUGACAUGCUGUGCUUGUGCUUGUGUUUGUGAACUCUACAUAGCAGUUUCUGAAUUUUUUUCGUCCACAAAUUAUACGUACUAUAUAAGUAUUUACUUGAUGGAUACUUGAUGGAUCCACCUUAAAUGUGUCAUGCCCCUUGCAGGCCCAAGAGCCUGCGCCCGUUCCUGAAGGAGGACAGGUUCUACACCUUUGUCGGCUUCAGUAUUGAAGGUGACAAAGAGAUGCUGCGAAGUUCUGGUUUGGAGAUCAACCCCGACAAGUACAUCGACAUCCAGCGCAAAUGGAGAGUUCCGUUCAAGGGAAGAAAGAGGUACCACUCUUUGGCUGAUGUUGCAGGGAGCAUGAUCCGCCCAUUCUAUAGACAGAUGAAGGAUAAGAUUGACAGGGUUGAAGACCAUAAACUGUGGGGGAUCAGCCCACUGCCAAAUUACCUCAUUGAGUAUGCAGCGAUAGAUGCGUACGCCACCUACGAGUCUUGGAAGAGAAUUGAAAACAUCAGAGAAGGACUGGAGAGUGCAAAAGAGGCAGAGAAGAAUUAUGACGAUCCUUACUACGCCUACUAGUGAUGACGAAAACAUAGAAAACUGGUUGUGGAGUUUCUUGUGUUUCUGCUUGUCAUUUCUAUUGGUUCAGGUUCGUAGUUUAGUUCUGUUAGGACGAAGCAGUUUCUAAUGUCACCUGUAUCAGGUUAAACAAGUUUGCUUAUGUGAAGUUUGUAGUUUAUUUAUGUGAUUGAACAAGUUGUCUGCCUUGCUAAGUACUAUGUUUAUUCAGCAAUCUUGUGAUUUUGAAUCAGUAAUGUCGCUUUUUAGUCUAAAAACAACUAAAUACAAAGCAGUCUUUUUACGCUAAGUACAGUUUAGUUGUGCACACAACCGCGACUUCUUGAGGAGUGGCAGGAGUGGCAUGGGUUGGAAUAUGCAAUUAGAGAGGCAUAGAUUUGCAGUCUGUAGAGCCAUCGGCAUGUGCUAGUGCAGGUGUCGGAGGCACGGAAUUGAAGUCUUUACAGAAAUGAAGGCACCACAAGAAUCCAUCCAGAGGCACGUGGACGGAGUAGCAGAGGUGAGCUCCGAAUACAUAGUUAUAGGGUCACGGUUUUGAAGUGUGCAGAGCCAAGGUUGUGCGACAAGAUGGAGCAUGUAAGAGUCAUCGCAAGUGUCAUGUGAGAGAGGCACCUGGAUGCAGGUACGCAAGGCACGGGAUGCGCUGUCGUGACGUUUGUGAAGAGACACGGGCGUGGUACCGCGAGCAUGUAAGUGUCGCAGGGUGUGACACGUUAGGUACGUGGAUGCAGGCACAGAAAUCAUGGAGGUGAGGACUCAACCGGCACGGAAGUUGGGUUUUUGUUGUUUCGAACAGCUAUCAAUAUUGUGGAUGUUCUAAAGUGUGGUACCAGAAGCAUGCUUCCGAAUAGGUAGUUAGGGAGUCACGGUUGUCAAGUCUCUAGAAAGUCACGCGUGUUCUGGCAUCACGGGCAUGGAGUGGUGUGGGGCUUCGAGGGGCAUGAGUGGCCCUCAACCCUGUGGAUGCAUGGUGGUGUGGUAGGAGAGGCACCAUUGUGGAUGCAUAGGAGUGAGGCCUCUAACGGCGUGAGUGGGUGGCACCACGUGCAAUUGUUUGAAUACUCAUUUAGAGAGUCACGUCUGUACUCAAGCCAGAUGCAUGUCGUAGGUUGGUGGCAUUUGGCAGCACACGGUUGCAGAGAGGAGGAAUGUUCGCGAAACAUCAAAGUCACCUGGAGGCCAUGCGUGAGGAGUAUGUAAAGUAUCUGCGCGUUGACGUGAUGCAUGUAUGUCUAGUGACGGACUUGGGGCACUGGCUUGUGUUCGAAUGCUUGGUUAAUGAAGAAUCAAGGAACUACAUCAAUAAAAAGAGUAUGCUGCUUCAUUAUCACACUAUGAUGUGUGGUUAAACCGUUUUCUGAUAUUUUGACGGAGCUAGGCUUGUUCGCUUAUCAACAACUUUUUGUUCCUUUUCCUUGAUGUCGUCGUAGAUCUUUGUUAUCUCAUCGCCCAUUUUGCUGGGUUCGAUUGUAUUCUGAUCGCUAAAUAGUAGCCUGAACAGUUGUUGUGCUCUCCAUUGUUCCGUGCCAUCCUACAAAAAAUUCAGUGAAAAAUAAGGAGAAAAAACACAUCAGUAUUAUGUCAUGCAGUUGUAUGAUAUCUUGCAGAUUUAUAGAGAGUUUUAAGCGAAAACUUACAUCAAAAUUGUAUAUCUCUUCGACGAAGUGGUUGCCAUCAAAGAGAUGCGUGAACCUUAGAACAGCAAACGGGGUUUCACCUUUGUUCACCUUUGGAACGUCCUUUAAAAAUUGAACUUCCCAUUUAGUCUUUUCCUUUUUGAAUUUUUCACCGAGUAAUAUUUCUUGUACUGCCUUGAACCUCAGCUCCUGGGAAUUGCAUUUCGUUUUUGUUUUAGAGAGACAUGUGCUGUAAUUUGUAAAACCAAAAGACGCUGUUAUUUACAAUUAUUUACAGUCUGUCUUUAUGGUUGUGGUAUUUGUUAUGAUCCUUUUCUUUGCUGGCUUUGUUGAUUUCCAUUUGAGCAAUUUGCUUACUUAGUUUGCCAUCAUGCACGUGGAGAUCACAUUGAUUUUUCAGGCAUUCUUUCCUCUUCAAUUCUUCGAGAGAGGUUUCUUCAGGCUCAAUGAUUUGAAGCUUCCUUCUAUAUCUGUCGAGCACUAAUAGUGUGUAUGUGCCUUCCUUUUCAAAUGGCAUGAAUACCUGCGGUACAAAAGUUUUAUUGUUAGAGGAGAGUUUAGAAUAUAGUAUUUCGUUUGAAAUGCUUAUUUUUAUUUUGUUAGGGGAGAGUUUUAUUGCUAUAGGAGAGUUUAGAAUAUAGUUUUAACGCUAUUACCAUUUUUGCUGUUUUGAGCUUGUCUAAUUGACAUUUCUUCAGGAAUAAAGGAACCAAGGCAUCCUUCUCUCGUUCGAAAUCAUCCGUGAAUUGUGUCAUAGAUUUUCUUUUAUCCUUUAAACCCAGAAUAUUCUGCAGGCAAGAAAUAAAAAACCAUUAAAACGAAUUAGAAAGAACAGAUCGGUACCAGGAGAUUAAACAAUCGUUGCAGAAAGACGAGUUUGUAUGAUCCUUGUGGUUAUCUUUUUGAAAUUUACCUCUACAAAUCUUGGGCCUAAUAAUAGUCUGUGUCUUUUGUAUUUAGUUUGCUUGCUUCCCUCCCAUGCUUCUGCUAACUCAUCGAGCACCUUCUUUUCCAUUCCUUUACGUUUUUUCUUGUUCGCGGGCCCAAAAAUUUCCUUUAGGUUUGAUCCAGUGAGAGUUGCGUUGUUCUCGUGUGGUUGUUCUCCCGAGAAUACUACUUCUCUGCUUACAGGAAAAAUAGUAGAAGAAAAUUCUGUUUAGAAUGUCACUUACAAGCAAGCUGAUAAGCAGGAAUUCAAUGUUCUUUCAAGUUUCCGUCGUACUUGUGUGAUUGCCGCAUAACUUUAACUAAUUUCAGUUGGAAAAGGAACCAACUCACCUUUUGAAUUUGUCCUGCCAUGUGCACUCAUGACUAUGUCGUAGAGCUCAUUUUCCUUACGCACGUGUAUGAACGAAUGCCGGUGUUGUGGGUAUUUGUUUGUGCUCAUUGAUUGAUCCUGGUUCUUUUUGUCUCGCUCUGUCAAAACAGAUAAAAAGUUAUGGCUGUUGCUUCUAAAAGAUAUAUUUGAAGCUCCUGUCAUGUUGAGUGGUGGUAAAAAUGAAAAUAGUUAUAUUACCUUUCAUGGGCAAAAAAAGGUUUGUAGUCUCUAGUUUGAAAACUUUGAUUUUUUUCAGGAAGUUGAUGGUGCUUUAUUUUGGUUGGUUUUACCGAAUAUGAGUGUGUAUACGUACUUUGGUAUCUGUUCUGCAUCCACCUUGUUGUGCUGCAGGCAUGUCAAAAUGCAUGGUUUAUAGUUACGUGUUGUCCACCAUUGUGAAUAAACUAAUUGUAGUAAUAAAGAAAUCAAGUAAUUUGACGUGUAUGUGCUCGUAACUUACAUGAAAAUCCUCUCUGUCCUUGACCAGUUCUUUCCCAUUCCAGUGUUUUGCAAAUUGCGUCGUGAAGUGUCCGCAUUGUGUUCCUUUUUGCUUUGGUGUGCAGAUCCUGUGAGGCCUUUCUGCUAUCCUUGCCCAGUCUGGUUCGUUCUUAUCUUUUAGUUGGUGGUACUUGUUCAUCAACACCGACAUCCUUCUCAUCUGUGAUUGCAUUUAUGUUUUGUUGUUUGGGUGCGGUAUUGAUAAAAGUAAGAGUAUCAUACUAUCGCGAGGAAAAGAAUAAAUCAAUGUACAAAAAGUACGUACCAGUUCUGCUCGAUGCACAUGGUGUUUACUCCAAGACAAAUCGGUGUAGUUUACAUAGUUUAGUGAGUCAAGGAUGUCGAUGCUAUCUCUGUACUUGUUCAUUACAUAUAGCGUGUAGUGCUUGUCCGUGUGAUGAGGUAUCAUGAUCUACGUUGAGAGAGGAGAUCGUUGUUGAUGUAAAAAUUGAAUUUCAUUUAACUGUUGAAGCCCAAGGAGAAUAAGUCGUGUGUUCAGUAAUAGUUCCGAACUUACCAUCUUCGAGUGCACGAUAUUUUUACCUCGCACAAGUUGUUCAAAUGCUUGUAGUGCAUCGUCUUUGUUGAAUUCUGAUAGCUCCCCUCUUUUAUAAUUGAGACCUAGCACCAUAUUCAAGAAAGAGAGUGUGUGGUAUUAGUUAAAUAUUGAACCAUAGUAAUGACGGAGGUGUUUUUGUGGGUGAGGUAUGCAUACAUUUGCGAAUUCUGUAGGGUGUACAGUUGUGACGUCUAGGUUGAACUGUUUCUGUUCUGUCCUUUCAUCCAGUAAUGCGUUUAGCAUGGAGCCCUCCAUUUGUGCGUAUUCUUUCCCUACUUGUUCCAUGAAGGAUUUUCCUGAAAUGUAGCCUUCGCUCUUUGAGGUUUUAUAUAGUUGUUCUCUGCAAGCAAGGAGGGUUUAGAAUUAGAUGAGUGAAUGGUUAGUUGGAUGUUAGAGAAUGUGCAGCUCUAUGUAAUCAUUUCCAUGGAACAAGGAGAAUCUACUUACUGUCUGCAUUGUUUCUGUCCUUGUUGGCUCAUCAGAUAUCUAUAGAGUUGCAUGGCCUUUUCUUUGUAAAUGAAAUCUCCUAGAACAAGUGCUGGAGCAUUGACUUUCUCAAUUUCCUUGCUUGCUCGCUUGAAUGGCCUCUUAGUUGAGAUUAUGUUUGCUGAGAUGAUCUCGUGUGAUUGAAUCGUCGAGGGUUUUGGGGAACUUGUCUGCACUCUUGCAAGAUGCCUUCUCCUUUUCUUGUCGUGACCGAACUGUGCCUGCUCGUUAAGCUGCCCAGUUGUUGGUGUGUCCUUUUGUGUGUUGUUGUUUUUGACGCUCGGUUCUAUUGAGACUUCAGCAUCGUAUUUCCUCUUUUGAAGUAUCUUUUCUGAUAAAAUCUUUCCUUUCUCCUUCUUUUCUUCUUGUGCAUGUUUUGCCUUUGGUGAUGUUCUUGGUAUGCGAUCUUCGCCAAUAGGGUUCAUGUCCUGUUUGGAAAGCUGUUGUUGGCGAGUUGGUACGGUCUUUGUCAUGUUAUCCACUUCUAAAGGAGAGCGUGUUAUGCCUUUGUUGUUUUUAUCUGGGGGUGGUCUGUCUGGUUCUAUCGGCGGAUCUUUCCAUUCAUCUUCCUUUUGUAAAUCAGUGUCUGGCUGCGCGUGUUGUUCCCUAUGUAAACCAUGAUCUUUCUGGGCUUGUUCUUCCUUGAGUGCUUCUUCAGACACCUUGGUGGUAUCCUUGUUGCUCAAAUGAUAAUCUUCUUUCUCCUCAUCGGUGCUUGUGUCAUUAAUGUCAAUAACUUUUAUCUCUUGAGCGCUUGUCCUAAUGUGCUCGGGAGUUGGACGAAUCUCUUGUUGAAUUAUGUCACAAUGUAUUCGUUCCAUUUCACUAUUUUCCAUAUCGACCUCAGGUUUCAGCAUAUCUGUUAAAAUAUAAUAUAAAAACUUAUUGGUUUGUCUCUGAAAAUUAGAUAAGUUGAAUUUUACUUUGUUGUCUACAGUAAGAGAAACCUGCGGUAUAGUUGAUUAAUGACAGUGCGGCCGUAUCUCUGUAUUGGUAGAAUAUUUGAUAGAGAAUUUUCUUUCUCAACUCUGGGACUUGUUCCUUUGUUAGUAACAUUGUUUCUCCAUUGUCGGUGUAGUGCUUUGCAUUCAUGAACAUAUAGAACGCACAGUCGAGUCUGCAGGUAGAAGGAUGAUUGAUUAUUGUCGCUGUCCAGAGAUGGUAUGGCAGUUUAGGUGAAGUUUUCCUAAUGUCCUAUGUUUUUUAUGGAUUGCAUUAAUAAUUGUUACAAUGAGUAAGGAAAAGGAGAAAGGUUUGUAGUGCUUACGUUUUUCCCUGAAGUGGCAUCUGCAUUUUGACCUUUUUGAAGUCGUCAAUAUUACAUGGAGACAGUUGGAGCAAUGGGCUUAUUUGCUUCCAUAUCCUCUUUACUCUGCUUGUUACUAUGUUGAAGUAGUCCGUUGUGCCUUUAUAUUCAAUUGGUAAAGAGUCAAGGAGUUCAAAGCGCUCUUUUUUUAUGUUAAUUGUAAAAACAAAGUAGUGGCCCACAGUUCCUUGUUUUUGUUGAACUUGACCACCUAUGCAAACUGGUAGAAAUAACUGCAAAAAUGCAAAAUAAAUAAAUAAGGGGUCCUUUUUUAAUUUAGUCAUGAUUUGUUGAUGGUUAGAUGUAAUUGUAGUGCCGAGAUUGUAUCUCUUAUCUGUAACAUGAGAUGUGCUUACCAUGUCGAAAUCUUGUAGUUGCUCUCCUUCUUCCAGAUCAAGGAAUCUUUUAAGCCUUUUAGGAAUUGUCUUGUCUCUGAUGUGUGCUUCGUAUUUAUUUUUCAACUCCAAUGGAUCUUCAUGGUUGGCCAUGCGUAUUGAUGCCUACUUGUUUUGUCACAUGUGCAUAGAAGAAAUUUGUAAAUUCAAUUGUACAGAGAGGUUGAUUGAUCGAUAGAUUGAUAUUCAUUGUUGAAACUUGAGCUCUACUUACGGUGUUGUAUGUUGAUAGAAUCUUUCUCUUUGUGCCCCUGAGUUGCUUUUUCAUCAUCUGUAGCAUGACUGCCAUGGUUUCGCUGCGCACUGGCUUUCGAAUGUCGAAGCUUUGUGCCAUGUGGCUGACUAUUACUGUUGUCGUCUCUGUAUUUAUUAAAAUCUCGUGCCUGCAACAUAUAUAUUUACAGGUAAAAUGUUUAAGGUAGGAAAUCAUUGGAAGAAAAUAAUUCUUUUUUGUUGACAUGAAUUUACCCUUUGUCCUUAUUUGUUGUCAUGACGUUGUUGUACAGGUGUUCGAUCCCUUUGUCCUUUGUCCCUUCUUCGAUGGCCAGGUUUUGUAUGAUCAACGGUUCACGUUUUGUCUGAGUGCUGCCUUGGGUUACCGCCGUGUUUGUGGCGGCAACAUCUUUUACAGCACAAUGUUUCUUGUCUGAUGGUGUGACUUUUUUCUCGCUGCUGUCUGACUCUUUCUCUGGAAUGUUUGCCGCAUGGUUUUCCAACGCACUGUGGCCCUUUGCUUCUUUACUUGUGUCUGCGUGCGUGUCCUGUUGAGGUUUCUACGUUAUCGUGCAAAAGCAUCGUUAAUAAAUAAAUAAAUACGGUCGUUAUUUUCACUGUAGUUUAUUAUCCGUUCCCUAAGAAAAAUACUCAAAUGUUUAGUGUGUCUUUUGAACUUUUUUAUUGUAGCUUCACCUUUUCAGUCGUUUCCGCCGGUGCUGCCUCUUCGACCUUUUCUUCGGUGAGUGGAGCUUUUUGGACCUCCGUAGUGUCGUCGUUUUUGUCUUGUGGCUGUUGAGACAUAGAGGUAGGUAAAUGAGAUUGCAUUUGUGUCUUUGUUCACUCAAAUUUCUAAUUUCCUUAAAAGCAGGUUAUCUCACUUCACCUUUUCGAUGUUUUGCGUGGACGUUGCCAUCUCUGUUAUUUCUUGCCCGGACAGCGAAGGUUUUCCGGCUUGGUCUACGGCGGUUAGGUUGUCUGUUGUUGGAAGAACAUCUUCUGCUUGUUCCAUUCCCCUGUGUUGUUGUGUUUGUUUGCCUUGAAUGUUGGUGCUCUCACAUGUUUCUUGCAUCUGUCGGAACGCAAAAAGUAAUUACAAUGUGUCUAUGUUUGUUUCUGGUGGAUCCAUUUUUUAUAUGCUAUAGAAAGAGGGUUUGUAGCUUGACCUCUACGUUCAAUCUCUCCGCUGCCGUGCCUGUCACUUCUUCUCUGUCUUGUGUAGUUUUUGUACAUUGUCGAGCGGUAGCAGCACUUUCCAUCGCUUCUUGAGGCACAUCGCCUGUUUCAUUUGUUUCUUUUUUUGUUCAAUCAAAAAAUGUAAAUAAAGUUUGGACUUCAUCUGUGCAUGCAUAACUUUUUUGUUUUAACGUCGUAGGAGCAGGUGCGUGUGGCUUUACCGCGUUGGUCUUUGAUGAUGGUGUACUGGGUACUAUUUUAGUCAGCAUUUGCCCUUGUUUUUUAGUUUGUUCUGUCUGUACUCCUUGCUGUUCUUUGGCAUGGUCGUCAUCGUUUGUUUCCUGCGUUUCAUGAAAACAGAAAAGCAUGAUUCAUUGCUUGUAAUUCUUGUAUUACUGUGACAGGUUGUACUAGGCAGUACAUUUCUUACAAAUUUUGGAAAAAUGGUUCUUGUUGAAUUUUACCUUUGCGCUGGUGGUUGGGAUAUCCGUCUGUGCGUCCACUUUUUCUUUGCUUUGUAUGCCAGCCUUGGGUGUGUCACCAGGUGGAGUGUCUGAGGCUUUCUCCCCUGUAUAGGUCAUAUGAGAUGCUCUUGUGCUGAAAAGCUCUUCUAUAUGAACUUUCUGAAUUGCAUGGGCAUCCUCUUCUCUUUGAUGUGCUUUUAAUACCUGGUAGUUGAAACAAUAUGAGUUGACGGUAUUUGGGCAAAGUGGGUUUGGAAGUUUUACCUCUUCUUUGUUGUUUUCUUCUUGUUUUUCUGUCGUGCUGUCAACGGUCGAUGCUAGAUCAGCCUGUGGCUCGUUUGCGGGAGCGUUGAUAUGAUACUUGUCCGGCUGAGUGUAUAUUUUGUUGCAGAUUUGUCAGUUAACUCAGGAGUGUUUUUAGUUUAGAGAGAAGAUACUUUUUAGACAGAACAGACUGAUUUUUUAUACUCACAUCUUUGUUGCCUCCGAUCCUGUUUGUCUCUUGUACUGCUCCUGUUGACGCUCUUAAGGGAGCAUUAUAUAUUGUUGGGUUGCUUGUUCUAUUGCUUCCAUCCCCUUGCUCGGUGUUCUUGACGACAUGGUGUUGUUGGCCUUUAUGUUUCGGUGGCGUUCUGUUGCCGUGUCCCUAAUAGAAUUGAAGGCAGAUUUUGUAAGUUCAAGUUUGAAAGCAUCGCUUUCGAGUCACUUUUUUCAUUUACUUGUUUCUCAUCUUGAUUCUCUGCUUCUGCAGCUACUUUUCUACCUUGUUCUUGCUGUCCUUCGGCACUUGAUGUGUUUGUUGAUACGUCCUCCUUGUUUUGCUCCUUUUGCACCUUGUUAUGUUCUUCCGUCUCCCUCUGGCUAAUUCCCGAGUUCUAUGUUCUUGAUUUUAUUAUUCUUUUCUUCCCUUCAUGUUUGUUUUGUUGGUCCUGUUCUUCCUUCUUUCUUUUUCUCCUCCCUCCUGGUUCUGGUGCGGCUACAAUUUCUUUCGUGUGGUUGCCAUGUACAAGUGCAGCUGUGUCUCCUGCGUCUACUCGAUUCUGCAGCUUCAGCGUCGUCUGUUAUUGAAAGAUCACUCUGUGAACAAUGUCCUGGAAUUCUCUAAGUUGUUCGAGAGAAUCAAUCACAGCCGUUGUUUGUUGCACCACUGUGUUCCUCAUGCUUUCAUAUAAUUCCUUCUCUUGUUUGUUGCAUUGGUGUCCAUCCCUGGUCGUUAUUCCGGGUAUCUGUUUUGUUUCGUCGAGUACUUGUUUCAACAUUUCUUCUAUCCUUCCGAAUAUUUCAUAUGAUCCUGUGUUGGUGCCUGUGACUGGUUCCUUGCUUCCACUUGUGCUGACAUGUGCUUUGUCCAGUCGCUUGGUUGGAGGUAGUAGUAGCUUGGUCAUUUGCUGGUGCUCCUAUUGUUGUGCUGGUAUCAUUUGUGUUGAAUACGAAGGUGUUGCUGUGUUGGCAUAGAAGAUCCUCUCUGCUGUUCCUUUCCAUGUCUGCAUUGUUUCGGCAUGAUGGAAUUGGUUAGACUGGAAGCCGUUUUUACAAGGGAUAAUGCAUAUGUAUUCAAUAGGGCUAUACCUGUAUCUUGCCAAAUCCAUAGUCAUCUGGUCGUGCAUUUCCGUCCGUUUUCAUGUCUGCUCUAGCUAUUUUCCUUAGGUCACUCUCUUUUAGGUGGUUUGCUCACGGUAACAAUGUCUUGUUCAUUAUCUUGGCAAUCUUCCACAUUUGUUUUGUGUCGGUCGGCAGCAGCAGGCAGUCGAGGUACAUUAUUACUAGUCCCUGCGCCAAACCAUUGAGAUGCUUUUUGUUCUUUUCUUCCUGGGGCAACAACCUGUGCUUCUUCCAUGUCUUUGCUCCUUCCCUAAUACUUUCGAUGAUUACCUGGCAGAAAUCCAUCUUUGCCAUUUCUGGAUAGUCCAAGUCCUUGACCAUACUGGCUUGUUUGCUGAAGGUAGGGGAGGUUGUUCCAUAGACAACGUUGUGGAAAAAAAUAAGGAAAAAUAUUUUAACUGAUUUCCUGUUUGAUUGUUCGUCAUCUUGUUUCACCAAUUUUUCUAGUUCUUUAAACAGAUCGUCGUGAUGGAAACCCAUUUUCUUGAGGCCAAGUUCUGUGACCAGUUCGGUCAUUGUCUCGGUGGAAAUCUUUGGCCUUGGUGCUGUCUUUUCCGUACCGUUUGGGUAUCCAAACACCUUGUGGAUGCCUUCCUUUGUUAUUGUGAUUUCUUUCUGCUGAUCAGCUUCACCGAACUUUAUUUUCAUGGUUUCUAUGUCCAGUUUGUCGUAGAUGUGUGCUGCAAGCGGUUUGCAUAUGGAGCGCUUUAUUUGGCAUCCCUCUAUGCUUCCAAACCCGGCCUCCCUAACAUCUUGCCGGUGACGUUCCUCAAGUAAUUUCCAUGCUUUAUUGACAUUAUCAAAUGCUUCUCCUGCCUUGAUCUCGCAUUUUCCUUAUUUAUUGUUGCCUCCUGUUCAUCAUCCGUUGGUGUUGCCAAUUCUUUUCCACUUGUCUUUCUUCUCUUUGUGCGCUUCUGCCUUGUUUUUAUCUGUUGAGAAAAGGAGGGUUUUGUUAUAGAGGAUGGUUUGGUGAAAAGAGGUAGGAAAAAUCUGUAGAGAAUAUGGUUUUUACAUCAUCGUUGUUGUCCUCUGCGGCGCCACCGUUGUCCCCUAUGGCGCCAUCGCCCUCUGUACAAAUGACAUCAUCAUCGUGUUUUGUGCCAUCAUCAUCGUCGGCAGUAUCACGCUUUGACUCUUUGCUGGCAUCAUCCUCGUCUUCUUCCAACCGUUGUCUUUUGUUUUUCUUCUUGGCUUUAUUUACAUCAUUGUCAGCGCGUGGAACUGCUGGCGGGAGUAUCAUUAGAGGACUUGGCUGCUGCUGCUUCAAGCUACCACCAUCGCUGAUGAGUUGAGUUUUGUCCUUUCUCUUUUGUCUUUUUCCUCUAGGAGGAAUGACAGUCUUAGUUUCUGAUUGCUCCUCUUUUCUGCUGCUAGUCACUUGCUUUUUGUUGCCAUCCCUGCUGGAAGCUAGUGCUGGCACUUUCUCGGCUGCUUCGUUGUCCAUGUUCUGCUUCGUUCUUUUUUCUGACGGGUCAGGAGAGAUGUCUGGUUUUCCUGGAUAUGAACUAUUAAGUUUAGACAAAAUCGUUUCAAUAUCUACUUCUCCGUCACCUGCACGAUGAUUAUGUAACAAAAGGAUUACGAAGUAACAUCGAAAUAAAUGGGAUAUAGUUAUAAAAGUAUGUCUUCCAUGGCUGCACAAAAAAGAUUCUGAAGGUUAAUCUACAUAGAUUCAUAAGAUAGCCCUUUUCUUUCAUUUCGUGACCUAAAAAAGCGAUCAAUCCAUUGUUUUCUUGUUAUAUCAAGUCUUCCCACUAACUCUUUGUUUUGCUAAUCAUUGAUAGAAAUUAGGGUGAGGUGUGAGCAGUAUGUCUGCUGUCAAGUCCAUAUCAGUGAGGGGAAGUCUUUUUUCACAGGAAAAAAUACACUACAAAUGAUAUUCUGUAAAUUGGAGCAAUAACUGUAUGGUUUAGAGUGUAAGAUAAAAUGUUCUUGGAUGAAUAAUAAUACACAUAAUGUGUGAAAAUUUUCAUCGAAGUGCAAUUUCCCAGGAUUUUGCGGACGCAAUUGGUUAACUUAAUGCUGCUGCUACAUAGUUUUUGUUAUAUGGAUUGUGUGAGCCUUUUAUAGUACCUUGCUGCACGGCAGGCUGUUCCGUAGGUACCCUGUUUUCCUUAUUACCAGUCCUUGCUGCAUACAAAUGCCCAGGCGUUAGCAGUAGUAGAACCAUAAUUGAAUUUCACAGCAAAAAGAGGAGAUGCAUCCCGUGGAAAAAAAAAACGGCAUUGUCGGAGAGGCACAGGUUGUUUCACGCUAUAAGCACACAGCUAGAUCUAUUAUUGGUGCACGGAUGUUAAUACGCUAGAGGCAUGUAAUUUGAAAGAGGGGCAACCAACGGACAUAUAGAAUCUCCUGUAAAUACCAGGUUUUGAAUUUAAGGAUGCUCUCAUGGUUUGAAUCUAGAGCGGUGCUCUAGAUAGUUCUGGCAUGCACAGUACAUUUUAGGCAAAUUCCUUGUGAGCGGAUUUCUGUGACGGGUAAGGGUAGCAUAUCAUUGCACGCGUGUCUACCUUAUUUCAAUUUUGCAAGAAAAGUCUAGACAGACUUUUUGGAAACACGUUUUUGUGUGGCGGUUUGGGUUCAUAUCCGUCAAAAAGGGGGAUAAUCGCUUUGAUCGACCUGUGGUAAUGGAACGUAAUGGAUUAAUAUAUUUUUACCUUCGAUUGCUUGUGAGGGAUUCGUCGCAUCUAUCGGCGUGUUUUUUUCCUUGCUCUCUGUUGGUAUCUCCGCCGCGAGCACGGGUCGUCACCGUUAGUCGCUGCCGGCGCCGGGAGAGGUUUUUGAUGCUUUCACGGGCACUGACUGGCUGCUUGUAUCUCGAAGUGGAUGGCGGCUGGUGGGUAAGGCGAACGCGAUUUCGAUUUUUGGUUGGUCUGCUGGAUUGGAUAAUGGGGCAGAAGGAAAGACGAGGAUGUUCAAGAGAGGGUAACUGGUGAAGUGUUCGAGAUUUUCGGUGCGAAAGCAAAAGCAAGAAAGUAGUGGAGGGAGAGAGGGAAAUGGUCGAACCGUCUCGAAUCUUCGACCGUCCGUCUGGACAUCAAGAUUGGUGUAAUUUUCUAUGGGCUUUGAUGGUCUUGCUUUUGUCCUUGCUUGCUCAACUACCGGAAUGUUUUUAUUUUAGUGUGGUGACAUCCACGGUGGCAUGGUUUGGUGUUGCCCAGAGUCACGUUUGUUCUUGCGUGUGUUACAGACGUUUUAUAUGACGUUCCAUGGUGAGUAGCAUGGAAGUGAGGCCACCAGCGCUCAUCCUACUAUGGAAAAAGGGGAAGCAUCUCGAAUCUUAGACCGUAGGUUUGGACAUCAAGACUGCUGCAUCUUUCUGUGUACUUCGAUGAGCUUGUUUUUUGCUUGGAUUUCUUAAGUCUUAGUCUGUGGGAUGUUAGCAUUUUUUGAUUUUUGUGUUGUUGUGUGAUGCACAGGGGCAUGGUUUGGUGUUACUCAGAGUCACGUUUCAUGGUUCUUUUGGAGAGGCAUGGACAUGAACUCAAUGGAAGCAUGUUAAUGCAUUGGUCAGAGUCUCGUUGCCACGGGUGUAUGCUUUUGGUAUUUCCAAAUGAUUCCGUUCACUUGUUCUGUUGGAGAGGAAUGGACGUGACCAAAACGUUCUGUUGGUACAUGUAGUUGGGUAGGCUAGGGUCAUGGAUGCCGUGUGUUAGCAGUAGGAGAACGGUUGUGCUUCCACCAGAGGCACUUCGUUCCCCCACGGGGAGCACAUUUUGCCAAAUCUUGUGUAGUUUUGGUUCAAAUGAUUCCUCUUACUCGUUCACUUGGAUAUGCACGGGCGUCGAGUCUAUUGAGUCACGCUUUCCCAUUAGGCUGAGUCACGUUAGGCACGUAGUCGCGUCGAUGUAGAAGUCACGUUUUUCAAGCAAAUAACGCACCUCACGGUAAGUGUAGUUUUAUGUAGAGUCACGGGCAUGAAACACGGGCCAGUGUGACUCUGUAUAUUCUGUGAGGCACAUUGAGUGGAGAGGCAUAGGCAUGGUGUGGUAUUAUGUAGAGUCACGCUCAUCUGUGUUUGGUUUCAGAAUAAUUCCGUCGACUCGAUCAAUGGAGAAGCACGGGCGUUAAUUCGUAGAAAGGCACAAUUUGGUUCGAAGUCAUGGUGAACACUCACUAUUUACUCUGUGAGGCAUGGAAUGGACUAUUCGAGAGACGGUGGUGUUGUAUAUUCUUCGCCCAGUCAUGGGUCCCAGGAAGGCACGGCAUGGUAUCCUGUAUUUGUGUUCGACAUGAUUCUGUUGACUCGUUCAGAAGAAGAGGCACGGGCAUGAAUGCCAUGAGGGCAUGGUUGGGUCUGUCGGAGCAUCACGUUUCAUACAUUUAUUAUGGAAACAAAGCGGAAUGGGUUUAGAUGUUAACGCUAAAAGUUUACUUUGCAUACUCGAGGUGUUUAAAAGCGUAAGCUCCAUGUUUUAAAAAGCCAUGGCUUCGUGCUGAGUUGUGUGGCGCUUCUUUUAUUAGAAGCACGGACGUGAAGUGAAUAUAGCCACGGUUCUGUACCAGGUAGCGACAUGACUUGUACAGUGGCGAUGGCCUGGAUGUUCGUGGCAAUGUUAAGGGUCAUAGGCAGGUGCUUGAAGCGCUAAAAGGCAUGCUACCGUAUAAUAUAGAGCCACGCUCCCAUGUGUUUGUGUUCCGAAUAAUUUCGUCGACUCGAUCAGACGGAGAGGCACGGGCAUUCAGCCCACAAAGGAAUCGUCAAGGUUCGUUCCUUGGUUGUUAGGCACACAGACGCAUGGAUGUAGAAGACACAUUGUUCAAGCAAAGAACGCACAUCACGAUCCCACGUUUUUCAAGCAAAAUGCGGACCUGAAGUCCGUAUAGCCACGGCUCUGUACUAAGUAGCGUCAUGAACGAGUCACCUGGAGUUAGAUUUUGAUAUAAAUAUCAUUUCAAAACAAAAAAUGUCAAUGGAGAAUGGUAUGAAUUCGACAGUAAGUUCUCUGGAAUACAGACAGACGUACACAGUAAGUUAACUGUGUUUGAGAUGUUUUCUGUUGAAUAUGUACGGACCAUUGGAAAGAAGUUGAGUGGUUGUGGUGUGGACGAACGCACAAGAAGACGAAAUGAUAGUACUGGUGUUUCCCAGCGGUGCAGAGUUCGAGGUAUUUAAGAGAGAUUGGGAGAAUUCGAGCCGCCGGUUACUCCGUUUGACCAUCUCACUGGUGUGCGUAUGUUAUAAAAAGCUACCUUCUCAUCGAACACCCCACAUCCACAAUUCUCCAGAGACAGGCACCUCUUUCUUGCUGGUAGCUCCUUGCUUUCGCCAUGGCCAGUAAGAGGGGUUCUGGUUGUUCAAGCAACCAGGCAGCAAGGACAAAAGCCACGGAAAGAAGGGAGAGGUGCCGCCGCUACGCCGUAGCGGCGGUAGGAAUAUCCUGCCCCGUUGCCCAGGUGUCUAACAAUCUCUCGUGUGGAUGCGAAUCCUCCCACAAGCGCAUUCGCCAUGGAGACGAUCUCGGCAAGAUGGCAGUACAGAAUUCCUUAGCCAGCGAUGACUUGCUCGAUGAGUUAAUUAAGCAGCAGCAGUUCAUCGCUCGCUUGGAGAAGUUGCUAUAGCAGAGCAAUGCCUCUGUGGAGAAGUCCACUUGUCUCAUAGUUUGAUCUUUGUGUGAGAAUGACAAGCUUCUAAACGAGCUCGACCAGAAGGAUUGGGAGGCCGCCCGCUUGAAGAAUCUGUAUGAGCAGAGCCAUGCGUUGGUGCAGAAGCUGUCGGGCGAAGUGGGGUAGCUUAUGGAUGAGAAUGCUGGGGUCCUCGUCAAGUACAAGAGCCUGGUGGAGGAUUCCUUUGCUGUUGUGGAGGAAAGUUAUGAGGCGACGAAGAAGGAGAUUGAAGAUGUGCUCGCCCAGCAGCCGAUCAAGAACGUUGCUGGAGUGUAGGCAGAGAUCUUGUAGCGUGUUUUUCCGUUGCGUUGGGGCAUGUGGCCUUUUGUACUGCCAUGAAUCUGUAAGGCAUUUAUGCGUUGCAUUGUCGUCGUGUUGUUUCGUUUGUUGGCACAUGUAGAUGAGUAGGCUAAGGUCAUGGAUGUCGCCUGUUAGCGGUUGGAGCACGGUUGUGCUUCCACCAGAGGCACUUUGUUUUCCCGCGGGGAGCACGUUUUGCUGAACCGUGCGUAGUUUUGGUUCAAAUGAUUCCGCUUACUCGUUCACUUGGAUAUGCACAGGCGUCAAGUCUAUUGAGUCACGUUUUUGCAUUAGGCCAGGUCACGCUAGGUCACAUUUUUCAAGCAAAUAACGCACGUCACGGUGCCAAAACAUGAAGGUGAAAGCAUGGCCGAUUCGAGAGACACGAAUAUGAAAAACACGGACCUGAAGUCCAUGUAGGGUCAUGAUUUGUACUCUUAAACUCGUGGACUUUCUGUUUCGAAUGCUUCUGUCGACUCGUUCAGACGGAGAGGCACGACCGAUCAGCUUCAACAGUGAACACCCACUAUUCACUGUUUUGGCAGAAACACGGGCGAGUGUGACUCUGUAUACUCUGUGAUUCCGCUUACUCAUUCACUUGGAUACGCACGGGCGUUGAGUCUAUUGAGUCACAUUUUUCCAUUAGGAUGAGUCACGUUAGGCACGCAGUCGCGUUGAUGUAGAAGUCACGUUUUUCAAGCAAAUAACACACGUCAUGGUAAGUGUAGUAUUAUGUAGAGUCACGAGCGUGAAACACGGGCCAGUGUGACUCUGUAUAUUCUGUGAGGCACAUUCUGUGGAGAGGCAUAGUCAUGGUGUGGUAUUAUGUAGAGUCACGCUCGUCUGUGUUUGGUUUCAGAAUAAUUGCGUCGACUCAAUCAGAUGGAGAGGCACGGGCGUUAAUUCUAGAAAGGCACAGUUUGGUUCGAAGUCAUGUUGAACACCCACUGUUUACUCUGUGAUGCAUGGAAUGGCCUAUUAGAGAGACGCUGGUGUUGUAUAUUGUUCACACGGUCAUGGAUCGGAGGAAGGCACGACAUGGUAUCCUGUAGUUGUGUUCCAAAUGAUUCCGUUGACUCGUUCAGAAGAAGAGGCACGACCAUGAAUGUCAUGAGGGCAUGGUUGGGUCUGUCGGAGCGUCACAUUUUGUACGUUUAAUAUCGAAACAAAGCGGAAUGAGUUUAGAUGUUGAUGCUAAAGGUUUACAUUGCGAGUGGCCGGUUCGACAGUUGGGGUGUUUAAAAGCGUAAGCUCCUUGUUUUCAAAAGGCACGGCUUUGUGCUGAGUUGCGUGGCACUUUUUUUAUUAGAAGAACGGGUGUGAAGUGAAUACAGCCACAGUUCUGUACUAGGCAGCUACAUGACUUGUGCACUGACGAUGGCGUGGAUGUUCGUGGCAGUGUUAAGGGUCACAGGCACGGGCGUGCGACGCUAAAGGGCAUGCUGCUGUAUAAUAUAGAGUCACGCUCUUGUGUGUUUGUGUUCCGAAUAAUUCCAUCGACUCGAUCAGACGGAGAGGCGCGGGCGUUCAGCCCACAAAGGCACCAUCAGGGUUCGUUCCUUGGUUUUUAGGCGCACAGACGCGUGGAUGUAGAAGGCACAUUUUUCAAGCAAAGAACGCACAUCAUGAUGCCACGUUUUUUAAGCAAAACACGGACCUGAAGUCCGUAUAGCCACUGUUCUGUACUAAGUAGAAUCAUGACUUGUACUCAUAAACAUGUGGACUUUCAUGCCUCCUGGCAAUAUUUUGGGCCACAGGCACUAGCGUGCAUGCCACAAAGGCAUGGUGCUUUUUUAUACAGAGGCACACUCACCCGUGUUUCUGUUUCGAAUGCUUCUGUCGACUCGUUCAGGCGAAGAGACACGGCCGGUCAGCCGACAGAGGUAUAGGGUUGCAUUACGCACAGUCAGCGUCACAUUACCAUGGGUGUAUGAUUUUGGUAUUUCGAAAUGAUUGCACUCUCUUAUUCUGUUGGAGAGGAAUGGACGUGAAUCCGGCAGAGGCAAGUCUUCUUAUUAGCUAGAGUCACGUUCGUUUCUUUAGUUGGAGUAACCCAGCAGAAUGGGUUCAGAUGCGAACACUCAUUGUUGAAGUUGUUUUUGAAAGCUUCUUUCCUUGUUUUCAAAAGCACAGUCACGGUUCUUUGUUGUACUCAAUAAAGGCAUUGACUCGAUUUGAUGGAGAGUCAUAGGCAUGGUGUGGUAUUAUAUAGAGUCACGCUCGUCUGUGUUUGUGUUCAGAAUAAUUCUGUCGACUCGACCCGAUGGAGAGGCACGGGCAUUAUUUCGUUUGUCGGAACAUGUAGAUGAGUAGGCUAGGGUCAUGGAUGUCACUUGUUAGCAGUAGGAGCACGGUUGUGCUUCCACCAGAGGCACUUCGUUAGCCCGCGGGGAGCACGUUUUUGCGAACCGUGCGUAGUUUUGGUUCAAAUAAUUCCGCUUACUCAUUCACUUGGAUACGGACGGGCGUCGAGUCUACUGAGGCUGAGGCACGUUAGGCACGCAGUCGCGUCGAUGUAGAAGGCACGUUUUUGAAGCAAAGAACGUACAUCAUAGUGCUAAAACAUGAAGGUGAAAGCAUGGCAGAUUCGAGAGACACGAAUAUGGAUAACACAGAACUGAAGUCCAUGUAGUCUCGGUUCUGUAGUAAGAAGGGUCAUGAUUUGUACUCUUAAGCUCAUGGACUUUCAUAGCUCUAUGUGUUGCAGUAUUUCGGGUCACAGGCACGGGCGUGCAGCCUACAAAGGCAUGGUGUGGAAUUACAAAGAAUCACGGUUCUGUGUUAAGUGGUGCCAUGACUUGCGUACUCAUGACGAAGAGUACGUUUCAGAAACCCAAUGGUCCGACGGGCGUCUCCUCCGGUGGCACCGCUCUGGCUCAUCGUCCGAGGUGAUCCUCUGGCUAUUUAAGGCGGACAGACGGAGACUCGAAACCCUAGCCACAUCCUACUCCUCUCUUUGUUCGCCGCCAGGUCUUCCAUUUCUCUUGCUCCUCUCUAUCAUUUGACCGUCUCCGCCAUGGUUGGGCAGAAGAAGACUACUCCGGACGGCCGUGCCCUGUCGCGGGAGGAGAUCCCGGCCGGCGAGGGUUGCUCAUCUGUAAGUUCACCCUGUUUGUGGUUUUCAUUCAUUUGUUUUUUCUAUGUUUCUCCUAAUUGAUUUAGUUUGUGAAACAUGGAUUAUUGUGGUUAGCUUAUUCCUAAUUUGAUGCGGGUUUGUCUUGCUGAUACUGAUUUACAGUCAUUUGGAGCUACUCUCAUUAACCUGGUCAAUGGGAUGAAUGCCUUGGUUUCAAUAGCAAAGGUUGACAGAACGUACAAGGAGUUGCUGGAGGUCACCUACGAAUGGCAGCAGUUCUACCAGGAAAUAAGAGAAGAUUUGGACAAGGCCAAUGCUAAGAUCGUACAAAUUACGGCUGUGGGGAGUAAUCUCUUUGAAGAGCACACCCGGUCGUUGGAGGAAUCAACGUCAGCUGUGAAGCGACAUGAAGAGAAUAUGAAGGCGCUGAAGGAGGAGAUUGAUGAACUGCGUCGGGAGAAAACCAAUAGGAAGGUCGGUGGAGACUAGAUAUAUAGCAGCGUCCCUGGCUGUUGUGUGCGUCUGGUGUUGUUAGGCAGUGGAGUGGGGUUUCUUACCUUGUCUUGCGAAAUUUCUCUGUCAGCUACUUUGUUAACAAAAUGUAUUUUGGUUUCGAGUAUCAUUGUAAUUAGGCACCGUUACUUAUGAUGCACGGGACGUGAAGUCUCUACAUCCACGGUUGUGAACGUAGUACUGUAAUGACUUGCGUACUGAUGCAGGCGUGUAUGUUCGUGGGAUUUGUGUGUUGCAGUGUUUCGGGUCACAGACAAGGGCUUGCAUCCCACAAAUUCAUGGUGUGGUUUUAUAUAGAGUCUUGUUCGCUUGUAUUUGUGUUCGAAAUGAUUCUGUUGACUCGUUCAGAAAAAUAGGCACGCACGCAGGUGAAUCCCAUGGGGGCAUGGUUUCGUCUUUCGCAUAGUCACGUUCGUACGUUUAUCAUUGAAUGAAAGCAGGAUGGGUUUAGAUGUUAAUGCUAGAUGUUUACUUUGUGAGUGGCCGAUUGUAGAUUCGAGUUGUUUAAAAGAAUAAGUUCCUUGUUUUUAAAAGCCACGGUUCUGUACUGAGUUGCGUCACACUUCCUUUAUUAGAAGCACUAGGGUGAAGUGAAUACAGCCGCGGUUCUGUAGCAGGCAGCGACAUGAGUUGUGUACUGACAAUGCCGUUGACAUUCGUUGUACUGUUAAGGGUCAGAGGCAUGGGCGUUAAGCGCUAAGAGGCAUAGUGCCGUAUAAUAUAGAGUCAGGCUCCCUAGCAUUUCUUUUCUGAGUGCUUCCGUCGACUCGAUCAGAAGGAGAGGCACGGCCGAUCAGCCCACAGAGGCAUAGCUUUGCAUUAAGCACAGUCACGUUCGUUUUUUUAACCCAGCGGAAUGGGUUGAGACGCCAAUACUUACUAUUGAAUCUGUGAGGCACCGAAUGGCCUAUGUGAGAGACGCUGUUUUGAAAAGCUUGUUUCCUUGUUUACAAAAGCACAGUCACACUUCUUUUUUGAUGUUUUGUAUAUUACUCGAUAGAGGCAUGGACUCGAUUAGAUGGGAGAGGCACGGGCAUGGUGUGGUAUUAUAUAGAGUCACGCUCGUCUGUGUUUGUGUUCCGAAUAAUUCCGUUGACUCUAUCAGAUGGAAAACCAGCGGAAAGGCACCGUUUGGUCUUACCCACAGUCACAUUCAUUUCUUUAAUUGCGGAAACCUAGCGGAAAAGGUUCAGACGUGAACACUCACUGUUUACUCGGUGAAUCAUGGAAUGUCUUGUUCGAGAGAAGCUGCUGUGGUGUAUUCUUUGCACCGUGGUGGGUCUCAAGAAGUGACAGCGUGGUAUUGUGAAGAGUCAUGUUAUGUUGUUUUCGUGUUCCAAAUGAUUGUUGUUGAACCGUUCGCAUCGGCAGGCACAUCCAUGCAACGUGAAGAGGCAUGGUUAUGCUUUACCAAGAGUCACAUUUGUGCGUUUAUCACGGAAACCCAAUGGUUCGGCGGCCGUCUCUUCAUACCUUGGGAGUUAACGCCAUGUGGCGCCCCUCCAGAAACCUAUCGGUCCGACGGGCGUCUCCUCCAUUAUCGGUGCUCUGGCUCAUCGCCCGAGGCCAGGCUCCGGCUAUUUAAGGCGGACGGACGGAGUCGCGAAACCCUAGCCACAUUCUACUCCUCGCUUCGUCCGCCGCCAGGCCUUCCAUUCCUCUUGCUCAUCUCUAUUCACUGACCAUCUCCGCCAUGGCUGGGCAGAAGGGGACUACUCCGGACGGUCGUGCCCUAUCGCGGGAGGAGAUCCCGGGUCGCGAGGGUUCCUCGUCUGUAAGUUCACUCUGUUUUUGCUUCUACUUCAUUCAUUUUUUCUUUCUUUCGGCUCAUUUGAUUUAGUUUGUGAAACAUGAUUUAUUGUGGUCAGCUGACUCCUAGGGUUAGUCUGUGUCAUGGUCUUGAACAGAAGUCCCCUGCUGUAGAAUUGGGGAGCAGAUGUGGCUCGAGAGAGAAGGGAAUGGUGAGCGGGGCGGCGACGGGAAGUGCUAUGAGGUCCUUGUUAGUUACUCUCAAUAACCUAGUCGACGAGAUGAAUGCUUUGGUUUAAAUUCCAAAGGCUGACAAAACGUGUGAGCAGCUGCUAGAGAUCACCUACGCGUGGAAGAAGCUUUGCCUGGAAACAGAGGAAGAUUUUGAGAAGGCAAAUGCGAGGAUCGUAGAGAUUACGAAUGAGACGAGAAAUCUCCUUGGAGAGCACAUCCGGUCGUUGCAGGAAACGGCCGCAGCUGUGAAGCGACAUGAUGAGAAUAUGAAGGCGCUGAAGAAGGAGAUUGAUAAACUGCGCCUGGAGCAAACUAGCAACAAGGUCGGUGGGGACUAGGUAUACAACACCGUCCCUGGCUAUUGUGUGCGUCUGGUGUUGUUAAGCAGUGGAUUAACAAAAUGUAUUUGGUUUCGAGUAUCAUUGUAAUUAGGCGCCAUUACUUAUGAUGCAUGGGACAUGAAGUAUCUGCAUCCACUGUUGUGUACCUAGUAUUGUAAUGAUGUACUGAUGAAGGCAUGUACGUUCGUGGCUUUUUUGUGUUGGCAGUGUUUCGGGUCACAGACACGGGCUUGCAUCCAACAUAUUCAUGGUGUAGUUUUAUAUAGAGUCACGUUCGCGUGUAUUUGUGUUCGAAAUGAUUCUGUUGACUCUUUGAUAAAUAUAGGCACGCACGUGAAUCCCAUGGGGGCAUGGUUUCGUCUUUCCCGUAGUCACAUUCGUACGUUUAUCAUGGAAUGAAAGCAGGAUGGGUUUAGAUGUUAAUGCUAGCUGUCUACUUUGUGAGUGUCCGAUUCGAGAGUCGAGUUGUUUAAAAGCGUAAGUUCCUUGUUUUCAAAAGCCACGGUUCUGUACUGAGUUACGUCACGCUUCUUUUAUUAGAAGCACAAGCGUGAAGUGAAUAUAGCCGCGGACGAUGACUUAUGCACUGACGAUGGCGUGGACGUUCGUGCUAGUGUUAAGGGUCACAGGCAUGGGCGUGAAGCGCUAAAAGGCAUGCUGCCGUAUAUUAUAGAGUCACAUUCCCGUGUGUUUGAGUUCCGAAUGAUUUCGUCGACUCAAUCAGACAGAAAGGCACGGGCGUUCAGCCCACAAAGGCACCGUCGUGUUCUUUCUUUAAUUGGGGAGUCCCAGAGGAACUGGUUCAGAUGUGAACACCCACUGUUUACUCUGUGAGGCACGGAAUGGCCUAUUCGAGAGACGCUGGUGUGGUAUAUUCCUCUCACGGUCAUGGGUCCCAGGAAGGCACAGCGUGGCAUUGUGUAGAGUGACGUUAGUUUGUCUUGGUGUUCCAAAUGAUUCUGUUGAAUCGUUCACACUGAAAGGCACAACUAUGAAGCCAGGACAGGCACGGUGAUGCGUUACCCAGUGUCACAUUCAUGUGUUGAUUGCAGAAACCCCACCGUUUGACGGGCGUCGUGUGAAUGCCGGCUGGACGUCGCUCCGGAAACCCAAGGGUCCGACGGGCAUUUCCUCUGGUGACGCCGCUCUGCAGGAGGUGGAGGUAGUAUUUAAUAGAGUGAACGCCAUGUGUCGACGUUGCGGAAUCCAAAAGGACCGAUUGCCGCCUCAUCCACCGGGGAAGUGAAUGCCACGUGUCAGCGUUCCGGCUCCUCGCUCGAGGUCAAGGAGCAGUUAUUUAAGCCGAGCGGCGUCCGCCACCACUAGACAUCAUCCUGCUUCUCCCUCUUUCGUCGGCAAUCCUAGGAAAUCAUCCAUCUUCCUCUUUUCGUUUGUGACAUUCCCCGCCAUGGUUCGGCACAAGAUAACUACUUACGCGAUGCUUACUCCCGAGCGCCGCUUUCAGUUGCAGGAGGACAUCCGGUCGAGGCGCGCCGCUCGGGUCGUAGCGGGCAUGUCUCUGGACUCACCGGGGCCGGAGGAGAUUGGGGAGGUGGAGGAAGUGGAGGGGCGUGCGUCGGAGCUCAUGCAGGAAGUUGAUCUAGUGGGGGGAGAUGUCAUGGAGGAAGAGGAGGGGUGAUCCAGUUGGGGGAGAUCUGAUGGAGGAAGAGGAGGUGGGUGACGAUGAUGACGAGGACGACGAGGAAGGCGUGGACAAAGAUGAGGAGGACGAUGAGGAAGGCAUGGAGGAGGAUGNNNNNNNNNNNNNNNNNNNNNNNNNNNNNNNNNNNNNNNNNNNNNNNNNNNNNNNNNNNNNNNNNNNNNNNNNNNNNNNNNNNNNNNNNNNNNNNNNNNNNNNNNNNNNNNNNNNNNNNNNNNNNNNNNNNNNNNNNNNNNNNNNNNNNNNNNNNNNNNNNNNNNNNNNNNNNNNNNNNNNNNNNNNNNNNNNNNNNNNNNNNNNNNNNNNNNNNNNNNNNNNNNNNNNNNNNNNNNNNNNNNNNNNNNNNNNNNNNNNNNNNNNNNNNNNNNNNNNNNNNNNNNNNNNNNNNNNNNNNNNNNNNNNNNNNNNNNNNNNNNNNNNNNNNNNNNNNNNNNNNNNNNNNNNNNNNNNNNGGCAUGGAUGAGGAUGAGGAGGGCGACGAGGAAGGCGUGGAUGAGGAUGCGGAGGACGACGAGGAAGGCGUGGACGAGGAUGACAAGGACGACAAGGAAGGCGUGGAUGAGGAUGAGGAGGACGACGAGGAAGGCAUGGACGACAAGGAUGACGAGGACAUCGAGGAAGGCGUGGACGACGAGGAUGAGGAGGACGACGAGGAAUGCGUGGACGAGGAUGACGAGGACGACGAGGAACGCGUGGGCGAGGAAGACGAGGCGGAGUUCUAUCUCGGUGAGUCGGCCUUGAUGGCGGAGCAGACCGCUAUCCUCGAGUCCAUCCAAGAUGAGGCGUAUGUGGAGUCCAACCGGUGCUUCCUCCAGGAAGAACAGGCGAAGACCGAUGCUCUCUUCGACGAGCUGGAUGCGGAGCGGGAGGCGGAGGUCAAUGACAUCGAUAUCAGAAUGGAGAUAGUGGACAUCUCCGACGGCGGGGAGUAGUGUAGUUUUGUUGGUAGAUGUUUGCUUUUCCAUGGUUUUUAUGCUUUCCAUGUCAAGCAAUCGUCGAUGUCAAAAUGGAGACAGUUUCGUUUCCAUGUUAAGCAAUCGUGUUUUGUUCUUAAGUAGUAGUACUGCCCCAUCCAAAAAGAAAUGUGUCAACUUUGCAAUAACUUCGUACCAGGCAGAACAAUUCACAUUGUACUGGUUAGUGCAAUGUUGAGAAAAUUAAUUUGUGACGGAAGGUGUAUGUUUUAUUACAAAUUGCAGUUUCUAGUACAAUAUUUUUGUCAGAAGGCAUAUGUUUUAUUACACUGUAUUGUUUUAUUAUAGAUUACAGUUUCAAGUAGUACAAAAUAAACGUCUCAACUGGGGCACAUAUUUUAUUCUAAAGAUUUUAGUGUGGUUAGAUUUGAAUAUGGUUUCAACAUGGUUAGAUUCUAUAGAGGCAUUCAACAACAUGCCCAAAAAAGCCACAGAUGUGCUUCUAAGAACACGGACAGGGGUACGGUUUUACCCAAUGUAGAGGCACGCACGUAACGAACUGGAGGCACGGACGUGAUUCUAAUGGAGGUACGGACGCAAAAUGAUCGUGAUGCAAGGAUGUGAAGGUGUGCCUCUGCUUUAAAGAAUCUGUCAUUCACACGUUUUCAUUGCGGGGGGCAUGAACUAUGAGCUGCAUGUGUUUUUGAAGGCAUUAGACCUCGUUAAUGAACUUAUUAGGGAGAAGGUGAAUCUUUUGGUUGGCGUCUAGAAUGUUGCGUAAAACUGCUUGAAGCCAAGUUACGCACGGUCCCCUUGGUAUGAGAGGCACAUAGGCACAUAAGUGCCUAUGUGGUGCACUGGAAAUAAACUUGUGCAAAAGACAUGUAAACUUCAAGCAAACUACAAGGUUAACUACAACACAAGCAAACCUAAAUUUAUAACAAGAAAACGACAGUCUUGAGAGAAAGCAAAUCUAAUGAGAAAUCGAGAAUGGCGUGAGCAAUGUUCUAGAUACUUUUUUUGGUCGGGACCACCUGCUUCAGUAGUCGUAGUCGCCAUAGGACCUAGCGCGCUUCCUGGUCUGCUUCUUGUCGAGUUUUUCCCGGUGAAGCCCUUCCUGGAUGAUGGUGAGGUGGCUCCAUAUCUCGUACGCAGCGUAAGCGUCCUUUGUCGCGUACCCGGUGUGCCUCAUGGACAGGGUCAUGCACGCCCAGCGCUGCUUCUCUGCGUUGGUGGGCUCUACGUCGUGGACAAGGAUGCCUGAGGUGUCCCAAAGGGAGUCUAGAGGCUUGGUAGCUGUAGGCACCCUCCAUUCUUUCUGGAUGUCGACGAAGUGGGCGAUCUCCAAUCCGACGCGGCCGAGCAUCUCUAUGUCGCCGUCGAUGGAGAAGCCAACAAACGUGUACCUGGGGUCGGCGAGGAAGUUGUCGAACCUGGUGCAGUUCUUGUCGGCGGCGCUCAGUUGAAAGAGCAGCACCGGAUGAUCCUUGCCGACGGAGAGCUGGACGAGGGCUGGUUUAUGAUCUUGGCCAACGUCGUUGGUGUACUCCACAUCAACUCUGACGAUCUUGUGGCGCUCGAAUUCAAGGUGUCGCUCGUACUACUCGAUGAUGGUGGCCGCCUUGUGCAACUCGUUGUUCUGGAUCACUUGCAACUUGGUGUUGUCGUGGGCCUGCACCUCGAAUUCCUUGGUGAAUCCCAAGGCCUGGAGCAGUUCGUCCUCCUGCAACCUGGUAUUUCAUGGGGAACAGUGAGUGGGAGCGCAAUGGCGAUUUCUGUUGUUUGUGGGAGACAAGUCCACAGCAGAAGUGUAAAUUUAAGGGCGGGGAAGCAGCAAAGGAGUGCACGAUCUCAUUGUCGAUGCGGUUGUGCACAUCGUGGGUUCUGGAUCAUGGUUUCGUCUCCCUUAUGGUGCGGUUGUGCACAUCCUGGGUUUUUGAUCGUGGUUGUUCUAUAUAAAAAAUUAAAAUAAAAUCAGCAGUUAUGUUUUUAACAAUCGUCGUAUCUCCAGCAAAUCGUGGCGAUGAUAGCUGUCUUGCGUGGUUUGCUGUCAAAUCUUAACAUUUCCAAUUUAUCUAGUGAGGCAUGCAGGGGCAGUAUGUAGAGGCACAAGUCUCUGACCAAGAGAAGCAUGCUUGAAGUGGCUGGUUUAACUCUCAGACACACAGGCGUGGUACAUUCAUAAGGAGUGGCAAAUGUUUUCUUCAUACAUUCGCUGGGAGGAGCAGUGUUGUGUUUAAAUAGAGGCACUGUUGUGUGUCCGUGUUGCAACAGACGCUACCAGAUGGACAGAAAUAACGAGAAGCAAUGAGAGGCGUGGACAUGCAGCUGCAAGAAGCAUUCAUACAACAAGAGGCGCCACAAGAGGCACAGAUACGAUGCUACGUGAGGCACGGAGAUGAAGCUACGUGAUUAUACGUACGUUAAUUCCUGCUAUGGUGCGACGUGAGGCACGAGCACGAACAGAUAGCCAUGCACUCAACUACAUACGCAAAAAACCACAUAUGUGUUUCUGAGAAGCACCGGCCUCCGUUGUUUUACCGCAAUGUGGGAUUCGACAUUUAUCCAGGGCAUUCCGGGUUUUACAAGUGUAGGAAGAAUCGUUUUUCAAAUAUAUGUUCUGUGGCAGAGGCACGACUAUUACUUGUGUGACGAAGGAAUGUAUGACGAAGGUACGUGACGUGAGGAUUGACAAUAGGCGUCUAUUACUGUUUUGGAAUGUUUUUCAGUUAAAUUUGAGAGGCAUGAAUGUGUUGACGGAACAGGCACAGUUAUGUCUGAAAUAGUUGCAAGGUCGUCCCUAAGUUGUCCUAUACGCUUCAUAGUUACAAGCACGGUCGUCGUACUUGUCGAGACAUGGAGGUGUAGGAUGGAGCCUAUGCCGCUGCGAUAGUCACGUCCCAUAUUAAGAAGGAAGCAAAUCUUCAUAGACCCGAUACGUCGGAAGUUGGCCGUAAGGCACGGACGUGAUUCUAAGGGAGGUACGGACGCGAAGGAUCGUGAUGCAAGCACGUGAAGGUGUGCCUCUGUUUUCAAGAAGCUUUCAUUGGCACGUUUUCAUUGCGGGGGCCAUGUCCUAUGAGUUCGAUGUGUCUUCGAAGGCAUUCGGCCUCAUUAACGGACCUGAAGCCAAUUUACGCACGGUCCCCAUAGGAGUGGAGGCAGAGAAGUGCCUCCGUGGGUGUUUUAAGUAGUUGGUGUUAUUGACGGUCAACCGUGCCUCUGUAGUGUUCUUCUUUGAGCGUCACGGACGUAAGCAAUGUUUUGCAAGGAGAAUAAACACCUAACUACCUCUGUAUUCAAAAUGUUUUUCAAAAGUGUUGCAUUCGAACUAUUUUUAAUAUUGCAUGUGCAAUGGUUUGUUAGAACAUUGUGCAUUGCUUUUAGUAGCAUUUUGUAAUUGUUGUCCCUGCAUUUCGACGCUGCAUCCACAAAGUAACUAGUGCAUGUACGUUACGCUAAUCAUGUAGCAUCUGUCCUGUGUUUAUAUUUUCUAGUUCACGCCAAUAUAUUCUAAUAAUAGAAAACCCCAACAUUGCAUUGGAAAUAAACUAUGUAAACUCGAAGCAAACUACAAGGUUAACUACGACACAAGCAAAUCUAAAUUUAGAACAAGCAAACGGUAGUCUUGAGAGAAAGCAAAUGUAACGAGAAAUCUAGAAUGGCAUGAGCAAUCUUGUAGAUACUUUUCUUGGCCGGAACCACCUUCUUCAGUAGUCGUAGUCGCCCCAGGACCUUGCGCGCUCCCUGGACUGCUCCUUCUCAAGUUUUGCCCGGCGGAGCCCUUCCUGGAUAGUGGUCAGGCGACUCCAUAUCUCAUACGCAGUGUAAGCAUCUUUUGCCGCGUACUUGACGUGCCUCAUGGUCAGGAGCAUGCGCGCCCAGCGCUGGUGCUCUGCGUUGGUGAUCUUCUUCUUCAUGUCCUUGUAGUAGUCAUGGACAAGGAUGCCUGAGACAUCGCCGAGCGAGUCCAGGGGCUUGGUAGCUGUAGGCACCCUCCAUUCCUUCUGGAUGUCGACGAAGUGGGCGAUCUCCAGUCCGACGCGGCCGAGCAUCUCUAUGUCACCGUCGAUGGAGAAGCCAGCAAACGUAUACCUGGGGUCGGUGAGGAAGUUGUCGAGCCUGGUGAAGUUCUUGUCAGCGGUGCUAAGUUGAAAGAGUAGCACCGGGUGAUCCUUGCCGACGGAGAGUUGGACGAGGGCUGGUUUUUGAUCUUGGCCAACGUCAUUGGUGUACUCCACAUCAACUCCGACGAUCUUGUGGCGCUCGAAUUCGAGGUGUCGCUCAUACUGCUCGAUGAUGGUGGCCGCCUUGUGCAACUCGUUGGUGUGGAUCACUUGCAACUUGGUGUUGCCGUGGGCCUGCACCUCGAAUUCCUUGGUGAAUCCCAUGGCCUAAGAAGUUUGUCCUCCUGCAACCUGGUAUUUCAUGGGGAACAGUGAGUGGGAGCGCAAUGGCGAUUUCUGUUGUUUGUGGAAGACAAGUCCGCAGCGGAAGUCUAAAUUUAAGGGCGGGGAAGCGUCAAAGGAGUGCAUGAUCUCACUGUCGAUGCGGUUGUGCACAUCGUGGGUUGUCGAUCGUGGUUUCGUCUCCCUGACGGUGCGGUUGUGCACAUCCUGGGUUUUUGAUCGUGGUUUUUCUUUAUGAAAAUUAAAAUAAAAUCAGCAGUUAUGAUUUUAACAACCGUCGAAUCUCCAGCAAGUCAGGGAGAUGAUCGUUGUCUUGCGUAGUUUGUUGUCUAAUGUUAACUUUUACAGUUUAUCUCGUGCGCAAGUCUCUGACCAAGAGAAGCAUGAUUGAAGUGGCUAGUUUAACUCUCGGACACACGGGCGUGGUACAUUCACUGGUCAUGGCAAUUGUUUUCAGUGAUACAUUCAGUUUGCCGUCAAAUGUUAACUUUUUGCACUCUCGUUGUAUAAGUGAUGUGCUUUAUCAGCGGCACUGUUGCGUGUCUAUGUUGCAACUGACGCUACGAGAUGGGCAGAAAGAACGAGAAGCAACGAGGGGCGUGGACAUGCAGCUGCAAGAAGCACCUAUACAACAAGAUGCGUAGAUAGAGGCACACAUACGGUGCUACGUGAGGCAUGGAGAUGAAGUUACGUGAUUACACGGAUGUCAAUUUGUUGCUAUGGUGCUACGUGAGGCACGGGCACGAACAAAUAGCCGUGCACUAAACUACAUGCGCAAAAAGCCACAUAUGUGUUUCUGGGAAGCACCGGUCUCCAUGGUUUUACCGCAAGGUGGGAUUCGACAUUUAUUCAGGGCAUUCCGGGUUUUACAAGUGUAGCAAGAAUCGUUUUAAACUUAUAUGUUAUUCUGUGACAAAGGAAUGAACGUCGAAUGUACGUGACGUGAGGAUUGACAAUAGGCGUCUGUUACUGUUUUCCGGAAUGUUUUUCAAUUAGCUGUUAGAGGCAUGAAUGUGCCAACGGAAUAGGCACGGUCAUGUCUAAAAUAGUUGCAAGUACGAUAUGGGCACGAAAAGAAACGAGGGGCGUGGGCAUGCAGCUGCGAAACGCACUUAUACAACGAGAAGCAUAGCUAGAGGCACAGGUACGACGCUACGACAUGAAGCUAUGUGAUUGCAUGGGCAUCAAACUGUGCCCGUGUUCUGUCAAGUGUUUUAACCGACAGUUUGUAAAGGCAUGGAUGUUUAAGGUGACUGAGCCAUAGGGGAAGGCGCUAGGUUUUUAGGAGGUGUAUGCUUGAGCUCAUCGCAACAAACUACUUGGCAUGAAGAUAUUAUGCGGAGCACCAUAGUGAAAAUUAAUUAUACUACUGACGUGGGGAGCUAGCAACGUCACUAAACUAUUCUGAAACACACUUCACCACAGCCAUACAUUCUCCAUUAUUAGUCAGCGAAUCCUUUUAUUAUUAGUCAGCGACUCCUUUUAUCAUUCUCCAUUAUUACUGUAAGUGUUUCACCUUCUUUGACAAGAAAUUUCCACCACCAUCCUCUUCGAGAUAAUUAUAUGCUCAGUUACAUAUCAUGACAUAACUAAAUAACCAAACUGGUGUGUAAAACCUAUUCAAAAAACAGACAUAAAUUACUAAACUAGGAAGUAUAGCCACAGGCAGCGCUCUAUCAGGAAAGGUCGUUGAUUAUCAUCCGCAGCAAUUUCAUGUUUCCCAGUGUUGGCCACCGCUUUUCAAUUGUGACAAGAACAAUUGAACCAACACUUAGCUGAGCUUCCCGGGCAAAAUCUGAAAAACCUGUCACCUCCAUUCUGUCGUCGGUUCGUAUGGAGUACGUUGUGCUCGUGUCUAUUGCAUCGUACAUCUCUGUUAGGAUGAUUCCACCGUUUUGAGGUAGAUAUCCUAGGUUCAUCUUUAGAAGCCUCACAAUGGCAGAUGGGAUUCUCUGCAGAUUGUACCGAUAUUACUAGAUAAAAUCAUUGUACAAGGACAUAAAACAUCAAAAAUAACAAACAAAACCAUGGCAGUGGAUCAAAACAAAUAUUCAAUGACUAACCAGGCGACAUUUAUGACAUUGGUGACGUUUAGACGCUGCACAAAGGGUAUGGUGGGGAAGUCGUCAGACUCAAACACAUAGUAUAUCAUCUGUCCAAAUUGUCUAUAUGAGAGGUUUACGCCUCGACCAAACAUUGUUUUCUCUAUGUACUCCCUUUCACUACAAGGAUUCCGGCCUAUUGCAACAAAAUUUAUUGCUACAGCUACGUUUUGUUCCAAUAAAGCGCAAUAUUACCACAAAUUCUCUCAUUAUGGUAAUAGGCCGCACAUAUUGCCAUAACUUAGUUUCAUCGCGAUAAAUACUAACAUUGUUGCAAUACAGGCCUCAUAUUUCAACAAACUGUAUCGGCGUUGCAAUAUGGUAGCGUUAUUGCGACAAACAAAUUCCUUUGCGCGAGGGUAGUCAUUUUGUUGUAAUAGAGACUAGGUAUUUCAACGGAAUAACUAUCCGUGGCAAUAUUCAAAAAGAUAUUACGACAUCGGCGUGAUGUUGCAUUAGUUACAAAUAUUGUUGCAAAAAAGUGGCUAACUAUUGCAACAAACUGCAUCAGCGUUGCAAUAUGGUAAUGAUAUUGCGACAAACAAAUUCCGUUGCGGGAAGCAGCCAUUUUUAAUAGAGACUAGAUAUUCAACAGAAUAACUAUUGUGGUAAUAUUUGAAAAUAUAUUGCAACAUCAGUGCGACCUUGCAUUACUUACAAGUAAAACAGUGGAAAAAUAUAUUAUUUGAAUUUAUAGAUAUUAAGUUAUGAUUUUUGCAAGCUUUAAGGAGCAAUUAAAAUAUAUUUUAAUUGCACCAAUUUCAAUUAACCAAAACAAUAAAAAGUUUAUAAAUGGAUAGAAUACACUUUAUUGAUAGGAAUAUAUAUAUAAAUAAUUUGUUCAAUUUGGAUUUGAAAUGGUCAAGUUGUUGCCAUUUUAAAACUAGGGUGUUUUCGGCCAAAACAGGGACUUGUCAGAUAGAAACCAAAAAUGAGCCACAAUUGGGGGAGUACUUGCAGAUUGGUACGACUUUUCAGUCUGUUACAGAAUGAUCUAAACCGCGUAUUGACGGUGUAUCUGACCAUAGGGGCCUGUUUGUCAGGUGCUGACAGGCAUGUUCUUUUGCAAGAAAAAAAACCCUUAUAAUUCUUAUUUAUGUUUGCCAAAAAAGCGUCUUUUCCACUGAAGAAAUUUUCAGAAAAACAACAAAGCGUGCGCCCGACGGGAUUCGAACCCUCGAGAGGCCGCUUACCGCGCAAGCACUCUCACCGCUGCACCACUGCAGGAGUUCAUUCUUCUGGCAUACCCUCUUUUACACCAGAAGCUAAUUGCAAAACUUCGGAGAAAUAAAAGCGCCCCGCAAGCAUUCGGAACUGGGGGAAAACCUCCGCGAUGAGCACUCGUCGCCGCUGCUCCAUUGCGCCGUUCCUUUGAAAUAGCAGACGUAUUUCUUUGUAUAGUUUUGGUACGUUGCGUUUUUUUAUCUGUUUUUUUUUGGUAUUUCUUUUAUCUUUUUUUCCAGAUCUUGCGUAUUCUUUGGAUCGUAUGCAGUGUGCGUAUUGUAUAUUGAAAAAAUUGUACACACAUAUGUAUAUGGUAUAUUAAAAGAAUGUUCAAUUAUAUACGAUGAACAUUUUUAUAAUACGAAAAAGUUCAUUGUAUAUUAAUAAAAUGAUCAAUGUUCAGUGUGUUUUUACAAAAAACAUCGCAUACUAAAAAGUUCACUGUAAAUUAAAAAAAUGUUAAAAGUAUUGAAAAAGGGUCUUAUGUAUAUUAUACAAUUUUGCGUGUUGUUCCGAUUCUACGAAGAAGGGUCCAAUGAAUAUUCAAUGUUCAAUGUUAUGAGUCUAUGAAGAAGGGUCCUAUGCAUAUUAUAGAAUACACAUAAAUAUGCCGUUUAUACACAUAAAUAUGCCGUGUAUAUAUACAUUGUAUUUCUAUAUAUUAUACACGUAAACAUACAAUUUUGUGCGUUGUCCAUAAACUGUAUAUAUGUGUACACACACUAAUCUAGACACACACACACAAACACACACACACACACACACACACACACACACACACACACACACAUAAACACACACACACACGUAAAUUUAUAGUGCAUAUAUAUGUGAUAACAAAUAUGGACACAUAAAUAUACAGUGUAUAUAUAUUUAAAUGGUAUUAUUUAAAUAUAUGAUGAACUUUUUUGUAUUAUAGAAACGUCUGUCGUAUAUAUAGUGAACAUUUUCAUAUAUAUAAAAGUCUACACACACACACACACAUAUAUAUAUAGGGAAAAUCCAUCGUACCACCCGGUGGUAGUUACCCCACAUGUCUCAUAUACUAGGAUAUGGUACUAUAUAUACUAUUUUUUUAUUUUAAAUAUGUUCGUAUACUAUAGUUAAGAUAUUUCAAAACAAGUUACAUGAAAAAAUUGCAUAUGAGCCCAUAGUUUUUGUUAUAUUUGUGAAAUACGUACAUAUUUGUACGUAAAAAAGAGCAUACUCAAAAAAUGAUACAUACUACCUAAAAAUUUAUAUAUAUACUACCUAAUCAUUGUUACAUACUACAUACUACACGUACAUACUCUCGGUUUUGAGAGAUAAUACAUACAACAUACAAAACGUAAGUGGGGGUAACUAUAGAAAGGCAUACUCCUGUUACUUGAUACAAACGGCGGUAUGGCGCAGCGGCGGCGAGCGCUCACCGCGGAGGGCCUGUAUCGGGCUCGAAGCGCUCGCUCGUUUUGGUUUUCCGACUUUUUUUGCAUUCUAUAAAAUUUUUUGUGCCUGCCUGUAGAACCAAGCUAUGGGUUGACUUGGAUCCUGCGCUGCCGGACUUAGCACCGGGUCGUAGCUGUAUAAUUUUGUAUUUCUUUUUGUCAAACUCACAAAAAGAAGUGCAGCUGAGAGGAUCGAUCGUACGAAAGGAAAGAGCGCAAACCACUAGGUUAUCCCAUCGGUUGUGAUAUACAUGCUUUUUUCCUUCUUUUAUUUGUUCUGUCAUUUCGUGGUUUUUUCUCCUGCCGUUUUUAUUCUAUUUUUUUAUUUUUUUCUUUCUUUAUCCCUUUUUCUUUUUUCCAAAUGCAUGGUUUCCUUUCAAAUUCCUGAACUUUUUUAAAAGCAAUGUUGUUUUUUUUUAAAUCCAUGAACUUUUACUUAAAUUCGUGAAGCUUUAAAAAAAUCAUGAACAGUAGCAUCGAUUAUACCAGUCGAACUGGAUAUAGCAACUAAACCAUGAUAUUCCAACAAGGACAGCGGCGGCGGGCUUCUUCGCCCCCCCGCGCGUGGAUCCGAUGCGGGACGGAUCUGGCGGACAAGGGCGUCGUGAUGCGGAGGGUUGCGGCGGCUCGAUCCGGCUUCCUAGCGGAUACGUUGGGAGGCGGGUGACGCAUAUGUGGCCUCCGGUGGUGGGGGUGUGCUCGGUCUUGGUGGCGGCGGUGAUCGCGCAAGAUCCGUGGUACCAAGCACCAGGUGGCGCGAGUUGCGGACGACGAUGGGAGGGAUCCCUAGACACCUCCCAGCGCCAUGGCGUCCGCUCCUCCCCUCCCCUGUCGCUGCCAGAGGGUGUGACCGGGUGAAGCCUGGCCAGCGGCAGCGACGGCAGGGCUCCUUCGCCCCCUCGUGCGUGGAUCCGAUGCAGGACGGAUCUGACGGGCAAGGGCACAAAAAUUUGACAUAUAUCCUAAGUUUUAAUUUUGUCAUAGCAACUAGGGAGUAAACAAUGGUACGCAAUUGUAGAUCCAUGAUGAAACAACACAUUCCUAACACAAAAGAUCUCAAAACAAAAUUGGUUUGGUUGUUAAUUUACACAGUUGAAUCUUUAUGGUUUUCCUUGAAACAAAAAUGACAUGAUGAUUAUCUUGCACCUACUUUGGCGCGAAGGAACCAUCCACGGACUAUCUGGUAAGAUGGAAGAUGUUGAGAUCAUCCCAUCUCAAGAUCAAAAUGUGAGAUCGAGACUGACAUAGAUCGACUGUCUCAUCAACUCAUCCCAUUUAUACUUUUGUUCCAAGUCAAGAGUAUAACCUAGUAGUUUUAAAGUGAGGGCCGCAUGAGGUUUAUGUGAGUUGUAAUUCAAAACUGGCCAAGUUUUUGCUGCUUUCUGAAAUGAUUUUCGAAAUUGUAGUGCAAACCUGGUUGUACCUACAACCGGGUCGUCCGACGACAACGCGCUAGCACCGGUCGCGAACCCUACUUCCGCGUGACGGCCACCCCUACCAGAUUGCAGCUCGUGUCGUCUUGACCUGGGCGGCAGCCCCGGCCAGCGAGCUGCCCCUCUGACCUUGCACGCCGCUCCUGGCCGGCCAUGGUGUUGGGGAACGUAGUAAUUUCAAAAAAAUUCCUACGUACACGCAAGAUCAUGGUGAUGACAUAGCAACGAGAGGGGAGAGUGUUGUCCACAUACCCUCGUAGACCGUAAGCGGAAGCGUUAUGACAACGCGGUUGAUGUAGUCGUACGUCUUCACGAUCCGACCGAUCCAAGCACCGAACGUACGGCACCUCCGAGUUCAGCACACGUUCAGCUCGAUGACGAUCCCCGGGCUCCGAUCCAGCAAAGCUUCGGAGAUGAGUUCCGUCAGCACGACGGCGUGGUGACGAUGAUGAUGUUCUACCGGCGCAGGGCUUCUCCUAAACUCCGCGACGAUAUGACCGAGGUGGAAUAUGGUGGAGGGGGGCACCGCACACGGCUAAGGAACGAUCCGUAGAUCAACUUGUGUGUCUAUGGGGUGCCCCCUGCCCCCGUACAUAAAGGAGGGAGGGGGGAGGCCGGCCGGCCCUUGUUGGGCGCGCCAGGAGGAGGAGUCCUCCUCCUAGUAGGAGUAGGGCUCCUCCUUUCCUACUCCUACUAGGAGGGGAAGGAAGGGGGAGAGGAGGGGAAGGAAAGAGGGGGGCGCUGCCCCCCCCCCUCCUAGUCCAAUUCGGACCAGAGGGAGAGGGGGCGCGCGGCCCUUCCUGGCCGCCCCUCUCUCUUCCCACCAAGGCCCAUGUGGCCCAUUAACUCUCCGGGGGGGUUCCGGUAACCCUCCGGCACUCCGGUUUUCUCCGAAAUCACCCAGAACACUUCUGGUGUCCGAAUAUAGUCAUCAAAUAUAGCAAUCUUUAUGUCUCGACCAUUUCGAGACUCCUCGUCAUGUCCGUGAUCACAUCCGGGACUCCGAACAAACUUCGGUACAUCAAAACUUGUAAACUCAUGAUAAAACUGUCAUCGUAACGUUAAGCGUGCGGACCCUACGGGUUCGAGAACUAUGUAGACAUGACUUAGAACUAUUCUCGGUCAAUAACCAAUAGCGGAACCUGGAUGCCCAUAUUGGUUCCUACAUAUUCUACGAAGAUCUUUAUCGGUCAAAACGCAUAACAAUAUACGUUGUUCCCUUUGUCAUCGGUAUGUUACUUGCCCGAGAUUUGAUCGUCGGUAUCCAAUACCUAGUUCAAUCUCGUUACCGGCAAGUCUCUUUACUCGUUCUGUAACACAUCAUCUUAUAACUAUCUCAUUAGUUACAAUGCUUGCAAGGCUUAGGUGAUGAGUAUUACCGAGAGGGCCCAGAGAUACCUCUCCGACAAUCGGAGUGACAAAACCUAAUCUCGAAUUAUGCCAACCCAACAUGUACCUUCAGAAACACCUGGAGAGCACCUUUAUAAUCACCCAGUUACGUUGUGACGUUUGGUAGCACACAAAGUGUUCUUCUAGUAAACGUGAGUUGCACAAUCUCAUAGUUGCAGGAACUUUGUAUAAGUCAUGAAGAAAGCAAUAGCAACAUACUAAACGAUCAAGUGCUAGGCUAACGGAAUGGGUCAUGUCAAUCACAUCAUUCUCCUAAUGAUGUGAUCCCAUUAAUCAAAUGACAACACAUGUCUAUGGUUAGGAAACAUAACCAUCUUUGAUUAAUGAGCUAGUCAAGUAGAGGCAUACUAGUGACUUUAUAUUUGUCUAUGUAUUCACACGUGUAUCAUGUUUCCGGUUAAUACAAUUCUAGCAUGAAUAAUAAACAUUUAUCAUGAUAUGAGGAAAUAAAUAAUAACUUUAUUAUUUCCUCUAGGGCAUAUUUCCUUCAGUCUCCCACUUGCACUAGAGUCAAUAAUCUAGUUCACAUCGCUAUGUGAUUUAACACUAAUAUUCACAUCUGCAUGUGAUUAAUACCCAUAGUUCACAUCAUCAUGUGAUCAACACCCAAAGGGUUUACUAGAGUCAAUAAUCUAGUUCACAUCGCUAUGUGAUUAACACCCAAAAGAGUACUAAGGUAUAAUCAUGUUUUGCUCGUGAGAGAAGCUUAGUCAACGGGUCUGUCAUAUUCAGAGCCGUAUGUAUUUCGCAAAUAUUCUAUGUCCACAAUGCUCUGCACGGAGCUACUCUAGCUAAUUGCUCCCACUUUCAAUAUGUAUCCAGAUUGAGACUUAGAGUCAUCUGGAUUGGUGUAAAAGCUUGCAUCGUUGUAACUUUUACGACGGGCUCUUUUAUCACCUCCAUAAUCGAGAAACAUCUCCUUAGUCCUCACUAAGGAUAUUCUUGACCCAUGUCCAGUGAUCUACUUAUUAGAUCAAAAUUGUAUUCCUUUGCCAAACACAGAGCAAGGUAUACAAUAGGUCUGGUUCACGGCAUAGCAUACUUUAUAGAACCUAUGACUGAGGCAUAGGGAAUGACUUUUCAUUCUCUUUCUAUUUUCUGCAAUGGUCGGGUCUUGAGUCUUACUCAACUUCACACCUUGUAACACAGGCAAGAACUCCUUCUUUGACUGUUCCAUUUUGAACAAUUUCAAAAAUUUAUCAAGGUAUGUAUUCAUUGAAAAAUCUUAUCAAGCGUUUUGAUCUAUCUAUAUAGAUCUUGAUGCUCAAUGUGUAAGCAGCUUUACCGAGGUCUUUCUUUUAGAGAACUCCUUUCAAACACUCCUUUAUGCUUUGCAGAAUAAUUCUACAUUAUUUCCGAUCAACAAUAUGUCAUUCACAUAUACUUAUCAGAAAUGCUGUAGUGCUCCCACUCACUUUCUUGUAAAUACAGGCCUUUCCAAAAGUCUGUAUAAAACCAUAUGCUUUGAUCAACUCAUCAAAGCGUAUAUUCCAACUCCGAGAUGCUUGCACCAGUCCAUUGAUGGAUCGCUGGAGCUUGCACAUUUUGUUAGCACCUUUAGGAUUAGCAAAACCUUCUGGUUGCAUCAUAUACAACUCUUGUUUAAAAAUCCAUUAAGGAAUGCAGUUUUGAAAUCCAUUUGCCAAAUUUCAAAAAAUGUGGCAAUUGCUAACAUGAUUCAGACAGACUUAAGCAUCAAUACGAGUGAGAAAAUCUCAUCGUAUUCAACACCUUGAACUUGUCAAAAACCUUUUGCAACAAGUCGAGCUUAGUAGAUAGUAACACUACUAUCAGUGUCCAUCUUCCUCUUGAAGAUCCAUUUAUUUAACAUGGCUUGCUGAUCAUCGAGCAAGUCAAUCAAAGUUCAUACUUUGUUCUCAUACAUGGAUCAUAUCUCAGAUUUAAGGCCUCAAGCCAUUUCGUGGAAUCUGGGCUCAUCAUCGCUUCCUCAUAUUUUGUAGGUUCAUCAUGGUCUAGUAACAUGACUUCCAGAACAUGAUUACCGUACCACUCUGGUGCGGAUCUUACUCUGGAAGACCUACGAGGUUUGGUAGCAACUUGAUCUGAAGUUUCAUGAUCAUCAUCAUUAACUUCCUCACUAAUUGGUGUAGGAAUCACUGGAACUGAUUUCUGUGAUGAACUACUUUCCAAUAAGGGAGAAGGUACAAUUACCUCAUCAAGUUCUACUUUCCUCCCACUCACUUCUUUCGAGAGAAACUUCUUCUCUAGAAAGGAUCCAUCUUAGCAACGAAACUUGCUUUCGGAUCUGUGAUAGAAGGUGUACCCAAUAGUUACCUUUGCGUAUUCUAUGAAGACGCACUUCUCCGAUUUGGGUUUGAGCUUAUCAUGCUGAAACUUUUUUCACAUAAGCAUCGCAGCCCCAAACUUUAAGAAACGACAACUUGGGUUUCUUGCUAAACCACAGUUCAUAUGGUGUCGUCUCAACGGAUUUAGAUGGUGCCCUAUUAAACAUGAAUGCAACUGUCUCUAAUGCAUGAUCCCAAAAUGAUAUUGGUAAAUCGGUAAGAAACAUCAUAGAUUGUACUAUAUCCAAUAAAGUACGGUUAUGACGUUCGGACACACCAUUAUGAUGUGGUGUUCCAGGUGGCAUGAAUUUGUGAAACUAUUCCACAUUGUUUUAGUUGAAGACCAAACUCGUAACUCAAAUAUUUGUCUCCGCGAUCAGAUCAUAGAAACCUUUUUCUUGUCACGAUGAUUUUCCACUUCACUCUGAAAUUCUUUGAACUUUUCAAAUGUUUCAGACUUAUGUUUCAUCAAGUAGAUAUACCCAUAUCUUCUCAAAUCAUCUGUGAAGGUCAGAAAAUAACGAUACCCGCCGCGAGCCUUAACACUCAUCGGAUCGCGUACAUCAGUAUGUAUUAUUUCCAAUAAGUCAGUUGCUUGCUCCACUUUUCCGAAGAACGGAGUCUUAGUCAUCUUGCCCAUGAGGCAUGGUUCGCAAGCAUCAAGUGAUUCAUAAUCAAGUGAUUCCAAAAUCCCAUCAGCAUGGAGUUUCUUCAUGCGCUUUACACCAAUAUGACCUAAACGGUAGUGCCACAAAUAAGUUGCACUAUCAUUAUUAACUUUGUAUCUUUUGGUUUCAAUAUUAUGAAUAUGUGUAUCACUACGAUCGAGAUCCAAUGAACCAUUUUCAUUGGGUGUGUAACCAUAUAAGGUUUUAUUCAUGUAAACAGAAUAACAAUUUAUUCUCUAACUUUUUAAAUGAAUAACCGUAUCGCAAUAAACAUGAUCAAAUCAUAUUCAUGCUCAACGCAAACGCCAAAUAACAUUUAUUUAGGUUUAACACUAAUCUCGAAAAUAUAGGGAGUGUGCGAUGAUGAUCAUAUUAAUCUUGGAACUACUUCCAACACUCAUCGUCACUUCCCCUUCAACUAGUCUCUGUUUAUUCUGUAACUCCUGUUUCGAGUUACUAAUCUUAGCAACCGAACAAGUAUCAAAUACUCAGGGGCUACUAUAAAUACUAGUAAGGCACACAUCAAACACAUGUAUAUCAAAUAUACCCUUGCUCACUUUGCCAUCCUUCUUACUCACCAAAUAUUCAGGGCUUUUCCGCUUCUCGUGACCAUUUCCUUUGCAGUGUAAGCACUUAGUUUCAGGCUUUGGUCCAGCUUUGGUCUUCUUCACGGGAGUGACAACUUGCUUGUCAUUCUGUUUGAAGUUUCCCUUUCUUUCCCUUUGCCCGUUUUUUAAAACUAGUGGUCUUGUCAAUCAUCAACACUUGAAGCUCUUUCUUGAUUUCUACCUUCGUUGAUUUCAACAUCACGAAGAGCUCGAGAAUCUUUUUCGUCAUCCCUUGCAUACUAUAGUUCAUCACGAAGUUCUACUAACUUAGUGAUGGUGACUAGAGAAUUCUGGCAAUCACUAUCUUAUCUGGAAGAUUAACUCCCAUUUGAUUCAAGCGAUUGAAGUACUCAGACAAUCUGAGCACAUGCUCACUAGUUGAGCGAUUCUCCUCCAUCUUUUAGCUAUAGAACUUGUUGGAGACUUCAUAUCUCUCAACUCGGGUAUUUGCUUGAAAUAUUAACUUCAAUUCCUGGAACAUCUUAUAUGGUCCAUGACGUUCAAAACAUCUUUGAAGUCCCGAUUCUAAGCCGUUAAGCAUGGUGCACUAAACUAUCAAGUAGUUAUCAUAUUGAGCUAGCCAAACGUUCAUAACGUUUGCAUCUGCUCCUGCAAUAGGUCUGUCACCUAGCGGUGCAUUAAGGACAUAAUUCUUCUGUGCAGCAAUGAGGAUAAACGUUAGAUCACGGAUCCAAUCCGCAUCAUUGCUACUAACAUCUUUCAACACAAUUUUCUCUAGGAACACAUAUAAAACCAUAGGGAAGCAAAAACAUAGGGAAGAAACAACGCGAGCUAUUGAUCUACAACAUAAUUUGCAAAAUACUACCAGGACUAAGUUCAUGAUAAAUUUAAGUUCAAUUAAUCAUAUUACUUAAGAACUCUCACUUAGACAGACAUCUCUCUAGUCAUCUAAGUGAUCACGUGAUCCAAAUCAACUAAACCAUAACCGAUCAUCACCUGAGAUGGAGUAGUUUUCAAUGGUGAACAUUACUAUGUUGAUCAUAUCUACUAUAUGAUUCACGCUCGACCUUUCGGUCUCCGUGUUCCGAGGCCAUAUCUGCAUAUGCUAGGCUCGUCAAGUUUAACCUGAGUAUUCCGUGUGUGCAAAACUGUCUUGCCCCCGUUGUAGAUGGACGUAGAGCUUAUCACACCCGAUCAUCACGUGGUGUCUGGGCACGACGAACUUUGGCAACGGUGCAUACUCAGGGAGAACACUUCUUGAUAAUUUUAGUGAGAGAUCAUCUUAAAAUGCUACCGUCAAUCAAAGCAAGAUAAGAUGCAUAAAGGAUAAACAUCACAUGCAAUCAAUAUAAGUGAUAUGAUAUGGCCAUCAUCAUCUUGUGCUUGUGAUCUCCAUCUCCGAAGCACCGUCGUGAUCACCAUCAUCACCGGCGCGACACCUUGAUCUCCAUCGUAGCAUCGUUGUCGUUACGCCAUCUAUUGCUUCUACGACUAUUGCUACCGCUUAGUGAUAAAGUAAAGCAAUUACAGGGCGUUUGCAUUUCAUACAAUAAAAUAUAGCAUCACGUCUUGACCAUAUCACAUCACAACAUGCCCUGCAAAAACAAGUUAGACGUCCUCUACUUUGUUGUUGCAAAUUUUACGUGGCUGCUACGGUCUUAGCAAGAACCGUUCUUACCUACGCAUCAAAAACCACAAUGAUAGUUUGUCAAGUUGGUGUUGUUUUAACCUUCACAAGGACCGGGCGUAACCACACUCGAUUCAGCUAAAGUGAGAGAGACAGACACCCGCCAGCCACCUUUAAGCACGAGUGCUCGUAACGGUGAAACCAGUCUCGCGUAAGUGUACGCGUAAUGUCGGUCCGGGCCGCUUCAUCUCACAAUACCACUGAACCAAAGUAUGACAUGCUGGUAAGCAGUAUGACUUGUAUCGCCCACAACUCACUUGUGUUCUACUCGUGCAUAUAACAUCAACGCAUAAAACCUGGCUCUGAUACCACUGUUAGGGAACGUAGUAAUUUCAAAAAAAUUCCUACGUACACGCAAGAUCAUGGUGAUGACAUAGCAACGAGAGGGGAGAGUGUUGUCCACGUACCCUCGUAGACCGUAAGCGGAAGUGUUAUGACAAUGCGGUUGAUGUAGUCGUACGUCUUCACGAUCCGACCGAUCCAAGCACCGAACGUACGGCACCUCCGAGUUCAGCACACGUUCAGCUCGAUGACGAUCACCGGGCUCCGAUCCAGCAAAGCUUCGGAGAUGAGUUCCGUUAGCACGACGGUGUGGUGAUGAUGAUGAUGUUCUACCGGCGCAGGGCUUCGCCUAAACUCCGCGACGAUAUGACCGAGGUGGAAUAUGGUGGAGGGGGGCACCGCACACGGCUAAGGAACGAUCCGUAGAUCAACUUGUGUGUCUAUGGGGUGCCCCCUGCCCCCGUAUAUAAAGGAGGGAGGGGGGAGGCUGGCCGGCCCUUGUUGGGCGCGCCAGGAGGAGGAGUCCUCCUCCUAGUAGGAGUAGGACUCCUCCUUUCCUACUCCUACUAGGACUCCUCCUUUCCUACUCCUACUAGGAGGGGAAGGAAGGGGGAGAGGAGGGGAAGGAAAGAGGGGGGCGCCGCCCCCCCCUCCUAGUCCAAUUCAGACCAGAGGGAGAGGGGGCGUGUGGCCCUUCCUGGCCGCCCCUCUCUCUUCCCACCAAGGCCCAUGUGGCCCAUUAACUCUCCGGGGGGGUUCCGGUAACCCUCCGGCACUCCGGUUUUCUCCGAAAUCACCCGGAACACUUCCGGUGUCCGAAUAUAGUCGUCCAAUAUAUCAAUCUUUAUGUCUCGACCAUUUCGAGACUCCUCGUCAUGUCCGUGAUCACAUCCGGGACUCCGAACAAACUUAGGUACAUCAAAACUUGUAAACUCAUAAUAAAACUGUCAUCGUAACGUUAAGCGUGCGGACCCUACGGGUUUGAGAACUAUGUAGACAUGACUUAGAACUAUUCUCGGUCAAUAACCAAUAGCGGAACCUGGAUGCCCAUAUUGGUUCCUACAUAUUCUAUGAAGAUCUUUAUCGGUCAAACCGCAUAACAAUAUACGUUGUUCCCUUUGUCAUCGGUAUGUUACUUGCCCGAGAUUUGAUCGUCGGUAUCCAAUAUCUAGUUCAAUCUCGUUACCGGCAAGUCUCUUUACUCGUUCUAUAACACAUCAUCUUAUAACUAACUCAUUAGUUACAAUGCUUGCAAGGCUUAGGUGAUGAGUAUUACCGAGAGGGCCCAGAGAUACCUCUCCGACAAUCGGAGUGACAAAACCUAAUCUCGAAUUAUGCCAACCCAACAUGUACCUUCGGAAACACCUGUAGAGCACCUUUAUAAUCACCCAGUUACGUUGUGACGUUUGGUAGCACACAAAGUGUUCUUCUGGUAAACGUGAGUUGCACAAUCUCAUAGUUGCAGGAACUUUGUAUAAGUCAUGAAGAAAGCAAUAGCAACAUACUAAACGAUCAAGUGCUAGGCUAACGGAAUGGGUCAUGUCAAUCACAUCAUUCUCCUAAUGAUGUGAUCCCAUUAAUCAAAUGACAACACAUGUCUAUGGUUAGGAAACAUAACCAUCUUUGAUUAAUGAGCUAGUCAAGUAGAGGCAUACUACUGACUUUAUAUUUGUCUAUGUAUUCACACGUGUAUCAUGUUUCCGGUUAAUACAAUUCUAGCAUGAAUAAUAAACAUUUAUCAUGAUAUGAGGAAAUAAAUAAUAACUUUAUUAUUGCCUCUAGGGCAUAUUUCCUUCACAUGGCUCCCGUCGCCCGCUUCCUCCAUCCUCAGUGCUGACAAAGUAGUUCCGCUGUCACUCUUCCCGACCUUCGCCCGCGAGCUGGAGCCUCUCCAUCGUCCAUGGAUGCGAGCUUCCCACACGCCACCUACCGCCGGACUUAGGAAAGAUGACGGACGUGGGAGGAUUUCAUCGGCAAUGUCCCGAUCUAGUUCGGAGGGAAGAUGACGGCCGUGAGACGAUUUAGCAGCAUACCAGCAAACAUGCUCGUGCAUUGCAACAAUAUAAAAAAGUUGAUGUGCUUCUUUAAGAUGCAAACGCCAAUUAUCAUUAAUCAGGUUGGACCGAUAGAGCAUAAGUUGUCUCAUGACAAAAAUAAUAAAUCAAUUAACAACACGAUUCUUUGAGGGGCUAGUUAAUUUUUUUAACACAGUACAAUUUGAAGUCGUUCACAUACACGAACAUACACUUACCAUGAACGCACACCCUAUCUCUAUGAGCACUUUGAGAAAGUAAGCCGGCAUGACAUCUUGAGAUUUUACGAAGUCACCAGCGGCAUUUCGUAGUCGGUCUUCCCUCACUGAACGAACAUCGCGGGAAGCGUGAAAGAAAUUCAGGAAUCAUGCGAGCACCAAUAUCAAGUAUAGGAAUUCGACCCCCUGGUAGGCUGGAAAUACUGUCGACGUGAAUCCUACCAUUCAACCACAUGUUGGUUUGCAUGCUAAUUCUAAAUUUACGACGUGAAUCUUAGUCAGCUGAUUGGGUGAACAACCUUAUUUUUAGAUUACCACACUGAUAAUAAAAAUAUCGUACAUACAAUGCUUAUUUUAAGAUACCAUCAUUAGACAAUAAAAAAUGUGGCAAAUCCGGCAACAUCCGCAUAGUUGAGAGAACAAAUAUUGUGUACGCUAACACGUCUGCCGGUCUUGGGGAUUUUCUUUACAUUAAUUAAAAUCAGGAAAAGAAUUAUGAUAAUCCCACGGCAGCCAUGCCGGGCUCAUCUGCAGACGAGUCGCUCCGGCCGUGCGGUCCAGUACCAGCACCUUCUCUAACAUAUUUUCUUUCAAUCUAUUUUUCUGUAAAUGGUACAGCACAGCCCAGCCGACGGGGCUGGCCCAUCUAAACACCCCCCCCCCCCCUAAUUUCCCAUCUAAUCUUAGCCUCUCGUCCGAUUCCGUCCUCUCUCGGUCUCUCCUUCCUCGCCCCUCGGGUUGACUCCUCCUCCCUCGACCCCAUGGAAGCGAAAGUGCACAAAAGCGAACCGUCGUCCUCGAGUGGAAACGUCCGUGCAUAAUGAAUCCCUAGCCGUCUCCCAUUCCCCAUCCCUUUCUCUCCCCAACCAUAGAAAACCCCAUGUGGGGACGGACACAGUAGAACGCAGCUUCAUCUAGGGUUUCCGGCCAACGGCGGGGUAGAACCGGCGGCGAUGGCGCGGCAAGAUCGCAAGGUGAUCGAUGUAGAGGAUGGGCGGAGCCGCAGUUCAGCUCAGAGUACUCGUGAUUCUCUACAGGUAGGUCAGCUCUCGCCCCCCUCCAUCCGGCCAUGCAUAGGCUGGCCCGAUCGGAUCUUAUCUAGGGUCUUUUUGAGGCACAACAUGAUAUACAAACAGCACCACGAGCCCUUCAUUUUCUUCAUUCGAUUCUAUCCUUUGGGCCACCCGCUUCUGUUUACAUUUUUCCUACUGUAUUUGAUUACCAAUUAGGAAAGCCUCAGCUGCUGCUAUGAUAUACGUAUGGAGAUGAUCUGUAUGCUAGAUCAAAGUUUCAAUUAGUUUUUUCGCAGGGCCUUAAAACAUCGACGUUUCCUAUCUGCAGCGAUCUGAAUGACUCCCAGCCCACGAAGCAGCGUGGUUGCCAAGCAUGACAUGACUGAAUGCCCGAUGGUCAUGGUACGAUGGCCAUGAUUUGUUACAUGUUGCAUUAAAGCUAUCUCCACAAAGCAAAUUGUGGCAUCACAUAAGUGUUGCCACGCGAAAACAUGUGGCGACUUCCCACAUGGUUGUUGCAAUAACACACUUUAUUGCCACAUUUGCUUUUUUGUGGCAAUAACCUAUUACCAUGCGUCCAGUCGCAACGGCUGCCAACGAAUGUUGUUUCGUGGCAAUAGAUACUUAUCGCCACAAAUCGACAUGUAUUGCGACGAACAAUUUUGUUGCAAUAGACCCAGAUCCUUGUAGUGUUUGCGAGUCAUUUAGAAAAUCAAGAGCUGCAUGGAAAAAAAUAACUCAUUUUCAAACAAAUUUGUUUAAACAGAUGGACUCGGUAUUUAAGUUUAAAAGGAAUGGUUAAAUUCAAUGCAUGUGAUCAAGUUGGGAUGAUAAUCAACAGAAUUGCAUGAAACGUUUUCGAAAUAACUUUGACUGUAAGUAUGACAUUCAUUUAGUGGACAGGGGUAGGAGCACCAAAGUAUGCUGGUAAACGUAGUUGAUAAAGCAAGAUCGAAGUUGGUGCACUUACCUAGUGAUGGUUUGGGAAGGGGCCUGUAACCUCCUCGAGAAUCACUGAGUCUUAGAUCUAUCUCAACGGACAGACUCCCAGUAUCCAGGUUUAUGAUGACUAGAUCUCAAUAAUGAAGAUCGUAGUCACUAAUUAACUUUUCCCAGCCAGGUCCAUGAAUUUUUGACCGGUUGUGUUCAUCGGUGAUGCAGACCUCAUAUGACAGAUCAUCGUUGGUGAUCAGUACUGGAUUCCUUUGUUUUCCUUCUUCUUGAAAUGCUUGCUCUUUUCACUAAUAGAUUGAAAAAGUGACUUGCUGCCUGCAAUAGCAUGGCACAUACUACACAAGGGAAAAAAUCUUCAAACCGGAAAGAAGGAAUCCUUGAAUACCGAUAUGUAUAACCAAGACAGAUAGCGCUUAUCAUAUAUGUACCAAUUGUUUUCAACAGGUUGCUAUUUGGAUAAAACAAGGUACAUCAAAAAAUUGAAAACAUGUCAUUAAAUUCUUAAAUGUAGGCAUUCCAUUCCAGCAAUAUGGUAGAAACUUCUAUUUCCUCAAUCAGAAAGAUACACUAGUAAGAUGCACUGUUAUCGCACUGUGAACAAUAUGGUAGUAACUGAUGGGCAGCACGGGGUGGCAAACAUUUCUCCUUACCAGACAUGUAUUGAAGCAUCAAGGAAGUUGCACUGUUAUCGCGCUGUAAAGAACACCCGACUCCAAUCCAGGGCAGCCGAAGUUGGUACAUAUAUCACAUCACAUGGUUUCCCCUGGAAUACGUUGCAACACAAUGGUUAUAUGAAAUUCUCAAGACAAUAAAAAAUUUAUUAUCUUGAAAAACUAUUCGUCUAAACCGGCAUUUUUACAUAAAUAGUCUUUCACAAGUAAUUUCCUAAAAAGACAUGUGCACAGCUUUUGAUUAGAAGGUGAACAGUAGAUAUGGCAUAUGUAAUAAUAGAGGAAAUAUGAAAUUAAUUAAAUUAGUAUUUUAUUUUCCAAAAAUGGUUGCUUAAUUCAUCACAAUUCAUUAUUCACUAUUUUUAGAGGAGUUCACAAUCUUGGUUGUCAAUGUCAAUGAGUGAAAGAAUUUCUGCUUCUUGUUUUUAAAAGCAGCUUCAGCAAAUGUAUAUUUCAAGACAAGACAGGCAAAGAGGAGAAACAAUAGUCUAUCAACAGGCGGCUCAAAGGAGUGUUUGUAACAUUAAAAUUAUAUGUAAAUUCGUCAGAGCCGCACCCAGCAACAUCGUCAUCCGCAACCAUACGCCACCGUUGCCGACACCCAACCACCGGAACAUGUGUGGCUAGAUUGUAUUUGAAAUGGAUGAUCCAUCAACGUUAACCUUGCCUCCAGCGUACAGGACCCCAAACGCUAUCAUCAAGCACAGACGCCGACUCCAAGUCAACAACACCCCAAAUGCUGAUCUCCAGCAUACUGUGGCUGGUUAAGCAAUAGAGCUCAACAUGUGGACACUCCCUUGGACUUCCGGCCACCGCCAUUGUUUGCAAGACCUAACGGGCUUCAAUUUAAACUAGCAACCUCCCUCGGCGAAGUUCAUCGCUCACCUCGGACUUGGACGCCAUAGGUCGCUGCAGCUCGUAGCAUUCUCGAGCACAAACGCUGACUCCCAACCAACCUAUCCCUAAGAGGCACUGGUCGUGUACAGGUUCGGCCUCAUACUGCGCGGAUUUGGUUUAGAUCACAACGAUUUUCCAUGCAAUUCCUAGCAUAACAGCGUAGAUGCGUCGCAUUCAAACACGGAGAGACAAAACCAACAGAGAGGAAAACGGAUCGUAGCGAAAAAUUCACCAAGAAACUAAGAGAAAAUGGACUAACCCUAGAUCUAGAGGGAGAAUCGAGGGAGAAGAGACGAUGAACUUUACAACGGGUGAGCGGGAGGGGGCAGUCUGGGUUCGCAGAAAACAGAACAGACACUUAUAAUACGCGCCUGCUCACUGACAUGGGGCUACUGUACAGCAGCAAAGACAAGACUAUUGGCUUAUUAUGAGCAUAGAGGCACGCACGGACAGCACCAACACGCACGGACUUACAUGCAAAUAAGGCACGCCCAUGACGCACGACCAUGCUUCUGUUUUUCGAAGUACUUUUCUCUAACACGGUCUCUCGGAGGGACAGGGACGUGAAGCCACGAUGCGCAUCAUCAUGUAAUGAUAAGAAUGAGACACACGGAAAGGCCUCUGUAUUCUAAAUGUUCUCAGUGACGUGUUCAUUGAUAGACGCGCGGUCUUUAAAUAGUUGGCGCACUGUUGUUCUCCUAGUUGUUUUUGUGUUCUCCUAGUUGUUUUUGCAAUACACGGCCACUCCGAGGGACAGGGGAGUGAAGCCACGGUGCGCACAGUUCUCGGAGGAGAAGAUGCACUGAAUUGCCUCUGUUCUCGCAACAUGUUGAGCUGCUUGUUCACUGAGAGAGGCACGGGUGUAUGUUCAAAUGACGCAAGACCAUGCUAGUGUUUUCCGGAUUGUUAAUUUCUGGCACGGCCUCUUAGAGGGACAUGGUGCGUGCAAUUAAAAAUGGCACAUAAUCUAUUGCUUUGACGAAUUCUUCGGAUGCAUGAGUUUUGUUCAAUACGAUAAUGAUAAUGGGAACCCAGCAUCUAAAAAGUGGUUGGAGGUUCGUUGCUGACAUUAAGUCAUUAUCACAACAUUCCAAAUGUUUUUAUUGACGCGUUCGCACGAACAUAUGGUUUUCACAACCUGUCAAUGCCGGUUCGUUUCCUGUGGGGUGCACGGACGUCCUUCUGAGAGGCGCAGUUGCAGCAGUUGCAGGUUUGUAGUCGACGCAUGUUGCUUUUAAAAGUAGAAUUUCAUGGCAAAUAACUGAGAUAAACAAGAGGAUACUAGUUUGAUUUUUGAGCAUCUGUGUGAGCUGAUUUCUUUUAUCAUUAGGUCCAGAAACAUAUGAUCGAUAUUGAAAACAAAAAGCAUAAACAUUUAUAUCCCUAAUUUUAAAAAUAUGAGUUAACAGCCUCAAAAACAAAAGAAACCUUAUAGACAGUACGGUGGAAAAUGAGUGAGAAUCGUUUGACCAUGUUUACACAAUGCGCUCAUUCAAUACAGCAAGUACAUCUCUCCAUACCUAUUUUCAGCAUCCACAGUUGAACGGAUCUGGCAAAUCCUGAUAUUCAACACCUGUGUUUUUUAAAUCCAUGUGCAUAUGCUUGCAAGUUGUUGUUAAUUUAAGCUUGGCACAAUUAGAAGCCCUUUUGUCCAUCUGAAGUGCCUCUUCUUGCCGUUUGUAAAAUUCACGAGUGAAAUCUCUGCGCAUUCCAAACUUAAGCCUGAUUGUCAGUAGCAUCCUAGUAUUGAGAACAAAGAAUGUCACAAAUGCAGUGUUUGCAUCUGUGACUUCAUAGUCUUCCAGCGUUAAUGUCCUCAAACAAAUGUCGUGAUUAUUGAGAAACACCAACUUCUUUUGGCGACAUUCAUUUGUUAUACCUCUUUGAUCCCAUCCCCCCCCUAAACACACAUGAAGAGCAAAACUAAGCAGUUAGUGCCAGUAUAUUAUGUAUAUUGUGCGUGGGCUUUCAACGUGUGUGAAAUCAUCACCUUGAUAAACAAGUUUUGCAAGCAUUGAAAGCAUCGCAACAAGUCAACAAUCUCAUCCAGAUUAAAGCAUGUCUGUGAGAUAAACAAGGUCUUGACGGAAUCCAGCACCGCAUGUAGGCUACUUAUGCAGAGACCCUUCAUUGAGCACAUAAAGAGAUAUUAUUAGCUCGUGGAUGUGAAUCUCAAGUGCUUUUGAAUAACGCAGAUCAAAGUAACAUGCAGAGGCAGUACCUGAAUAACUGUAGAACCAAUGACGAUAUUUGUUUCAUUGGGAAAUUCAGAAAUUUUUCCCAGUGUGUCCAACACAGGCGCGGACACAACUGUUAUUUGUAGUUGUGCAUCUACAGAAUCAUGUAGCAGUCUCCGGAGGCAAGGCGCAUCCUCAAUGAUCAGUUUUCCUUCAUCGGAACGAAUGCCAAUGCUUACAAGCCUAGCUGAUUUUAUUCGUAGACAGGUGAAUUUCUUGUUGCAAACAAGCAGCAGACACUGUAGGGCAGGGCAACCGUGGUGGAUGAACUUCCGCAAGGAGACAACCAAUAUAUAAACCUCCACCAGUGAAAGUCUCCUGAGUAGUGGGAGGCAAAGCAUUUCUACUAGAUUGUCUUCUAGUUUGCACAUGGAAAAGGUGACGGUGUGGAGAGACGAGCAAAAUCUAGAGAUGGAUGCCGGUGGCGACGGCAUAGAAGAAGGGAUUCUGACUGCUGAUGGCCCUGUAUAGAAGAAAUUUGGGAAUAUAUGAUAGAACUCUAAAACCUGGAGUUGGUCUAGAUUCCGAGACAGGAACAACUCAUCGACGCCACAAGGUUGGCACUGGAGGUAGCUUGUCGGGAUGCAGAGGCGGUGAAUCGGGCCCUCGUGAUCGGAGAGGACAGAUACAGGAAGACUGAAGUCAUCGGUGACAGAUUCUCUGUGACAGUUGCAGCUAAGAUGUCGGCAUUGAGUUCUGAGGUAUGUUUCCUGGACAGUUUGCUUGCCCGGGAGUACGUGGAUUAUUUGGCAGCAGAUUUUUUCCAGAGAUCUCGUAGAACGAGUAUCAAGGAUCACACGGAAGUCGAUCUCGAGUGGUGCGGUGUGUCAUAUGCGGCGCCACCAAGAUGCGAGCACUUGUGUGCGCAUGCCUUCCUUUAUGGGCAGACGAGAGAUGAUCUCGCCGAGGAUGGCGUCCGGGAGAUCGCUGAUGCGGUCCGGACCAGACUCAACAUGGUUCUCGGAUCCAGGGGGCGGGUCAUGGUCGCUCCUCUUAACGAGCUUAGAGGGCACGGGUACAGCCGCGAACCUCGUCUUCUUUUUGCUAGAGGCACGCUUCCUCGUCUCCAUUGUCGAGCUCGUGCUGCCUCCGAUGCAGCUCCCUAUGCGGUGGAUCUGGGAAGAGGGCUAGGGUUUUACGAUUCACAAAGACGAAAAUAUAUAUACGUACCUAAUCUAUAAGAUUUCGACGGACGUGGUGGAAUAGUAACGGCUUGGACGGACGUGCGUCUGGACGAGGCAUGACUAUCAACCGUGCGGACACAACAGAAGUUUGGUGGCAGAGCCAAGGUUCGGCAUACUCAGUUAAGGACACACGGUUGUGCGGUCUGUAGAGACACGGUGGUGUGGAUCCACGACACGGUAGCAAGUGUCAUGUGAGGCACGUGCGUGGAGGCGCUGGGGGCACCUAAUCGCAGUCUGUAUAGGCACCGACCCCAUUGAAGCCUCUACAGGCAUAGGUAUCAACUCUCUGGAUGCACAAAAGUGUGACUGCAGAGGCAUGGCUGCGAACUCUCAGUUGAAAAUACACGGUUGUGGAGUCUCUGGAUCCACGUCCCCUGUGUCUUCAGGGGAACGUAAUAGCCAUGGCUCGUGGCACGUGAGGCACAAGGGUGUAGGCUCCGGAAGCACCGAAGUCUGGCCUCUACAGGCACGUACGAUUGUCAACCAUGUGGAUGCACAAAAUUACAGUGGCAGAGGCAUGGAUCCGAAUACUCAGCUAUGGAGGCACGGGUGUGUAUUCUCUGCAACCACAACGGUCACGGCAAGUGUCAUGUGAGGCACGUGUAUUGAAACACCGGAGGCACGGAAAUGAAGCCUCUUAGGCACGAGUGUCAACCCAACAGUCACGACUUAUGUGACGUGAGGCACGUAGAUGCAGGCGGGCACCGGAGGCACUAUUGGGGAGCCACUACACGCACGGGCGUGGUGUUUCUCCAGGCCUGGCUCAGUAUAAACCCUCUCUGGGUGCAGAAAAGUGUGCGCAAAAGGCGCCGAAGUGAGUAACCUUCUCUGGGUCGCUGUUAAAGAGCCACGACACGGUGGCAAGUGUCCUGUGAGGCACGUGCGUGCAGGCGUCGGGGGCACCUAAUUGCAGUCUCUGCAGGCACCGACCCUAUUGAAGCCUCUACAGACAUAAAUAUCAACUCCCUGGAUGCACAAAAGUGUGGUGGCAGAGGCAUGGCUGCGAAAUCUCAGUUGAAGAGACACGGCUGUGGAGUGUGUGGAUCCACGUCCCGUGUGUCUCUAGGGGAAUGUAAAAGCCACGGCUCGUGGCACGCCAGGCACGAGGGUGCAGGAUCCGGAGGCACCGAAGUCUAGCCUCUACAGGCAAGUACAAUUGUCAACCCUCUUAAUGCACAAAACAACGAUGGGAGAGGCAUGGAUCCGAAUACUCAGCUCCGGAGGCACGGGCGUGUAUUCUCUGCAACCACAACGGUCACGGCAAGUGUCAUGUGAGGCACGUGUAUUGAAACACCGUAGGCACGGUAAUGAAGCCUCUUAGGCACGAGUGUCAACCCAACAGUCACGGCUUAUGUGACGUGAGGCACGUAGAUGCAAGCGGGCGCCGGGGGCACUAUUGGGGAGCCACCACACGCACGGGCAUGGUGUUUCUCCAGGCCUGGCUCAGUAUAAACCCUCUCUGGGUGCAGAAAAGUGUGCGCAGAAGGCGCCGAAGUAAGGCCUCUGCAGGUACAUGUACCAACCUUCUUGGUACUCAGUUAGAAAAUCACGAUUGUGAAGUUUAUAGGGAAAGUCUGAACUCAAGACGAAGAACAGCCGGCAUGUCACGACACACAUGGUUUUAUUGGCCUACGAAUCACGGACUUGCUUCGGUAUUGGAAAGGUUCCUACCGACGAGUUCAUUAUCAGUGGGAAUAUGGUGCUGUACUAACAAAGAGUUAGUGUCAUGCCGGUAAAAUACUCAGAAUCUUUCUGCUGAAACAUUCAAUGUGCCUGAAGGCACAGAUGUUUGCACGGUCACAACACUUUCAUUUGCAUAGUCACAACACUUUAUGGAAGGAUUGUUAUGGCAAGCUUACAGAUGGUACAAAAUACUACAAGGGUUGUCUGUUCGUGUUUAGACAAAAUGCACGUUCAAAAGGGCGCAACAACAUGUAAACCUGCAACCUUGAACAACUUACUCCAGCUUUGUAUUCAGCAGUCACAGCUGAAUGGGUCCGUCAAAUCCAGGUAUUCAACACGCGUGAGUUUUAAAUAAAAGAACCGGUGCUUGCAUGCUCCUGACAAUAUAAGGCGAGCACGUUCAGAAGCCUUUUUGUGCCACAAAAGAUCCUUUUGAUGCUUUUCAUAAAAUUCUUCCGUGAAAUCUUGGUCGAAACGGUAGUUAAGCCUCAUGGUCUCAAGCUUGCUUGCACUCAGAACAAAGGAUUUCAGAAAUUCAAUGUUUACCGUGCAGGGUUCAUAGUCGUCCAGCGUAACUGUCUUUAAACGAAAGUCAUCUCGUUUGACAAACGGUUGGUGCUUACGACGCCAUGUAUUUGUUUGUCCGCAAUAGAGUCCUCCCUACAUGUACAUGAAGAAUGAAAAUACUUAAGCUCUAAAAACAAAGAUUCUGUCAAAAGAGCAUCCAGUGUAAAGUAUUUUUUUUGUACAUACGGGUGUAUGUAAUACUAAAACAUGUCUAGCCACGGGUGUAUCAAUUUACAGACGAAUGCAACACAAGCUUUUUAAGACAUACAGUAGAAGUAGUACAGUAUGCAUGUUAUGGGUUUUCAAUUUGUGCGAGAAUCAUCACCUCGAUAAACAAGUUCUCAAGGCUUCGAAAGCAUUGCAUGAGGGAAACGGCCACGUCCACUUCAAAACACACCUUGACGAGCAAAGUCUUGACCGUUUGAAGCACUGUUGACAGGCUGACUGCCGGCAAACGCUGUAUGGUGCAUGCAUAACAAUUUUAAAAAUUGAACAAAAGGUUCUAUUACAUGAAAUUUGUUUACUGGACAAAUGCAGCUGAAAACUAGGUACCUGGAUAACUGUAGGGUUACGCGUGACCUUGGAUUCAGAGAAAAAAUCAUGGAAUUUGCCCAGACUCUCCAAUUUAGGUGUAGACAUGACAGUUAUCUGCAAGUUGCUGCUGAUAAUAUUGUUAAGCAACCACUGAAGUGACGGGGCAUCCUCUAUAACAAGUUUGCCAUGUCCAUAGCGAAUUCCAAUGCUUACAAGGUUACGUGAGUUUAUUCGUAUGCAACGGCUUUCCAUAUUCCAAGUAAGCAGAAGGCACCGGAGUACGGGGCAACUAGAGUGGAUUAUGCUUUCAACCGAGAUGUCUGGUAUACCAACGUCCACAAGUGAAAGUCUCUUGAGCAGUGGUAGUUUAAGAGCAUGAACGUAACUGUCUGGUAUUUGGAAAAGAGCAAAGGUGGCAGUGUGUAGGGAGGAUGCAAAGCGAGAGAAGGACGCCGGUGCAAAAGGUGCGGAUGAUGGUUGUGUGAGUGGUUGUACGACACACUCUCUCACGAAAUCUGGGAACGUGUAAUAGAACUCGAGCACCUGGAGAUUGUUCAGUUUGUAUGAUUUCAGCCAGGCGUCGACGGUGGAGGGUCUAGACUGGAGAUAGCAUGCCGGUAUGCAGAGACGGUGAACUGCGCCCCCAUGGGCGGAGAGGAUGGCUUCCGGAAGGGUAAUAACGUCAGUGUCAGAUUUGUGAGGGCACCGAGUUCCGAAGUGCCUUUCGCGGGCGAGCUCCCAGGUAGGAGGCGGCACGGAGAUUUUCUCGAUGUGAACUAUUUCUAGAGGCUUAAAAAGACAAGCAGCAGGGAUCUCACGGCAGUCGAGAUUCAGAGGAGCGGUGGGCCAUAAAGGAUGCCAUCGACGAGCGAGGAUGCGAGUACGGAUGCUAUCCCUGAUGGGGAUACGAGAGAUGAUCUCACCUAGGAUGACAUCCGGGAGAUUGCUGAUGCGGUCUGGACGAGCUUUUUUCUCGUGCUCCUCAGAUCUGGUGGGCGGACCCUCACCGGUCCCCGCCGGUACCGCCAAACACCCAGCAGAAUGCGUCAUCGGUGGCACGAGCCUUGCUCUCUUGGUAUGAGAAGCAUCAGACUCCAUCUAGGAGCGACGGGUGUGGUGGAUCUGGAAAGACGGGUUGGGAUCGACUUUUGCACGCUGUCUGAAGUGUCUACAACGCCUUAUAAAAAUGAACAGAGGGAGUAGUAUUUUUUAAGUGAUGUCGCUGCGAGAACAGUGACAUCGGACAGUGGGAACAAGUCGAACUCCAUGCCUCCAAUUGAUUCACGCACAUGCCUCUCCGAGCUGCGUGUCACUACAAACAUACUGAACACGGACGCACGAUCCCAGCUCUUCUUUUUGACAUGGGACGCAGGACCACAAGUCUUCUUCCUAAUAUGGCACCGUGCCUCCGCUUGCUCGACCAACGUGCCUAUCCGAGGACACGACUCAGAUGAAAUAAUGACAACUGGGAGGGACGGCCGUACCCUCUUAUACUACAUGACCGUGCCUUCACUAACUUCACGGUUGUGCCUCUCUUACUGCACAAAGUCAGCUAAGUUAACCAAAGCACAGAGGCAUGACCAUGAGUCUUCUUAACACAGGACUGAACCUGCACUAGGUUCAAGUGCCUCUCUGAGCAAACAUGUUGAACCAACAGACACACCCACAACAACAACAACAACAACAACCAGAACAACAACAACAGCAACAACAACCACGUUUAGGAUCGCAUCUACUUUCAGUACCAUAGUCUGAAUAAGAAUUUAAACUGAUAAGUUCUAUUAGGUAUGUACUACCAGGAUUUGAACUGCACUCAUAGUUUGAAAUAACACACAUACGAUACUUAACUUAAUACCAUAGUAGUUCAAAUUUAUGUGGUCUAAAGACCGGUGAUCACAAAUGAGAGCGAGUCCUGCCCGCGCAUAGUGUGCCACUCGAUAGUGAUGAGUACAAGGCAAUCAACUGUCAGCCUGGCUGCAUUUGCAAAAGGAGAAAUCCCGGUGAUCGCCAUCCUUCCAUCUUUAUGUAUACAGUAGGUGCCAGGCAAAUCAAUGCUGCUGAAAAUUUGAACAAGCCUGAUGCUGCCCUUGAGAGGCAAAUAUCCAAGCUUCAUCCUAAGAUCAUUUGUAACAAUAGCUGGGAUUUUCUGUACAAUAACAAAUUAUUCUGGCAUUAGAUUAUGAAGACACGCAUGCUGACUGUGGUUUCAAGAAAUAAACAACGACGUACCAAACGGUCCAUGUGAACGUUGGUGAAACAUAGACGAUGCACAAAGGUAAUGGCAGGGAUGUGUUUAGCAUUUAGGACUAGUUUAAUCAUGCAGGCCAUGUCGAUAUAGGAAAGUUUUAUGCCCCGGGUGUAGACUGUCUCGUCUAUGUAGCUCCUUUCCGAUAAACUGAGGCCUUCGAGGGCCAAGUAAAUACAACCAUGUAUUAGCCACCGUGUGUGAAGGAGUGAAUAAAGCAGUUAAAACUAAAAUAAACAAAUAUUGGCUUUUAAAAGGGAAAUUACAGUUAUAAACUACAUUGAGUACAAAGAAAGUUUUAAUACGUUAUAUCACAGAGAUUAAGCACGUAGAUAUCAAUGGCACGCCACAGUAAAAUUAUAAUAGAUAAAUGUUAAACCAGAACAAAUAUUGAUAAGCGAUCAGAACGUACCAACGGAAGGUUUGGGAAACGCUUUGUGACCUCCUCGAGAUUCACUCAACGUCAAGUCAAUCGGAAAGAAGAAAUCUUCUUCUUGCAAAUCCAAUUUUAUAAUAUCACCAUAAAACAGAUCAUAGUCACGUAUCAACUUUUCCCAUCCAGGUCCAUGAAACUUAGACCUGUGGUCGCAAUCUGUAAACUUAAUCUUGUAAGACAAUUCCUCAGUAGUGCCGAACACAAGGUCAAAAUCUUCGUCUUCAAAACCAUCCUCGAAAGCUUCACCUUUCCACAAAGAGAUCAAAGAAAGGAUCUGGUUCCGGUAGUAGCAUGGGACAUACUGCAUAAAAGUAAAAUCAAGACAAAGGUAAAUAAAUGUUUUACUGAUUUUCAAAAAAAAAUGCAUGAAAUUGUUUUUUUUCCUUAAAAUUCCCUGGCUUUCAGGCACGAGCACAGCCACCAUCUAUGACAUUUAAUUAAACCGGCCUAUACAAAACAAUUGAACUUCUAAUUACAUUACAGCAAGUCCUAUAAAAUAAAAACAAGCAUGCGCAGUAUAGUUCGCUCCGAACGAAUACGUGUGGUUGCUGACUGCGGAAUAAAGAUAACUUACCAGGCAUGACUCAUAAGAACGAGGCAAAUACACAAUCAAGAAAGAUUGGGCAACAUCAGAUUCAACACCGGGACAGUUGAGGUUCCUGCAAACAUCACAGGCCAUCUUUGACUUCGAAAUGUAACAAUAUGUAAGACUCAGGUUCAUUAAUUAUUAAAAAAAAGUUUCAACACUCCACUAAUGGCACAAAGAAUUAAAGAACUGUAUAUCACUGAUACACGCUUGUUUCAACGAGUAAGAUAGAGCGGAACGAAUGCUGCUACGGUGAUAUCCCUCGAUCUUAGUGUCUUUGUAAAAAAAUGAAGAAACACGCACAGAGCUCCUCAAAUCUACAAGCUUGCAGCAAACUAACUGAAAAAAUCAACUGUUUCCCUCCAAGAUUAUUCCCCUAUAGAACCUCUUAAAAGAGGUAAGAUAUUAACACAAAAACUAAUAUUAAAAGGGUAAUAUAAAACAAUAAUCCAUCUAAAAAACACAACAUGGAAGGCAUAAGUAUUAAGCAGAAGGGAGAAAACUUACUGUAUUUCAGAGCAAGUGGGCGAAUCGUAGAUCCAUCUAUGUGGACUAUAGAGUGAGGAAGACGAAGCAAGAAAGACGGAAGGAACCAGAGAAGAAGGGGAGCGGAAGAGCAAGUGACUCGGGAGAGAAGGCGAACAAAACGAUGUAUUUAUGGAGUAAUUGUAGAGAGGGAAGUAAAUUUUUUGUACUCGCUCGCCAAAGCUGAAACUAGUACUGACAAUAGUAAAUGGCUCCUUGCCAUCCCAGCGCAAAAAAAAUAAUGGGGGAGGUGGGUGGUGGUUGGUGGGUCUGGCGAGUAGGUGGAGUAUUUGGUCGAACCGGGCCAUGUCGAAGUCCUCUAGCUCUCUCACUGUAUCUCUUCUCCCACCUCUCUCUCUCUCUACCUCUCUCUCUCUCCUCUCGAAUUCGACACCGCCUACGGCAUCACAUCUGCUCACAUCCUCCGGGCCAUGUCGACACAAAAGUUCGUACAAGAGGGGAGGAAGGAAGGCUUGAACUUCCUUGAGCUGGAUUUUGAUUUCUAUGUAGGUGAUUUCCUGCUACAUGCGGAGCAUUAAACUGUGGUUUGUUUUCUAAACAAAAGAUCUGAGCUAUAAACAUUCAUGUGUCCUUGUAGGAGAACCCUGAUACCAUGAAGGACCAUGAUUUCUGUGGCAAAGAGCUCGACCAUCCUCUCUACUGCGUUCUCCACGAUACCAAGCCUCUCAGGUGUGUGGCUUUUGAAGGAAGUGACACGGGGAGGAGGUUCUACGGUUGUGCUGUGAAAGUUAGUCACUUUCGAAAAUCCGAGCUACUUUCUUAUUGAAUCAAACUAUUUGGAUAUAGGACUUAUAGUCUUCCAAAGAAGACUUAUUUCUUCUUGUGUUUUCCGGUUGAUUGUAGAAAACAUUGUGUAGUCCUUUUACUUUACAUAAAAGGCUAAAGGUCACUACUUAUUUUACAUCACUGAAAACAAAAGAAGUGAUCUAGACACUCUCCUGUUUGUUUACAAAUGGGACUUCUGUUUAAUGGUCAGUAUAUUCUUCAAAAAAAAUCUCUAAAUAACCUGACUGCAGAGGUAGCUCCAGAUUAAUUCAAGCUGGCUUAAAAGAAACUAAGUACAAUUAUGAAAUAACUCCGCGGACAGGGUGGGCGAAGUACCAUAAUUAGUGUUGUGGGUACCUAACCAUUGACGCGCCACGUUGCACAAACACGGUUCAUAGUUAGUUGAAUGAGGUUAUGAAGCAAGUAUAUGUGAACUUUGUUAUAUUCCAGAGAUCGUGCAUCACUGUAUUAAUAGUCUCUAUUUAUUUUGUUCCUUUUUAUUCGCAGAGAGGCGUGAACUGUGGAGUCGUCGAAUGGGUUGACCGCCCAUGGCUUGUCAUUAUGCAGAGGUGCCUACUCAAGCUCUAGGGGAAGUUGCAAGAAAAGGAUGAAGAGAUAAGCAGGCUUAAAAUGGAUAUUAAACAAGUGAACCUUAAGCUAGAGAACCUUGUUGCAGCUGUGGAAAGAAGUAAUGUAACUACCACGAAGAUUGACAGGCAAAAGAAGCAGAUGGGUAUCGUUGAUAAAGACGUCAAGCGCAUUCAGAGGUCUCUCACAAGUGCCAUUCGUAAUCUUAAGGACGACAAGGGUGAUAUUAAGCUGGACAGGGAUUUUCUGAAGGAGGAGGUGCAUAAGAUGAAGGACAAUAGAAGCAAGAUGCGAAGCGCCAUCUGUGAUCUUUUGGGGCAAGGGUUUGCGAACACUGAUGACCUCCUGAUGAUCAAGGCAAUCCUCGGAGAAUGAUCAUUAACAGUUGCCUUCUUUCGAAACGUUGCAAGGGAUACUCGUCUAGUAUAAGUUUAUGCUUGGACAUGGUUACUUGACUAAAGGCAUGUAUCUCAUUUUUUGCAAUCUCUCAGAGGGUGUGUGACGGUCUACGCACAUCAAAUAUUGAUCUCAUGAAUAUUUUAUAUUUCAAAGAAACGUGCUGCUAGCGAGGCGCAUCCAACAAUAUUUCAUCUUGCAUUGUUCAAUGAGGCAUGGGUUACUGUAAUUUAGCAAGGCACAUGUGUCUCUUUGGCUGGCAUGCGGAGCCAUGCCUCUGAUAACCUGGCACUGACUUGUCAAAGGCAUAGUCCUAUGUGAGACAGAAGCACCGCACUAGCGCUGACACACAUAAAAUCUGCAAUCUAUAGAGUCCUACUUACUCCCGAUGCAGACACACAUCUGUGCCUCCGUGACUCGAUAGUUUGUACUCAGACAUAAACUCGUUCACGGACAUGCGCUUACACGAAAGGCACAUACACCUUGUGGUCGCUGGGAGCAUGGUUUGAGAUUAAGCAGAGCCACGGCCAUGUGCACAUACAGUCUGCCACCAACGGAGGCAGUGCCGUCCGGUCACUGCAGACGCACUGGCUCUCAUGCACUAGACGCACGUUCCUUGCAGAACAGGCCAGGCAGUGCCUCUUCUCUUCCAAAUGUUUUUGUUCCCUGGUCGACUACUUCACAUGAAUGUUUCUGUAGCAUCGCGAUAGUGACAUAAACUAUCAAAUUUUCAGAACAGCGGGUGCAUACCACAAGAGCAUUGUUAUAACAAGCUUACAAAACGGUGCAAAUGGCGAAUGGAUUGUUUGGUCAUGUUUAGACAUAACACGGUCUCAGAUAGGCGCAACAGCAUCUAACUGUACUAGCUUGAGGAAGUAACUUCAGCCCUGUGUCCAGCAGGCACAAGUAAACGGAUCUGACAAAUCGAGGCAUUCAACACGCCUGUGUUUCAAAUCCAAGGACAGAUGAUUGCAGCAUGCUAAUAACUUGAGAUGGGCGUGUUUGGAAGCUUUAUUCUCCCACAAGAACAACUUCUGUUGUUGUUCGUAAAAUUCCUGCAUGAAGUCUGAGGGAAAGCGAAACUUAAUCCUCAUGGUCUCUAGCUCCGUUGCCUUCAGAAUAAAGAACCUCACAAACUCAGUGUUCUUCCCGCUCUUUUCAUAAUCCUCCAGCGUUAUUGUCUUUAAAUGAAUGAUGUGUUCUUUGAGAAACUUGCGGUGCUUGCGACGCCAAAUAUUUCUUGCACCAUCGGGAACGUUUCCUCCCUGAAAACACAUAAAGGUUGAAAGAUACUCAAGGUCUAUUGAAGGACAAAAUGAACGAUAAAUUCCAUGACCCCUAUACCAAUCAGUUCGUCGAACACUUCCCUAGAUACGGAUGUAUGUAUAAUAAUAAUAAAAACAUGCCUAUGCAUAGGGUGUAUCCAUUGCAAACAAAAUGUAAGACAGGCUUUUUGAGAUGCAAGGAGUGCUGCACUAUGCACGGUAUUAGCUUUUCAUUGGGCGUGAGAAUCAUCACCUGAGCAAACAAGUUCUCUAGAUUUGGGAGGCACUUAAGCAAGUGAACGACCAGGUCCACUACAUAAGACAUGGCCGAAAACAAGGUUUUGACAGAUUGCCGCAUUGUAGAUAGGCUGACCGUCGCCAUACCCUUCACAUAACAUAGAAAAUAAAACAUAAAAUUAUUACAACAAAAGGUUGCAUGACAUGAAACUACUUUCUCAAGGAAAUGAAGCUACAAUUGUUGUGAAAUGUCAGUACCAUAAGACCUGUGGAGCCAAGCGAGAUCCUGAAUUUGCCCAAUGUCUUUAGUUUAGGUGCAGAGACGAUGAAUACCUACAUGUUAUUGCUCUGGAGAUCAUGGAUCAACCUCUGAAGAGAGGGGGCAUCCUCGAUGAUGAAUUCUCCUUUCUCACCACGGAUGCCGAUGCUUACAAGGUUAGGCGAAUUUAUAGUGAUCCGAUGCCUUUCUCCAUUGCAAACAAGCAGCGGGCACUCGAAUGCAGGGUAACUAGAGUUGAUCAUGCUUUGCAAUGAGAAUUCUGAUAUAUAAACCUCAACAAGCGAAAGCCUCUUGACGAGUGGUAGUUGAAGUACCUCUACAUAAUGGUCUGGUAUCUGGCAACACGUGAAGCUGAUAGUGCACAGAGAACAUGAAAACCGAAAGACGGACUUCGGUAGUGAGGGCGUAGAUGAAGAGCAUGUGUGGUGAUAGUUUGACAGUUUUUUUCACGAACCGUGGAAACAGGUAGUGAAACUCAAGCACCUGGAGAUUGUUCAAUCUGGGGGGACUAAAGCCAGGCGUGGACAGUAGAGGGUCUGCAUUGGAGGUAGCACGCCGGUAUACAAAGGCGGAGAACUGCACCCACAUGGCUGGAGAAGAUGGACUCUGGAAGGGACGAACCAUCAUUAGGAACUGUUUUUCCCUGAUGCCAAGUUCCGAUGUAUCGUAUGCAAGCAAGCUCCUGGUUGUAGGCAGAGGCCCUACUAAUGAUUUUGAUAUGAACUGUUUCUAGAGGGUUAAAAAGACGUGCGACAGGGAUCUCACGGCAGUCCAGAUUCAGAGGAACGGUGGGCCAAACAGGGCGUCAACGAUGUGCGAGGAUUUGAGUAUGAACGCCUUCCUUAGUGGACGGACGGGAGAUUAUCUCACCAAGGACACCGUCCGCGAGGUCGCUGAUGCGGUCCGGACCAGACUGCCCUUCUUGAUCCUCGGAUCCAGUAGGCGCACCCUCGCCGCUUCCAGCCGCUACCUCCAAACCACCGGAAGAGGCCGUCGCCGAUGGCGCGAGCCUCCCCCUCUUGGUGCUCGGGCCACCGGAGUGAACCUCCAUCUCCGCCUCCAUUGUUGGGAUCGCGCGGCCUGCGAGCGCCGCUAUUUGUGGCGUGGAUCUGGAAAGACGACUAAGCAUAACUAGGGACGGGAAGGAAGGGGAGAGGAGUGGAGGAAUCUGUUCAGGAUCAACAAAAACAAAUGAUUGAACUCCUCUCUUUGCAUUAGAUGAAGUGCUAUAGAUAGCACUGGAACAGGCAUUUUCAAGGGGCGUCGGUAAGGACGGAACCGAGUCGACUGCAGAAAGCAACCGCCGCAAAAUAUCACUAUUAAUAUUGAUAUUAUUUCCCCCGCAAAAUAAUACAUAUUGAAAUAAUUUCUUUCCUGUUUGAGGAAGGAAAUGAGGCACAACCUUUUAGAAUAGGGGAGCACUGCCCUGCAUGCCAUAGAGGCAUGUUCGCCGCUCGGAGUAGCAAGAGCAGGUUCUACAUACACCAUGCUUCUUUGCAGUGCAACAUUACUAUCAUUAAGUGCUGCAGAGUGACAGCCGACUGUCCGUGUUACAAUUGUUUUCGUUGUAAGAUUUUACCUGCAAUGCACAAGGGUGACUUUCGAUGUUUAGUAGCGUCACGGUCCUUUACGCAUGAAGGCGACUUUCUGUGUGUUAGUGUUUCAGGUCACAGGCACGGCUGACCAGCCUGUGAAGCGCUCAAAGCGCCCAAGGAAAAACCACCUCAUCCUUGAUUCAGUGUUUCGGGUUACAGGCACGGGCAUGAAUCGCUCAAAGGCAUGGUCGACGGUAUUACAUAGAGUCACGCUAGCCUGUGACUCUAUCAGACAGAGAUGCACGAGUGUUUAGCCCACGGGGAUGAACCUUUGUCUUACACGCAGCCACGGAUGUUUACUCUGCGAGGCACGAGGCAAGGAUUGGCCUAUACGAGAGACACUGUUUUUUAAAGCGUGUUUCCUUGUAUUCAAAAUCACACAUGUCUAGUCCAUACAGACACGGUUUAGUACCGAGUUGCGUCAUGCUUCUUUCUUGAUAAAGGCGUUGAUAUUCGAGGCUAUCUCUGUUUCAGUGUCAAGGGUCACAAGCAAGCACGGGCAUACAACCCUCAAAGGCAUGGCGUGCUAUUAUAUAGAGUCACGCACAAAGGUUUUCUGAUUGUAUUCCGAAUGAGUCGGUGAGCUUGGUAAAAAGGAGAGGCAUGGACGUCAAGCCCAUGGAGGCAUAGUUUGUUCUUACUCGGAGUCACGUUUGUGCAUUUAUUACGAAAACCUAAUAGAAUCGGGCGACUGUGCUUGUUACAAUUGUUUUCGUUGUAAGAUUUUACCUCAAAUGCACGAAGGCGGCUUUAUAUGUUUAGUAGCGUCACGAUCCUAUAAACAUGAAGGGGACUUCCUGUGUGUCCGUGUUUUAGGUCACAGGCACUGUUGUCAAUCCCACAAAUGCACGAAGGCGACUUUAUAUGUUUACCAGCGUCACUACCCUUUACACAUGAAGACGACUUUCUGUGUGUCAGUGUUUCAGGUCACACGCACGGUUGUUAAGCCCACAAAUGCAUGACCUGUAAUUAUCCAGAGUCACCUUCGUGUCUCUUUGUGUUCCAAAUGCAUCCGUUGACUAUAUUACAGGACAGCCAUGGUCGGGACGCUGAGGGAGGCAUGCUUAUGUUUAAUGCGGAGCCAUGUUCAUGCAUUGAUUGCAGAAUCCCAAUGUUUCAACGGGCGUUCACACCUACUCGGGUGUGAACGCCACGUGGUGCCGCCAUGGAAACCCAAGGGUCCGACGGACGUCUCCUCCGAUGAUGCCGGUCUAGCUCGUCGCCCGAGGCUAGGCUCCGACUAUUUAAGGCAGACGAACGGAGUCUCAAAACCCUAGCCACACACUCUUCCCCCCUCUGCCCGCCGCCAGGCCAUCCAUUCCUCUUCCUAAUCUCUAUCCUGACCCUCUCCGCCUUUGCUGGUCAGGAGGAGACUACUGCGGAACCCAGUGUCCAGACACUGCAGGAGAUCCAGGCUGGCGAGGGCUCCUCAUCUGUGAGUUCACUCUGCUUCCGCUUCAUUUGUUUUUCCUUUCCUUCGGCUACUUGAUUUAGUAGUGAAACGUGAAUAAGCCAGAUGGAGUCUAGAAACCCUAGCCACAUUCCCUUCGUCCUUUUGUCCGCCUCCAGGCCAUCCAGUCAUCUUGCUGUUCUCUAUCCUGAGACUCUCAGCCACUGUUGUGCAGAAGGAGACUACUCUAGAGCGCCGUGUCCAGUCACAGCAGGAGAUCUCGGCUGGCGAGGGUUCCUCAUCUGUAAGUUUGCUCUGCUUCGGCUUCAUUCGUUUUUUCUUUCUGUCGGCUACUUGAUUUAGUUGUGAAACAUGGAUCAUUGUGGUGAGCUUCAUCCUAAUGUUGAUGAGGGUGCAUCAACCUCACACCUUCUCCUUUGACAGCUGAAAAACCUGUUCAAUACUGUGGACGACUUCAUGAAGACAUCCACGAAGUUGGACGAGGAGAACAGAUCCAUGAUUGCACGUCUUAUGAAUGAGAAGGCCCGGCUCAAACUUGAGCGCGAUAAGCUGAAGCUGGAAUCAUACGUUAUGAAGAAACAGAUCGAGGAACUUCGCGCCGAGCAACCAAAAAAGAAGUCUUGCCGGACUAAGUAGACAACAGCGACCCUGAUCAUCGUAUGUGAAGCUAUUAAGCAGUGCCCUAAAUGUUUCUUAUUUUGUCUUGCAUUACCUCGUGUCGUCAGUAACUUUGAUAACAAAUGUGUUUUGCUUUCCUGGGUCACGUUCAUUCCAAGCAGUGACCCUGGUCCUCGGUAUCUGAAGCUGUUAAGAAGUGCCCUAAAUGUUUCUUAUUUUGUCUUGCGUUACCUCAUGUCGUCAGUAACUUUGAUAGCAAAUGUGAUUUGCUUUCCUGGGUCACGUUCAUUCCAAGUUUAUGGGUACAGAUGAACAUUAACGUAAUGGCCAGUUCUAGAGACGUUGUUUUUAAAAGCACGAACCAGAGUCAUGUAUUGUGCACACAUGAAGGCAUGGACAUUCCUGCCUUUCGUUGUUUCAAUGUUUCGGGUCACAGGCACGGGCAUAAAGAGCUCAAAGGCAUGGUCGGUGGUAUUACAUAGAGUCAUGCUCGCCUGUGACUCUAUCAGACGAAGAUCCACGGGCGUUUAGCCCACGGAGAUGAACCUUUGUCUUACGCACAACCACAGGCAUUUACUUUGUGAGACACGGAAUGGCCUAUGUGAGGGACGAUGUUCUUAAAAUCUUAUUUCCUUGUAUUUAAAAGCACGGACAUGAACUCCCUACGGACACAGUUCCAUAUUGAGUUGUGUCACGCUUCUUUCUUGAUGUUAUGUAUAUUGUUCGAUAAAGGCAUGGACAUCGUGCCUGUCUGUGUUUCACUGUUAAGAGUCAUAGGCACGGGCAUAAAAUGCUCAAAGGCGUGGUCGGUGGUACUACAUGGAGCCAUGCUCAUGGAUCGAGAGGGAGCACGGUCGCCUCUUCCUUCUGCUCCGACGACAAGCACACAACAAGAAGGCGGCGUCACCGACGGAGCCACUCUGGACCUCUUGGUACUACGGGCGGCACUUUCCAUCUCCACCUCCAUUGCUGCCGUGGCGCCGCCUACGACCAUUGUUCGGUGAGGUGGAUCUGGAAGAGGCACGACAAGAAGCCAAUGGAGCCAUACUUUAAUAUUAGGCAGAAUCACGUUCAUGCGAUUAUUGCGCAAACCGUACAUUUCAUUAGCUGCACGGGCUUGAAGUCUCUGCAGCCAUGGUUAUGUGCGUUUGUGACUUUCUGUAUUUCAGUGAUUAGGGUCGUAGACACUGGCGUCAAAUCCACAAAGGCAUCGUGUGGUAUUAUAUAGAGUCAUGUUCGCCUGUGUCUGUUCUCAGGAUGAUUCCGUCGACUCGUUUAGACGGAGAGGCACGGACGAGACGCCCAUGGAGGCAUACUUCAGUAUUAGGCACAGUCACGUUCGAGCGUUUACUGCACAAACCGGGCACAAGAUAGACACUUAGGUUAGGUCUUCACCACGCACAUACAAAAACACAAGAGCUUAACAGAGGAGGAGGAGAAGAUCUCAGAAAAAAGAGAGGAUGAGGCACAGUGCAAGGAAAUAAUUCGACAUGUCACCACUGGCGUGCGUUUUUUAAAAGCACGGGCUAGCUCUCUCUGCAGCCACGGCUAUGUACGUUUGUGACUCUCUGUGUUUCAGUCAUUAGGUUCACAGGCACAGGCGUCAAAUCCUCAAAGGCAUCGCUUGGUAUUAUAUAGAGUCAUGUUGGGUUGUGUUUGUGUUCCGACUGAUUCAGUCGACUCAUUCAGACGGAGAGGCACGAACGAGAAGCCCAUGGAGGCAUACUUUAGUAUUAGGUAGGGUCAAAAUCAUGCGUUUAUUACGCAUGGUCGAUUGUAUUACAUAGAGUCAUGCUGGCCUGUGAGACUUGACCAGGCGGAGAUGCACGGACGUUUACUCUGUGAGGCACGGAAUUGCCAAUACGAGAGACACUUUUUUUAAAGCAUGUUUCCUUGUAUUUAAAAGCACAGACGUGAAGACCAUACAGACAUGGUUCAGUGUCAAGAGUCACAAGCAAGAACGGGCAUACAGCCCUCAAAGGCAUGGCAUGCUAUUAUAUAGAGUCACGCUCAAAGGUUUUCUGAUUGUAUUCCGAAUGAGUUGGUGGACUCAGUCACCAGCAGAGGCACGGGCGUCCAGUCCACGGAGGCAUGGUUUUUUCUUACCCAGAGUCACGUUAGUGCCGCCGCUAUUUAGGUGUGAACGCCAUGUGCCGCCGCUACGGAGACCCAAGAGUCCGAUGGACGUCUCCUCCCCUGACGCCGGUCUGGCUCGUCGCCCGAGGCCAGGCUCCGGCUAUUUAAGGCGGACCGAGGGGGUCUCGAAACCCUAGCCACACCCUCUUUCUUGGACUGUCCAGAUCCAUGCUACAUAAAGCGGCGCUCGCAGGCCGCGCGAUCCCAGCAAUGGAGACGGAGAUGGAGGUUCACUCCGGUGGCCCGAGCACCAAGAGGGCGAGGCUCGCGCCACUGACGACGCCUUCUUCUGAUGGUUUGGCGGUAGCGGCUGCAAGCGGCGAGGGUCCGCCUACUGGAUCCGAGAAUCAAGAAGAGCAGUCUUGUCCGAACCACAUCAGCGACCUCCCGGACGGUGUCCUCGGUGAGAUCAUCUCCUGUCUGUCCACUAAGGAAGGCGUUCGUACUGAAAUCCUCGCACGUCGUUGGCGCCCAGUUUGGCGCGCCGCUCCUCUGAAUCUAGACUGCCGUGAGAUCCCUGUCCCAUGACUUUUUAACCCUAUACAUCAAGUACAUUUCGAGUUGGUCACCGUGUUCUCCGCCACAUCGGAGGAACUCGUCCGUGUAACAUACACUGGAAUGUUUUUUAGAGGAGAACAUGUCGGUGAAGAUAAUUCGUAUGAUGAUUCGUACCUUCCAGAGACCAUCCUCUCCAGCCGUCAGAGUGCAGUUCACCGCCUCUGCAUUCCGGCAUCCUACCUCCACUGCAGGCACUCCACAGUAGACGCCUGGCUUUGAUCCCCAAGACUAGACAAUCUCCACGUGCUCGAGUUUUACUACCUGUUCCCAUCAUGCUUGAGAGAACAGGACAUAGGGCCAUUCUCAUGCCCUUCGCUCAUGCCCUCACCACCAGCAUUUAACCCUCAGAUUUCCUCCUCUCUCAAAACCAUCGCCUUUACUCUUUGCAAGUUACUAGACAAUUAUGUACGGGCGCUUAAACUACCACUGCUCAGGAGACUCUCACUAGUAGAUGUUGAUGAAUUAGAAGUCUCAUUACAAAGCAUCAUCAGCUCUACUUCUCCUAAACUUGAGUCUCUGCUGCUUGUUUGGCAUGUCAGGCACCAUUGCAUCAGAAUAAACUCACCUACCCUUAUGAGCAUCGGCAUUUCUGGUAUCUAUGGGAAAAUUGUUAUACAAUAUGCCUCAUCACUUCAACGGUUCCUUUGUGAUGGUGAUUGCAAGAAGUUGCAGAUAGCUAUCACCUCUGCACCUAAACUACAGGUCAUGGGCAAAUUAUCUAAUAUUUUCUCUGAAUCCGGCAUCACAAAUGACUGUAUAAUUAUUCAGGUACUGACUUUCAACAAUACUUUCACCUCUAUUCGUUGGUACAAACAAGUUCCAUGCAAUUCAACAUUUACUCUACUAAUAUUAUAUUUUAUUCCACUUGAAGUGUUUGCCGAUGGUCAGCACAUCCACAGCGGUUCAUUCUGUGAAGACGUUGUCUAUCAGCAUGGAUUUUGACCUGCACGCAGUCUUUUCCUUGGUGUAACACUUCCAAAGCUUGGAGAACUUGUAUAUCGAGGAGAUGCUUCUCACACAAAUUGUAAAAACAUACCAUGCAUGGUGUAGAACUCCAAUCAACAACAAGAACAACAUCAAAAAAAUGUCACUUACAUUUGUAUGUAAUGGACAAAGCUCUAUAUAGUAAUGGACAAGUAUCAGGACAAAACUAAAUAAAAGCUUUUAUCACAACAAAGGUUAUAGAAUUAUUCCUUCACUUCCUCCCCCAGUAGAACCACUCUUUAUGGUGCUUAACCAUUUCAAAUCUUCAUGUUUAUUCAGGAAAUAUCCUCUAAUGAAGAAAGUCUUGCGAACGACUAUUCUUGCAAGCACCAUCAUAACGUUCGUUUGAAGUCACUGAUGCUGGAGGGCUAUGUUCAAUGCGAGAAAAGCAUUCGAUUUGCGACAUUCUUUAUUCUCAACGCAACACAGCUCCAGACUAUGAGGAUAAAGUUUCUUCGUCAGGAAGACUUCACGGAAGAAUUCUACAAACAGCAACAAGACGUGCUUCGGGGGGACAAAAAGGCUUCUAAACAUGCUUGCCUUACGUUGUCGCCAAGUUGCAAAUACGGGAACUUGGAUCUAAGGCACGCAUGAGAUGAGCACCUGGAUUUAAAAGAUCCAUUCACUUGUAAGUGCUGAAACAGUCUUGGAGUGACAUGUUGCCGCCACUUUUCGGUUUGGAAUUUACGUAGGUGUGGUGAAACAAUGCUCGUACCUUUUUGCUCAAUAUGUAACCUUGCCAACAGUGAACACGGCAUUUCUGUCUAUGGCUAAAUGUUCUUUUGUUCAUGCCAUACAUUUCAUUAGCUGAACGGGCUUCAAGUCUCUUGCAGCCACGGCUAUGUACGUUUGUGUCUAUCUGUGUUUCAGUGAUAAGGGUUACGGGCACGGGCGUCAAAUCAGCAAAGGCAUCAUGUGGUAGUAUAUAGAGUCAUGUUCGCUUGUGUAUGUUUCCCGAAUGAUUCCGUCGACUAUCUGUAGACACGGCUAUGUACGUUUGUGACUUUCUGUGUUUCACUGAUAAGGGUCACGGGCACGGGCGUCAAGUCCACUAAGGCAUUGUGUGGUAUUAUAUAGAGUCAUGUUCGCUUGUGCUUGUGUUUGUGUUCCGAAUGAUUCAGUGAACCACGGUCUGUCAGCAAACACACAGACGAUCAUGCCUGUCACAUGGGCACGACCAUGCCAAGCGCACGGUUUGCCACGUACCACUCAACAGUCGUGAAGUGAUACGGCGCGCAUUGUUCUACAUGCCGCACAUGAUUCUUACACAGCAAACGCCAUGAACCUACUGCCACGUACUAUAUCCAUUUGUGAAACAGAAACGCAAACACGUUAGCCUGAGUUUCAGUCUUUCAGUCAUUAGGAUCACAGCCACGGGCGUCAAAUUCACAAAGGCAUCAUGUGGUAUUAUAUAGAGUCAUGUUCGCCUGUGUCUGUUUCCCGGAUGAUUCCGUCGACUCGUUUAGACGUAGAGGCACGGACGAGAAGCCCAUGGGGGCAUACUUCAGUAUUAGGCAGAGUCACAUUUGAGGGUUUACUGCAGAAACAUAACAAAAUUGGAUUCAGAUGUGAACCCUCACUGUUUACUUUGUGAGGCAAUGAAUGACCGAUCCGAGAGACACUGUUCUUAAAAGUAAACCACGGUUCUGUACCAAAGAGCCACUGUCAAACGAAUGGAAGUCAAGCAACGAGGGCCACACUUUUAGUAGUAGAAAAAGCACUUUAUCAACUAGCGUUGCUUCUUUGCUACACGCGCAGUAGGGUGGGUGUGGAAGGGACGUUAUUCAAGCACACAACGAACAUCACGAUGUCACAGCAAGGUCAAAAGCAUGGUUGUGAGUCUGCAGUGUCACGGCUAGAAACCUCGAGACGCAUUUGGGUGUGGCCUGUUAAGUAGAAACUCGGUUGUGCGGUCACCAGAGGCACUACGUAACGCCCCGCGAAACAGGUUUGGUUGACCGCCGGGGUGGCUAUCUAUGCUUUGAGCUCUUUUCAUCUCUCCUGUGUCGCAGCAGAGACGCAUGGUUGUAUUCUUACACCAUCCAGCUUCAUAAAGAAACGGCUGCAAAAAUUUACCCGUAAUCCUAUCGCCCUUAUAAUAUUUUCUCAGCUGAGUAAUAAAAGUACCUAAACAAGCAAAAUCUCUUCUGCUUAAAUUUGCUUUGUUUCUACAACUUCACCAAAUAAACUUACAAGUCGUUAUUUAUAACCACCGAACAAGGAGCAGAAACAGUGCAGCGGCUCAAAUGCAGCUCCAUGAGUGCAAGGCUCAACUGCAGCUCCUCAGUGUGUAUGGCAAGUACAUACGAGAAGCACUGCUCUACCUGCAACAUAGGCACGGAUGUGCAUCCAUUCUGUGCAUGACAGGUACAUACGAGAGGCACUCUCGUACAUACAACACAGGUACGGUUACACGUACAGCGAGCAUUUCUCCACUGAAAAAUUAAAACUACUUUAUAUAUUUUAACCUUCGUGCCACAGAAUUCCAUAGUCGUUCCGCCCGUACAAAGCCGCAAAACCACAAACUUCCUUCAUGGCUGCACGCAACACAAAAACAGACAAGCCUACAAACGGUGCAAAGACUACAACGGUUCUCUGAUAAAGUUUAGAUAGAACCCAAGCUCCUCUUUUCAGACAAGCCUACACAGGAUGCAAAGUGAACGCAACAACAAAUAACUCCAUACACCUGGACAAGUAACACAAGGCCUGAUUUCAGCAUCCACACCUGAAUGGAACCGCCAGAUCCAGGUAUUCAAUACUCCUCGUUCUUAAAUGCGGGCGCGCAUGGCUGCAACUUGAUGAUAAUCUAAGACGUGCACGUUUAGAAGCCCUUCUAUGCCACUCCAGAGCCUUUUGUUGCUUUUCGUAAAAUACUCCUGUGAACUCUGCAGGAGGGGAGGAAAACUUAAUGGUCAUGGUCUCCAGAUCCUUUGCACUAAGAACAAAGAACAUCGCAAAAUCAGCGUAACUCCCGCAGCGAACAUAAUCUUCCAGCGAUACAGUCUUCAGACAAAUGUCGUGAUGUUUGAGAAACUGCCGGUACUUACGACGCCAUUUGUUUUUUUCACCAUGAGAAAUCGAAAAUCCCUAAAAUAUAAAUGAUAGGUUGAAAAUACUUAGCGUCUAUAAAAAGAGUUACAAACCAUGAAAAAACCAAAUGAAACAAUUAGUUCUACCACCUCCGUAACAAGAAGGUAGACAUAGACUUGUCUAUGUAUGGAUGUAUCCAACAAUAAAUCAUGUGUAGAUACGGGUGCAUCAAUUUUAGUCAAAAUUAAGAAAAGCGUUUUGAAAAAGAACGAGUACUAUAGUAUGCACAUUUCUGAAGAUCAUCACCUCAACAAACAAGUUCUCCAGUUUUGGAAAGCACUGCAGCAAUUCAACGACAAUGUCCACCUUAUAAUCCAUGUAGAUAAGCAAGGCCUUGACACACUGACGCAUUCUUGUUAGACUGAUUGCCUUCAAACCCUUGAUGAAAAGUAACAGAAGGUGGAUCACAAAACAAAGUAGAAUAAAGGUUGGAUGAAAUAAAACUUGUUUCCUCACAAACAAAGUGAAGCUGGAAGUAUCGUGAAAACUCAAUACCUCAAUACACGUGGGAUGACAUGGAUACGGUUCAGACGUAGAGACACCGGUUAACUCCAAGUCCUAACUCUGCAUAAAGAAUAGAACAUAGACCAUCAAAUUAAUAGAACAAAUGUCAGAACAAGUGCAACUCUGUUCCAGUAUGAAGGAAAGGCAGUACCUCAAGACGCGUCGAGGGGGGCACGAACACGAAUUCACCCAACGUCUCCAGUUUAGGUGCAGAGACAACAGUUAUUGAGCAGUCAUCGACCAGACAAUCAACAACCAACCGUCGAAGCAAAGGGGCAUCCUCAAUAAUGAAUUCUCCGAAUGGACAACGAAUGCCAAUGCUUACAAGGUUAGACGAGUUUAUUGUGACGCGACGACCUCCUCUAUUGCAAACAAACAGGAGAGACUCAAGUCCAGGGCAAGUAAAGUGGAUUAUACUUUGUAGCGAGGCGUCUGAUAUAUGAACUUCCACAAGCGAGAGUCUUUUCACCAGUGGUAGCUUAAGCGUCCCAACGUAAUUGUCCGGUAUUUGGCAAAGAGCAAAGGCAAGAGUCUGGAGAGAGGAAGAAAACCGAAACAUGGACUCCGGUGCCAAGGGCGUAGAUGAAGUGCAUAGAUCCAGUAAUGUUACCUCUUGCCUCAGAAACCUUGGGCAGAGGUAGUAGAACUCAAGAACCUGGAUAUUGUUCAGCUCCGAGGAUCGGAGCCAGGCAUCAACGGUGGAUGCUCUGCACUGCAGGUAGCACGCCGGGAUACAGAGGCGGCUAACAGAGCCAGCAUGGCAGGACAGAAUGGAUUCCGGAAGACUUACAGCAUCAGAGACAGUAUUUCGAUCGGAAUAGCAUUUGCGAACGCACUCCUUGGCCAAGGCGGACACAUGAGAUAUGGUCUCGAUUUGAACUUUUUCUCCAUUGUUAAAAAGACGAGAGACAGAGAUCUCGCGGCAGUCGAGAUUCAGUGGAGCGAUGCACCACAAAGGACGCCAGUGACGUGCGAGGUUUCGAGUACGGAUGCCAUCCUUGCUGGGAAGACGAGAGAUGAUCUCACCUAGGACGCCGUCGGUGAGAUCGUUGAUGCGGUCCGCACGACAUCCCUCUUCUUCCUCCUCGGAUCGAGAGGGAGCACGGACGCCGCUUCCAUCCCCUUCGAUGACUAGAACACCACCAGAAGGCGGCGUCGCCGGAGGCACCACUCUCGAUCUCUUGAUCCUACGAGCAGCGCUUUCCAUCUCCACCUCCGUUGCAGGGGUGGCGCCGCCCACGACCAGUGCUCACUGAGGUUGAUCUAGAGAAAUGGAUUACAGCCUAUCAAUCCAUCAAACGACUUAAAUACCCACGACGGGGAGCGGAGGGGUCGAGAUUAAUUACCUCUUUUUUCUUUUGAUGCGAGGGUCGGGGUUAAUUACUACUCGUAAUGAGUAAAAGGUAGGUGGCUGCUUGAAACAUUAAAUAGAGGCACGGCUUACAAGGUACGAGAUGCAUGGUUGAAGAUGCAGACUAGGCAUGGGCGUGCCCGUCCGUGUUUUAAUUAUUUAAGGCACACAUUCAAUAGAAGAAUUUGUUUGACGCCGCAAGCACGGUCCUACAGUCAUCUUCCCUCUGCGAGCAGCAUAAUUUUCCACGGGCACAUUGACAAAUCAAGACACUACAAGAUUCAAGGCCGUGCCUCUGCUUUGCAGAUGAUUCUGCUGAAACGCUCACGGACAAAACCGUUGAAGUGUGGCAGAGGCACGGCUUGUCACGAACUGUCCAAAGAGGCAUGAUUGCAUUUUACGCGAGGUCACAAUUGUCACAGGCAUGGGCAUGAAGCGCUCAAAGGCAUGGUCGGUGGUAUUACAUAGAGUCACGCUAACCUUUGUCUUACGCACAGCCACGGGCGUUUACUCUGUGAGGCACGGAAUGCCCUAUAUGAGAGAUGUUGUUUUUUAGAAGCUUAUUUCCUUGUAUUUAAAAGCACGGGCGUACAGUCCAUAGUAUGUUAUUCGGGUGUGAACGCCACGUGACACCGCUCCGGAAACCCAAGGGUCCGACGGGCGUCUCCUCUGGUGACGCCGCUCUCGCUCGUAGCCCGAGGCCAGGCUCCGGCUAUUUAAGUAGGAAGGGGUCUCAAAACCCUAGCCACACCCUCUUCCACCCUCUGCCCAUCGUCAGGCCAUCCAUUCCUCUUGCUGCUCUCCAUCCUGACCCUCUCCGCCAUGGUUGCGCAGGAGGACACUACUGCAGAAGCCCAUGUCCAAACACUGGAGGGGAUCAAGCCUGGCGAGGGUUCCUCGUCUGUAAGUUCACUAUGCUUCCGCUUCUUUCCUUUUUUCUUUCCUUCGGCUACUUGAUUUAGUUGUGAAACGUGAAUAAGCCAGACUGAAUCUCAAAACCCUAGCCACAUCCCCUUCAUCCUUUUAUCCACCUCUAGGACAUCUGCUCCUCUUGUUGUUCUCUUCCCUGACACUCGCCGCGAUGGCUGUGCAGAAGGAGAUUACUCCAAAGAGCCGUGACCAGACGCAGGAGGAAAUCUCGGCUCGCGAGACAUCCUCAUAUGUAAGUUCACUCUACUUCCGUUUCAUUCGUUCUUUCUUUCAUUCGGCUACCCGACUUAGUUGUGAAACGUGAAUCAUUGUGUUGAACUUCAUCCUAACUUGAUGAUAGUGCGUCCUGCCAUCAAUCUGACACCUUCUAUUUUGUGCAGGUGAAGAACAAGUGGAAGGCUACGGAAGCUCACCUCUUAAAGAUCCUGGAGCUAUGCACGAGGUUGUACCAUCUUGGGGAUGAGAAGACGAAGGCGAAGCUCAAACCUGACCACGACAGGUUGAGGCUGGACAUAUACGUUAUGAUAAAAGAGAUCAAGGAACUUCGCGACCAACGACCCUGGUAGCUGUAUCUGAAGCAAUUAAGCAGUGGACUAAAAGUUUCUUAUUUUGUCUUGCGUUACCUCGUAGUUAGUUAACAAACAUGAUUUGAACAUUAACGUAAUGGCUGAUUCGAGCGUUGUUUUUAAAAGCAUGGGCGUCAAGUCUAUGCAGCCAAGGUUCUUUGUACCAACUAGAUUCAUGUCUUGUGCACACGUGAAGGCGUGGAGAUUCCUGCCUUUAUUUGUUUCAGUGUUUCGGGUCAUAGGCACGGGCAUGAAGCGCUCAAAGGCAUGGUCGGUGGUAUUAAAUAGAGUCACGCUAGCCUGUGACUCUAUCAGACGGAGAUGCACAGGCGUUUAGCCCACGGAGAUGAACCUUUGUCUUACGCAUAGCCACGGGCGUUUACUCUGUGAGGCACGGAAUGACCUUUGUAAGGGACGCUGUUUUUAAAUCUUAUAUCCUUUUAUUUAAAAGCACGGACGUGAACUCCCGAUGCACACGUUUCCGUAUUGAGUUGUGUCACAUUUCUUUCUUGAUGUGUUAUGUAUAUUAUGCAAUAUAAAAGACGUGGACGUUCAUGUCUAUCUGUAUUUCAUUGUUUCACAAUGAAGCACGGGCACGCUUUUAAACAAAGCACAAGCACGUCUCGAUUUGUAGAAAACAACACUGUCGUGGUUCUACAGGACGCUAGGUUCUAGGCUGUGCAGCAUGUUUUCACCCAAACGUUCACCACAUGGUCACGAACAUACACAGAGGAAGUGUCGUGCACUGGUAACAGACGCACCCUUACAUGUAUAAGAGGCACGAGGAGGCAUAUUGAUUAAUAUCAUCAGAAAUGAAUCACAUUAUACAUGUGCACGCAUAUAGAGAUAUGCACAAAAAGUGGACUACAAGAGGCACGAGGAGGCAUAUUGAUUAACAUCAUUAGAAAUGAAUCACAUUAUACAAGCCUGUCUUUGUGGAUCCGUUCGACGCCGGAAGCACGGUUCUACGAUCAUCUUGCCUCUGCAAGCAGCAAAAUUUUCCAGGGGCACGUUGACAAUUAAGUCACUAGAAGAUUCAAGGCCAUGCCUCUGCUUUGCAGAUGAUUCUGCUUAAACGCGGACAAAACCAAGUAAGUGAAGUCAUGGCAGAAGCACUGUUCUACAUGCCACACAGGCACGGUCGUGAUUCCACAGUAAUACCUGUUUGGUCCAUCACAAAGUAGGUGUCGUGCAGUGAUAACAGACGCACAGUCUUACAGGCACAAGAGGCACGAACACCUCUGUAUUGUAAAAUAUCUUAGGUAACAAGUUAUUUGGAUAGGCACGGUCGUCACAUCACACGUGACUGCGUGUUCCAGGUGAUUUUAUUCGCUCGCUCUAUUCACAAAAGGAAAUCCAAACUUACAGGCGGUGCACAAAAACAUUAAAACUUGUUAGUUUUUGAGCUGCUGAAUUGCUUCCCGACUCAAGAGCACAAAAACAGGUUCCUGAUAACAUCACAGACAGUGCAUAAAGUACAAGCUGGAAAUCCAAACUGGAAAGCGCACAAUAACACCUAUCUUUGACUGGCGGAUAACCGUUUUCAACAUUCACAAGUCAAUGGAUCCGGCAAAUCCAUGAUUGGGCACUGGUUUGUCCAGAUGUGUACUUUUAAAUCCAAGUUCAUAUGCCUACAAUACCCUGACAAUAUAAGACGAGCACGUCUAGAAGCCUUGUUGCACUAGUACAGAACCUGCAUUUAGUGCCGGUUCGUGACGGGCUUUAGUGCCAGUUCGCCAACCGGCACUAAAGAGUGGGGACUAAAGGUCCCCUCCCUUUAGUACCGGUUCGUCACGAACCGGCGCUAAAGGGCCACCACGUGGCACGAGCCAGGCCCGUUUGCGUGGAGGGCAUUAGUACCGGUUGGUAACACCAACCGGUACUAAAUGUUUGGGUGUUUUUUUUAAUUUUUCUUUAAUUUUGUGUUUUCAAUUUAAUUUAGUGAUUGUUUUACAUUAUAAUGAGUUGUUAAAUCAUUAGGUGAAAGUACCGCGGAUUAGUUUCGACUGGAUGCAUUAUUGGAUAUCUCUACUAGCUAGCUAGAGUAUAUGCCAUAUCCAUAUUAUACUUGAUCAACUAUAAUAUAUAGGGAUAUGGCAUAUACUUGAUCACUUAGGUAGGAUCCAUCCAGCUGAAACUAAUCUGCGGUUUCUUUCAUUAAAUGAUAUAAUAAUUAACUAGCUAUCUUAUCACCACCAACACUACUAGCUUAAAGAAGAAACAUUCACUUGUACCAGAAGCUAAAAUAUUAUCGAUCGAGUUCAACAUGAUUGUCAUGAUAUUAUAAGCAUUCAUAUAUAACACCACAAAAGCAAAUCACUUAAGUUUAGAACGAAGAACACGGACAUGAAAGGACAAGUACUAAUUAAGAGCAGCAUGAAGAACUAGCUAGAUCACUCCUGCUAGCUACUCUCUCUCUGGUAAAAUAGCAUAGAACAUGUAUAGCUCUCCUGAUUGAUCAUACUGGAGCAUGCCGAUGAACCUGUCUCCUAAUCGUGGGCUGCGCUUCUCAUUGCUGCCCCCUAGUACUUCUCUGUGAUCAUUAACAAUUUUCCUCCAAUCUUUCACUAUUAAGCAUUCAUCGCUUCUAGAAAUCCUGAAUGCAUUCAUGUGCAAUGCAGGAUAUCUUGGCCGUAAGCUAACAAUUGACAUCUGACCUUUAGUGUCGAUCCCCUGAUGCACAACUGUCAUCGGGAGUCCCUCUUGAAUAACAUUGUAUAGUACUUAAUUAAUAUACUUAGCAAUGAAAGUUUAGCAAAAAAAUUAUGUAUGCAAAAUAUGCACUGAGGACAAAUAGUAAAUAUCUUACCAUCAUUCCUAAAUAGAUGUGACCGUAGUUCAAUACCAUCACUAUUGGUCGCACGUUUUGAGUACUAACAUUUCUAAGUGCAGGAAGAAAAUUUGUCUUGACAGUAUGAAGAUCCUCAAGCCAUGAAACAUAAUGACUUAUCUCCUCACAGUUUAGUUCAGCUCCGGGAUAGUAGUAGGUCCUGUCUACCAAGCGUCGGACAUGUUUGGUUGAAUGGAGAUAAGCUAUCAAUAGAAAUUAGUUGUCAGUUAUUUUUGAAUAAGCAAUAUCAAAGACAAAAAUAUAGUUGAGAAGAACUCACAUAAUGGUAGAACUGGAGGCGUCUGCACAUCGACCCAUAUGUCUCUAUUACCUUCAAUAUCAUCUUCCGGACGAAUAUCAAAGGUGAUAACCAUACCAGGCUCAAAUGCAUAAGCCUUGCAUAGUGCUUGCCAAGUUUUGCAUUUAAAAUAGGUGUACGUGUGUGCAUUGUAUACUUUGACGUUGAAAGUAUAACCAUCAUCCUCAGUUUUCAGGUAAGCUCUCUUUACCUCCAUAGUUUCCAUAUCUUUGAAACCUAUCUUAUCCAAGACAAAAAUUCUUGCAUGGCAGGGGAUGCGCUAGUAGAAUAGUGAAAUUAAAAAUUAUAAGUCGGGCAAAUGAAGCAUAUAUAAGUCAUGCUUAAUUAUGAAAACAGACUUGUCAUUGUGACUUACUGUAUCGAAUUCAAAAGUCUCAUCCAGCUUGAUGCUGAACCGCCUACCAUCAACAAGGAAAUUUCUGUCGCACUGGCCGCGCUGGUCUUCACAGUAUUCGCACAUAAUGAAAUGUUUUCCGUCGUCAGACGACAUUUCCUAUGUUCAUAUUAGGCGAAACAUUAAACACUUACUAAUUCAAUUAAUUCAACUACUUCUAUUAAUUCAACUAAGCAUUUACUAAAAAUAAACUAGUUAUAUUAAUUCAAUUAGUUCAAAGCAUUUAGUAAAAAUAAACUAGUUCUAUAUAUAUAUUAAUUCAACUAGUUCAACUAAACAUUUACUAAAAAUAAACUAGUUAUAUUAAUUCAACUAGUUCAAAAUAAGCAUAUACUAAAAUAAACUAGUUCUAUAUAUUAAUUCAACUAGUUNNNNNNNNNNNNNNNNNNNNNNNNNNNNNNNNNNNNNNNNNNNNNNNNNNNNNNNNNNNNNNNNNNNNNNNNNNNNNNNNNNNNNNNNNNNNNNNNNNNNNNNNNNNNNNNNNNNNNNNNNNNNNNNNNNNNNNNNNNNNNNNNNNNNNNNNNNNNNNNNNNNNNNNNNNNNNNNNNNNNNNNNNNNNNNNNNNNNNNNNNNNNNNNNNNNNNNNNNNNNNNNNNNNNNNNNNNNNNNNNNNNNNNNNNNNNNNNNNNNNNNNNNNNNNNNNNNNNNNNNNNNNNNNNNNNNNNNNNNNNNNNNNNNNNNNNNNNNNNNNNNNNNNNNNNNNNNNNNNNNNNNNNNNNNNNNNNNNNNNNNNNNNNNNNNNNNNNNNNNNNNNNNNNNNNNNNNNNNNNNNNNNNNNNNNNNNNNNNNNNNNNNNNNNNNNNNNNNNNNNNNNNNNNNNNNNNNNNNNNNNNNNNNNNNNNNNNNNNNNNNNNNNNNNNNNNNNNNNNNNNNNNNNNNNNNNNNNNNNNNNNNNNNNNNNNNNGGCGACGAUGACGACAGGCGGCUGGGGCGGCGAGGGCGACGGCACGGUGGCGCGACGGCAUCGGCGUCGUCGAUAUCGAGACUUGCGCGCGCGCGAGAAGUGGAACGAAUUAGUGGCGACGAUAACUGAUUUUUUGUAAGUAUAGUAUAUAUAGGAUGGGCCUUUAGUACCGGUUGGUGGCUCCAAUCGGUAGUAAAGGUCAAUUUUGGCCAGCCCAAGCGGCGGGGAACGAGGGCCUUUAGUACCGGUUGGUGGCUCCAACCGGUACUAAAGGGCAACACAUUAGUACCGGUUGGAGUCACCAACCAGUACUAAUGCCCGUGCGCUGCCACCCGCAGUGCGCUACGUUUAGUCCCACCUCGCCGAGCGAAGGGCAACCGCAUUGGUUUAUAAACCCAGCCGCGACUGCCCUUUCGAACUCCUCUAUAUAGCAGGCUUCUGGCCCUAACUAGGGCGCGCUGCCCUAUGAGCCUGCUGGCCCUACUGGGCAUGUAUUUGCACACCCAAGGUCUGGCAGGCCCACCGGGCAGCGCCCCAACAUUUUUUUAUAAUUUUUUUCUUUUCUGCAUCAUUUAUUUUCUUCUAUUUAUUUUUGAGUAAUUUUUUUAUAUAGUUAUUUCUUUUCUGCUUUAUUUUUUUCUUCUAUUUAUUUCUGAGUAGAUUUUUUUGCUGUAUUUAGUUUCUUUGNNNNNNNNNNNNNNNNNNNNNNNNNNNNNNNNNNNNNNNNNNNNNNNNNNNNNNNNNNNNNNNNNNNNNNNNNNNNNNNNNNNNNNNNNNNNNNNNNNNNNNNNNNNNNNNNNNNNNNNNNNNNNNNNNNNNNNNNNNNNNNNNNNNNNNNNNNNNNNNNNNNNNNNNNNNNNNNNNNNNNNNNNNNNNNNNNNNNNNNNNNNNNNNNNNNNNNNNNNNNNNNNNNNNNNNNNNNNNNNNNNNNNNNNNNNNNNNNNNNNNNNNNNNNNNNNNNNNNNNNNNNNNNNNNNNNNNNNNNNNNNNNNNNNNNNNNNNNNNNNNNNNNNNNNNNNNNNNNNNNNNNNNNNNNNNNNNNNNNNNNNNNNNNNNNNNNNNNNNNNNNNNNNNNNNNNNNNNNNNNNNNNNNNNNNNNNNNNNNNNNNNNNNNNNNNNNNNNNNNNNNNNNNNNNNNNNNNNNNNNNNNNNNNNNNNNNNNNNNNNNNNNNNNNNNNNNNNNNNNNNNNNNNNNNNNNNNNNNNNNNNNNNNNNNNNNNNNNNNNNNNNNNNNNNNNNNNNNNNNNNNNNNNNNNNNNNNNNNNNNNNNNNNNNNNNNNNNNNNNNNNNNNNNNNNNNNNNNNNNNNNNNNNNNNNNNNNNNNNNNNNNNNNNNNNNNNNNUCUUCUUCUUCUUCCUCCUCUUCUUCCUCUUCUUCUUCUUCUUCUUCUUCCUCCUCUUCUUCUUCUUCUUCUUCUUCUCCUCUUCUUCUUCUUCUUCCUCCUCUUCUUUCUCUUCUUCUGCUUCUUCUUCCUCUUUUUUAUAUAUAGAGUUCAGUGAAGACCAAAUGCUUGUGAUAGUUCGAAAAUAACAUAUUUAAAUUAUGCAUCUGAACGCAGAAAAAAUACAUUGAUCAGUACCGCCUUUCAGCUAAAACACGCGCUACUGCUACAUAGAAGUACAUAUAAAAAAUACAUUGAUCAUCAACGAUCUUUUUGUAUAGAAUCUAAAUCGUCAAUAGGAAUCUAGCACCGAUUUAAGAACCGGCGAAGACUCCUAUUGCAGCCACAGAUCCUGCACAUAGAGUUCAAUGAAGACCAAAUCCUUGGGAUGGUUUGAGAAGUAACAUACUUAAGGUGGUCAAAUUCUUGUUAGGGGAGCGAGGUGGGACUAAAAAUAGCGCCUGCCACAACCUAUUUAGUACCAGUUCGUGCCACGAACCGGUACUAAAGGUGUUGGCCGGGCACCAGCAUCUUUAGUACCGGUUCGUGGCACGAACUGGUACUAAAGAUUCCCAAAGAACCGGUACUAAAGGUCACCUCCCGCCAAGUCAUUUGAACCGGCACUAAUGGGAGCAUUAGUGCCGGCUCAUAUGCCAACCGGUACUAAUGUUUCACAUAUUAGGUCCUUUUUCUACUAGUGUUGCCCCAUUGAAGCGCCUCUUCUUGACGUUUAUAAAAUCCUUCGGUGAUGUUGUCUGGGGGGAGAGAAAAUUAAGCCUCGUAGUCUCUAACUCCUUUGCAUUCAGAAUAAAGAACGUUACAAAUUCAAUGUUUUUGUUGCAGUGUACAUAUUUUUCCAGCGUUACUGUCUUCAGACGAAUGUCAUGCUGUUUGAGAAACACCCGGUGCUUGUGGCGCCACUUGUUUGUUACACCUUCCUCACGGCAAACUCCUCCCUGGAAAUGCAUAAAGAGUGAGAAUACUUGAGGACUACAAUGGGAAAGACAGGCCUCCAAUAUAGUACACUAUGCAUUGUUUGUGCUUUCGAUGCGUUUGGAAAUCAUUUUACCUCGAUAAACAAGUUCUCUAGGCUAGGAAAGCAUCUCAUCAAGGCAACAACCUUGUUCAGAUUUAAUGACAUGUGGAUAAGCAGGGUCUUCACAGAUUGAACUGCCAUUGAUAGGCUGACUACAGACAAAGCCUGCACCAAGCACAUAUCAUAAAACUAGAUGGAUAAAAGUUUACAUGGCAUGAAAUUCGGGCAGUGGAACGAAUGCAACUAAAGAGUAUAUAGUGCAAAAGGUGAGUACCUCGAUAAUUGUAGAGCCAAAAACAAUCUUGGAUUCAGGAGAUCCUUCGUAAAAAUUGCCCAGACACUUAAGUUUAGGUGCAGAGAAGACAAUUAUCUGCAAUUGCCGGCUCUGAAUAUCGUGAAUCAGUUGUUUAAGUGAGGGCGCAUCCUCAACAAUGAGUUCACCAUUCUCACAAAGGAUACAUAUGAGUUCAACUUUGGCUGAGUUUAUUCUGAUGCAGUGGUCUAGGUUAUUGCAAACAAGCAGGAGCCACUUGAGGGCAGGCAACCAUGGUUGAUUAUGGUUUGCAGUGAGACAUCUGAUAUAUCAACCUCCAAAAAUGAAAGCCUCUUAAGCAGUGGAAGUUUGAACGAUGGUGCAUACUCAUCAGGUAUCUGGAAAAGAGCAAAUGUGACAGUGUGCAGCGAGGAAAACAGCAACGUGGAAGUCGGUGGCGAGGCCGCGGACGAACAGAAUUUGUGCGGUAGUGUGAUGGCUUUUCCCACGAAUUGUGGGAACAUGUAGUAGAACUGGAGAACCUGCAGAUUCUUCAGUCUUGGGGAUCGAAGCCAGGCGUCGACUGUAGAGGGUCUGCAGUGGAGGUAGCACGCGGGAAUGCAGAGGCGAUGGACUGCGCCCCCAUGGGCGGAGAGGAUUGUUUCCGGAAGGCACGAACCACCAACGUCAGGCUGAAAAUUGCACCGAGUUCCAAAAUAUCUAAUGUGAAUGACAUCCUUGCUGGGGAGCAUCGAGACUACGUCGAUAUGAACUAUUUCUAGAGGCUUAAAAAGACGACCGACAGGGAUCUCACUGCAGUCAAGAUUCAGAGGAGUGGCGCGCCACAGAGGGCACCACCGACGUGCGAGGAUUUGAGUGCGGGUGCCUUCCUUGGUGGACAGACGGGAGAUGAUCUCACCGAGGACACAGUCCGGGAGGUCGCAGAUGUGGUCCGGGCAAGACUCCUGCUUCUCGGAACCACUGAGCGGCCCCGCGCUGCUUCUGGCCGCCACCGCCAUGCCGCCAGAGGACAAAGUUUCUGGUGGCCCGAACCUCGUCUUCUUGUUGCUCGGGGCACCUCACCGGAUCUCCAUCCCCGUCUCCGUUGCUGGAUUCGCGCCGCCGGAUCCCUGUGAGCACCGCUAUAUAUGGUGUGGAUCUGAAAAACUACUAGGUCUUCACUACGCGCAGAUCCGGCGUGUGAGGAAAGGAGGGGAGGGGACGUCGACCAAUUGGACGACAACUAUAAAUUAUAUCUUUCCUUCACUGUUGCGGUGGAAAACAAAAGAACGGUCAUUUUCCUUCACUAUUGCGGAAGAAAACAUACACAGGCACGGGUGGACAGCCCAACAAAUCAUGGUGUGGUAUUAUAUAGAGUCAUGUCCGCUUGGGUGUGUGUUCCGAAUGAUUCCGUCGACUCAUUCAAAUGGAGAGGCACGAAUGUUUGGGCUCAUAGGCAUGAGCAUGCAACGCUCAAGGGCAUGGUCCGUGGUGUUACAUAGAAUCAUGCUCGCCUGUCACUCGAUCAGACAGAGAUGCACGGGCGUUUAGCCCACAGAACUGAACCUUUGUGUUACGCAGAGCCAUGGGCGCUUACUCUGUGAGGCACGGAAUGCCCUACGUCAGAGACGCAGACUCCUUAUAUUUAAAAGCAUGGACGUGAAUUCCAUAAGGACACGGCUCCGUAUUGAGUCGCGUAAUGCUUCUUUCCUGUUCUACUUAUAUUAUUCGAUAAAGGCAUGGACAUUCGUGCAUGUCUGUGUUUUAGGGUCGCAAGCACGGGCAUAAAGCGCUUAAAGGCAUGGAGAGCUAUUAUAUAUAGACACGCACAAAGAUUUUCUAUUUGUAUUCCGAUGGCUCGGUGGACUCGGUCAGAAGAAGAGGCACGCACGUGACGACCACGGAGGCAUGGGCAUGUAUGUGCGUUUAUUAUAGAAACCUAACAGAAUCGGGUUUAUAUGUCAACACUUUCUGCUUACUCUGUGAGACACGUAACAGCCCAUUCGAGAGACAGAAAGGGGCACACGUUUAUUGGCGCAUUUCCACAUGACUGGCGACUAUGACAUAAAGCAGCAUAAACAUAAAAAGACAGAAAGGUAGACUGAUUUCAUCAGUUGCAAGCUCCUUCGUGGCUCCUCAAGGACAACAAAGACAAACAAAGCGUACAAACAGUGCAAAUAGAUCAACAGUUGUUCGACAAGGUUUACACAAAACGCGAACUCCAAAACUUCAAGACAAUAAGACACUCCCAAGAACAUGAGCAACCAUCUCAAGACCUAUUCUUCAGCAUGAACAUCUGAAUGGAUCCGUCAAAUCGAGAUAUUCAACACUCCUAUUUUGUAAAUACUGAUGCACGUGGAAGCAACUUGGUAAUAAUCGAAGACGACCAUGUUUAGAAGCUUUAUUGUGCCACUUCAGAACCCUUUGUUGCUCCUCGUAAAAUACUUCUGUGAACUCCGCUUGAGGGUACACAAACUUAAUGUCAAUGCUAUCCAGAUACUUUGCACAUAGAACAAAGAACGCCGCAAAUUCCUCGUUACCCCGGCAAGAAAAAUAAUCUUCCAGUGUUACUGUCUUCACACAAAUAUCGUGAUGUUUGAGAAACUGCCGGUGCCUACGACGCCAUACGUUUUUUUCAGAACAAAGCGUCGACCGUCCCUAAAAAAUACAUGAAAGGUUGAAAAUACUUAGCGUCCAUAGAAAAAGAUAUGUAUGUAUGUAUGUAUCCACUUAAGUCAACUUUAACAUAAACAUUUUUAAAUGGAAGGAGAACUACAGUAUGCACAUUUCUCAAGAUCAUCACCUCGACAGACAAGUUCUCCAUUUUUGGAAAGCACUGCAGCAAUUCAACGACAAUGUCCACCUUAUAAUCCAUCUAGAUGAACAAGGUCUUGACAGAUUGCCACAUUGUUGUAAGACUGACUGCCCCAAAAUGCUUUAUAAAAAUUAACAGAAGAUACAUCACAAAACUAAUAGAUUAAAGGUUGGACGAAAUAAAACUGGUUUCCUCUCAAACAAGAUGAAGCUGCAAGUAUUGUCAAAACUCAAUACCGCAAGACAUGUGAGACGACGUGGAUACGGAUCAGGUGCAGAGACACCGGUUACCUCCAAAUUAUCACCCUGCAUAAAGCAAAGAACAUAUUACAACAAAUUAAUGGAACUAACAUCGGAACAAGUCAUCACCCUGCUCUAGAAUCAGGUAAAGUCGGUACCUCAACAAGUGCGGGUGCAAACACGAACGCGAAUUCACCCAGCAUCCCCAGUUUAGGUGCAGAGACAACAGUAAUCGAACAGUGGUCGUCCUCUUUAUCGCGGAUCAACCGUUGAAACAAAGGCGCAUCCUCAAUAAUGAAUUUUCCGUAGUGACAACAAAUGCCAAUGCUUACAAGGUUAUACGUGUUUAUUGUGAUGCGACGAACUUCCCCACUGAAAAUAAGCAGCAGAGACUCAAGUGCAGGGCAACUAGAGUGGACUAUGCUUUGAAGCGAGACCUCUGAUAUAAGAACUUCCACAAGCGAUAGUCUUUUCACCAGCGGUAGCUUAAGCGUCCCUGCAUAAUUGUCUGGUAUAUGGCAAAGAGCAAAGCCGAGUGUGUACAAAGAGGAGGAAAACCUAAACACGGACUCCGGCGCUGAGGGCACGAUGAAUUCACCCAGUGGUGUGACCUCUUGCGCCGCGAAUCCUGGGAACAGAUAGUAGAACUCAAGAAUCUGGAGACUGUUGAGCUUUGACGAUCGGAGCCAGGCAGCAAUGAUGGCAGGUCUGCACCGCAGGUAGCACGCCGGGAUAGAGAGGCGGCUUACUGAGUCGGGAUGACUGGACAGGAUGAAUUCCAGAAGACUGACAACAUUAACGACAGAAUAUUGAGAGCACCGAGUUCCGGUAUAAAAUCUGAAGACGGCCUCGGUGACGGCGGACAGCUUCAAGAGGAUGGCAAUAUGAACUAUUUCUCCAUCAUUAAAAAGACGGGCAAGAGAGAUCUCGCGAUAGUUGAGAUUCAAAGGAGCGGUGAGCCAUAAAGGAUGCCACCUACGAGCGAGGAUUUGAGUACGGAUGCCAUCCUUGAGGGGGAGACGAGAGAUGAUCUCACCUAGGACGGCGUCCGGGAGGUCGCUAAUGAGGUCCAGACGAGACCCCUCUUCUUCAUCCUUGGAUCGAGGAAGAGCACACUUGCCGCUUCCCUCCCCUAUGGCGACAAACACACCACCAAAAGGCGGCGGCACCGACGGCACUACUCUCACCCUCUUGGAGCUAGGAGUAGACAUUCCAUCUCCAUCUCCAUCUCCAUUGCAGGGGUCGCACCACACACGACAAGUGCUCAGUGAGGUGGAUCUAGAAAAAUGGAUUAUAACCUGUCCACCCACGAAACAACUUUGUAGAUGCCUGCUUGAAACAUUAAAUACAGUCACGGCUUUGAUUAUGCGAGAUGCACUAUUGAACAGGCAGACCAGGCAGGGGUGGGCAGCACACAAAGACAUACAUACAUUUACUCCGUGUUUUAAUUUUUUACGGCACAUACAUACAUUAAAAGAAUUUGUUCCACGCCGGAAGCACGGGUGGGCAGCACACAAAGACAUCGUGUGAUGUUAUAUAGAGUCAUGUUAGCUCGUGUCUGUGUUCCGAACGAUUCCGUCGACUCGUUCAGAUGGAGAGGCACGUACGUGAACCAGUGGAGGCAUGUUGUGGUAUUACAUAGAGUCACGUACGAGCGUUUACUACAGAAACACAACGGAAUUGGAUUCAGAUGUGAACCCUCACAGUUUACUUUCUGAGACAAUGAAUGGACGAUCCGAGAGACACUGUCCUUAAAAGCACGGGCAAGAACUCUGUACAACCACGGUUCUGUACCAAGGAGCAACUGUCAAACACAUAGAAGUGAAGCAAAGAGGGCACGCUUUUAGUAAUAGAAGAAGCACUCUAUCGGCUGGUGUUGCUUCUUUUUCAGGCACACAGUAGGAUGGCUGUGGAAGGCAUGCUUUUCAGGUAGAGAACGAACGUCACGAUGCCACGACAAGGUGAAAUCAUGGUUGUGCAGAUGCACUGUUGAGCAGUCACGGCUUUGAUUAUACAAUAUGCACUUUUGAACACGCAGACCAGGAACGGGUGUGCCCCUCCGAGUUUUAAUUUUUUACGACACAUACAUGCAUUAAAAGAAUCUGUUCCACGCCGGAAGCACGGGUGGGCAGCACACAAAGGCAUCGUGUAGUAUUACAUAGAGUCAUGUAAACUAGUGUCUGUCUUCAGAACGAUCCCGUCGAUUCAUUCAAAUGGAGAGACACGGGACGUAAACACGCAGAGUCAUGGUGUGGUAUUACAUAGAGUCACGUCCGUGUGUUUACCAUGCAACCAUGAGAGUCACGGUUGAACAUUCACCAGUGGCAUGACCGUGGCUGCUCGUGCCCUUCGGUUAUUUUUAUCUCUCUGUCCUGCAACAGAGAAGCAUGCUUGUAUGCUUACAACAUCCACGUUUAGAAACCAACGCGGCUGCGGAAAAUAACAAGGAAACAUGUGCCUCUGAUAUUUUUCUCCACCGAGUAAAAAUACAUAAAGAAACAAAAGGCGUUCUUAUUUAAAUUUGUUUUCUUUCUAUGACUGCAGCAAAUUAAGUUACAAGCCGUUCAUAUAACCACACAAUGAGAAAAUAAACAAUCGACACCAGCCCGCCCUCCACACCAAUCACUUGCUAUUUCAUGUGCAGCCUUGUUUUUGAAUGUUCAGCGAUCCAUUCUUCCUUCUCGAUACUUGUGCAACCCCACGAUUCUACAUACCUAUUCAACCUAUUUGCCUGCAAUAUUAACAUUCAUACAUAAAAACAAAGCAAAAGAUUGCGGUCAUCACUGUUUUUUGCUUACGCCCUGUUUACGCUGCAUUAUUAUCUUUUAAUUUUUCUUUUCGUACUGCUCUCCGGUACCAAAAAGUCUCCACUCAUACCUUUCCUUUCUAAAAAUGGACUGCGCAGAUUCCGUGCCUUGUCACGGGCUUCCCUGCACGCAUUCUGUGUGCCUGGCUUGUGUGAUGUUCGAUUCUGGCGUAGAUGCAAGACUUUGGUAAAUGCUCCCUGCUGCCAGUGGGGUCGUUGGAGUUGUUGGCGUCUGAUGUCUUCCUCCUGGGCUUGGAGUGCAUUGUCCUGAGCCGUUUGAUGUCCUCGAUGGUGUUGUCGGUGUUGUCGGCCAUUUCAUUGACCUUGCCCUCUUCUCCUGCUGCGAUUUCCUCUUCUCAUCUUCAAUCCUCAUCUUCUCAUGUACUUCUGGGUUAUCUGGGCAGUUUGUUUUCCUGUGACCUUUUUCUCGACAACGACUGCACUUGGAUACGGCUUUGUUGCCUUUUCCUUUCCUCUCAGAACCAGCUUUGAUUCGAUCUCCUUUUUUCAUGCCCUUUGAGCCACUCAUGGGAGGGUUCUUGAGAGUUUCGGCAAGAAUGCCUGUGUCUGGUUCCUCAGCAAGUGCCGCCAUGACUUUUAUUUUCAUAUCUACCAUACACUCACGCAGAACACUAUAUGCCUUCUCUUUUCUGCAAGCAUUUGAACAGAUAUCCGACAACUCAGCGUAAGCAAGGCCGAAUCUCAUCGUUUCAUCAUCUUGUACAGUCAUACUAUCACCUUGACUUGUAGACAGAACUUUCAGACUCUCUGAUAGAUUCCUGGUCCAUCUGGGGAUGACAAAGGGUUUUGGAAGUUGAUCGAUCAUGCCUGUUUGGUCCAUCACCUUAAGCACAUGGCAGCACUGGAUUCCAUCCCUACUCAUUUUCUUGUAGCUGCAACUGUAUAUUUCUUUUUGCUCAUCCACAUCUACCCUGAACUCAGACCUCUCAAAUUCCUCGCCCGGAUAUGGUUUCCACACUUUUUCUCCAGGCUCAGUAAUCCUUUUUUAAAAAUACUGCCUCCCCUUUGCCAGGUCAGAGCACUUGAAGUAAGUCCAGUUCCGUAGCUCCAGCUGGAAUUUUCUGAAAAUUUCAUUGGUGUAUACUUGACUUGCCUGUCUUUCAAUCGGAAAACCCGUCUCUAGUGAUGGCGCCUUCUCUUCUGUUCGGUGUCUUUUCUUGUCGAGCGUGGCGAGGCAAUUUUGCUGAAUCAUGUGAUACGCAUCAACAAACCUUUUUAUAGUGUCAUUGUGGUCGAUGUAAUUCUUCCGCAUCGAAUUCGUGCUCUCACUGCGAGUGGUUGUUGACGAGAAAGGAUAGAAGCAGUCCUUGAAGUAAGCCGGCACCCAAAAAUUUUGGAGUUCCCAUAGCGUGUUCAGGUGUUUGUUGCCUUCCGCCUUGUGCACAGAAAUUGCUGCUUUCCAGGCAUGCUCAAACUUGUCUUGAUUUAGUGAGUUUUUGAUGAUUCAAAAUAAAUCAUCAGACAUCCCUGGGUGCUGCGCAAACACUACUGCAUUAUUUUCCUUCAGGUUCUUCCUAAUAUGCCACCAGCAGAACAUGUGCCUCGUUCUCGGAAGAGCUUCCUUUAUUGCAGUCUUCAUCGCCUGGUCCUGGUCUGUUAUUAUGUAUUUCAGCUCUUUACCUCCCAUUGCCUUGACAAACGUGCUUAGGAGCCACUUGAAUGACCCUAUUUUCUCAUCUUUCAAAAGGCCUAGUCCAAACAGGAUAGACGACCCAUGGUUGUCGACACCUAUAAUUUGUGCAAAUGGCAAGCCAUAUAUAUUCGUAGAGAAUGUCGUGUCAAAAGACACGAAAUCUCCAUAUAGAUCAUAAUUCAUCUUGCACAAGGAGUCUGUCCAAAACAGGCUCCGCACUACAUUGUUCUCUGUCUCUUCCACAUGGUGGAAUCCCGGCCUCCGCCUCUGCAUAUCGGCAAGCAGUUUCAUGGUGUCCUCGAUAUCAGUGCCAUGCUCUCCAGCCCUGUCACGGCAUGCAAUAUUGCUUAUGUCAAUCGUGUUGAACAUAAUUUCUCGCCUCGGUGUCCCCAUGGUAGCAAAAAUCUGCAUAACCUUCCUCGGUUCUAACCUCACCUUCUGCAGCACUUGUAUAAAGAAUUUCUCCUAAGGUGUCAUCUUCUUAUAGCAUCUCAUGAACUUCAGCAUCCAAUCUGAUGGGUGAAGUUGGUGGUUGUGCUCUAGGCGCACGUUCUUCAGAUACCAUUUCCUCCUAUCUGCAUCCCUCUUGGCGGUUAUUUGGACUAGGCAGCUUGUCCGGAUCAAGCAAUUGCUCCUUCUCUCCUUAACAUGUCUCUCAGUUGUUUUAUUCUGCCCUUCCUUGGUGCACUGAAACACCUGCUUGUCAAGCUGCUGAUCAUAUGUCGAUCUUCUGCUCGUUGAUCGCUUGGCAGCAAAGCCAACCUUUCUCGCAUAUCUGCAGAAGAAGAAAAAGCACUCAUCCAAUGAUCCAAAUACCAUACCACCCUCUGGUUCGAGCGCUUCGGUGACCUCCUGAAUCGUUGGGUAUAUGCCUUCUUUGAACAUGUCAUCCAUUUCUUUCUCUACAAUGGUCGGCGGUGCCAUUUUGAUUCUAUCUACCGUGUCUUCGUUCGUCUGAUCGCAUUCACUUCUGACGACACCGGUUUCAUCGCCAGCCACAGGUCCACUUAUAACAGAGCUGCUGCUGCUCUGUUGUUUGUCACACGCAGCAGCGUCGUUUCUGCAUGGCACAGACAAAUCCAUGAAUGACUCUGCCUCUCCACUGUCGCAUUGUGCAAUGCUGCUCCCUGUUUCUCCGGCACUCGUGCAACCAAGGGACUGUGUUACUUCUACAAUGCAAUCCGUGCUGGCGCUGCAUGCUACUUGCUGCUCUGAACGCUGCGUUCCUUUCGAAAUGGAUGGAGAAAUAUGAUAUUUCUUUGCCUCAUCUGUUAUCCCCUCCGCCAAAUGCUGAACACAUAGCACGAAACAGAAUUAGAUACCUAGAGCAGCAUAUGCGUUUUUUUUUAAUUUCUAAUAAGCGGUACACCAGAGGCACUGUUCACAUUACACCCAGCAGCACGAAUGUGACCAUGCUACACACACAUCUGGACAAAGAGGCACAGAUGUGCUUCUGCUUACACCAUACAACCGGAGAGGCACAACAACAUCCUAUACAGCUGCAUAUACAGCCGCACCAGACGGACAGUCAUCCUAAUGUUUUACACUUUACCCUGUUCUUCCAUAAAACUGUUUGUGCAUUGAAUUGAAAAAGCAUAGUUUUGAUGUCACCUUUGUUUUCCCAUGCCUCUCUUGUCCAGCAAAUCUUGGCGACAACCUCCGUGCAUUGCUAAUUUCGCUAACUAUUCUGAAUGCCAUCGGAGAUCCUUUGGAAGGACCCCUCAUGUUGAACGCUGCAGGUGAUCCUUUCAGAGGACCUUGUCUUAUGUUUUCAUCGAUCCGUGGACUACCACGAUACUUGCUUCCUUGCUUGUACACCUGCGUGUGCAAGAUACUACAAUUUAAAUAUACCACACAAAAACAAAGAAAAAAUUGGUCACAAAAAAAUAUACAUUUGCUUUAAAUGUUGUUGCACGUCCGUAUUUGCUGUCACCUGUAUUGCUUUCUGGUGCUGCUGAAUAGUAAAGUUUACUCGUCCUAUGUUUGAUUUUGUCGUUGGACUCUUCUUGCCUGCGCAGACCGUACCGAAUCCAUGAACACUAAUGCUUUUGUUGCCAAUGAUCCUUCUGCUUGCAUCAAGGCAAAUUCUGUUACCAUGUACCUCUUCAUUAUGACCGCCAUCAAACGCUGGGGCAUCACAACGCCCGCUCUGCACCUUUGUGGACAACUGUGUCUUGAAAGCAAAAAAUAAUUAGAGGCACGUGAGAGUAUUACGAAGAAUUAGCACGUAAAACUUCCACGUACGUUCAAAACCAGCGUUUGAAGUUUUCGUCGUUACCUACACAAUCUGCUUAGUGGAGUCUCUGGUGCUUAGAAUGGUCCUCUUUGUAGGUGUCUGCUGCACAACAUGCUCCUGGUUGGGACGUUUGCCAAGAACUUGUAUCUCACUCCUGACUCCAAUUACUCCAGCCUGCAUAGCAUGUGCGUGUUUGACAACAUCUGCAUCCUUCAUCUUCUUCUCAUUUUGUAGUGAUUUUUUUCUUCCACCUCUCUAUACUCAACUACAGAGUAGAUGCAUAGGAUAAACAGAUAUUACAGCAUUCAUCCAGGAUAUAUUAAUCAUUUUUGUUCUUCUUAAUGAUCUACUAAUUGGUGUUCUCAGUGGUAGCACCUUGACAGCAAACGUCACAGAAAUAAAAGACCAAACCCUAAUGUUCAACUGCCUUGCUAUUACCUACCUCCCAUAAUCCUUGCCGAUGUCGUUCAAAGACCGGCCGUCCCUGUUAUCCUGACUAGAUGUCGAACUCCUGAACAUCUUCCCGAAAAAGUUAUAAACCCGCAGUAUUAGUGUUGAAAAUUUUCAAAGUCGAUCUCAAUCUUUCUUACUAACGUACUACACUUAGCACGCAACAGAGAUAUAUUUAUACUUCUAUAUAAUUGAACUCACACCUUUCUACUAACCUUUGAUUGCCGAAUCUUAUGCGCUGAUUAUUCGGAACUCACACCUUUCUAAAUUGUGAGGGGAUCUGCUUCCCUGCAGUUUGUCAGUGAUCUCCUUCAAUGAUUUUGAAUCUGGGAGAGAGAGAAAAGAGAAAGAGAGACGGAGAGAGAAAGAGGGAAGGAAAGAGAUAGCCUACUUCGAUUUUUUGCAUGCAGGAGAAGAAUAACCUGAUAGGUGGGGUGAGUUUUGCGACACAUGAGAGAUGCACAUGUUUUUUCAGCGUGACAAGAUGUGGUAGGUCGACUUCACUUGACCGUCAACGAGACUGACAAGUGGGCUCUCAGUUACUAAUUCAUCUAAGUCUCUCACUAACUUGUGGGGUCGGCCUUAUAUGAGUCCUACGAGGAGAACCUCCGUCUGGGGUGAGAAAAUGUGGUAGGUGGACUUCGAAGUCAUACUGACAUGUGGGCUCUCAAAUAGUUCCUCCAAGUAUUUGACUAACUUGUGGGUCGUCCGCAAGAUGAGUUCCAGAUCUUUCUCCAUCUAGCAUCGGUGGCAACAGGCGAGGCAUAUUCUAGCUCUCCAAAGGAAAGCCAAUCCCGAUCCCUCCGCAGACUUUGCUCGUCACUGAAAAUUAUAGGCCUCCUUCAUCUCACUCACCGUGGAUCUCCUGUUCAGGUAAUCCAUUGCAUCAUCACCAUGAUUAUGCCACCGACUCAACGUUUGAACAAAAAAAUUAGCGGUACUAGCAAUUCCGCGGGCUGCGUACACACCGCAUCUGCACAACAUAGCAUGUGGGGCGCGAUUUGAAUAUUGGUUCCGGAUCCAAUUAUCUUCAGCUGGUCCGUGCUCAAACUGUUGCGCCAUCUUAACAGCAGAAGGGUUAUGGAUUUAAAAUUAGGACUCAGCUGACCUGACUUUAAUCAUGCCAACUGCAUACUUGCGCCGUGGUUUUGCUAAGUUGAGUUAUAUCUCCAGCCAUGCAAAACGUAAGCACUCUCGUGACCACAUAUUAUAUUACUUCCAGAGCUCAAUUAAACUGCAGUCAAAAUUCACUAUCCCAAUUGCUAACAUGAGGUCACAGGUCAAAUGAUUGUAUAGAUCCGCAAUCUAUAGCAGAGAUCCAAAGGACUUAUAUCCCUUUUUGCAACUAACUCAGAUUUAGAAACCGUCUUACAUGGACCAAGCUGUUGGUGAUGGUCUCACAUGGACUGCUAACAACUGCCUUACAUAGUUGACCUGUUAACGGUGAUGUCUCGUGACCUCUCAUGUAGAGUUCGAUGAGAUGGGCACCACCCCACAGCUGUCAGAGACUCGGUCCCAGUCUGUCGAUGGCAUAGAGAUUGUCACCCAAGAUUUCAUGGUUCAUGACCAGCUAGAAACAGAGAGACUAAGGAUCGAGUUAAAACGUGCAGCGCACAAAAAGCUUGUUGAGGAGUACAGGGCAAGAAGCAGCUUGCUGCCUCGAAGUAGGUGUCUUUUAUCAUGCAUCUUGCGUGUGUCGUUGAAAUUUCUUUCGAAAUCAAUGCCUCUCAUUCUAGCUGCAUUUUUAAUCACGCCUUAAAUAUUUGUCUCUGUUUUGCUGACUCAGCGUUUGUAUGUAAGCUUGUGCCAGAAAAGCAUGUGGUUCAACAAUACAUUUGCUAAAGGUCGUUUCUUAUCUUUGUCAACAGAGCUGUUAUAAUGGGUGAAUAUGAAGAAGAGUUCAACACAAAACUUAGCUUCCAGAAAUUCAUUACCGUCUGUGAAAAGCUAACAGAACCACAAAAGCAGCUUGUCAGAGAUAUUGGAUUUGGAUACCUUCCAGAUCUGUGCUGUCGCGAGCUUCCAAGGUGUUUCGUUCGCUGGCUUGUCCACUAUUUUGAUUGCCCUUCCAGGUGUUUCAUACUACCUAGUGGAUAGAGAUUCCUCAUCAACUCAUACACAGUGCACCGGAUCUUAGGAAUUCCACUUAGCGGGCAGGUUAUCCCAAGAAAAUGCUCAGAAGCUUUCAGAUGUCAGGUUAAGUCUGAAACUCGGUGUGCUGGGCACGCUCCAAACAUCAGAGAGUUAACUGAUCUCAUAACCCCAGAGCUGACAGGAGAAGUGUUUCAACGUGUUUUCAUGAUGUUUGCAACAGCGGUAUUUCUAUGCCCAACGACAUAUGACUGCGUUACCCCGACUAUUUAGCCGCUCUAGAAGGACCAGCAAGUAACAUACCAUCAUAUGAUUGGUCCAAUGCUCUCACAGAGAAACUGGUGGCAUCACUCCAGACCUUCAAGGAAAAGGAUUCGCAGGCGCCCUGUGUGGCUGCCUCCUGAUUCCAGUGGUUCGUUCACUACCUUGUACAUUUCUUUAUACCCACAAGCAGCUACAAGAACAUGAUUCAUUUUUACCUCUUCCCCACUUGUAGAUAACGUAUUUUGAGUACCUGGAUACGAAGAUUAUGGACCUGGAACCUGACACUCCUGCAAGACUUGUCAUGUGGGACACAGAGGCCAUUAAGAAUUAUGCUAACACAGACAGCCUGUCAACAGAGGACGGAAUUUUUGGGAAACACACGGUGAGUCAACUUUUCAUCAUUUUCCUUUGGCGAAGUUUUCAACUCAACAUAAGGACUUAGCUGGAAUGUAUUACCUUGACUUGACUGUAAUUGUUUCCUUUUCCGCAUGACAGCUGAAAGACAUUAGGCGCACACCUUUCCAACCACCGCAUGGCUUUCAGGCGCCAUUUUUUUAAAUGAGUCCCAGACUAGAAUCCUACAUAGAAGAAUUUGUGCCUCAAGAAAAACUUUGUUCCGUAAGUGAUUUCCAGCUACUGCACUUGAUUUUAUGUUUGAAAUGAUGCUCCCUAAGUUUUUACAAAAAAGAUACAUGUCCUAUUAUGUUCAUCCAGACAGUUUCUUAUAGUACGUUAGCUGUGCUUUUAUGUUAAACUAGAAGUGCUUCAUAUAGGACGAGUGCUCAUCCAGACAGUUUCCUAUAGUAUGUUAGCUGUGCUUUUCUAUUAAAACCAGAAGUGCUUCUAUUAAAACCAGAAGUGCUUCCUACAGGAUGUUAGCCGUGCUUUUGUAUUUAAUAUAGAAGUGCUUCCUAUACUACCUUAGUUGUGCUCUUGUGUUAAAUAUAAAAGUGCUUCCUAUACUGCCUUAGCUGUGCUUUUUUGUGCUAAAACUAGAAGUGCUUCCUAUAGUACGUUAGCUGUGCUUUUGUGUUAAAUAUAAAAAUGCUUCCUACAGAGUCACGUUAGCUGUGCUUUUGUGUUAAACAUAACAGUGCUUCCUACAGGACGUUAGCCGUGCCUUUGUGUUUAAUAUAGAAGUGCUUCCUCUACUACCUUACCGGUGCUUUUGUGUUAAAUACAAAAGUGCUUCCUAUAGUACCUUAGCUGUGCUUUUGUGCUAAAACUAGAAGUGUUUCCUAUAGUACGUUAGCUGUGCGUUUGUGUUAAAUAUAAAAAUUCUUCCUAUAUAGUAUGUUACUCUGCUUUUGUGUUAAACAUAGGAGUGCUUCCUACAGGACGUUAGCCGUGCCUUUCUGUUUAAUAUAGAAGUCCUUCCUAUACUACCUUAGCUGUGAUUUUGUGUCCAAUAUAGCACUGCUUCCCUGCAGCGGUAGGUCAACCAUGCUUCGUACAAUAUGUCCGGUGUGCUCUUUCAAGGAAUGUGUUGACCAUGAUUCAUGGACCUUGUUACCCGCGCUUCCCCACAGCAUAUCAUGUGUGAUUCUACAAUUCUUGACAGAACAUACAAUAGCUCACAAGAUAUUUUUCAUUUUCAGUGUUAGUAACUAAUUUUCAUUUCCGGUAUUAAAAAUUUCUGAUGUUUUAUUUUUUCAAUUAUAGGCCAAGGUGGAAAUUGCAAAAGUUAUCAAUGAAAUGUACACAAAACUUUUCUCGCGGUUUCAACCAGUUCUCAAGCAGAAAUUGGAGAAGCUCCUUUCACUCGGUAGGGAUCUUAGUGCAAAAGAAACGAAGACCAGAGACCGGGGCGUUUAUUGUAACUUGCAACAGGAUAACUCAAAUGAAAAAGAAACUUUUUCAUCAGCCCCUUCAACAUACUCUACGCUUCCAAGUUCUAGCACGACAAGCAGUCAAAGUUCUUCCAGCAGUGGCUCAACCAGUGUCCUUCACGCCACAUCAUACUCCCUGGAAAAUUUAAAGGGUUGCUGCGAUACCCCUGAGCCAGACUCCCAGAAUCCAUACGACAAAGAGCUGUCCCAAAUUCGUCUAUCUUCACAGCUAAAAUCAUCAACUCAGAUUAAGUUGCUACUGGAGGUGAACAGGAUAGACCACAACAGAGAGGACAUUGACGAACAAGCCAAGAUUCAUCUGGACAAAGUGCAUAACCAUCUGCAGAACUGCCUUGAUGGCUUGCCGGUUCAUGAGCCCUUCGUGCCAACGUCUGAGAUGAUCGAGAGUGAGGCAAUCAUAAUGACAGGUGAAAAUUUGUCUGAGUGUUCUGUACGGAUUGAAACCCAAAAUUCUGCUGGAGGAUCUGCAGACCACAACUCUCUGACAAGCCCACUAGAAAAACUCUUGGAGGAAACAUCAAAACAUACUGCAACAGAAACAUCAACCUCGCAUUCUGCGGUUGACAAACAGUUACUGACUGGUCCAAUCUCAACGGAUACAGUUGGAGCACCUGUUCAUCACAUUGGGAAAACGUCACCAACUACUAAACGGUCCAGCGGUUCUGAUAGCGCUCACAAAAAUUCUUCAACCAACACAAAGAGCCUCACUAUAUCCCAACCUGCACAAAAGUUAAACAUUGUCACUAAACAACGUUCUUCUUCACUGCAAGAAGCUAAGGUCCAUCUUGUUUCAAUUUUGAGAGAUGAGAAGACGAUUGCUGAAACUGAACGCACCAGAGCCACUUCCUCCCUUGUACCUAGAGUAGCCAUCACCACUGAUUCUGACAGCGGUUCUGCCACAAUACUGGAUACGAGAAAAGCACUUCCAUCCACUAGUGAUGCUCCAAUCAUUACUACCACGUCUAUCGAUGCGGAAGACAAUAACAUUCUAGAAGAACAUGAACAAUGUACCAAACAACCACGUAUUGAUCCCACAAACAGCGUCCCUCUUACCACAACCGCACAUCCGCCAGAACUGGAAACACAAAUGGCAGCUCACAAAAGGUCCUUACAGCAGUCAGAAGAUCCAGGAAACAAUAAUACGGCACCUCCUAAGAAAAAAGUUAGAAUACUGGAGCCUCCACAUAAUUCAACAGAAACUGCAACCAAUCAGUCUCUACAGCCUGACAACCACAGAAGCCUCCUUGAUGCUGCAUUCAUUCAUGAUGAUGAAAUAUGGUCUGACCCAUCUAUCUAUGAACAAAUUGUCAGAGUCAUUGAAGAAAAGAAGAAGCAACCCUUUCAUAACCAAGUAGCAUCCCAACAAUGCCAACCUGAUACUAUCUCACACUUGACCAAGAAUUCAACCUCAUCAUCCAGAUCUUGCCUUUCUAACUAUGAAGAGCCACAUAUGACCAGCAGAUCAGGCUCAAUGCCAGGCAGUAGCCACCUCUCACAGACUUUUGAUACGUCAUAAUCCACAGGUUUAACUCAAACUAUCUUGUCCGACAGUUUGCCAGCAACUGCUUUUUCCCAACACUACCAACAAGUUCCUACUCUCAAAAACAACUACUACCGACAUCCUGGUGCUCAGAAUAACGGUAGCUCAAAAAGCAGCCAACACUCACCUUAUGCAAUGAACAACCAAAGUCAGAGACAAUACAACCAACAAACCCCUAUCCACAAUGCCCACUACCCCCAACACAAUGAUGCUCAGAAUAACAACACUGCAUGGUGCCAGCAACGCCAACCUCAAGAACAGAACCAUCAGCAACCACGGACAAGCGAGUCUCGUGGCCAAAGUUACAGUGCCUUGCAACAACAGUUCAACAGCAUGCAGUAUUCCGGCCAUCCUCUGCAACAUUUUCCAACAGAUAUUCCUUCGAGCUCAACCGGUGAUCCAACUGUCAAAACAUUACAACUGCACAUGCAGCACCAACCACAAGGCCUAAUAGUCCAGAGAAACAACAAUUGUAAUGAGGGUCAUCUGCAACUUAGUAAUGAUCAAAUGAACUCCGAUGGUCAUGUCUUCCAACCUCAUGAACAUCAUCCUCAGCUAGAGCACACUCCGUUCACUCACAAAGGGAAAGACCAUCAAGAUCACUGCCAACUUUUGGAAAUAAGAGAUUCUACAACGCAUGAGAAAGAAGUGUAUGAAACAAUCGUCAAGAGUACACCAGGCAUCAGUUAACAUGAUAGGUAAUUAAUUAGUUCUUCCUCUUACAGUAAUGUUUUGAUCCUUUCUUUUACUACUGCAAUGCAUUCUGCCCGAAGGUUUCAAAUUAAAGAGUUUCAGCUUGAUUAUUCUGCUAUUGCAAUUGAAUACUCAUCAACUCAAAAGUUAAAUAAUAAAAUCAUACGAUUUAAAAUGCAUCUAUCUUUUUUGGCAGCAAGAGGAUAUUCUACGUCGACCGACGUUGGGCCAAUCAUCGAACUUUAGGUUUGUCAAUGAAGGUAUACGGAUAUAUCAACUCAUUAGUGGUCGAUGCUUACUCAGAGUUGCUGAUGAAAGAACAAUUCUACGCAACGCCAACACCAACAUCUGUGCACAAGCAUAUAAUGUACAUUGACGCCUCUGUAAGUUCUUGCUUCUCAUAAAUAAUAAUAACAAACCACAUUUACUACUACUAGCACGCUGAGUGACGCAGCUUCAAUUUAAUGCAGGAUAAAUUUCAAGUUCUAGGAGCAAGCACAGAACUACCGAAGGAACAAAUUGCAGAAAAAACUAUUGGGUUCAGGCUGCCAAACAAAUGCAACAUCGUGAGUUCACCCUACUCACUCUAUCUGUCCAGUGUUCGUCUUCAAUUCUACCAAAUUUUCUUUUUACAAUGAUAUAACUUCCCGUUAAUUGUUUUAGGUAUUAAUACCUGUGAGAAAUAAACCACAUUUUAUCUACCUCAUAAUCGUGAAUCUUGCAAUGCGUCGGUUCGAAAUUCUGUGUCCUUAUAUCAAUUGCGACGGUAUAAAGGAACACUCGGAAUUUGUCAUCGAAAACUUCAAGAGAGCUUAUCAUUCUGCUUACAACAACUAUCCUCACACAAUGGCCACCUUUCAUGUCAAACCUGUGCAGAGUGUAUGUAACUCAGACAGAGAGUGAUUUUCUUCUAACUGUACCUCUACCUCAUUUACACCAUGCAUUUUUUUGUUCCACUACAUAUCCCAUAUCUACUGUCCACCUACUAACCAAUAACAUAUUGCUCUCAAAUUUCAGGGAUGACAGUGCUAUUUACACCAUGCAUCUGAUGCCCCUCAUUAAUUUCAAUAAUAAUUCAUUUUUUAUCAAUAAUGUAAGUUCACUCUCAUUGCCAACACAUAAACAUAUGUUCAUCCAAGCCAACUAAACAUUAAGUUUUACAAUAAAUUUUAUUAGUUUGUGCGCUUAUUUGUUUUGCAGAUCCAUGUGAAACCGAUGAGAGAACAACUAACUUACAAAAUGAUAACAUCGAACUACAACACAAGCCAUGUAUUUGAGGCACUGAGCAUCGUACUCAACAAACACAACAUCCGGCGUGAAAGAAGAAGAUUUGGAAGAAGAUGACUACUGCUUAGAUGUGCCUUAAUUUAGAUGGAGACAUCCGAACAUUGUUUCAGCCAUAUCGACCCAUGUAAUCACAACAAUAUUUCAGCUAUUUUUGUGUCGGUCCAAGAUAUCUGCUAUGGAUCCCAUUAACCACAGCUGUGCAUUCAAAUGGUCAAGUCUUAAAUUCCUAACUUCGUAUUUUUUUGAAAAUAAGAAUCGUAUUUUUUCGAAAACUUGUAAAGAUCAUAUUCAAGACAUCAAUUCCUUGCACUAGAACACCACUCACUCCUACUAGACAUAAAAAAAGAAACAAUUGUAACACAGAGGAAAAACACUAUCGAUUCGUAAGCAUCUCACGAAGGAGCUAAAUGACUCACCUACAGUAAUGCUGGUCAUAGAGGCACUGUCGUGCCUCUUAUCCACAUAGAACGUGCCACCCUUAACACGGACAACUAACCUGACACACACAAGUGCGACACCAGUUAACACAGGACCGUCCCCUCGAUAUCUUAACACCGGUCCCUCUACCAAGCCAACGAGUCAUAGAAGCACGACUGUCACUUCAAGUAAGUGAAAGCAAACGUUUCAAAAGAAAGACACGACCGUGCCUUUGAAUAACAACGUAUACGUGCCUCUCCGAACAAACAUGUUGAGAAAGCAUUUCCGAACGACACACACAACUCUGCCUCAACAUAACAUAGGGCAUGCCUCCACUAACUAGACAGACGUGAAUUCACUAGCCAGACUAAAUAGAAAUAUUACAGAACAUACAACCAUGACAGUAACUCAUACUAACAUAACGCACUGCCUAACACACAACCACAACCGUAUAUUCAUUAUAAAAACAACUGUGCCUUGCCUAAAACAAAAACAAUGCAUUCCUGAGCAGACGGCUGUGCGCUGCCUAGAUUCACGAAAGUGCACAUCUGAGUGGUCCUCUUAAUACAUCUCAUCUUAUACCAAUGAAUAGCAAGAAAUCAUAGAGGAAAAUAUUCUUGAAGGCACCCAGUCAAGAAAAACAUGAUGGAACGAAAAUAAACUUAAAUUCCGAAACCAGUCAACUCCAUCUGGUUCAAAAUAAAACCACCACAAUUACAAAUUCAUUAGUCGAUGUAAUAUUACCCAAUACAAUAACUAUCAAAUAACCAAUUCAUCACACAAUCCUCAGAAACGUCCUCGCCAUCUGACAUUAGGAAGACAGCGACGAUGAAGGAUGUCGUUCAUUGACAGAAACCGGCGGUACAGCUCAUAGCUCACAUACCCUUCCUAAAGGAAAACCAAAUGAUAACAUCAAUAUCCAAAAAAAUAAAAUAAAAACAUACUGUUCUUGCAUCAAAGGCAGAAACUAACGAAAAUGAAAUCUUCACUUACAGUAGAUCCAUAUUUCAGGUGAUCAGAGGUAAGUGGCUUCCAAUCCCAGUAGUGAUGAAGAAGUUCUGGAAAAGAGGAUUCCAGCUUGGAGUAAGAUUCAUCAAUGAUGGCUCCCGCUAAGUCCUCCAUGGAAUCCCUUUCUUGACCGCCUCUUAUCAUGAACUUCUCUUGGAUGUCGACGUGGUACCCUUCUGGAAUUCUGAUGAAAUCUUGAAAAAGAGCAUCUCUAAUAUUCCUCACCCCCACACUAGAGAAAGUUAUACCUCUAUUCUCAAGGAAAUCCUUCAGGACAGGGCACUCCGUCCUGGCCUUGCAGAAGUGAUAGACCAAAACAUGAUUCCGCAUAGCCAGUUGCAUGACGGCGACUUUUCUACGCCCAUACCAAUCCUUUCAUGUGAACUCCAUGCCGAGACCAACAAACUUAUACUUCUCCUCGCGCAACCAGUCCUCGUACAAGGCAAUGAUCUCCUCCACCUUGCCAGGCUCGUUGGUGUACCACCCGUCGAGCUUCGUGUUACCAUCUGCAACUAUCGGAUGGUACUCGGUGGUGUUCAAAAAGUCAUCCAUGGCAACAAGCAGCAAGGUGCCAAUGGAGACUCCUGAGACCCUGCGACAAGGUUAGGGAGUGGUAAGGAGGGUGGGAACUGCCUGAUGUUCUGCGGCUACAAUACGACGUGGAGACCUCACAAACAUGGCCAGUAUUUAACCUUGGCGAGGGAUGUUUGGGUUACCAUACGGAUUAACGUGUGAACUAGGAGCAGCGUAUAGACAGUUGUGCUUCCGAACCUCAUGGAACCAUGCACUUCCUAAAGUCACGGUUGUGCACAAAUAAUUGAUACCGCACAGAAACCUAGGAGCCUCUAACUUUAUUUUACUGUAACUGACACACUGAAUAGUCACAUCGAACAGCCACCACAUCGGUCAUCGAUUCCUCCUUUGAACAACGACCACCGACGGAAGAAUCCAGUGAAGCAAACGAACAGCCUAUCAUAAACCUUAGAUCCGAAGGCCAGAAUUCAUCUGUCCCUCAUCUAGCUAGAUUCACACCAUCUGUCCCUCGAGAGUCAAGGCUGGUUUCACGUGAGGCACGGGUAUGCAGGCACAAGACGCACAUACAUGUCUAUUCCACAGGCAUGAGCGUACAACUUUUGCAGAUAUCGGUCGCUAUCACAAUAGGCAGAGGCGGACGACGAUUUUUUUUAAGGUGGGGCGAACUCUUAAGAAUUUUUCUUUAUGCAAAACCAUAAUACUCACGGGUGCUUGGGUUUGACCUAGUUUCUAUACCAAGUACUCCCCGUCCCAAAAUAAUUGUCUUAAUUUUGUACUAACUUAAGUACAAAUUUGUACUAAAUUUGAGACACUUAUUUUGGGAUGAAGGGAGUACUUCAUAAUAUCUUGUUAAAUCUGCAAUUCAUAUUUCAAAUUGUCACUAGAAUUACUACAAUUGCAUAUUACAAGUUGUUAAAAAAUGUCACUAAAAUCCAGAGAAAUUUACCUCUCCCCAUUCCCUUCCUCUUCAUAUUCUGUUGGUGACGAAGAUGCCGCACGAUGGUGCCGACCAUGAAGGACGCAAAGCUGGCUACCACCAUGACGUCGCUCGCUGCCGGCAGCCGCUAGACUGUAGGCGCCGCCCGCUUGUUCGACAGCCACAGCCACGGUNNNNNNNNNNNNNNNNNNNNNNNNNNNNNNNNNNNNNNNNNNNNNNNNNNNNNNNNNNNNNNNNNNNNNNNNNNNNNNNNNNNNNNNNNNNNNNNNNNNNNNNNNNNNNNNNNNNNNNNNNNNNNNNNNNNNNNNNNNNNNNNNNNNNNNNNNNNNNNNNNNNNNNNNNNNNNNNNNNNUUUGUUUUUUUAGAAUCACCACCGUUCUAGCUAGCCAGCUGAGAUUGCUGCUCUGUGUUGAUUGUGGUGUGCAUCUCAGCAUGGGGGAGGCUUUUUUUUAAGGAAACAGUAUGGGGGAGCUGGGUGUACCCUGCCGUCCUGUGUGUGCUGUACUCCAGUCCGGCGUUGGACUUAGUAAAUGACAACCAGCAUCGUGGCCCAAUGUGCUAGUGAUUUUUUCAGCGAUGGCUGUGACUAUGCGUAGCAGCGUAGGUAUACAAGAAAAUUUGUACCGAUUCAAGGUAUGGCGACCGCCAGCCCUUGCCCACUGGGGUGCUCCGCCAGUGAAAACAGGCACGUACACAUGCAGGCAGAAACUCGCCAUAAACAUGUCAAUGCAGGAAACAAAGGCACAGAAACAUAGCCUAUACAGGCACGUGCGUCGGCUUCGCGAGCCACGUGAUCUUUUCCGUCUUGUUUUUCAAUCUCGACCAAAAUCCUCUGGAUACAAAUCAUCUGAAUGCAAAAAGGAGACCUCCAAGAGGCACCGGUGACAACACUCUGUUCGAGAGUCGUGGCAUGUAUCACGUGAGAUACAUCAAUACUUGAAGCAAAUCAAUGGCACAAGUCGGAGAGCCACAGUGUUAAAGACUCCGGACACACAGGCGUGUAGAAGAACAGGCACGACGAGUAACAGCCACCGCAUCCCCUCACAGACGGACGUCUGACACCACGGGCACGAAGAGUCAUAGCCAGUGUGUCCCCUGAGUAACACGAAUGCACGCACAGGAAGCACAGAACUGCAGUGUAUACAGGCACGGAAUUGCGGCUUCUUGGCACACAGGCACGGCUUUGGAAAUGGUGUUCUCAAGGCACGGGUACAAACCAGCUGGACGCACAAAAGAGUGAUGGAAGAGGCACGGUUGUUCAGUCUCAAGAGAAACUGUCGUGUGACACCAGCACAAACAGACAUCACGUGUGUCACGUGAGGUACAGAAAUAGCGGAAAAGAAGCCACGGGAGUGAAGCCUCCGCAGACACGGAUGCCGGGCUUCUAAAGGCACGGUCCCAAGAACACAAAGACAGGGUACUGAAAUGGUGCCUCGUACGUUAGCAGACGUGCCUCUCUUGUGCGAACGUGUAAAAGACAACAAUUCAAACACAAACAAACAGCGAUGAAUAUAAGCCAAACAAAAAAACGCUUCUCCCAAACAAUACAUAUGUGUCACGUCACGGAUGGACGUCUGCACUAGAGGCACAUAGAGUCACAACCAACAUGACGCCUGAGACAAGUAAAUGCACGUACAGGAGACACGGAACUGAAGCGUAUACAGUCACGCAAUUGCGAAUUCUCGGAGUUCUCGAGGCACGGGUACAAACCAGUUGGACGCAUAAAAGAGUGAUGGAAGAGGCACGGUUGUUCAAUCUCAAGAGAAACUGCCGUGCGACACCAGCACAAACAGACAUCACGUGUGUCACGUGAGGUACAGAAAUAGCGGAAAAGAAGCCACGGGAGUGAAGCCUCCGCAGACACGGAUGCCGGGCUUCUAAAGGCACGGUCCCGAAGAACACAAAGAUAGGGUACUGAAAUGUUGCCUCGUACGUUGGCAGACGUGCCUCUCUUGUGUGAACGUGUAAAAGACAACAAUUCAAACACAAACAAACGACGCUGAAUAUAAGCCAAACAAAAAAACGCUUCUCCCAAACAAUACAUAUGCGCCACUUCAACAGGUUACCUAAAUUUACAUGAACUCGCGCAAACGUCAACAAUGAACUUGUAACAUGAAAAAACAUUAAAAAAUUAUUUACAAAUCACAUGAGACAAGCCAAACACGAUACUGAAUAACAAAACGGUACUCCAUAGGAUUAAACUAAAAGUACUCAUCGAUUAUACAAAAAAAGAAAUGAAAGUCUUCCAGGAGUCCAUUCCUCACAGAAACGUCCACACAAACGUCCACCGUGACCAUUCUACUCAGUUGGAGUUCUGCUCCGAAACAUCAACGGCAUCUGCGGUCAGGAAGACAACGGGGAUGCAUCAUGUCCUUCAUCGACAAAACUCGGCAGUAGAGCUCGUAGCUCACAUACCCAUCCUAAAACAAAAAAUGGAUGAGAAUGAAGAUAUACAUAAAGAGGAAAAGGUACUAUUGUUGUAGUAAACCAAAAAUAUAAAGACAAAAAAUCAUAAAAAAUGAAGUUUUCACUUACAAUUGCCGCAUAUUUCAGAUGUUCAAGGGAAAGCGGAUUCAAUUCCCAGUAGUCAUGCGGACCCUUGGGAAAAGACGACUUCAUACUCAAGUAAGAUUUGUCUAUGACGGCUCCUGCCAAAUCUGCCAUGGAAUCCCUAAGAUUGCCUCCUUUGAUCAUGAGCUCCUCUUGAAGAUCGAUGUGACACUCUAUUGGGAUUUUGAGGAAACUGUUUGCGAGAACAUCCCUAUCGUUCCUGACGUCGACACUAGCGAAAACGGUACCUUUGUUCCGAAGGAAAUCCUUUAGAGGAGCGCACUCCAUCCUGGCCUUGCACAAGUGAUAGACAAGACCAUGCUUGCGCAUCGCCAGUUGCAUGACGGAAACUUUUCUACUACGAUCAAAAUAAUCCUCUCGUGUGUACUCCAGAUCAAGACCAACAAACUUGUACCUGUCCUCACGCAGCCAUUCCUGAUAAAGAGAAAGAAUCUCCUCCACCUUGUAGGGCUCGUUGGUGUACAACACCUCGAGCCUGGUAUUACCAUCGGCAUAUAUAAAGAGGCGCUCAGUAUUGUUCCUGAAGUCAUCCAUGGAAAAGACGGUGACACGACAAUGGAGUAUGACUGUGCUUCUCGUACGAGACGAGGAUGAUGGGAGCUACCUGCACUUCUCUGGAGAGAAUAAGACGCGAUAACCUCCCGAAAUAGACCACUACUUAACCUUGGGGAGAGACGACUCAGUUACCAUGCACCCAUUAAAUUGCAUUGGGGAUGGUGUGAAUGGACGGUUGUGCUUCUGCAGCUUAUGAAACCAUGCACUUAAAAAGUCAAGGCUGCCACGCUAUAAUCGAGGAGCCUCUAGGUUAACUCUAGCACGGUAUCUGCCACAAUGAAUACUAACAAUAAAUAGCCAUCCCAUCGGUCACCAGCACAUCUUUUGACCGAGAGAACAAUGAGAGGAGGCAAACUAGAUGACCCUGUUGUACAAAUACUACACGGGGAGUGAACCAAAUUAAAAGCACGGUUCUGCCAGCACAAAAGCCACACGCGUGCCUCCACUUUGCUUAAAGACAAACCUCAGUGAUACCAACGGACCUGCAUCUAUAUGCCUGCACGUACCACCGAAAACAUUGCCAAAACAAAAGCACGUCCAUGCUUCUGACAUACAGAUAACUGUGCGCUAUCAUACAUAUUCCCGUCUGAACCCAACGUACAUAAAAAUAGUGGCUCCCUGGGUCAACGACUAUUGAUUUUUUUUUUGCAAUAACAGAGUCAUGAACCGUGGCUCCAUUCUAGAUGCAAAAGUGACUCUCAAUAGGAACCAUCAUGCCUCCCGUCAAUUUGCCUCCCCUGACGUAUCGACCAUGCCUUUCCUGCUACAACGACCGUGCAUUUAAUAACAUCAUCACCGUUCCUCUCCUAAAAACACACCCAACUAUACCUGAUUAAACAUGUGAUUAAAAAAAUUAAAACACAGAAGCACGAGUAUGCUUUCCAGCAUAUAUAACCGUUCCUCGCAAAAAAUAUGUAAGGCAGGAUAGGCACGUAAAAGACUCCACUGAGAGGCAGCACAGCUGGACAACUAUAAUGGGAGGCAGCUGGAUGAGUCAAACAUCUCGUGUCCCCAUAACACCUCGGAAUGCACGCACACCAUCUACAACCAGCAUUAAUUCCAUUUCAUAGAAUAAAAAAUAAAAAAAGAAACACUCAUUACUACUCUUGCUCUCUCCCGUCUCCUUUAUAUUUCAAUAAACUCCGACUCCCUCAGCCACAUCACAACUCAUUUGCCUUCUCUGCCGCCUGCUUCUAGGGUUUGUCCUUCUUCUCCGUCGCCUGCUUCUAAGGUUCGUGCUUCUUCCCAGCAAUCAAUCGAUUAAUUUCCAAGCCAUGCUUCUCUCCUACAUUGCUGGCCGUGCGUGCUUGCCCUAAGCUUCCCAUCACAACCCAUCCGCCUUAUCCGACCACCUACUUCUAGGGUUUGUGCUUCUUUCCUGCACACAUUCUCACUUCAAACAAGUUAUUGUAGAGUUUUUAUUGGGUCCCUCAAUUAACUUCCAAGCCGUACUUCUCUCGUAGAUUUGCUAGCCGUGUGUGCUUUCCCUAAGCUUCCCCUACCCCGUACUUCUCAAGUAGAUUAGCUAGCCGUGUGUGCUUGCCCUAAGCUUUCCCUACCCCAAUCUCCGCUUGUCAACCCUCAUUCUUCUUCUCUUCUAGGUAAAAAGCAUAUGCGUAAGCAGCAUGCUCCGAUCCGUAUUUACGUUUUACGUUUUGGUUUUUCAUUUGAUAGUUAUUGAAGCGUCAGAUCCGGUACAACGACUUCAUUCUCUAAAGGAAUAUAAAAACCAUUAGAAAAUCCAAACAAGUGUUCUAAACUCUGUCAUACUAAUUUUCUGGAAGGAGUAGAUGAGAAGAUUUCUGGUAAAUUUGUAGUUGUUGUCUGCCUUCAUAAGGAUAUUUUAAUAUGGCUAACAUAGUUGAAGCUAGUCGUUGUCUACCUUCAACGCUGAAGCUUGUUUUUAAAUUGUUAUCAUAUUCUUGUUUUCUUAACAUAAUUGUUCUGAAUUAUUUAGGUAUGAUUUGCCCUACCUGCCGCCAACCAGGCGGCCCUUGCGAACCACACCCUGAAGUUCUCCAGGAGUUUGAGGUUAUUCUUGAUGAAAAUUGCUGGAGACGAAUGGUUAGUAAGCAUCACUGACAUAUUAGUUGCCUACAACACACUAGAAAUUGUCACUGUUACUCAUACCGCCUUCCACCUACACUAGGUUCCCCUGUUGUCACUUCUUCGCACCUGCCUUGUGUUUUCAUUUUCUAUUAGUUUGCCUGCCUAUGCCCUAAUUAAUAUAGUCCAUUAGUUUUGCCUGCCUAUGUCUUGAUUACUAUAAUGCAUCUUCAGUUCUAAUUAAAACUAGUCAACAUAUGCCAAAAAUCUGUAUCCAUUAAUUUAUAAUACCAUUAUGUUGUUACCUGUAAUUCUUAUCAAAAAUUCAUAUCCAAAUUAAGAAAACUUCUAACAUUAAUAAUACGCGGGUUCAAAGUUAUACUUACAGGUUGUUAUUUUUACUAUUUUUCCCAGUAUGUACCUUGUAACGUCAGAGCUUUUCUCGCUGAGUACAUCGGCGAGAGGAAGGAAGAAGCAAGAAAAUUGCGUAAAGAGCAGGUAGAGCCAGCCCUUCUUACACAUGAAGGAAGGUCUUACAAUGCUUUGUUUAAGCAUGGGCCGAACUACACAAAGUUCUGCGGUGGUGAGUGGAACACCUUUGCGGAUGAUUAUCAGCUUCGUGCUGGAGACCGCAUAGAAUUUGAACUACCACACAAGGGUCUCAAUCUCGAAAUACAAAUAUAUCGCAAUGACAAAAGGCUGCUUCCAUUACCCCACGUUGGUACGUAUUUAAUAUUACAAAAUUAUCUUCUUUGGCUGUAUUUUGAUAUGCAUGCAUCGAACUGAAUAAUAUUAACCCGUAUUACAUAAAACUUUAUCUAACUUUCAAAUCUUGUUCUUUUUCUAGCUCUAGACGACCUUUCUUCAGACGAUUUCAACCAUGUUCACUGCUGUGUCUACUCUAAGGAUAUUGAGCUUACCUACAACCAGACACGAUUCUUUCUACAACGCCCUUUGGAGAUACUUUCAUCCGUUGCCGUCCAUUUGUACACGUCUUGACUCCCACUAACACCAAAGAAUGCGUCAUGGUUGGUUACAUAUGUCCUUGUUAAAAUACCAAACGUAUUUUGCUCAUAUAUAAUAUAAACAAUAUUGACGAAAUCUUGCUUAUAUGUAAAAUUAUAAAGAACCUAUUUAUUCAAACAUAAAACAACAAAACUUUUGUUGUUCUCUUAAUAUGUUGUUUCAUCUGUUUACACACAAACCUGAACAUGCCAGGAAUUAUAUUACUUGCAAUUUAGAAUUUCAUAAUGUUUGCGCACUCACUGUAUUCAGCCAUUCUUUUAUUUAUUGUCCAAGUGGCAAUUCAACGGUUUUAAUUUCCAUUUAAUUUCGAUUUCUUCUAAAAAAUUCCGAGGGGCGUAGUCUCAACACUGAAGAGAUGGGUGGACAUGCCAACCAAUGGCACGGUGACCCUUGAAGCUCCUGAUGAACCUACCCAUGUCAUCACUCCUUCGUCGUACUACAUCUGCAAAAACGACGGCCGGAUGGUAAUAGAAAAGUCUUGUUUCAAAGACUUCAUAUCAGCUACAUCCUUUGUUGAAAAGAACGUCGUUCUAAUCACUUUCAAAGAGCGCCAUGACCAUUCUGUGUCCAUCAUCAUUCAACGAAUUUUGUAGAUUCCGUCAGAACCUGCACCUAAAAUGGAAGCACAGUGUAUCUCCUAGGAUGUUCAGCGCUCAUUUCAAGAUGAUGCCUCCCAGGAGCAAAACACUGCUUUAUUUAAAAUAAGUUUGUUAGUUAGAAUGGUACAGUAAUGUAACUAUUAUGGACCAUGUGCUUGCUUAAACUAUCUGAAUGAUCUUUUGAAACUUAUGUAGCUCUUACGGACCCUCUACUCACAGUUUCAACCAUCAGAAUGAUGCUUUGCAAUAAAUGCUUCUUGAACUAUCAGAAUGAUUCAUUCGAAAAAAUGUAGUUCUAAUCCUUUGGAAAGUUUCAAAAAUCAAACAAAACAACAUUCAGUUUUUGAUCCAAAACCUACAACAAUGCCAUGUUAUCAAACUUAUUCAAACGAUCUACUGAAACAUAUCUCAAUUUAAAACCAAACAUGACUCCAUUUUCUAGUGCAAACUAUGUUUACUUCACCAACUUUUCAUGAACACACAGUUGUGCACCGAAUAACAUAACAACAAUGCCUCAUUGACCAAGGAAGAUUGGUAAUUGAAAAAAACAUUUUCACAACAAAGGCACGACCAUGCAUCUGCUGAGUGUUCUACCGUUCACAUGACUACUUUCACAGCCAAAGAUGGAAUACGCACAUAUGGAUCACACACGCAGCACGCAACAAAUAAAAAAAUUCAAAGAAUGAGAUAAGUGAAAAUCUUAAAAAAAUAGAUAAAACAAACGACUAUUUACAAAAAUCUACGCCUGGAACCGUCGGGUGACUAGAAACUGCUCUUUGGCGGUUUCCUUUUUUGCACGACAAAAGAUCCCUUUCACUUUUCCGACUCCAUUUGCAUCUUCUUCCUCCAAAGUUUCUCGCCGGCCACAGUUCACCGUCGCACACCUCCAGCCAUGGACGACAGGAAAAUAACAACAUUCACCAAGCACAUCACUACCCACGGUACAACCGUGCUGGAGGUGGUGUACACCAACGACCCAAGGACCGUGGAGCGGAUCAUCAAAAAGUACGAGGAAUGGCUAAAGGAGGAGAAGAACAAGUUCGUCGGCCUCGACCUCGAGUACACAUGUAAGAGCAGUUACGUACGACAAGGGAUCGUCGUCGUCCAACUUUCCAUGCGCGAGCAUGUCCUUGUAUACCACUACUGCAGGUCCGAGCGCUCCCAGGUGUUAGUUGACUUCCUGCAACGGAAAGCGGUAACUUUCACCAGCGUCGACACCAGGAACGACAAGACCAUGCUUGCCCGUGCAUGCAUCAGAAUUCCAGACGAGCACCACGUCGACAUCCAGAGGCUAUUCUGCAUCAAGGGUGGUGGAGAAAGGGACUCCAUGGCUGACCUUGCAGCGGCCAUCAUCGACCCCUCAUACAAGAACAUGAAGAAAUCAUUCCCAAAGGAGAAGCACCAGUUCUGGGAGUGGAAGACGCUUUCCCCGAUACACCUUGAGUACGCGGCAAAGGACGGGUAUGUUAGCUCUGAGUUGUACCAUAGAAUCCUAAUCAUCAAGAAUGGGCUACGUCACCUCCACCAACAACCAGUGAAAGAAAGACUCCGCCCAUGUAAGAACAAAGACGAGGGAUCUUCCAGCGGAUGGAAGCGCCGGAAGGGAAGCAGCGGUUGGUAAAUUGCGAGAAAAUGGAUCGUGCCGUGAUUGAUGUAUCUGCCGUGAUCAAGUGAUCAGGUGCGUGGCACAACUAUUAUGAUAAUUUAGGUUGAACGAACCCAUGUUGUAAAUAUGUUUGUUCUUGCUCAAAGAUGAUGUUUGUAUUGUAUUACUAUUUUACGUCUGAACUUUGAACACAGUGGUGUGCGUGUCUAAAUGUAAUUAGUAAGUUAUGUCUCAGUAUUGAGCAAGCAUAUAUUGUAUCCAUGACUAUAGAACGAGAGAUAUGUCGCACGACAUUGUAUUAUAAUUUUCAUACUCAACCUUUACAAGAUGCAUCAUGCAUUUACAAGAAUAUGUGAUGGUAUCGUUGCAAACUUUUAGUAGAAUGCUUAUUCAACAUUAGCAUAAACAAUUCAUAAAUAUUGCAGAAGAACAUUCGGUACACAGACGCAAGGGACAAGAACUUUGUUACUUUGACCACACCAUCCAUUCACAGGUUCCUCUCCGUACACCAGUCCUCCAUGAUGCCACAAAACUACACUACCGUGUACAACUGACCCAUGUACAACCAUGCCUCUCUAAGUGUAAACUCAACCCAUGCCUCUGGUGCCACGCACCCAUGACCUUAGAGACUUCACACCUGUGCAUCCACAACCGAGCCUCUCUAACCAAAUAUUCGAACUGAUGCCUCUGCUGACAUACAUCCAUGCCUCAAGACACUUGACAGCAGCAAGAGGGUUCAAAACCGUGCAUCCACACAACCGUGCUUGUACUGACUGCACUUCGGUGCCUCCGUUUGCUCGAUCGACGUGCAUCACAUGAAACCCACAGUAACUCUACGUGCUCCGUGCGACUGAUCGCCCGUGCCUCCACACAACCGUGCAUGUACUAACUUUAAUUAUGUGCCUCCAUUUCCUCAAUCCACGUGCCUCACAUGAAACCCACUGUAACUCUACGUGCUACACACACGUGCCUCUCGCAUGAAACCCACAGUAUCUCUGCGUGUUAGGCACCCGUCAUUGCCCUUGUAACUUUGGUAUUGCACACACGUUCCUCUCAGUAUACCCGUGUUCCAAACAAUUAUGCAUGUACUGACUGCAAUUCCAUGCCUCUGUUUGCUGAAACCACGUGCCUCACAUGAAACCCAUGGUAACUCUACGUGCCUCCACACAACCGUGCCUGUUCUGACUUCAAUUCCAUGCCUCAGUUUGCUGAAUCCAGGUGCCUCUCACAUAAAAGAGAUGCACAGCCAUGCCUCAGAGUAAACAACACACGUGCCUCUACUGUAUUUAUAACUUUGACCACAAUUAAAUAACAUCCGUCCAAAAAAACAUCAUUAAAAGAGAUGCACAACCAAGCCUCUUAUACAUCAAAAUCCAUUAUGUUCAAAGGCUAUAACUAACAUCACUGCGGCAGAAGAUUGAAGAUAACAACAAGCCUCCCAACAAGCUGUUUGAAAGUUAUCAGCACCCAGCUGUUUACUUCAAUAGACGAUGCCUGAAGAAAAUCACUGAAACCGUCAUGUUUGAACACCAUUUAUUACCCAAACCAAUGAAGUAGGAGCAAGGAGUGCUCGCAUUUAUAUCAUCAUCGCCAGAUUCCGGAGUAACUUCAAGAGUUAAAACGCCAGUUCUAGGAAAAGUCACAAACUCCUUCAAACUCCUCAUAACAAUACCAGGAAUAACCUGACAAAAAACAUCAAGCUAUCAGAAAUAGAAUAAAAAUUCAAAACUAUAAAUAGAAGAAGUAAUAAAAAUAAAUAAAUAAACAGAAACAAAAAAAACAAUGGGAAAAAAUCUGACCAUAUGAUGACCAUUAACAUUCAUGGAAUCAAUCCUGUGAACAAAAGGACAACAGGGUAUGUAGUCAUCAUCAAAUAGUUGACACCUCAUGAAAUACAUCUGCUGAUAAUUAAGAAAAACACCACGGGUGUAAUAACAACUCCCAACAAGCUCCUUCUCGGAGUCGCUCAAACCAUGUAGAGCUACAAAAUAUAAUUACACAGGCUCAAGAGAACAAAAAAAUCAAAAUGUACAAUAAAACAAGAUAAAAACAUCCUUAAAAAUAAACCUUACCAACAGACGGUAAAGGAGACAACGCAUCUCCACGACCAACACGAUAAAAAUCAAUACCAAUCCAAGUUCCAUAAUGUUCAAGCCUAAUGGUCAUUAUAUCACGAGGACGAACACCAUAAUCACUGACCAAUCGUUCCCAGGAAGGACCAUGGAAUUUGCUUCUCACACGACCAUGACUAAACAGAACACCAUACAAAUAACCCUCAUUGCACUGAAGAGCCAGAUCAGUAUCUUCGUCACCCCUCCUUAUGGCUAAAGCCCUACACUCCUCGAUGUAACGAGCAAGAUGAGCUCUAACACUGCAUGAAACAUACUGCACAACAAAUCAAAACAAGGAUCAUAAUCAAAAUCUAAACAGCAUGGGCAGCACCAAAAAAAAUAAGCGUGUGUGCCAAAAAUUGAACAACUAUAAAAUGAUUUUCUUACAACACGCCUCCAACAAUGCCGAUCCAGGACCACACUGAACCCAUCUACAGAAGAAUCAACAGAAGAACACGGGCCACCAGGCAUACGGCAAAAAGGACAAGCCAUAACUGCAAGGAACACAAUGGUUAUCAACAACUAAUCCCACAAAACCCAGUUAAAACUUGACAUCUGAUAGUGUUGGUAGUCCCCACCCGUAACUACCCCAUAAAUCUCCAUAUCCCGGUAAUAUAAUGGGAACAAAAAGAGAAACGAGAAAGGGAAACAGGGAACCCACGAAGGCAACCAGUAGGGAACGACGAUAUCGAACGGGAAAGCUCGCUCGAUGCUAAAGAAGGACUACCGUAAGAGCAGGCAACAAGCGCGGUGGCCGGAACAACUGCCACCGUAACCACGCGACAAGAGCAGCUGCGGCGACGGGCGGAGACGACGGCAAAGAACGAACAAUGCGCGACGAGGGUUCGCCCACAAUAGAAAGAAACAAGAAACAGAUCUCAAAACAGAUCAAAAGGUAUUACAAAACAUUAAAAGUAUAAGGACUAAAGUGAAAAAAGGAAAAACCAUAAGGAAAAACCGGAAACAGGAAAUCACGCGAGAAGCCGUGCGUGCGCCAAGUGUCACACGCGGAGCGCAUCCGAAAAGUCUCGGGAGCGCUCCGCGCGUGACACUUGGCGCACGCGGAGCGCUCCCCGACUAAUCGUUGCGGGGAGCGCUCCUCAAUUAGUGAUUUCACGGUGCUGAGGGCGCAGGUGUAGAUGCUCUAAGAUCAUUAAGUUGGAUGGGCUGAGGCAGUCCCACUUAAGCCCACCCCCGCCUGCAGCCUGACCGGCGUGGUGACUCUAUCCUCCCGUGCAGAGGAAGGGUUUCUAUUAAUUGCUCAUCUAAUUUCUCCGCCCUACCCAGAUCGUCCGUGUCUUCCAGUCCAGAACCGCCGCCGCCGGGAACAGAGCACCGUCGCGACGCCGCCGGAAAAUUGCCGCCAGAGCCCGCUCCAGUUUAAAUCCUAUCGGCUCUUUCCGUCCAUUCUCUCCUUUGGUUUAAGCCGGUAGAUCCGUAUAUAUAUAUAUAUAUAUAUAUAUAUAUAGAUCGCCGGAGCAGUUGUUUCUUCUUGCGCCAAAUCCGUCGCCCCAUCUGCGUUCUUCUCCGUAAUCACUGGAGCUUUUCUUUGGUUUCCCACCGCACCUUCUACUGCUGGGCUUUGAGCUCAUAAGGAUGUUGCUUUUUAUAUUUAGCGAAUUUUCCGUCUUAGGUUUGUGUAGAUUUUACAAUUAAAAUGGUUAUAAUACUAUCUUUUACAUUUUAGAUACGUGUAAAUGAUACCUAACAAUAGAUUUUUCAUAGCGUCAAGGGGCGCAACAAUUUGUUAGUGCAAAGAUAUGGGGAACCAGCACCGACGAUCUUUGUCAUAGAGGAACAUAACACCAAAAUAUCACCCGGAGUGAUUUCUUAGCAGACCCCUUUUCUUCUUUUUCGAGCGCUGUACUAAUGUUUGAUUCUUCUUGGCUUUUCCUGUCAGCGAGCAAUCAGCAUGCCGGGCAGCAGCGGCGUGACGCCUUCGACGACCUGCCUGAGUGGCUCGUCCUCAACGAGAUCCUUGUCCGCUUGCCGCCCAAGGACGUACUCCGCUGCCGUGCCAUUCGCAAGUCGUGGCGCAGCGGCACAUCCACUCACGCGUUCAUCCUCGGACACCGCCGUCACCAGCCCUCGCUCCCCAUCAUCCAACACAAAUUGGGCAUAUGCCGCGUCUUCAGAGGCUCCAAUGAUCUAAAGAUACGGCCUGUCAUUUGCCUGAUUUACAACGCAUUUCAGUUGCCUGAUUACUUUAUCCUCGCGGUGGGAUCGAGCCAGCCAAGAUGCAUCCAAUGGCCGACAGUUUCGAAACAAAAGUAUCUUCCAGCUACCCCGUCUGCCGACUGUCCGCCAGUCCAUCAUCGUGGUAGCCUGCACUGGCUAAUGGGCCUCAACAUAAUAGUAUUUGACACCGUAGCCGAGACAUUCCGGCAGAUGAGCCGCCCAACACAGUUGGGUGAUAUGGUGUCAUUGUUGGAUAUGGGCGACGCCCUUGCUUUGUGCCACACCGCCCCUGACUGCGCCGCAUUAGAUGUUUGGGUGUUGCAGGACUAUGAUGCCGGGACCUGGGGUUUUUGCUUUCGGAUUGACCUGUUAGGGAUGGAGGCAUCACCACCGGUUAAUUGGAUGUUCCAAUUUAUCCCUAGGAUAGCUCUGAUCAAUGAGCGUGAGCUGUUGAUCCAGCGGCAUAUUUACAGUCUGUUGCAUUGUGACAUUGAUGGUGUCUUUUUAGGUAAUGUGGAAAGCGAGGAGCGUUUAGCCUGCUGGACACUUACUCGGCAUUGCCUCCAAGAGAGCCUGAUUUCACUUCCAUUGUUUGAGAUGCAAGAAGAAGAAGCUGUGAACCAGGAGCCUCCAUUAUUCUCCAUUGUGUUAUAAAGAUGCCGCGCUGGCAUGCUCCAUGUUAAUGCUUUGGACUAGUUGUUUGCUGUGCCCUUAGAGUAUCUGUUCCAUAUGGGCCAUGCUUGUAUUCUUACCAUUCAGUACUUGAAUGUUGUAACUUCUAAACAAU